rnacentral:lncRNA from 1 species
UUUUUUUUCUGUAUUUAUAAAAAAUACUGGGCCGAAGAAGCGCCAGAGGGGCGCCAGAAGGUGGCCACAAGCCCGCUAGGCGCGGCAACCCCCUGGCCGCGCCUAGGGGGCUUGUGGGCACCCAGCUGGCCAUCUGGCCCCCCUCUUCUGCUAUAUGCACGGCUCCGUCCAGAAAAAAAUCAGGAGGAGGCUUUUCGGCGGAUUCGCCGCCGCCACGAGGCGGAACUUGAGCAGAACCAAUCUAGAGCUCUGGUAGGACGAUCCUGCCGGGGAAACUUCCCUCUCGGAGGGGGAAAUCGUCGCCAUCGUCAUCACCAACACUCCUCUCAUCAGAGGGGAGUCUUCACCAACAACAUCUUCAUCAGCACCAUCUCAUCUCCAAACCCUAGUUCAUCACUUGUAACCAAUCUCCGUCUCGCGACUCCGAUUGGUACUUGUAAGGUUGCUAGUAGUGUUAAUUACUCUUUGUAGUUGAUGCUAGUUGGAUUACUUGGUGGAAGAGUUUAUGUUCAGAUCUUUGAUGCUACUCAUUACCUCUCUGGUCAUGAAUAUGAUUAUGCUUUGUGAGUAGUUACUUUUGUUAAUGAGGACACGGGAUACGUCAUGCUCAAAGUAGUCAUGUGAAUUUGGUAUUCGUUCGGUAUUUUGAUGUGUUGUAUGUUGUUUUUCCUCUAGUGGUGUUAUGUCAACGUCAACUACAUAACACUUCACCAUUAUUUGGGCCUAUAGGAAGGCAUUGGGAAGUAGUAAGUAGAUGAUGGGUUGCUAGAGUGAUAGAAGCUUCAACCCUAGUUUAUGUGUUGCUUCGUAAGGGGAUGAUUUGUAUCCACUAGUUUAAUGCUAUGGUUAGACUUUGUCUUAAUUCUUCUUUCGUAGUUGCGGAUGCUUGCGAGAGGGGUUUAUCAUAAGUGGGAUGCUUAUCCAAGUAAGGGCAGUACCCAAGCGCUGGUCCACUCACAUAUCAAAUUAUCAAAGUAACGAAACGCGAAUCAUAUGAACAAGAUGAAAACUAGAAUGACAGAAAUUCCCGUGUGUCCUCGGGAGCGUUUUUCCUCCUAUAAGACUUUGUCCAUGCUUGUCCCUUGCUACAAAAGGGAUUGGGCCACUUUGCUGCACCGUUGCUACUUUUGUUACUUGUUGCCUGCUACGAAUCAUCUCACCACACAAUCACUUGUUACCGAUAAUUUAAGUGCUUGCAGAUAUUUCCUUGCUGAAAACCACUUGUGAGAUCCUUCUGCUCCUCGUUGGGUUCGACACUCUUACUUAUAGAAAGGACUACGAUUGAUCCCCUAUACUUGUGGGUCAUCACAGACCCUUCGAGUUCGAGAACUAUGUAGACAUGACCCGAGACACUCCUCGGUCAAUAUACAAUAGCGAGACCUGGAUGCCCAUAUUGGAUCCUACAUAUUCUACGAAGAUCUUAUCGGUUGAAACUCUGUGUCAAGGAUUCAUAUAAUCUCGUAUGUCAUUCCCUUUGUCCUUCGGUAUGUUACUUGCCCGAGAUUCGAUCAUCGAUAUCCCUAUAACUAUGUCAAUCUCGUUACCGGCAAGUAUCGUUACUCGUUCCGUAAUACAAGAUCCCGUGACAAACACAUUAGACACAUUACUUGCAAGGCAUGUUUGUGAUGUUGUAUUAUCGAGUGGGCCCCGAGAUACCUCUCCAUCACACGGAGUGACAAAUCCCAGUCUUGAUCCAUGCUAACUCAACGGACACCUUCGGAGAUACCUGUAGAGCACCUUUAUAGUCACCGAGUAAGGUUGUGGCGUUUGAUUGUCACACCCUGUUUUUCAUCACAAGUAUUUUAUGUUGCAAAAAUCAGAGCUUGUUAAAACUUUUUCAAAUAAUUUUGUGAGUGUAAUGUCAACCCUUGUUUGAGUGAAUGCUUGCUUGAUUGAUGACUCAAACCCAUGAAAACUUAUUAUUUUGCUCUCUUCAAAAACCCUUUUUCUUUUAUAUCAAGAUCACCUUCAUCAUGUUGGGAUACACUACUAGCUCAUGAAGCCAAGUGGCACUUCCAACCAAAGUUGAUGAUCUGAUCCAGAUAUUAUUUUCAUUCAUUAAAAACAUUAAUUGGUGAUUUAAAAUAUUAUUUUCCUAUUUUAUAUUUAUGUAUGUUUCUAAGGCCAGGAAUGAUAUUCCCACAAGGAAAAUUGCUUUCCUUCCUUAGAAAAUUCUGAGUAAAUUCACGGAAGCUCACAAGGACAUAUAUUUUCCAUAUAUAAGAUUUUCAACCCUAUUUUAUAUUAUUAUUAUUUGAGUAAAACCCUGAAAACCAUUUCUGUAUGUUUUAGCUUUUUGAGAUGUUUCCAAAGCAAAUGAUCUCAAUAAAUUCCCAUUAAAUUACAGGAACCCUCCCAAGCCAUAUUAGGUGCUCACAUAAAAUCUCACCUUGAUCCAAGGUGGGGAAGUGCACCUAAUAAGCCCAAAACCCUCUUUAUCCACAGUAGAGUUGGAACAACUCUACAUUGCGAAGUUUCUCCAAUGGAGCUGAAAUUUUGCACAGGCGUUUGACACCCCAAAUGAGGACUCCACACCAAAAAUGGGAUUUGUGAGACUCUGUUUGGCCACACUUCCUUUGUAAAGGACAGUACUAGUCAUUUUGAGGCAUUUGCAAGUUUACCCAGGACAUGGAGGACACGUCCCAAAGGGCCCCAGAGCGCGCCAGCAUGCCGUGGCAUGCCAAAACCGCGCUCUGGACGAGCUACAGAGAACCUCCAGCCAGGGGACGUCGCCCCGGCCAGUUCCAACCCCCUCAGUAAUGUCCAAACACCUCCCCGACACCCACUCUAUGCAAAGCUACCAUCAGGGGGCCCCUCUCCUUGCGCAAGAGCUUAGGCGACGCGUGCCUGUGCGCGCCCGAUGCGGCCGAGCAUGCACGGUCGCUGUGGCUCGACCCCACUCGCUUUCCCUCUGCGGUCGAUGCACCAGGAGGUCCUAAACCACGUCCUGAACCCGUGGUUUCGCGGACAGGACCUCACUAUGCUCGCACGCGCGCCACGGUGAGUCACCGGCGCGCCCGAGUCGGCUCACCGCCGGUGGCCUAUAAAUAGGUCCCCCCGGCACCCCAGCACCCUCCAAGCAGCUUCAGCACAACCACUAGACUCCCCCUAGCCUCCCAAUCGAGCUCGCAGAGCCCCGGUGCUCGAGAUCGACCGAGGCCCCUCCGCCUCGGAGCUCCGGUCGAUCUCCGGCUACACGCCGGCUCCUGCGCCGCCCGACCACCCAUUGCACUCCACUUGACGCCAGGACCAUUUCCCCCAGCUCCCCCAAGCGAAUCCGUGCCCCUAGCCACUAGCUCGACGCCGACCCGAAACCUUUCUGCCACGAUCACCUCGUCGCCGGCGACCCAGACCACCUCCAGUGACGUCCCGACCACGAGCAGGUAGGCGGAGGAACGAGGGACCCAUUCCCGCUCCUAGAUUGGCCUGAGGGCAACGGUAGCCUCGCCGGCGUCCGUCUCCACCUCUCUGGCUGGAGGUAGGAGAAGGACCCGACAGGUGGAGCCCACCUGUCGGUGUCCUAAGGCAGCCAGCGCGCGCAGCCGCUGACACUGACCCCAGGGGCCCGUAGGUCAGGUUUGAACCUGGCCCGCGCGCGCCUCGUGGCCGGUCUGCUGGCUGGGCCGACUGGGUCUCCCCCCGUGGCCUUUUUCCUUUAUUUUUUAACCUGCAACAUUAAUGUUUUUUAUAAAAAUAUUUAGCCAGUAGAAAAAUAUGAUUCUUCCACCAACAAUUUUCUAAAAAUGUGUAGUAAUUGAUUCUGUAGAGUUUGACAUUUAUCCAAAGCAGAAUCUGUUUUGGUAUAAUAAAAUGAUAUUAAAAGCAUUUGUUUGCUCGUGUUUGCUUUUAAAUAAAUAUGUUUAGCUAAUAAAAACCACAGGAAACAUUUUCCAAAAUAAUAAACUGAAUUUAUUCAAGCUUUGCAACAUUUUUAAAAGCACGUUGUGAUCUGUUUUGGUGUGAGCUAUUAUUUAUUUAUUCCUUUCUCGACGGUAGAGUUACCAAGUGACGGAGGAUCCGGAGCGGAAGACCUCGAAGACCCCGGAUACCUAGCUGACCAAGGCAAGCAGCCCUUUGACCAUGACUUGAGCACAAACAUUGUUACAUGUUAGUAUAGUUGGUAUUUUCCCGUUGCAUGUGAUCAUGAUGCCCGUUCAUCAUUGUGGUGAUGGCACCGGAGGCUUCUUCAAAGCCCUUGCAUGAUAGUAAUGUUAUUCACAUGGCUCCUCGGAGCACAAGCAUGAUGAGCUUGACCCUACCUUCUAUUAGGAUCAUGCUACUGUCAUGCUGACUAGUAGAGUAAGAUCAUUGCAUUGAGCUUGACCCUCCCCCCUGAGGCUCAUGUUAUACCAUGUUGACAAGUAAAGAUAGAGCAUUUUAUCAUGAGCAUGAUGAUGAGUUAAAUCAAAGGGUUUAUGAAAACCCCGUCGGGUGCCACUAAUGCCCGAGGGUGAUGAUGAGUUGGUGAUCACUUUUGGUGAAGUGAUGCACCUGUGUUUUGUGUGAGUAUGAUUUCGGAAAUGGGAUUAGAUUUAUGAUGUGUCGACCGUCCCAAGCUUACCAGUACGACCACGAUACCCCUUUAUGGGACGGGGCUUUGUUGAUUACUUUGGUCGGUACGAGCAAAGAGCCACAUUACUAGUGGCGGGAGUGAUCGGUGUCACUCUCGUGAUGGGGUCGUGCUAGGUAGGACGACUAUGCCAUUAUUAUGAGUUCCAGGCACACUGUUGGUCCCUGCAUGGUUGAUACAGUCCAGAGUCGGUGCUCGUAAGACGUACAACAUGUGGGUUGGGUACCAAUCGAGUGGACCUCUUUGUCUAGUAUCGUCAGGGGAAAGAUGAUGAUCGGGUACUUACCUCGGGUAUAUGUGAUAUACCACGAGUCGUGGAUGACACGGAAGUUUCUCGUGGGUCCAGCGUACUAACUCUGCAGAGUGUCAAACUAUUCGAAUAGCCGUGUCCACGGUCAAGGACAGUUGGGUGGUGCUGCUUAAACUACGUCCAGUGUUUCCGCAUAAACCAAGUGUGUGUGUGUGGUGCUAAAAAGGUGUUGUUAUGAGGAUAAUAAUAUGACCAAGUUCGAUGACUUGGAAUAUAGGAUAAACCCGGGUGGUUUAGCCCUCAUUAAUACAUUGAGGUUAGGACAAGUCCGAUGAUUGGCAUAUAUGGUGAACCCGGAUGGUUCAACCCUUAGCAGAUAUGUUGAUAUCUGUAACCUGUUCUUCAAGAGUAGUUCUUUAACUUGUUGCAUAUACCUGAUCAUUCCACCAAAUUGCAUUCCACCAUAGAUACAUGUUACUAUUAUUCUUCGCUAUCAAUGUUCAUAUCAUGGGCUGUUUGCGAGUACAUUCAAAGUACUCAUUGGCUUGCCACUGGUUAUAUUAUUGACCAGACAUGGAAGGACCGGAGUUUGGCGACGAGUACGCCGUCGGAGACGAACCUUCGAUGUAGGACGCUUCCAAGUCAGAAUGCCUGUCGGUGUAGGCUUGAUGGCCUGGGCACCGCUUAGCCCUUACGAGUUUCCGCUACUCGAUGUAUCUGUUUAAUUUGGCUUUAGGCCUCGCUCUUGAACCCGACCUUCUAGUCGUUUGAUGUAAUAAUUUUGGUGCUUGGAUGUAAGACUCUAUUAUUCAGUAUCUGUGUUUAGUGAACAUUGAUCCUUGGGGUCACUGGGCACGGCGAACUCGACUUUCUAGUCGGUAUCCCCACAUUGAUACACACAAGGUAUUCCUUCGGUGUCAGUGAGUUACAUGAUCUCAUGGUCAUAGGAAUGAAUACUUGACACGCAUAAAACAAUAGCAACAAAAUGACACGAUCACAUGCUACAUUUAUAAUUUGGAUCUUGUCCAUCACAUGAUUCUCCUCAUGAUGUGAUCCCGUUAUCAAGUGACAACACUUGUCUAUGGUCAGGAAACCUUGACCAUCUUUGAUCAACAAGCUAGUCAACUAGAGGCUUACUAGGGACGAUGUUUUGUCUAUGUAUCCACACAUGUAUUUGUGUUUCGAAUCAAUACAAUUAUAGCAUGGAUAAUAAACGAUUAUCAUGAAUGAAGAAAUAUAAUAAUAACUAAUUUAUUAUUGCCUCUAGGGGGUAUUUCCAACAAAUACCAGUCCUGGUUGAACUCGUAGUAGUCCUUGUAAACAGUGUACUCGAGGUACCAGCGAUUUCUAACCUUGUCAAGAGGUCGACCAGAAUGGCCGGGGCCCACUCGCAUCGAUGACCAUAGUGAGGCGUACAAGCUGUCUUGCGGGACGCAUCUGAAACAAGGAGGUUCAAAGAUGUCAAAUGAUAGUGUGUGCAACAUACAUACUUUCAAAAGAAAGAAAAGUAGAUAAGAUGGCUCUCGAAUGGAAAUGAUUACGAGAACCUAAUGUUAGAGUUAGCAAAAUCUUUAACCCAAAAUAGUAGAGAGAUCAGAACCUAGAAUACAGAAGAGGAGUAAAAGAUCCUAAUACCACCCAAUUGAGAUGUGGCCCCGUAAGCUACACAACAAUGUUAGUAAAAAAUCAACUACUAGACUCAACUUCAGCCAAGGAGAUGGAAAGGGGCUACCUACAGGCAGUUCACUCUCAUACCAACUUGUGACACCCCCACCUUAAUCGUAUGUUAAUCAUACAUGCCAAUGCGUACGGUCAAGAUUAGCGACUCACGGGAAGAUAUCGCAACACAACUCUAGACACAAAUUAAAGUCAUACAACUUCAUAUUACAAGGCAGGGGCCUUGAGGGAUCGAAUACAAAUGAGUCAGCGGAAGAAAAUAAUAUCUGGUUACACACAUAGAAAACAAGUUUUGCCUUAAGAAGGAUAGCACAAACAUAACAUAGAUCGAAGAGGCAAGGCCUCCUUCCUAGGAACCUCCUAACUACUCCUGGUCGUUAGUGGCCUCCACUUAGUAGUAGGCUCCGUCAGUGAUCGGGAUAUGUACCUAGGGUAGGGUCAUAGGCCUGACCUACAUGUCCUACCCAUGGGUAGGCCUGGGCGUUCGGUAGAAACCAAAAAUUCGGUUUUUACUGUUCGAUGGUUUUCCAAAAUCAGUUUGCUAGAUCAGAAAAUGAAAAUGGUAGUGUAAAAUUUCUAACCGAUAUUUCGGUUGACCAAAAAGUUCGGUUCGGCUUCGGUGUAUACCGAUGUGACGAGACUUGAAUAGUUGGCUUUCACACGUGGCUUCCAACACACAUGCAUGGCCUAUUAUAUACAAGAUUUGCUACCUACUUCUCCUUAAGAAAAUGAGGUGGGACUAAAAAUGUCCCUUUUGCUGGUCAGCCGCUCUGCAUGAUACCCACUACCCAGAAUAGGUCAAGACAAAUCAAAAGAAAUAAAAAAAAGGAUCCCACUAACGGAGUCAUGCAGGACUUGCAUGCAUGUUGGUUGUAGCGCUGCUUGCAUGCAUGUGGCCGUGCAUGCCGCACGCGAGUGAUUGCAUUUAUUGCGCGGUGUGAGAGCUAAAAGACUAUCUAUGCCAUAGUUCAGUUUUAUUCUGGUUAACCUAAAUAAAAACCAAACCUACCGAACUUAGUUUGGUUAAUGUGUGUAGAAACCGAAUUUUUAUGCAUCAAUGGUAAAAACCGAAAAUUCGUAUCUUUCGUUACGGUUUCGGUUAGGUGUUCGGUUUGCCGGUUUUUAUGCCCACCCCGACCCUUGGGCACAUCAUAAAGGACUUAAAGAUUUCAAGGAAGGUUCCGACUAACUCGCCAUGAGUCACUCGGUAGAGCAUCCACUCAGAGAUUUGCUCUAUCCACUCGACACAAGACUUUCACUCGGAAGAAUAUGAAGCCAGUCGACCGCAAAAGUUCAAAAGUCACUCCACGGAGGCCAAAGAGCAGGCAUUCGGCUGGUCAUCAUAAGUAACAUUUAUUAUGUACGUUAUCAGUAACGCGUAACUUUGUCUUCAUUAAUCAAACCCUUGGUUGCCUCGGCCUUGAGGAGGGCUAACGCACUCUAUAUAAGCCACCCUUCCCCUCUGGCACAAGGGUUCGCACCACCUGUAACACAUACUCCACACGACAAGAGCUCCUGAGCACUGAGACGUAGGGUUGUUACCUCCAAGAAAGGGGCCUAAACUCAUACGUGAUGUGUACAAGCUUGCCGUAGCUAGGACUCUACCCUCUCCUUUCGUACCCCUCACCUCUACUGUCAGGUUCAUUCCCACGACAGUUGGCGCCCACCAUGGGGCAGGCGUCUAAGCGACUUCGGCAAGUUUGCGAUUUUUAUUCUCCGUCAUGCCUUCCUGUGGCGAUUCGUUCUUGGGAUGCGAGAUCCGUCUCGGCGUGCUCGUCUUUGUUGCCGAUGACUCGGCAUGCUUCAGGAAGCGCCUCGCGAGAGGCGCUCCCGAUCCGCGGGGCAAUGAACUCCGUGCAAGUUCCUAUGGUGUUCUCCUUCGGCAGCCAUCGACCCUGGUGUCCACCGUUCUCCCCACUGAUCGUCGCCACAAGUGAUCCAGUCGCUCGAGACUCCACUGAUGGGUGAAGCACGUGGUGGCUCGCCAGGCAUCGUCUCCGUAGAUUGUGGCAAUCGAGCCCGUUGAAUCACUUCGUGGCUUGUUUGACUUGGCGCGAGAUUAGUAUGAUGUCCCUUCCGAGUAAGAGAGCUGCAAUCCUGCACUAGAGGUCUUCAUGGCAGGUUCUUUGGAGAGCCCUCCUGGGUUUGGACACGCUGGACGCGAGGCUGGAGAGCCUUCGAAUGGACACGCCCGCCAACGUCCUCCCGCUUCCAGUCGACGUCAGCAAUAGCUAUUUCCGAGUGGACCAUAAAACAACGUUGAGGUAUUUCGUACUCCGGUUCAAAAUGUUGUAGCUGCCGCUAAUAUAGAAGAUUCUAUUCUAGCGUCAAACUCAGAGGCUGGCACAGGCUUAGAGCAGAUUCGUACAUUGCUUCAAGCAGCACAACAGCAAAACUCAGUCGUAUCCUAAUCACUCAAUAGAUUGCACAGUAAUUCACCCAGAGAAGAUACUAUUCAUUUGGUUUAUAGUCCAGGGUCACCUCAGCAUCGCAGAGACGGAGGGUACCAAGAGGAUCGGCAUGGAGAUCAGGGGUGAAAUCAGUUUGCUCCACGUUACCACCGUGAUGACCGCCAUCGGGUGCAUUCUCCCCCACGGAGUGGUUCUUAUGUGUCCCGACACUACGACGAUAGGCGCCUGUUCGGUGAUUAGCGGAGUCCUGGGUUCGACUCGAGGAAUGUACUCACACAAAGGCGGAUUGACAGGGGCAGACCUCACAAAGAUGGUUUUGACGGAGAUCCUCCGAGUGGAAGUGGCACCAUGGUCUCCGGACGCGAGUGUUUUAGAUAGCAAUUCAUUCUGCUGAUAUUCCCCCAACUUCCGGUUGGCGGCUGGAAUAAGUAAAUUAUAGGAGAAUCUAAGACUAAAACAUGGCUCGAUGAUUACCAAAUGGCAGUGCAGAUUGGCGGAGGUAACGAAAAUGUUGCCAUGAAGCAUUUGUCUCUGAUGUUGGAUGGUUUGGCCAGGGCGUAGCUGGAUCUGUUGUCUCCUUCUAGCAUCUAUUGCUGGGAGGAUCUCGUCCGAGUGUUCAUCUAAACAUUCGAGGGCACGUGCAAGCGCCCUGCUGAUUUGACCGAGUUGUAGCAUUGCGUGCAGAAUCCGAAUGAGUCCUUGAGAGAUUAUAUCCAACAUUGGACCACCCUUCAUCAGUCUGUGGAAAACGUUUCUGAGAACCAGGCGGUCUACGCUUUCAAGGCUGGUGUCACGAACAAAGAACUAUAUCUGAAGUUCGAUCAGAGAGGUGACAUGUCCAAGAGCAAGAUGAUGGAGAUUGUUGCCCGAUACACUAAUGGUGAAGAAGGAGACCGCCUCCGCAGCGGUAAGAGAAAAGCAGUUGACAAUGAUGAUGGCGGCAAUUCCAAUCGGAAACAGAAGCGCAAGGCUGAUUGUUCCGCUCUGGCAGAAGCAGCCGCCCUGGCGGCACAAGGAAAGUUCAAGGGAAAGGCCAAAGGGAAAUUUCCUCCCAAAAAGUCGAAGAAUCAGUCAGAUGUCCUAGAUUUACCGUGUGCAAUCCACGCGAAGAAAGAUCCAGCCAGGGCGUGGCUGGAUCUGUUGUCUCCUUCUAGCAUCUAUUGCUAGGAGGAUCUCGUCCGAGUGUUCAUCUAAACAUUCGAGGGCACGUGCAAGCGCCCUGCUGAUUUGACCGAGUUGUAGCAUUGCGUGCAGAAUCCNNNNNNNNNNNNNNNNNNNNNNNNNNNNNNNNNNNNNNNNNNNNNNNNNNNNNNNNNNNNNNNNNNNNNNNNNNNNNNNNNNNNNNNNNNNNNNNNNNNNNNNNNNNNNNNNNNNNNNNNNNNNNNNNNNNNNNNNNNNNAUUGCGUGCAGAAUCCAAAUGAGUCCUUGAGAGAUUAUAUCCAACGUUGGACCACCCUUCAUGAGUCUGUGGAAAACGUUUCUGAGAACCAGGCGGUCUACGCUUGCAACGCUGGUGUCACGAACAAAGAACUAUAUCUGAAGUUCGGUCGGAGAGGUGACAUGUCCAUGAGCAAGAUGAUGGAGAUUGUUGCCCGAUACACUAAUGGUGAAGAAGGAGACCGCCUCCGCAGCGGUAAGCGAAAAGCAGUUGACAAUGAUGAUGGCGGCAAUUCCAAUCGGAAACAGAAGCGCAAGGCUGAUUGUUCCGCUCUGGCAGAAGCGGCCGCCCUGGCGGCACAAGGAAAGUUCAAGGGAAAGGCCAAAGGGAAAUUUCCUCCCAAAAAGUCAAAGAAUCGGUCAGAUGUCCUAGAUUUACCGUGUGCAAUCCACGCGAAGAAAGAUGAAGAUGGCAAUUUGAUAUUGCCCAAACACACUACUAGUUAGUGGAAACUGUUGAUCCAACAGUUCAAAGAAGAUCCGUCAAGUGAGAAGACUCCUGAGAAGGAGGAUGUAGAAGAUAAAGCUGAUUUCCGAGAGGUCAAUGCUACUCUGAUGAUUUUUUCUGAUGUAGAGAGCAAAAGCUGGUUGAAGGUCAUUAACAAAGAGGUCAACAUGGCAGUUCCGACCACCCCAUCAUACCUCAAGUGGUCUCAGACUCCCAUAGCAUUUGAUCAAUCGGAUCACCCUUCUCAUCUCGCUACCCCGGGUCGACAAGCUUUGGUGGUAGACCCAGUAGUGGGAGGCGUUCAUCUUUGCAAGGUUUUGAUGGAUGGAGGGAGUGGUUUGAACAUUCUGUAUGCAGAUACCCUUAAGGGAAUGGGCAUUUCGAUGUGCCAACUGAGUGAAAGCAAUAUGCAGUUCCAUGGGGUCAUCCCUGGGAAAAAGGCCAGGUCACUCGGCCAGAUUGCGCUAGAAGUGGUAUUCGGCACGCACGAGAACUUUCACAAGGAGAAGCUAACGUUCGAAGUUGUGGACUUUCAGAGUGCCUACCAUGCCAUCCUUGGCUGCCCAGCUUAUGCACGUUUCAUGGCAUGCCUAGGUUAUGUGUAUCUCAAGAUGAAGAUGUCAGGGCCCAAGAGCGUCAUCAUAGUCACAUGCAAUCGGCAGAGAGCUGAAGAGUGCAUACAACAAGGCUCCAAGAUCGCUGAUCAGCAGAUGGUUGUGGUUGAGGUGGAGGAAUAUUGGAAGACCACUGAUCCUAUCGACCUGAUGUGCUGCAAGAAGCCCGCUUCUAAGUCUGCUUUUCACUCGGUGGGUGAAGUAAAAUAAGUGAACAUCCACCCGACAGAUCCUGAUGCUGCCCCGACCAACAUGUCGACAACACUCGACAACAAAUAUGAAGCCGAGCUCAUCCAGUUCCUCCGUGAGAACUGGGACAUCUUUCCAUGGAAGCCUGCUGACAUGUCGGAUGUGCCCAAGGAACUGGCUGAGCACCGACUGAGAGUGGAUCCAAAGGCAAAGAUGCCAAAGAGCAUUUGUGUCGGUCCGCACCAGAGAAACGGAAAGCAAUCAACGAGGAGGUGGCUCGACUCUUGGAGGCAAAGUUCAUACGCAAAGUUUACCACUCCGAGUGGCUCGCAAACGUCGUCAUGGUCCCCAAGAAGACAAAUUUCUUCGUAUGUGUAUCGAUUUCAAGAAUAUCAAUAAGGUUAUUGCGGGGUGUGAGUGUUUAUCUUUUCUUGAUGCAUACUCUGGUUACCAUCAGAUCCGUUUGUCUGGUCCAGAUGAAAUAAAAACGUCCUUCAUCACCCCUUUCGGGUGUUUCUGCUAUAUCACCAUGCCUUUUGGUUUGAAAACUGCUGGCGCUACUUUCAUGCAUAUGAUUGAGAAGUGCCUACUUGAUCAAAUCAGUCGGAAUGUCGAAGUCUAUAUGGAUGAUAUCGUAGUCAAGUCUCGCAAAGGUUCCAACCUGUUGACUGACUUGGCAGAAACAUUCGCCAAUAUGAGAAAAUAUGAUAUCAAGUUGAAUCUAGCUAAGUGCACUUUUGGAGUUCCUGGCGGCAAGUUACUCGGUUUCCUCAUUUUCGAAGAUGAGGUCGACAUCAACCCCGAGAAGAUCAGCACCAUUGUACGAAUGAAAAUCCAUGUGCGUGUGCAUGAUGUCCACAGGCUCACAGGCUGCCUGGCGGCGUUGAGUCGGUUUAUUUCUCGCCUCGGUGAGAAGGCAUUACCUUGGUAUCGACUCAUGAAGAAGCCAGAUGUGUUUGAGUGGACUGAUGAGGCAGAAGCAGCGUUUGUCGAGCUAAAAGCUCUGCUUUCCACCCAGCCGGUGCUUGUUGGUCUGCACAGCCAAGAACACCUCCUCUUAUACAUCGUAGCUACAAUCCAAGUCGUCAGCAUAGUUCUAACUAUAGAGCGUGAAGAAGAGGGCAAGGCUUACAAAGCUCAACAUCUGGUAUAUUAUAUUUCUAAAGUGUUAACUCCUUCGAAGUAAAGGUACCCCCAUUAUCAGAAGCUUCUCUAUGGCAUAUAUGUAUCCGCGAAGAAGGUGGCACACUACUUUCAAGAUCACUCAGUCUCAAUCGUCACCGAUGCUCUGUUGUCUGCGAUCCUCAACAACCGAGACAAAGCUGGUCGAGUGACCAAAUGGGCCAUUGAACUCUUAUAUUUUGAUAUCAAAAUUGAAGCAAAGAAAGCAAUCAAGUCUCAAGCGCUUAUUGAUUUCAUGGCCGAGUGGGUGGAAUAGCAACAGCCAACUCAAAUUCACUCGCCACACUAGACCAUGUUCUUUGAUGGUUCUAAAAUGUUGAAUGGGUCUGGUGCCGGCGUGGUUUUGGUAUCUCCAAAAGGUGAAAAGCUCAGCUACAUGUUCCAGAUUCACUUUGAUUCCUCCAAUAAUGAAGCUGAAUACGAGGCCCUCCUCUACGGGCUACAUAUGGCCAUCGCCCUCGGUGUCCGACGCCUGAUGGUAUACGGUGACUUGAAUUUCGUGGUCAAUCAAGUGAUGAAAGAAUGGGAUGUCAGGAACCCUGCCAUGUCCGGUAUUGAAUGCAGGAAGAAAGCUGUAGAAGAAGUUUGAAGGUUUGAAACUUCAUCAUAUUCCCCGAGUGAAAAAUCAAGAAGCUGACAACCUUGCCAAGAUUGGAUCCACUCGGAAACCUGUACCCCAUAAUGUGUUUCUGGAACACUUAUAUUCUCCUUCAGUACAAGAAGAUCCUUCACUCAAGAGCCCCCACAAGCGAUAAGCACUUCCAACCCGACUGAGGUUGAUGUUCUAGCUAUUAUUGAUCUAGUCAUGGAGAUUCUAGUAAUUACGCCCGAUUGGACAGUUCCACACAUUGCAUAUAUAUUGAGGCAAGAACUCCGAGAAGAUGAGGUUGAAGCUCGACAGAUUUUCUACAUAUCCGAAGCAUUUACCAUAAUGAACGGACAACUUUUCACACUAAGUGUGACUAGCGUAGCUCAGCGGUGCAUCUCUCCUAAAGAAGGUCGAUUGAUUCAGGAUGAAAUCGACUAGGGGACCUGUGGUCAUCAUACGUCCUCUUGCACAAUUGUUGCCAAAGCAUACUGAGCUAGCUUUUUCCGGCCACAUGCCAAUGAGAUGGUCAAGGAAAUCAUGGAUCGCUGCGAAAGAUUCCACUUUUACUCCAAUUUAUCAUAUAAACCCACAUCGGCUCUGAAGACUAUUCCACUCGUCUGGCCGUUUGUUGUGUGGGGUCUAGAUAUGGUCGGUCCUCUCCAAACAGACUAGUGUCGAUUUACUCAUUUGCUUGUGGCAGUCGACAAGUUCACCAAGUGGAUCGAAGCCAAACCUGUAAAGAAGCUGGAUUCUCGCACUGCUAUCAUGUUCAUAAAGGAAAUAACAUUCUGAUAUGGAGUGCCCCACAGUAUUAUCACAGACAAUGGUUCUAACUUAGACUUGGAAGAAUUCGGAUACUUUAAAUCCGCCCAAGCCACUCGGGUUGAUUACACGUGUGUCACGCACCCCCAAACUAAUGGUCAAGCAGAGCGAGAGAAUGGUCUUAUCCUUCAAGGGAUGAAACCUCGACUCAUGCGAGAUUUCGAACAUGCAGCUGGAGCUUGGGUUAUUGAACUAUGCUACUGCAACAAAAUACCUUCCAACGGUGCCAGAAACAAGCAUGCUGACGGGAGACUAUUCUUGUCCUGAUACUCCUCAGCAACGGCACCAGGAAUCCUUCUGCUACGGCUACGCCUUUAGGGACUUCCUAGGAAAAUAUGCAAAGGAUUCCCCCGUGGCCUUGGAGCCUUGCGUUGGUGUUCCCUCGAAGUGGAAAGGGUGAUGUAGCAUAGUGGUGGUAAGUAUUUCCCUCAGUUUUGAGAACCAAGGUAUCGAUCCAGUGAAGGAAUAUCACAAGCACCUGCACAACACAAAGAGCUUGCUCCCAAUGCUAUGAAGGGUUUGUCAAUCCCUUAUAGAUUGUUUGCCAAGUGAGAACUUAAAGUAAAAAAGAAAAAAAGCAAAGUAAAAGCGAAAGUGGAAACGAUAGGUGUGAAUAGACCCGGGGGCCGUAGUGUUCAAUAGUGGCUUCUCUCAUGAAAGCAAGUAGACGGUGGGUGAACGAAUUACUGUCGAACAAUUGAUAGAACCGCGCAAAGUCGUGAAGUUAUCUAUGGCAAUGAUUAUAUCUAUAGGCAUGACGUCCAAAAUAGGUAGACCGAUACUUUCUGCAUCUACUACUAUUACUCCACACGUCGACCGCUAUCCAGCAUGCAUCUAGUGUAUUAAGUUCAUGAGAACAGAGUAACGCCUUAAGCAAGAUGACAUGAUGUAGAUGGACAAUCUCAUAUCUACGAUAAAAGCCCAUCUUGUCACUGGGAAAGGUCACCACACGGUAUGAACCCAAAACCAAGCACUUCUCCCAUUGCAAGAAUCAUAGAUCUAGUUGGCCAAACAAAACCCAAGACUCGGAGAGACUUACAAGGAUAUCAAAUCAUGCAUAUAAGAAAUCAGCAAAGACUCAAGUAAAUAUCAUAGAUAAUCUGAUCAUAAAUCCACAAUUCAUCGGAUCUCGACAAACACACCGCCAAAGAGGAUUACAUCGGAUAGAUCUCCAUGAAGAUCAUGGAGAACUUUGUAUUUAAGAUCCAACAGAGAGAAGAAGCCAUCUAGCUACUAACUACGGACCCGUAGGUCUGAAGUGAACUACUCACGAGUCAUUGGAGGGGCGAUGAUGUUGAUGAAGAAGCCCUCCAACUCCUAAAUCCCCUCCGAUAGGGCACCGGGAAGGGUCUCCAGAUGAGAUCUCACGGAAACGGAAGCUUGCGGUGGCGAAAAAGUGUUUUCAUGGACGCCCUGAUUUUUUCUGGAUUUUUAGAGAAUUUAUAGGCCAAAGACCUAGGGCAGGGGAGCGCCAGCGCGGCCACAAGCUUGGUUGCCGUCGCCUCCCCCCUCGCCGCGGCAACAGGGCUUGUGUGCCCCCUAUGGGCCCACUUGCUUGGCCCUCAAGCCUCCCGAUCUUCUUCCGUUCUGGAAGAAUUCAUUUCGGGGAUUUUAUUCCAUUCCAAAAUUAGAUCUGAAAAGAGUCAAAAACACAGAAAAACAGGAACUGGCACUUGGCACUGAGUUAAUAAGUUAGUCCAAAAAAAGAUAUAAAAGGUAAACAAAACAUCCAAAGUUGACAAGAUAACAGCGUGAAACCAUCAAAAAUUAUAGAUACGUUUGAGACGUAUCAAACUACCAUCAGUUCUAUGGGGCUUGAGAAUGACACCCAAUCGGUCGACUGGACGCACUCCCUUCUUCUUGGUUUACGGAGCCGAAUCUAUUUUACCGAUUGACCUUCUUCACAAUUCUCCUCGAGUGGAACCUUAUUCUGAUGCUGAGGCUGAACACGCGUGACAAGACGGCAUAGACCUUCUGGAAGAAGAAUGCAAACUGGCUCUGAUUAGGUCGACAGUCUACCAACAGGAUAGGCGCCAUUUUCAUGCAAGAAAUGUUAGGAGCUGGUCAUUUCACGAAGGUGAUCUGGUGCUCCGAGUGGAUCAGCAAUGGCCACACAAGCUCGCCCCCGCAUGGUAAGGACCUUUCGUCAUUACCAAGGUGUUGAACAAUGGAGCCUACCACCUCUUCAAUCUCAAUAAGAGAAUCGACAAACCACGUGCGUGGAAUGCAGAUUUGCUGCGACAAUUUUACCCUUAACGAUUGUGCGAUUCGAUGUAAUGAGGAUGUACUAAACAAUGUUCUUAUCAAAGUUAUGACUCCUGCUAUCUUUGCCGAUUCUGAUUGUGCAAUUUCAAAUUCAAAAAUACUACGAGUGGCGAGCAAUCCUCUCACUCGGGGGCUUAGCUGCGAACAAGAUUUCUCUUAAAUGUCGAAACAUACUCCCAGUGGCAAGCAACCCUCACACUCGGAGGCUUAGCUGCGAAUCAGUCGCCUAAGUUAACACAUACUCUGAGUGGUGAGUAAUCCUCACACUCGGGGACUUAGAUGCGAAAAAUAUUUUUCCUAAGUGUCGAAACAUAUUCGAGUGGCGAGCGACCCUCACACUCGGAGGCUUAGCUGCGAAUCAAUCGCCUAAGUUAAAACAUACUCUGAGUGGUGAGUAAUCCUCACACUCGGAGCCUUAGCUGCUAACAAGAUUUUGCCUAAGUGUUAAAAUGUACUCCAAGUGGUGAGGAAUUCUCUCACUCGGGGCCUUAGUUGCAAAUAAGAUUUCGCCUAAGUGCGAAAACAUACUCCGAGUGGUGAGCAAUCCUCUCAAUUGGGGGCUUAGCUGCGAACAAGAUUUCGCCUAACUGUUAAAACAUAAUCCGAGUGGUGAGAAAUCCUCUCACUCGGGGGCUUAGCUAUGAACAAGAUUUCGCCUAGGUGUCCAAACAUACUCCGAGUGGCGAGAAAGCCUCUCACUCGGGGGGUUAGCUGCGGAUCAAUUGCCUAAGUUAAAACGUACUCCGAGUGGCGAGAAAUCCUCCCACUCGGAGACUUAGCUGCGAACAAGAUUUCGCCUAAGUCUCUACAAACAUUCCGAGUGGCGACCAAUCCUCACACUCGGGGGCUUAAAUGUGAAUCAGUCACCCAAGCUAAAAAACAUACUCAGAGUGGUGAGUACAAGUCUUCUCUUAAGAGAAGUUGCCCCGAGCAAUGAACGUUUGGUUCAUUAGGAAACAAAAUAAAUUCAAUCGGGAAAAAGAUUGGAAAGCCCAAUGCAGAUAAAACUCAAGAUCUCCAGCUCAGGUUAAAGCUGUCUUCAUGAACGAAAGUACUCAGACUUAAGGCCCGAACGAAGUUUUAAUCAGUUACACCAUCUCUCGGCAUACCGAGGCCAAGUUUAGUCAAGACGCGCUAGGACUCGCGGGCUCGACGAAGGUGUCCAAGUCAAUCCCAUCAGCAAUACGGGUAGCCGCGUCGAUGAAGGUCUCCAUGAAGUUCUCAAACUUAAGCUUCUUCGUGUUGGCCACCUCGAGCGCCUUCAGCUUUUCCUCUUUAGCCUCCUUAACAUGGAACCGAACGAGUGAAAGAGCCUCAUCGGCUCCACAACGUGUGGCGGAUUUCUUCCAAGACUGCACUCGAUCCGGGAUCUGGUUAAGGCGGCUCAUCAUUGAUUCAAGAUUGGUUUGGAGAGUUUCUUCUAGCCACAGCUCCUUGUCAAUCCUCUCCACGGAGGUUCUCAGUCGGGUAACAUAUUCUUGAACUUUCUUGAGGAAAGCGCCGACACGGAACAUAUUCGUGGACACCACAUCUCCAAUGGGUGACUAGACAUGGUCAACAUUCGGCUCGAGCUCUUCGGUUUUCUUGUCGAAGUCCUGACAAAAGUCUGAACAAAGGGUAAACGAAGAGUGAGUCGCAUUUUCAUUCAGCAAAACUGGAGGAAAUCCACUCGGUGGAAGAAAAUUACAGGUGAGCAUGCCGAACAUCUUCUUUUCGAAGUUGCCCAAUUAGUUCUCCAAUCCGUUCCUUCUUUUGGUCAUCUAUUCCAGCUUCUUGCUCCACUCGGGCCGUUCUUGCUUCAGUUUGGUAUUCUCCUCCUCCAGUUUACCGACUGCGGCGAGCUUCUUUUCCACGGCCUCUGUUUUCUCCUUAGCUUCACCGAGUGUUUUGUCCCUGUCUUCAAGAGCCUGCUACAGGUGGUUAAGAUCAUUCGUGGUCACCUCCAAGUCCACCUGGAAUUGGUUCUUCUCCUUUUCCAAGUUUAUGUACUUGGUUCCAAGGUCAUAGGAUUUCUGAAAUCAUCAAACAAGUAAUUCAGUCGACACUAGUAUUUCUCCAUUCCCGAGUGAAUAAUAACAAUUCAAUCGACUAGAUAGCGGCCCGCUGCCCCACCACACACCCCUACAAAGCGUCAUAUCAUGGUUGAUGGAAAUUAUAUCCAUGAAACCAGCAAGAUAAAUCUUGCUGGUUCAGACCUUUCCAUUCGCUUGACAGACCGAGUGAUAAAAGCACUCAAGUACAAAAAGGACCCCGAGUCCAAGUUCUUAAGACUACUCCCAUCAUACACGAUCGACACUAGUCUCGAGGACUACACCCUGCGGGUGCAUUUAGCUUGCCCCCACUGGACACGACCCCAAUCGACCAGGUCCGGCCUGGCCGAGAAAAAAACAGAGAUAAAGCAAAUAUCCAAAAUUUUCUCAAUCGGACCCCCGGCCGUGCAAGCACUCGACGAUGGUCUCGGGGACUACAGCCAAUGGGUUCACUCAGCGUUCCCCCACUGGACUUAUCGUCACUCGCGCAGGUCUUCCCUGUUAAGUGUUAUCCAUUAUCGAAAACCAAUCAAAGACCCUUGCCGAUGUCACCGUCAUUCGACAACGGUCUUGGGGACCCAGUGGGUGCACUUAGCGUGCCCCCACUGGAUAAAAAACAAGCAUGUAUGCACCGAUAGAAAACACCCAGUGGGUGUGAAGUCAAGAUGGACAAAAUGCAAUCGGAAAUGAACUUACAAUCCCACUUACUCGGACAUUAGCACGAAGUGCCGAGCUGGCGUCAUACGCCAACCUGUUGGAUUCACACACCUCCUUGGUUUGCAUCAUCAUCUGCUCUGCCUGGAUCAUGGCCUCCUUCCCGGCUCCAGUUUGGUCUUCUGGAACAUGUUGUACAGUGAAGGCAGACAUUGGACGAGUCGGCACAAUGGCUGAGGUCACAAGAGUGACUGGAGGUUUUUCAAUGGACGUAGGAGUCACAACAGACAAAGUCACUGGAAGGGUACUCGACGGUAGGAUCUCGAGCCCGGUGUUCACUCGGGAUAGAUCUCCAAGUUCCAGAGGAAAUUCAGUAGUCGACCGGCGUGGUUCUUCAUCAUCUUCUAGAUAGAUGUCGUCAGCAGAUGUCAGUCAGUAACUUGAGUCGGUCCAACCGACCAAUUUUAUCCAGAAAACAUAAUAGAAUGAAGAUUUAUUAUACCUCGUUGGGAGGUGACCACGUCUGCAGCUUCCAAGUCCAUGGGAUCCUCUUCAUAUCCAGGAGGUGAUGUCACCGAGGUAGCAGCUCUGGCAAGAAAAUUCCACUCGCACGUCAAAGGCAUGGAAUUUCAUAACGAAAAAACAAAGAAAGAGGUAAACACUCACGCUAAAGCGACUGGCACAACAAUCCUCAUUCGGGGCAGAGCCUUCCGAAGCUUGGGAGCGUCAGGUUUGGGCUGUUUUGCAGGCUUCUUUCCCGACUCAGUUGUUGUGGUUCGUUCAUGCUUCACAUUCGUAGUGCUUGACACGAGGGUCUUGCUUGGGGUAGCUGCUGGAUCUUGGUGAUGCUUGGAUCGAGACUCCUUGCGCGGGGAGACUAAACCUCUUCCUCACUCUCCUCCAAGUCAUCUUCACUUCCCUCGCUGUCCUCGGCAUAGUCAUUAUUCGUGCUGCCACCUUGACUCUCCGCACCGGCAUCAAGUUGCUCCCCAUUCGGCGCGGGUGAAUACAUGUUUGUCAAUCCUAAAAUAUAUAAAAGCAGCAAAGUCAGUCAGCUGGAGAUUCAAUCACUCGACAAAGAUACGAAAGUAAUCAACAAGGGAAUAACUCACCAUGUUCGGCGGUUUGUUCGCACAGAGAAGGGCAAAACCCAUUUGGCUCCUAGAAGAUUGUCGCAGGCCCAAGUGAUGCCUCUAAGCCACAGUUUCUAUGGAUACCUCCUCCGGGUGCGACCGAAUGGAAUCCUCAGGGCCAGAAUAAUGCCACAUGGGGUUAUCUCUCGCUUGGAGAGGUUGGAUACACCGACUGAGGAAUGUCUCAAGCAGAUCCAUUCCAAUCACUCUGCCACGGAUUAAAUCUACCAAUGCAUUCACCAGAAUCCCUGCCUGGACCAUUUCCCCCUCUAACACGUGUCAACGUUCUGGGAGAAGCAGGUCGCUCCAAUGUAAAGGGAGGAAGAGCAGCUGACUUAUUCGGGGCUGCGACGUCUUUGCAGUAAAACCAGGUCGAUUGCCAGCCUCGGACGGAUUCAGGGAGGGUCAUUUAUGGAUACGCACUCUUACUCCUCUUCUGGAUCCCCAAACUCCCCCCACACAGUUGGAUGACAUUGGUUCUACUAUCCUUGGGUUUGGCCCUCUUAACCGACUUGGAACGAAUAGUGAAGAUAUACUUGAACAGUCUCCAAUGAGGAGAACAGCCCAAGAAACACUCACAUAAUGUUAUGAAUGCAGCAAGAUGUGCAAUAGCAUUCGGAGGAAGGUGAUGGAGUUGGGCACCGAAAACGUUCAAGAACCCGCGAAUGAAUGAGUGGGGAGGCAAAGAAAAACCUCGCUCUACGGGGAUGGUGAGGAGGAAUCUCUCACCUUCGCACGGCUCCGACUCGACUUACCCCUAUGGUAACCUCCAGGAAUUGGUGGCUAUCAAUCCGUCGUCGACGAGGUUGAAGACAUCAACCUCCUUGACAGUUAACGGGAGAAAAUCCCCCUAGAUCUAGCUCGGCGGCACCGCAGCUCGAGCGCUCGACGGUUUCUUGGCGCUGGCUCCCUUCUUGGCCCGCUCAAGUUUCCUCGUCUUCGAUUUCUUUAAUAUGACAGUGGUGGCAGGGAUGGAUCUAGGCAGAGAUCGACAGACAGAAGAGAUGGAGAAAAUGAGGAGAUUAAGAAGGAGCAAUGUUCCAACCCUAGCACCGGCUCGUUUUAUAACCGCCCGAGUGAGUCACUGACCUAUGGCGCAGAUCUCUGUAUAUCCCGAUAUCACAGGGAGCACGAUACGUGGCGAUAAGGCCGGCGUGAUAAUCAAGGCGGCGGGCUUUCAUUUACCCCGGUUAUUGCGUCAUCACCGUGCGGCGCGCGCUUACCAAAUUUUCGAAUCCCAUGGAAUCCGGGCCUAACAAAGCGGUCUGUCACAUCGAAAGGUCAUGUUGAACACUCGGACCAGUUUUCACUUUCAAAUUCACUCGGAAGUAUUUCAAGACAAAACUGAUCAGGGUGAAUGGACAAUAUUUUAAUAGACGCCCAUUUCUGCCAAGCCUUGAUAUGCAUUCGAAGUUUGGCAUGUUCCACAAAAUCUACAUCGACCCCUUUCCACUCGAACCUCGAUCCAUUCGGGGGCUAAUGAUGAGGAUAUGUACCUAGGGUUGGUCAUAGGCCUGAUCUACAUGUCCUACCGAAGGGCACAACAUUAAGGACUUCAAUAUUUCAAGGAAGAUAUCGACUGACUCGCCAUGAGUCACUCAGUAGAGCAUCCACUUGGAGAUUUGCUCUAUCCACUCGACAGAAGACUUCCACUCGGAAGAAUAUGAAGCCAAUCAACCGCAGAAGUUCAGAAGUCACUCGAGGGAGGCCAAACGGCAGGCAUUCAGCUGGCCAUCAUAAGUAACAUCUAUUAUGUACGUUAUCAAUAAUGCGCACCUUUGUCUUCAUUACUUGAACCAUUGGUUUCCUCGGCCUUGAGGAGGGGUAGCGCCCUCUAUAUAAGCCACCCCUCCCCUUUGGCACAAGGGAUCGCACCCCCUGUAACACAUACUACACACGAAAAGAGCUCAUGAGCAUUGAGACGUAGGGCUGUUACCUCCACGAGAGGGGCGUGAACUCAUAAAUCGUGUGUACAAGCUUGUCGUAGCUAUGACUCUACCCUCUCCUUUCGUUUACCUCACCUCUACUGUCACAUUCAUACCCACGACAGUCGGGGUAAUACUCGUCGACGGGAUCAGCCAUCUCGAGGGCUCCGUCAUCUAUUCGCCGCAAUCGUAUCGAGAGGAAAAGGGGAGAAAAGCAACAGUGAGUACUCAUACAAAGUACUCGCAAGACUAACAUCAAAACUAUGCUAAGUAUGCAUCAUUAUGAAAGGAAUGGGCAAAUAUCUUUCGAGUGACUGCAGAAAUACCACAAUAGAGGAGGAAGACCUGGUCCUACCGAAGACUAGCAUCUUGAGUGUCUUGAAGCAUUAUAAGAGUGUAGAUGAGUAGCACAUAUGUAAUACUUAUGUUGCAGCAAGUUUAUUAAGUAUGCCCAGAGAUCCUUCCUCGACUCCCUGCAAGAAAGCAAUCUCAGAGCCAACAUUUUGAUUUAAUUCACAAUUCUAGUUGUAAUAGAUUGGGAUACAACUCCAAGUCAUCCUACUAUCAUGGACACGACUAUUCAAAUAGUUCAAUCAUCCUUGUAGGGGUGCACCACAUUUCCCAACACGCUCGAUCAACUCUGGCCGGACACACUUUCCUAGGUCAUACCCGGCCUCGGGAGAUCAACAUGUUGUAGCCCUACCUAGGCUCAACAGAAAGGCCAGGCCGUCGGUCUAAAUCCUAAGCACGCAGGGGUCUUGGGCCCAUCGCCCUUUGCACUGUUGCAUGUUAUGUGGGCGGCCGAGAUCAGUCCUCGCACCUCUUGUACAAGAUCAAUGCUUACGUGGACAACUUCGACGCGCGCCUCUCCAAUGCUGAAGUCCGAAGAGUUUCAGUUGAUACAACGAUGCUGAGUGCCCAUAACUGUCCCGGCGUGAAGGUUGGUGCAAAAAGGUUAAUCAACCAACUCAGAUGAAAUACCCAAUGGCAUUAAUGUUUUGUUCACCGUGGUGCUGAUCAUUGAUCCACGAUAUGUGGUCCUGUCGCCCUGUCUCGAGGACAUGUGGCAAGGGCCAAGAAUGCCUGGCCACACCUCGUCACAACCACACGGAAAUCCACCUGCACCACCCUUCUCAUCAUGUUCUAGUAGUAAAGUUAAAGUAACUAUGUGUCUAUAACAUUAGAGGAAUCCGAGGUAUCACCCUCGAUGGAUUCCAAUCGAUGUAACCGUCAAGGUGACCAAGGAGGAAUCACCCUCGAUGGUUCAUGCUUGAGGGGUUGCUCGACAGAGUUGUUAUCGGAAGUGGUGAAGGAGGAAUCACCCUCUGUAAUCCACCUUCGGUUAACUACUACACUACAGGGUUAACUUCAGGAUACAUUACAAGGUAUCACCCUCGAUACUCGAUAAUAGUACUUCAGAGUCAUACAACUAAGGGUAUGAGGUGAUGUGACGGGUCAUGGCUUGUCGAUCGGUUGGUCAAGUCUUCGAGUCUUCAAGUCACCGAGUCUUCGAUAAUGAAGCUCGGGCAACUGCGACUAAGUGGGGUCACUAGGGGGUUGCUUGCAUUGUUGCUCUGCUGCAAACGGCUGGUCAUCAAGGCCGUUACCGUACCCAGCAAUAGUAUCAACUUCACCAUCUACCAAAGAGAAGAGGGGGGAGAAACAAUAAAUAAGAGCAAGCAGAUGCAUCAUGAUGGACGACAUGGCAAUAUGCAGUGCAAGGGAUGAGCUAUCGCAGUACCACACAUCAUGGACGUAGUGGGAAAAUAUCUGACAGUAUUUCCCAGGUCUUUGGCUACUACUGGGCUGGUGAUACUCACGCCAACAUGUCCAUGUUCAUCAUGCUAUAAGCAUGUGACAAAUGAACGGACAACGUAUUUGGAUUCAUGGGAUUUUUGUAAGCAACUUUCAUAUAUAGAUUACUUUCAUCUGACUUAUAGACUAUUUUAAAUGGUUUCCCCAAGUUUUAAAUCAUUUUAAGAAAUUAUCAGAAUUAUUCUAAUUUAAAAAGUCUUUAUUGCAUCAACAUGACAUUAUGAUGAUGUCAGCAUUCAACAAGGUUGUUGACUAGUCAAACUGUCAACUUGACCCCACGUGUCAUAGACAAAGGCUAAUUCGAGGGUUUAUUUUAUCUAAUUAACUAAUCUAAUUACUAAGGCCCCACCUGUCAGUGUUUUUAAUUUAGUUUACUUAGUUUAAUUAAUUUAACAUAUUAAUUAGUAGGGGGUCCAUGAGUCACUGACUCAGAUUGCCUAGUGUGCACUUGACCAUGGUCAACCUAGUCAACUAGGGCCCUUUGGCCCACUAGCAGAGGCACUGCGGGUGGCUCCAGCGGAGCAAUGUCGGCAACACCGACCGGAGUAGCGCCGAUGACCAAAAAUGCGGCGGAGGGGCGCCGGACUUGCCGGAAUUCACCCACAAAGGCCCUUCGGGCUCGGAGCUUGGUGUGUUCGGAACCUGGGUCGUUCACAUCCAUGCUGGCCAACGGGAGGAGCUGGGGUGGCCGGGAGCGGUGCCGAUGUUGAGCUACGGUGGCCGCAUAUUCGGGAUCCCGAUAGGAAAGGCGCUGCGGGGCCCUAGUGAGCAGCCAGAUGGGCUCAGGGGAACCUAUGUGACGCGGGGAGCUAAAGGGCACAAGCAUGGGACCAUUUGGUCGCCAGAGGCUCGCCGACGUCGAGCUCAAGCGGAGCCGAGCCUCAGUCACAGUGGCUAGGCAGGUACGGGGCACGCGCGAGCCUCCAGAGAGGGGGGAAAGGUGUAGGGGCUUAGAGCGCUCCUACAGAUGUGCUCAUAGUUCUUAGAGAGGGCCAAUGUGGCCGGAUCGAUGGUAAGGGGCGGUGGCGAUCCGAGGAGGAAGACGGAGGCACGGGCCCAUGCAGAGUUGACGAGAUCGCGCUCGAGGUCGGGGUGGAAGUGGCAAAACUCCUCGACAACAUAGGGGGCGAGGGAGGGCACGAUGGUCGUGGUUACAUCGGGGCCAUGGCGACGCUGGCGCUGCCCCGUUAGGUGAGAGGAAGGGGCGAGCGAGGGGAGCGACGAGGGGGAAGUGGGAGGCGGUCUAGGGUUCCAGGGGNNNNNNNNNNNNNNNNNNNNNNNNNNNNNNNNNNNNNNNNNNNNNNNNNNNNNNNNNNNNNNNNNNNNNNNNNNNNNNNNNNNNNNNNNNNNNNNNNNNNNNNNNNNNNNNNNNNNNNNNNNNNNNNNNNNNNNNNNNNNNNNNNNNNNNNNNNNNNNNNNNNNNNNNNNNNNNNNNNNNNNNNNNNNNNNNNNNNNACGAGGAGCAGAAGGAAAUGACAAGAAGUUUUUAGUAAGGUAUUCUAUGCAAGCACUGAAUUAUCGGUAACACAUAGUUUUAUGAUAUGGUAAUUCGUAAUGGGUAGCAAUUAACAAAUGUAAAAAAUGUGCAGUAAGGUGGCCCAAUCCUGUUUGUAGCAAAUAACAAGCCUCAACAAACUCUUAUAUAAAGAAAAGCGCUCCCGAGGACACAUGGGAAUUUAUGUCAAUCUAGUUUUCAUCAUGCUCAUAUGAUGCACGUUCGUUACUUUGAUAAUUUGAUUAACCUCUCUCGCAAGCAUCCGCAGCUAGGAAAGAAGAAUUAAGAUAAAUCUAACCAUAGCAUGAACAUAUGGAUCCAAAUCAGCCUCUUACGAAGCAACGCAUAAACUAAGGUUUAAGCUUCUGUCACUUUAGCAACCCAUCAUUUACUUAUUACUUCCCCAUGCCUUCCUGUAGGCCCAAAUAAUGGUGAAGUGUCAUGUAGUCAAUGUUCACAUGACACAACUACAGGAGAGACAACAUAAAUCUUAUCAAAAUAUCAAACGAAUACAAAUUCACAUGAUUAUUUAUAACAAGAUUUAUCACAUGUCCUCAGGAACAACCGUAACUACUCACAAAGCAUAUUCAUGUUCAUAAUCAUAGGAGUAUUAAUAAUCAUUAAGGAUGUGAACAUAUAAUCUUCCACAAAAUAAACCAACUAGCAUGAACGACAAGGAGUAAUCAACACUACUAGUAACCCACAGGUACCAAUCUGAGGUUUUGAGACAAAGAUCAGAUACAAGAGAUGAACUAGGGUUCGGAGAGGAGAUGGUGUUGAUUAAGAUGUUGAUGGAGAUUGACCCCCUCUCAAUGAGAGGAUCGUUGGUGAUGACGAUGGCUUUGAUUUCUCCCUCUCGGAGGUAAGUUUCCCCGGCAGAAUAGCUCCACCGGAGCUCUAGAUUGGUUAUGUCGGAUUUUCGCCUCGAGACGGCGGCACCUUAUCCCAAAAGUUGUGAUGUGAUUUUUCCAGGUCAAAACCCUUCAUAUAGGAGAAGACGGGCACCAGAGGCCUGCAGGGGGCCCACAAGCCUAUAGGGCGCGACCACGGGGUAGGACGAGCCCCGUGGCUAGUGACCUCCUGGUGGGUCCCCUCUGGUAUUUCUUUCGCUCAGUAUUUUUUUUAUAUUCCAAAACAAUUCUCCGUAACUUUUUAGGACUUUUGGAGGUGUGCAGAAUAGGUCUCUCAGAUUUGCUCCUUUUCUAGUCCAGAAUUCCAGCUGCCAGCAUUCUCCCUCUUCAUAUAAACCUUGUAAAAUAAGAGAAAAAGGCAUAAGAAUUGUACCAUAAUGUGUAUUAACAGCCCAUAAUGCAAUAAAUAUGGAUAUAAAAUCGUGAUGCAAAAUGGACGUAUCAACUCCCCCAAGCUUAGACCUCGCUUGUCCUCAAGCGAAAACCGAGAUCGAUAAAUAUGCCCACAUGUUUAGAGAUAGAGGUGUCGAUAAAAUAAAAUAAGAACAUAAAGGCAUCAUGGCUAUCUUUUAGAACAACAACACAUAUUGACAUAUAAUUUCAUAUGCUAGAGUAACAAGUCAUUCACAAGUUAAAAUAUGAAUCAGGAACUCUAUGGGGAAAUAACAAACUGUGAUUUUAGUCAUUGAAGCUAUUCCAAUUUAUCGUAACGUAGGAAAGAGUCAAUAUACGAGCUUGUAAAGCAAAUCCACAUACUCAAUCAUCUUAUGGUCUUUCAUAAUUGCUAACACUCACACGGUACCUAUGAGGUCAAAGCUUCAAUCGGACACAGAGAAAGAUAGGGGCUUAUAGUUUUGCCUCCCAACUACUUAUCUCAAGGGUAAUGUCAACAAUAAUAACUAAUGAUGACCCACAUCCGAGUGGAUAUAUUUGUCUAGAUCAUUCCCCAACACAUGACUCUUGCCAAAAGAUAAAUGCAAAAUAAAGGAAAUGGUGAAGAUCACCAUGACUCUUUCAUAAAGGUAAGUGCUAGAAAGUAUAGGUAACAGAUAGGCCCUUCGCAGAGGGAAGCACAGGUUGUCAUGCGCUUUUAUAGUUGGAUGUGCAAUCCCUUAAUGCAAAAGAAUGUCACUUUAUAUUGCCCCUUGUGAUAAAGAACUUUAUUAGGCAGUCCGUCGCUUUUAUUUCUUCUAUAUCACAAGUUCAUAUAAAGUUUAUUUUCCUCGCACUAAUAAUCACACAUAUUAAAAGAGCAAUUUUUAUUGCUUGCACCGAUGACAACUUACUUGAAGGAUUUUACUCAAUCUAUAGGUAGGUAUGGUGGACUCUCAAGGCAAAACUAGGUUAAAGGUUGUUGGAUGCACAAGUAGUAUCUUUACUUGGUGCAUGAGUUUUUGGCUAAUAUGAGGUGGAAGCAAGCGACACAUGUUGAAGGAUCUACAACCAUAUAACUUCUAUUCGGAAAUAACCAAACAUAACUCAUUAUGUUGUCUUCCUUGUCCGACAUCAACUUCUUAAUAUCUAAUAUUUUAAUGAGUGCUCACAAUCAUAGAAGAUGUCCAAGAUAAUAUAUCUAUAUGUGAACCUCUCUUUAUUUAUUACUUCCUUAUAAUUGCAACAAUGACUAAUAGCUUUGCUUGUCAACUCACAACAAAUUUCAGUCGACAUACUUUUUAUAUGUGAAGUCAUCACUCUCCAUAAGAUCAUUAUGUAUGCUAUUUUGCUUUUAUCCUAUACUUCUUUCUAUUUCUUUUUGUCAAGAUCAUAGCAAGAAAUCAAAGACCUCGACUCAAAACUACUCUCUAUUAUAUAACUCUCAAACUUCCUUACAUAGGGGGAACAUAAAUAAAAAACUGAAAACUAGAUCACACUAAAACUUUUUUCUACAAGAUCAAGACAUAACAAAAAGGAUCGAACGAAUAAAAAAGAAGAAACUAAAAGGUGUGAUGGGGAUACGAUACCGGGGAACCUCCCCCAAGCUUGGACAAGACAAGGGGAGUGCCCAUACCCAUGUGUUUAGUUGUCUUCCUUCGGAGGUAGUGGUGUUGGAGUUGUUGGUGAGGUUGAAGGUUUGUCAAGUUUCCUCUUCGGCAUGAAAUUUUGUUCCCUCAGAUCGUCUACUUCCUGCUCGAGCCUCAAUAUCUUUUGACAUAACUCAUCCUUGCUCUCAUGCAGAAAAUGACAAGGGAUAAAUAGAACCCUGGGUUUUCUCCUUGUAUUUGGGAGGCUCGAAUUCUUGAACUCCACAUGGAUAUCUUCGGGUUGAGGCAGGGGAAUCUCCUCUUCGCCCGAGCUUUCUUCCGCAUACUUGCAUAUCUCUAGUUCCUCCUCCGAGAAAAAUCCAUAAGGAACUAAGUCCCCAUAGAUCUUGGGAUUGGCAAGAUAAUGCGAUACAUACCUCUACCCAUCGGAAUCUUGGGACGACAUCUUACUCUAAAUCUGCUGCAGAAACAGUUGAAAAUGAAACAGGAGAUAUUGUCGAGAUGUGAAGGUCAAGACCUUAAGGAGAUUAUAUAAUGAAUAUUUGCCGACCUCAAAGAGUAUUCCACAAGAAAACGGAGUCCGGAGGGUACAUGAGGCGGCCACAAGCUUAAAGUGCGCGUCCAGGGGGGUAGGCCGCGCCCCCUCGCUUGUCGCCUCCUCAUGCACUUUUCGAACUGCUUUAAGUUUUCCUAAUUUUUUAAAUAUUCCAAAGGUGAUAAAAAUUACCAUUGGAAAUGUUUUGGAGUAGGUUUGCUUACCCUAACACAUACCUAUUCCUUUUUGGAGUCUGGAACGUUCGGAUAGGUCUCCCUAAUGUACUCCUCCGGAGUUCCGGUAUUGAUAAUAUUGGUUUUAAUAUUUAUGGGAGUACCUAAGAUAUAAUGUUUGAUUCUUAGCCCAUUUACGACCUUCAGAUUUGUGCCUUCGGCGUUGUUGAUCUUGAUGGCACCGGAACGAUAUACUUCCUCGAUAAUGUAAGGCCGUUCCCAUUUAGAGAGAAGUUUUCCUACAAAAAAUCUUAAACGAGAGUUGUAUAGAAAGACAUGAUGACCUACAUUGAAUUCACGCUUUUGUAUCCUUCUAUCAUGCCAUAUCUUAACCUUUUCUUUAAACAACUUAGCAUUCUCAUAGGCCUGGGUUCUCCAUUCAUCAAGUGAGCUAAUGUCAAAUAACCUCUUUUCACCAGCAAGUUUGAAAUCAUAAUUAAGCUCUUUAAUUACCCAAUAAGCUUUAUGUUCUAGCUCUAGAGGUAAGUGACAUGCUUUGGCAUAAACCAUUUUAUACGGAGACAUACCCAUAGGGUUUUUCUAAGCGGUUCUAUAAGCCCAUAAUGCAUCGUCAAGUUUUUAGACCAAUUUUUUAUAGAUCUAUUAACAGUAUUUUCCAAGAUCAAUAUACUUUCCCUCUUUCUCAAUUCUACUUGCCCACUAGAUUGAGGAUGAUAAGGAGAUGCAAUUCUAUGAUUAACAUCAUACCUAGGAAGCAAUUUAUGGAAAGCACCGUGCAUAAAGUGUGAACCGCCAUCAGUCAUUAAAUAUCUUGGAACUCCAAAUCUAGGGAAGAUAACUUCUUUUAGCAUUUUAAUAGAAGUGUUAUGAUUAGCACUACUAGUUGGAAUAGCUUCUACCCUCUUAGUAGCAUAAUCAACAUCAACUAGAACAUGCGUAUACCCGUUGGACUUUGGAAAAGGUCCCAUAUAAUCAAAACCCCAGACAUAAAAUGGUUCUAUAACUAGACAGUAAUUCAUAGGCAUUUCUUGAGGUCUACUAAUAUUACCAAUUCUUUGACAUUAAUCACAAGAAAAGACAAACUUAAGAGCAUCCUUGAAGAGAGUACGCCAAUAAAAACCAGAUUGUAAUACCUUGUGUGCAGUUCUAUCUCGAGCAUGAUGUCCUACGUAGGCCUCAGAGUGACACUUGUAUAGGAUUUGUGUCUAUUCAUGCUUGGGUACACAACGUCUAAUAAUACCAUCUACCGCUUCUUUAUAAAGGUGUGGAUCGUCCCAAAAUUAAUGUCUUAAAUCAUGGAAGAACCUUUUCUUUUGUUGGUAUGUAAAGCUAGGCGGUAUAAAUUUAGCAACGAUGUAAUUAGCAUAAUCAGCAUACCAAGGAGCAUUGCGUGAAGCAUUUAUGAUAGCUAAUUGUUCAUCAAAGAAGCUAUCAUCAAUAGGUAGUGGGUCAUCAAGAACAUUCUCUAAUCUAGACAAGUUAUCUGCUACGGGGUUAUCAGCGCCCUUUCUAUAAAUGAUAUGCACAUCAAAUUCUUGUAGCAGAAGAACCCAUCUAAUAAGUCUAGUUUUAGCAUAUUUAUUUUCCAUAAGGUAUUUAAUAGCAGUGUGAUCAGUGUGAACAGUUACUUUGGAAUCAACAAUACAAGGUCUAAACUUAUCGCAAGCAAACACAACUGCUAAAAAUUCCUUUUCAGUUGUAGCGUAGUUUCUUUCAGCAGUGUCUAGGGUUUUACUAGCGUAAUGGAUGAGAUUUAAUUUCUUAUCAACUCUUUGUCCUAUAAGAGCACCAACAACAUAAUCACUAGCAUCACACCUAAUUUCAAAGAGUAGGUUCCAAUCAGGUGGAUGAACAACAAGUGCAGUGACCAAGGCUCUCUUAAGAAUUUCAAAUGCUUCUACACAAUCAUCAUAAAAAACAAACAAAACAUCCUUUUGAAAAAUAUUAGUGAUAGGUUUAGAAAUCUUAGAGAAGUAUUUAAUAAAUUACACAUAGAAACCAACAUGACCAAGGAAACUUAUUAUACCUUUGAUAUCUCUUGGACACGGCAUUUUUUCAAUAGCAUCAACUUUAGCUUUAUCAACUUCAAUACCUCUUACGGAGAUUUUGUGUCCCAAGACAAUGCCUUCAUUAACCAUAAAGUGGCACAUUCCCAAUUCAAGAGAAGAUUAGUUUCUUCACAUCUCUGUAAAACUCGAUCAAGGUUGCUCAAGCAAUCAUCAAAAGAAGUUCCAUAAACGGAAAAAUAAUCCAUGAAAACCUCCACAAUCUUUUCAAAAAAGUCAGAUAAUAUAGCCAUCAUACAUAUUUGAAAGGUAGCAGUUGCAUUGAAUAAACGAAAAGGCAUAUGUCUAUAAGCAAACGUACUGAAAGGGCAAGUAAAAGUGGUCUUCUCUUGAUCCUCUUUUGACACAGGUAUUUGAGAGAAGCCAGAAUAACCAUCUAGAAAGCAUUUGACCAAUAAAAGUUAGCGGGUAAUGAUCUUUCCUAGUAGCCUUAUUUAAUUUCCUAAAAUCAAUUACCAUUCUAUAUCCUGUAACAAUAAUUUGCGGGAUCAAUUCAUCUUUAUCAUUAGGAACAACAGUAAUAUAUCCCUUUUUAGGGGCACAAUGAACGGGACUAACCCAUCUACUAUCACAAUAGGAUAAAUUAUACCUGCCUCCAGAUGCUUUAGUAUUUCAUUUCUUACCACUUCCUUUAUUUUAGGAUUUAAUCGUCAUUGGUGAUCAACAACUGGUUUAGCACCAGGCUCCAUAUUGAUUAUGUGCCGACAUAGAGUGGGACUAAUGCCCUUAAGAUCAUCAAGAGUAUAUCCAAUAGCGGCAUCGUGCUUCCUCGGAGUUUUCAGCAAUGUCUUUUCUUCAUGCUCUGAAAGGUUAGCACUAAUAAUAAUAGGAUAUAUCUCCUUUUCAUCAAGAUAAGCAUACUUCAGAGUAUCUGGUAAUUGUUUAAGCUCAAACACGGGAUCACCCUUGGGUGGAGGAGGAUCCCCAAGUAUUUCAACAUGCAGGUUAUGUUUCAAAAUAGGCCACUGAUCAAAGAAAAUCUUAUCUAUUUCAUUCCUUUCAUUCAUAUGCGUAUCAUUUUCUUGGUCUAGCAAAUAUUGUUCUAAGGGAUCAGUAGGAGGCAAAACGAUAGAAGCGAGACCAAUAAUUUCAUCUUUACUAGGCAAUUCUUUGUCAUGGGGUUGUCUACAAAAUUUAGAGAAAUUGAACUCAUGAUAUGCAUCCCCAAAACAUACAUUAACCAUUUCUUUUUCACAAUCAGUCUUAGCAUUAACAGUAUUCAAGAAGGGUCUACCGAAUAUAAUGGGACAAAAAUCAUCUUGUGGGGAACCAAGAACAAGAAAAUCAGUAGAAUACUUUAUUUUCCCACACAAGACUUCAACGCCUCUAACAAUCCCAAUUGGUGAAACAAUAUCUCUAUUAGCAAGCUUGAUGGUGACAUCAAUUUCCUCUAAUUCGUCUGGUGCUAUAUCAUUCAUAACUUCUUGGUAUAAGGUAAAAGGAAUUGCACUCACACUAGCACCCACAUCACAUAACCCAUAAUAACAAUGAUCUCCUAUUUUAAUAGAAACAACAUGCACGCCAACAAUAGGUCUACGUUUACCUUUAGUAUCAGGUCUAGGAAUUCUAGCAGCUUCAUCACACAAAUGAAUGACAUGCCCAUCUAGAUAGUCAACCAGGAGAUCUUUAACCAUAGCAAUAUUAGGUUCAACUUUAAUUUUUCACGAGGUAUAGGUGUUCUAGUACAACUAUUACGACCAACAGUUGAAGCUUUAGCAUGUUCCUUUAUCCUAACAAGAAAGGGUUGUUUGUCAAUAUAAGAAGUAGGAAUAACACGAUCAACAUUACAAAUAAUAGUUUCUUCUUCAACUUUAAUAGGUUCAACCACUUUAACCUCAAUGGGAGGAUGAUAUUUAAACCAAUCCUCCUUGGGGAGAUCAACAUGAGUAGCAAAAGAUUCACAGAAUGAAGCUACUACCUCAGAGUCAAGUCCAUANNNNNNNNNNNNNNNNNNNNNNNNNNNNNNNNNNNNNNNNNNNNNNNNNNNNNNNNNNNNNNNNNNNNNNNNNNNNNNNNNNNNNNNNNNNNNNNNNNNNNNNNNNNNNNNNNNNNNNNNNNNNNNNNNNNNNNNNNNNNNNNNNCAGAGUCAAGUCCAUAUUUAGUGCUGAAAUCACGAAAAGCAUCGGUGUCUAUAAAGGAUUUAACACAAUCAAACUUAAGGCUUAUACCUGACUCAUUACCUUCGUCGUGUUCCCAAUCUUAAGAGUUGCAUUUAAUUCUNNNNNNNNNNNNNNNNNNNNNNNNNNNNNNNNNNNNNNNNNNNNNNNNNNNNNNNNNNNNNNNNNNNNNNNNNNNNNNNNNNNNNNNNNNNNNNNNNNNNCUCUCUCUCUCUCUCUUGAAGCCCUAAUGAUCUAUACACUCCCCCCUCCUUGGCAACAAGUUACCAAAAAGUUCAAAGAUAUAGAACUAAGCAUCACUCUCGACUCGGUCUCCUUCGGUAGCAGUUGAUGGAGUCGAUAGGAUAGUGGCGGCCAAGGCUUCAGUGGAUGUCCUGUGAUGUGGAGGGGUUGACAGUGGAGGUGCAAGAGCUGGUGGAGCUCAAGGAGCUGAAGGUGCUAAUGCUUGGGCUGAUGAAGAUGGUCAAUCUUCCAGAACUGGCAUAGCUGCAAAACUAGUCUGAGUCUUGAACUGAGUAGUUGUAGGAAGAGACGAAUCAUCAUCAUCACUUCUCGAGUGAGUUGUGUGCACUGCAUCAACUUCACGCUUUAGCUGCUCAACUGUGGUAGCCAACUCCAUUACUUUGAUAUUCAUGUGAUGGAACUUAGUCUCCGCAAUCCUCUCAUGGCUCUUCUGGUUCAGCAAAACUUCAGAGAUAUUCUUCUCCAUCCCCUGGAUGGUGCUGACAAGAAAUGACAUUUGCUCCUCUCUGGAUCUCAGCUGUGAUACUGGAGAUUCUCUGGUUGCCUCUACCUCUGUAGCUUCCUCUUCUUGUUCACGAGCAGUAGCUGAGAUGGGAUGGCUGGGGUCCAUCACUACCUCCUUGUCUUCAAACUCUCGCUUAAGUGGUAGAUGUGGACGAUCAAGUUGAUAUGCAUGCUUCCUAAUAUUGGCAUUGAUAAGCAUUUGGAUGAAUGGAGAAUAUCCACAUGAUCUCUUAUGAUCAGCAGUUGUUGUCGUGACUGUCUCAACUAUCAGAUCCAUCACUCUAAUCCUUGGGUGGGUGUCAACGUGGUGCAACAUGUUAACGGAAUACUGACAUUCCUCGCAGGUGUGUUGGUUUCCCUCCAAUCUUAAAUGGUGAUGUAGCACAGCGAUGCCAAGUAUUUCUCUGUGUUAAGAAACCAAGGUAUCAAUCCCAUAGGAAGAUCCAGAAGACUAUGUAAGAAGCACCUACACACAAUUAGCAAAUCCUCACAACACAACGCGUAGAGGGGUUGUCAAUCCCUCGUGGGUAAAGUAAGGAUUGUUGGGCAACGUAGCAAAAAUUCAAAAUUUUCCUACGCCAUAUUCAGAUCUUCCUAUGGAGAGACCAGCAACGAGAGAGGGGUGAGAGCAUCUUCAUACCUUUGAAGAUCGCUAAGCGGAAGCGUUGCUAGAACGUGGUUGAUGGAGUCGUACUCGCUGCGAUUCAGAUCGCGGUGUGAUUCCGAUCUAGUGCCGAACCACGACACCUCCGCGUUCAACACACGUGCAGCCCGGUGACGUCUCCCGCACCUUGAUCCAGCAAGGAGGAGGGAGAGGUUGGGGAAGAGCUUCGGCAGCACAAUGGCGUGGUGGCGAUGGAGCGUGAAGGUCUCCCGGCAUGGCUUCGUCAAGCACCGUGGGAGAGGAGGAAGAAGAGAGACAGGGCUGCGCCGAGAGAGAGAGAAAUUGUCAUGUCUCCAAUGGCCAAAACCCCCCACUAUAUAUAGGGUGAGGGGAGGGUGGCGCCCCCCUUAGGUUUCCCACGCCCAAGGGGUGCGGCAUCCCUAGAUGGGGGGAGGAGGUGGCGGCUAGGAGGGGAGGAGGGGGUGGCGCACCCCUGGUGGGCCUUAGGUGCACCUGCACUAGGGUUCCCCCCUUCCCUCUCUUAGGCGCCUUGGGCUGGGUGUGGGGGACGCACCAGCCCACCCAGGGGCUGGUUCCCUCUCACACUUGGCCCAUGUAGCCUCCCGGGCAUUGUGGCCCUUCCCGGUGGGCCUCCGGAACCUUUCCGGUAGUCCCGGCACUUUGCCGGUGGUGCCCGAAACAUUUCCGGCGUCCAAACCCAUCCAUCCUAUAUAUCAAUCUUUACCUCAGGACUAUUCCGGAGCUCCUCGUGACGUCCGGGAUCUCAUACAGGACUCCGAACAACCUUCGGUAACCUCGUAUAACAAUUCCCUAUAACCCUAGCAUCAUCGAACCUUAAGUGUGUAGACCCUAUGGGUUCGGGAGGCAUGCAGACAUGACUGAGACACCUCUCCGGCCAAUAACCAUCAGCGGGGUCUGGAUACCCAUGGUGGCUCCCACAUGUUCCACGAUGAUCUCAUCGGAUGAACCACGAUGUCAAGGAUUCAAUCAAUCCCGUAUACAAUUUCCUUUGUCUGUCGGUAUAGAACUUACCCGAGAUUCGAUCGUCGGUAUCCCAUACCUUGUUCAAUCUCAUUACCGGUAAGUCUCUUUACUCGUUCCGUAGCACAUCAUCCCGUGACUAACUCCUUAGUCACACUGAGCUCAUUAUGAUGAUGUUCUACCGAGUGGGCCUAGAGAUACCUCUCCGUCACACGGAGUGACAAAUCCCGAUCUUGACUCGUGCCAACCCAACGGACACUUUAGGAGAUACCCGUAGUGCACCUUUAUAGUCACCCAGUUACGUUGUGAUGUUUGAUACACACAAAGCACUCCUACGGUAUCCGGGAGUUGCACAAUCUCACGGUCGAAGGAAAAGACACUUGACAUUAGAAAAGCUUUAGCAUACGAACAACACGAUCUUGUGCUAUGCUUAGGAUUGGGUCUUGUCCAUCACAUCAUUCUCCUAAUGAUGUGAUCCCGUUAUCAACGACAUCCAAUGUCCAUGAUUAGGAAACCAUGAUCAACGAGCUAGCCAACUAGAGGCUUGCUAGGGACACAUUGUGAUCUAUUUAUUCACACAUGUAUUACUGUUUCAUGUUAAUACAAUUAUAGCAUGAACAAUAGAUGAUUAUCAUGAACAAGGAAAUAUGAUAAUAACCAUUUUAUUAUUGCCUCUAGGGCAUAUUUCCAACAGUCUCCCACUUGCACUAGAGUCAAUAAUCUAGUUACAUUGUGAUGAAUUGAACACCCAUAGCAUUGUGGUGUUGAUCAUGUUUUGCUCGUGGAAGAGGUUUAGUCAACGGGUGUGCAAUAUUCAGAUCUGUGUGUACUUUACAAAUAUCUAUGACUCCUCUCUGGGUCUGGUCGUGGAUGGAGUUGUAGCAGCGUUGGAUGUGCUUGGUCUUCCGGUGAAAUCUGGGCUCCUUGGCUAUGGCAAUGGCUCCAGUGUUAUCACAGAAGAGUGUCAUCGGACCUGACACGCUUGGAACCACUCCAAGGUUGGUGAUGAACUCCUUCAUCCAGAUCGCUUCAUGAGCCACUUCCGAAGCAGCUAUGUACUCCGCUUCACAUGUAGAUGCUGCCACGACGUCUUGCUUGCUGCUGCACCAGCUCACUGCCCCGCCAUUCAAAACAUACACGUAUCCGGUUUGUGACUUAGAGUCAUCCGGAUCUGUGUCGAAGCUAGCAUCGGUGUAACCCUUUACGACGAGCUCUUCUUCACCUCCAUAAACGAGAAACAUCUCCUUAGUCCUUUUCAGGUACUUCAGGAUAUUCUUGACCGUUGUCCAGUGUUCCAUACCGGGAUCACUUUGGUACCUCCCCACCAAACUUAUGGCAAGGUUUAUAUCAGGUCUGGUACACAGCAUGGCAUACAUUAGAGAGCCCAUGGCUGAAGCGUAGGGGACAAUACUCAUCUUCUCUCUAUCUGCUGCCGUGGUCGGUGACUGAGUCUUACUCAAUCUCUUACCUUGCAAAACUGGCAAGAACCCCUUCUUCGAGUUUUCCAUAUUGAACUUCUUCAAUAUCUUGUCAAGGUAUGUACUUUGUGAAAGACCUAUGAGGCGUCUCGAUCUAUCCCUAUAGAUCUUGAUGCCUAAUAUGUAUGCAGCUUCUCCAAGGUCGGGGGGGGGGGGGGGGGGCCUUUAUGCUCUCCAAUAACUCUAUAUUAUUCCCCAUCAAUAAUAUGUCAUCCCCAUAUAGUAUGAGGAAAGCUACAGAGCUCCCACUCACUUUCUUGUACAGACAGGCUUCUCCAUAAACCUAUAUGAACCCAAACGCUUUAAUCACCUCAUUGAAGCGAAUAUUCCAACUCCGAGAUGCUUGCACCAGCCCAUAGAUGGAGCGCUGGAGCUUGCAUACCUUGUUAGCACACUUAGAAUCAACAAAACCUUCUGGUUGCAUCAUAUACAACUCUUCCUUAAGAUACCCGUUAAGGAACGCUGUUUUGACGUCCAUUUGCCAAAUUUCAUAAUCAUCAAAAGCGGCAAUUGCUAACAUGAUUCGGACUGACUUCAACUUCUCUACGGGAGAGAAGGUCUCAUCGUAGUCAACUCCUUGAAUUUGUCGAAAACCCUUUGCGACAAGUUGAGCUUUAUAAAUGGUCACAUUACCGUUUGCUUCAGUCUUCUUCUUGAAGAUCCAUUUAUUUUCUAUGGCUCGCCGAUCAUCGGGCAAGUCCACCAAAGUCCAUACUUUGUUCUCAUACAUGGAUCCUAUCUCGGAUUUCAUGUCCUCAAGCCAUUUGUUGGAAUCUGGGCCCGCCAUCGCCUCUUCAUAGUUCGAAGGUUCACCGUUGUCUAACAACAUGAUUUCCAUCACAGGGUUGCCGUACCACUCUGGUGCGGAACAUACCCUUGUGGACCUUCGUGGUUCAGUAGCAACUUGAUACGAAGCUUCAUGAUCAUCAUCAUUAGCUUCCUCUUCAGUUGGCGUAGGUGCCACAAGAACAAUUUCCUGCGCUGCGCAACUCUUCGAUUCGAGAGGGGGUACAAUUACCUCAUCAAGUUAUACUUUCCUCCCACUUACUUAUUUCGAGAGAAACUCUUUCUCUAGAAAGGAUCCGUUCUUGGCAACAAAGGUUUUACCUUCGGAUCUAAGAUAGAAGGUAUACCCAAUGGUUUCCUUAGGGUAUCCUAUGAAUACGUGAUACGUCUCCAUCGUAUCUACUUUUCCAAACUCUUUUGCCCUUGUUUUGGACUAUAAUUUGCAUGAUUUGAAUGGAACUAACCUGGACUGACGUUGUAUUCAGCAGAAUUGCCUUGGUGUUAUUUUUGUGCAGAAAUCAAAGUUCUCCAAACGUCCUGGAAAUUUACGGGGAGCAGUUUCGGAAAAUAUCAAAAAUAUCUGCGCCAAGUUCCACCUCAGGGGGUGGGCCAGUGGGCCACAAGCCCCUGCUCCGCCACCACCCCCCUGGUGGCGGUGGGCAGGCUUGUGGGGCCCACAGGCACUUGCCGCCCCCCAACUUAUAGGCUUGUGGGCUCUAUAAGUUGCCUUUCAUCCCAGAAAAAAUAAAAAGAGAAGUUUUCGUCGCGUUUGCGAUACGGAGGCGCCACCACCACCUGUUCUUCAUCUCGAGGGCAGAUCUGGAGUCCGUCUUGGGCUCCAGAGAGGGGAAAUCGUCGCCAGGGGGGGGGGGGGGGGCAUCAUCAUCAACCUUCUUCCCUCUCCAAUUCCAUGAAGCUCUUCGUUGUUCGUGAGUAAUCUAUUCGUAGGCUCGCUGGAAGGUGAUGAGUAGGAUGAGAUCUAUCAUGUAAUCGAGUUAGUUUUGAUGGGGAUUGAUCCCUAGUAUCCACUAUGUUCUGAGAUUGAUGUUGCUACUACUUUGCCAUGCUUAAUGCUUGUCACUAGGGCCCGAGUGCCAUGAUUUCAGAUCUGAAAUUAUUAUGUUGUCACCAAUAUAUGUGUGUUUUAGAUCCGGUCUUGCAAGUUGUAGUUACCUACUAUGUGUUAUGAUCCGCCAACCCCGGAGUGACAAUAACCGGAACCACUCCCUGUGAUGACCAUAGUUUGAGGAGUUCAUGUGUUCACCAAGUGCUAAUGCGUUGGUCCGGUUCUUUAUUAAAAGGAGAACCUUAAUAUCCCGUAGUUUCCUUUUGGACCCCGCUGCCACGGGAGGGAUGGACAAUAGAUUUCAUGCAAGUUCUUUUCCCUAAGCACGUAUGACGACACACGGAAUGCAUGCCUACAUCACAUUGAUGAACGGGAGCUAGCCACAUAUCUCUCCGUGGUAUAGCUGUUGCAUGAUGAAUAUCAUCCAAACAAAUCACCGACCCAUUGCCUACGAGUUUUUCCUACUGCUGCUACUACUGUUGCUACUGCUGUUACUUGUAUUGCUCUGCUGCUGCUACUACUGUUGCUACUGUUGUCACUUGUCUUGCUGCUGUUACUACUAUUGCUACUGCUGUUACUGUUGCUACUACUGUCGCUUGCUACUGUUCCUACUUGCUACUGCUGUCACUACUUCUAAUCCUUGCCACUGCCAUUGCUCGUUACACUUCUACUACCUGCUACACGGUUUGUUCACCUACCGUUGACGGGAUUUGACAACUUCCGUCAACGCGGCAACGAAGGCGCCAGUGAUACAUUCGUUAGGAAUAGUCUGCCGUCAACAGAUCAUUUCUGACACCGUUGUUAUCAUAUUACUUUGCUGUUAUUACUAUGCUUGCAGAUACUAAUCUUUCAGGUGUGGUUGAAUAUGACAAAUUCAGCUGCUAAUACUUGAGAUUAUACUCUCACCUCCUGACUGGCUUAUCAACAAAUUGGGUCGAAUACUCUACCCUCGAAAACUGUUGCGAACCAACGUGCUGGUGGGCCAUCAACAACAUUCUUCCAGUUUCAUUGCCGGGGAGUGCUAGCAGCAUUCUUCUGGUGUCGUUGCAGGAGAAGGUUUGUUGUCAUAAGCAUUCGUCUAGCUAACACUAGAGAUUGCAGGAUCAGCACUUUUCUGGCGCCAUUGCUAGGGAAGCACAACUGACAUCAAUACGCAUUUCUUCGCUUUGGGUUCGAGCUUCUCUGGUUGAAGUUUCUUCACAUAAGCAUCGCAGCCCAAAACUUUUAGAAACGACAGCUUAGGUUUCGUGCGAAACCAUAAUUCAUACGGUGUCCUCUCAAUGGAUUUAGACGAUGCCCUGUUUAAAGUGAAUGUUGCAGUUUCCAAUGCGUAUCCCCAAAAUGAUAGCGGUAAGUCGGUAAGAGACAUCAUAGAUCGUACGGUAUCUAAUAAAGUUCGAUUACGACGUUCACACACUCCGUUACGUUGCGGUGUGCCACGCGGCGUCAGUUGUAAAACAAUUCCACAUUUCCUUAGGUGUGUGCCAAACUCGUGACUCAAAUAUUCUCCUCCACGAUCAGAUCGUAGACACUUUAUUUUCCUCUCAUGUUGAUUCUCAACCUCACUCUGAAAUUCCUUGAACUUUUCAAACGUUUCAAAUUUGUGCUUCAUAAGUAGAUAUACCCAUACCUACUCAAAUCAUCGAUGAGAGUGAGAACAUAACGAUAGCCACCGCGAGCUUCAACGUUCAUUGGACCAUACACAUCAGUAUGUAUUAUUUCCAAUAAGUCAGUUGCUCUCUCCAUUAUUCCUGAGAAUGGAGUAUUAGUCAUUUUGCCCAUGAGGCACGGCUCGCAUGUGUCAAAUGAUUCAAAGUCAAGAGACUCUAACAGUCCAUCAGUAUGGAGUUUUUUCAUCCGCUUAACACCGAUAUGACCAAGGCGGCAGUGCCACAAGUAUGUGGGACUAUCAUUAUCAACUUUACAUCUUUUGGUAUUCACACUAUGAUUAUGGGUAACAUCACGAUCAAGAUUCAUCAAGAAUAAACCAUUCACCAGCGGAGCAUGACCAUAAAACAUAUCACUCAUCUAAAUAGAACAACCAUUAUUCUCUGACUUAAAUGAGUAGCCGUCUCGCAUCAAGCAAGACCCUGAUACUAUGUUCAUGCUUAAAGCUGGUACUAAAUAACAAUUAUUAAGGUUUAAAACUAAUCUCGACGGUAGAUGUAGAGGCAGCAUGCCGACGGAGGAACCCCCUAACUCACUCGUCCCUGGCGCCCUCAGGUAUGGCGACACACGGUCGAAGGGUCAGCACACCAACUCUUCUAGUUCCGAAUACCUCUCUUCUCUGCCUCUCCUCUCCUCUUCGAGCAUUCUCCUGGUGAGGUCCGCGACCGGCAGCCUCUGGAAGGCCGAAGAUCACCUUUCCGGUCAACAAGAGGCCGAAGAGGCCUCGAGGGUCGGGGGUUGGGGCUCAGUGGCGUCGGGGGCAGCGUAUUAAUAGCUCCACGGAUUUUCGUGUCGGGGUGUCGGGAUGUCGUGUCGGGGCGUCUUUUCGGGGUGUCGGGGCGUUGUCUCGGGGUGUCGGGGUGUCGUUUCGGGGUGUGAGGGUGUCGUUUUCUUCUUCCUCCUCUUCUUUUUCCCUCCUCUUCCUUUUCUUCGUCCUCCUCUUCUUCUUCUAAUUCUUCUCACCUUAUCUACUUAUUCUUCUUUUAUUCUUCAUGUUUUUUCUACUUAUUUUAAUUAUGACUAAGUAACUAAACCUAGCACUAAACCUAUAUAUCACUAAGCAAUAACAAAAACAAAAUCUACCACUAAUUAACUAAAAAAGAAUCUACCACUAAUUAACAAAAUAGAAUCUACCUCUAAUUAACAAAUAACAAAUAACCUAGCACUAACUAACUAAACCUAGCACUAAAUCUACUAUUUAACUAAAUCAAUUAACUAAACUACCACUAAAUCUACUAAUUAACUAACCUACCAACUAAACUAUAUAUACCACCAAAUCUAUUAAUUAGCAAAAAAAGAAAACAAAAUCACAUUGCACGGCAGUGGGCAGCCGGGGCGGGGGGGGCUGGGCGGUGUGGCUGCGGGCCAAUGGGGUACCGGACCGGUGGUGGUGGGGGAGGGUGUCCACGGGGAGGAGGGGUGGCGCGAUGGUGGAGGAGGCGUUUGCGGGGAGAAGGGGCAUGCGAGGAGGGCGUUGUGGCGAUGGUGGAGGAGGGGGCAUGGAGAGGAGGGGCGGUGGUGCAGGAGGGGACACAAUGGUGGAGGAGGGGCGCAGGGAGGAGGAUGGCCCGGGGUGGAGGAGGAGGGGCACGGAGAGGAGGGGGCAGUGGUGGAGGAGGGUCGUGGAGAGGGCGAGCUCUGGCAGNNNNNNNNNNNNNNNNNNNNNNNNNNNNNNNNNNNNNNNNNNNNNNNNNNNNNNNNNNNNNNNNNNNNNNNNNNNNNNNNNNNNNNNNNNNNNNNNNNNNAAUUCUCCUGNUACAUUUGUGGCGAGCACAUACCCAACUUCCGUUACCGCUGAUAGUGGAACCAGAUCCUUUUCAAGGAUAGUAUGAAAAAUAUGUAUGUCCGAAUUAAUUAUUUUAAAUUGCAGCUCAGAUCAUGGACCCCAUAGAUGAGGCAUUACACAAAUCACAAGCCUUUUUAGUAUUCCUUUCUAAAAAAUAUAAAAUCAUUUAGAUUACUACUUUAGUGAUCUAAACACUCAUAUACUGUAUUUCUUUACGGAGGGGUUCUCAAAGGAAAAAAAACUCAAAAAUCUUUUACGGAUGGAGUACCAACAUAUACAGUAUACAAAUAAAUAGCUAGUGCAUGUAUUAACCGCAAAGAGACGAAAACAGCCUCCAAAGCCAGUGACCCCAUGACAUCACUGACAGUGGGACCCGGAACGCCACUGACACAUUAUUGAAGCCAACUGAGAACGACACACAUACGACUGCUAGCUAGACCAUGUACGCAGCUACGUGACGUACAUUGCGCACCCACGCGACGACGAUCAACCACUCACGAAAUACGCCCACACAUACGGAUCCAAUAAUAAACGAACUAAGGUACCGUGCCAUGGCAAUGCCACGGCACGCGCACGGCGAAGCCAGGCAAAGGCUAGCUCAGGAGCACGAUCGCACCCGCGCGCAUCAACUCACUCGGCGGCCUUGUCGGCGGCGGCGGCAGCCUGAGCAGCUGGUGCCUCUGCCGGCACCGCCUCGGCNNNNNNNNNNNNNNNNNNNNNNNNNNNNNNNNNNNNNNNNNNNNNNNNNNNNNNNNNNNNNNNNNNNNNNNNNNNNNNNNNNNNNNNNNNNNNNNNNNNNNNNNNNNNNNNNNNNNNNNNNNNNNNNNNNNNNNNNNNNNNNNNNNNNNNNNNNNNNNNNNNNNNNNNNNNNNNNNNNNNNNNNNNNNNNNNNNNNNNNNNNNNNNNNNNNNNNNNNNNNNNNNNNNNNNNNNNNNNNNNNNNNNNNNNNNNNNNNNNNNNNNNNNNNNNNNNNNNNNNNNNNNNNNNNNNNNNNNNNNNNNNNNNNNNNNNNNNNNNNNNNNNNNNNNNNNNNNNNNNNNNNNNNNNNNNNNNNNNNNNNNNNNNNNNNNNNNNNNNNNNNNNNNNNNNNNNNNNNNNNNNNNNNNNNNNNNNNNNNNNNNNNNNNNNNNNNNNNNNNNNNNNNNNNNNNNNNNNNNNNNNNNNNNNNNNNNNNNNNNNNNNNNNNNNNNNNNNNNNNNNNNNNNNNNNNNNNNNNNNNNNNNNNNNNNNNNNNNNNNNNNNNNNNNNNNNNNNNNNNNNNNNNNNNNNNNNNNNNNNNNNNNNNNNNNNNNNNNNNNNNNNNNNNNNNNNNNNNNNNNNNNNNNNNNNNNNNNNNNNNNNNNNNNNNNNNNNNNNNNNNNNNNNNNNNNNNNNNNNNNNNNNNNNNNNNNNNNNNNNNNNNNNNNNNNNNNNNNNNNNNNNNNNNNNNNNNNNNNNNNNNNNNNNNNNNNNNNNNNNNNNNNNNNNNNNNNNNNNNNNNNNNNNNNNNNNNNNNNNNNNNNNNNNNNNNNNNNNNNNNNNNNNNNNNNNNNNNNNNNNNNNNNNNNNNNNNNNNNNNNNNNNNNNNNNNNNNNNNNNNNNNNNNNNNNNNNNNNNNNNNNNNNNNNNNNNNNNNNNNNNNNNNNNNNNNNNNNNNNNNNNNNNNNNNNNNNNNNNNNNNNNNNNNNNNNNNNNNNNNNNNNNNNNNNNNNNNNNNNNNNNNNNNNNNNNNNNNNNNNNNNNNNNNNNNNNNNNNNNNNNNNNNNNNNNNNNNNNNNNNNNNNNNNNNNNNNNNNNNNNNNNNNNNNNNNNNNNNNNNNNNNNNNNNNNNNNNNNNNNNNNNNNNNNNNNNNNNNNNNNNNNNNNNNNNNNNNNNNNNNNNNNNNNNNNNNNNNNNNNNNNNNNNNNNNNNNNNNNNNNNNNNNNNNNNNNNNNNNNNNNNNNNNNNNNNNNNNNNNNNNNNNNNNNNNNNNNNNNNNNNNCCGGCGCUUUGGCCUCGACGUCGGCAGCAGCAGCUGGUGCUUCUGUCUCUUCCACGGCUGCUUCGGCUGCCACGGCAGCCUCCACAGGUGCCUCCGUAGUUGCUGCUUCCUCCUGCACUGCCACAGCGGCCUCCUCCUUGGCCGGUGUCUCCUCUGCCACCGGCUCUUUGGCCUCGGCCUCGGCAGCGGCUGGCUCUGCCUCUUUGGUCUCGGUCUCGGCCGGAGCAGCUUCUUGCUCUGGUUCCUUGGUCUCGGUCUCGGCCGGAGCAGCUUCUUUCUCUGGUUCCUUGGUCUCGGCCUCAGCCGGUGCUGCCUCACGCUCCACCACUUCGGUCUCUGUUCCCUCGGCAGGGGCAGCUUCCGGCUCUUUGGUCUCGGUCACUGUCGGCGUGACAGGGGCCUCCUCAGCGGCGGCGGCCGGCUGGACAACCUCUGUCUCGGCCUCCUUGGUCUCCGCUGGAGCUGCCUCGGGCUCUUUCGCCAGCUCGGUCACGGCCGGCGCAGCAACUUCCUCCUUCACGGCCUCCUCGGCAGCGACAACGGCCGGCUCGACAGCCUCAGCCGUUGCCACCUCGACUGUGUCGACGGCCGGCUCGACAAUCUCCACUGCUGCCACCGUAGCCUCCUCGACCGCGACGACGGCCGGCUCGACGACCUCCACCGCCACGGUAGUAUCCUCGACAACGACGACGGCCGGCUCGACAGCCUCCACCACCGCCGGCGCCGGAGCCUCCUCGACGGGCAUGGCGUGGGUUGCGGCGUGGACCUGCGUUUACAUUGAUGCACGCCUUCAUGUCAGAGAAGUACCAGUACGCAGCGUACGUGUGAUCAGGUUGCUCGUGCCAGAAGAGAUCGAGGUGGCAUGGCACCGUGGCAGCAGGUCAAAAGCUACAUGAUCGAAACGCAACGAAGCAGUAUUGAGCAGUCUACCUGGACGGCGGCCAUUGAUGACGAGUUCCGAGUCGACCGGUCCGAACUCCGACGAGCUGAUGCUAUAGCUCGGUUUGGUGCGACUGAUCAGAUCAGAGUAUGCGAUCGGCUGUGUUGUGUGAAGCAAAUGUGCUGCGGUAGAGGGGCUUAUAUAGUGGCUCUGGAGGGCAAAACGGUCACAAGAUUCACAGCUAGGACGCAAAAGCGAGCAGCCCUUUUGCGUCACGCAGGAAAAUAAAAUGAAAUCGAGGAAUCAAAACACUGAUCUGCAUCAUUCUGAUCUUGGUUGGGAAUAUACUAUUGCAAAACUAUAGUACUGGUACGUACUGUAGAUGCAAGCAAGUUGCGUACGGUGAUCGCUGUAUCGAAAUUAGGGUGGUGGCCACGCAUGCACGGAGGCUAAGGUCCAAACUGCUAUGUUUACGGGUUUGGUUUUCUUUGAUAUGUUUGGGGAAAAGGGCCAAGGGAGAGGGCUGGCAAGGCCACGAGGGCAAGCGUACCUUUGGCGUUGUAAAGAGGGGGCCAUCGCGCUGAGUCACACGCAUGCAUGCACCGACCUGAUCAGUACAUGUGUACAUCGCGUCACGUCCAUGCACGUUCUAUAGUGCCAGCCUUGUAUCCUAGUACCACUAUCCUGCUGUCUGCCCUUGGUCCAGAUCGGUGCAAAAAUAAAUGCUGGGCUAGAAUCUAUUAGUACUGUUAUUUUAUUUCCCCCCCCCCCCCCCCCCCAUUUUAGUUUGGUUCUUGGAAUGGCUAGAGACAUGACCAAACAUUUUAUCUAAUAAAACCUGUUGGAAAAAUCAUCAUUCGAUUUGCCUCUUGAUUAAUCUCAUCAUUUCUCAGCUGAUCACAUCUCUUAUUCUUCUACGCAAAUUAAACUACUCCCUUUAAUUCAUUUUACUUGCCGUCAUGGUCUGAGCUCUCCAGUCUGUGAAUUAUAGCUAACCCUAGUCCCACUGAUAGUGCUGUUUUCUUUCUUUCUUUUCACUGAUGGCGAGGCCUUCUAAUGAUAAUACACACCAUUUCUUUUUCUUUUCUCAUUUGUUCUUGUUUUUAUUUGUAUGCUUAAUUUUUUUUUCAUUUUCCUCUUCUUGCCCGUAAAAUACUGGAAAUCUAAACCGUGAUCAAUGUGUCUUCUAAACCGUAACGGAGGUAGUAUUGUUAAUUCAUCUCAUGUGUGCCCUUUUUCCAAUUGAGACACUGAUAGUCACAACAUCGUCCCCGUCUCCAACGAGGUCCUCAUCCGGAGUCAACGCUUGUCACUGCGGCGUUGUGUGGUUGUGUUGUCCUCACCUUCAGACUUAGAGGAAGUAGAAUUGAUUAUACUCCAUUUACUUUCACCGUUUCUAAAUAUAAGUCUUUUAAGCGAUUUCACUAAAGGUCUACAUACAGAGCAAAAUGAUUCAAUGUACACUCUAAAGUAUGUCUAUAUACAUCCGUAUAUACUCUAUUAGUGAAAUCUUUAAAAAAACUUAUAUUUAAGAACGAAGGGAGUAUAUCAUAAUAAUUAUUGUUAAGGAAAAACAUAAUAAUUAUAGUUGAAAGAACUAGUUUACUAGUUUUCUUGCACUAUAAUUAUUAUGAUAUGCAGGAAGUAAAAAUUGCAGGCACUUCAUCAUUCGCAAACAUGAAUUAUUAUUUAUUUAUGGGGAUUGCAAAAGCGGAGAUAUCAGGGAGAUCGCUAUAUCUCGGUUUUCUACGGCGCACUCGAUGGUGGCGUAGAGACAAUGCAACUUGAGCCGAAGAAUGUGCGCUCGAAUGCCGCCAUUGAAGGCCGUGACAUGAUCCCUAUAGAUCGAGUGGUGCAUAUCUUCUUGGUAGAUGAUCGAUAUGCAGUAGAAAGGGGCGCAGCCACCUAGAGCUAUGUGUAAAAAAGGCCGUGCGUGUUUGUCAAAGUGUGAUGGCACGGCAGUAUAUUUGGAAUUUAGUUAACAUUUUCUUCCUCAUCUGAAGUAGUACCACUAGCUACUUAGGUGUAUUCUCUGCCUUAGAGCAUCUCCGGACUCCUCAAAUCCGAUCUUUCAAACGUCCGCAGACGAACUACUACGUCGACGCACACACAUUGUCCAGUUACUCCAUCAUUGUUAAACAUGUCAUCGGACUAUCAAAAUUUUACAUGUUUGGCUAUGGUGAAGAUCAUCUACGGCUGCCUCUGUUCUUCCCGACACCCUUGCCGUCUUGUCGUGGAAGUACCGGUUGAAGACGCAGUACGGAUCGAGCCGGAUCUUCUCGUCGCCACAACUGUCCUCAUCGCCGCUCACCUCUUUCUCCACCUUUGGUGGUAGUCCGGCCAUUCCCCAAAGGAGCCGAGCACCCUUUGUGCAGAUGCUACAGAGUCGCGGCGGACAAAUCCUUCUGUCGGUCAGGCGCUGUCCUCGCGCGAGCGGCGGAGUGCAACGCGAACCGCUAUUGCCUCCUCCACUCUGCACGGGACGACCCCCCAGUCGACGGAUCCGGACUGGUGAAGACAUUGUUGGGAUUGACUGGAAGCAAAGAAACCACUCAAGAUGAGGCUCGUCAUAGUAGAAAAUAACUUGCAUUAGUAGCAUCCAUAUGUUAUUAGUCCAUAUUAAUAACUUCAUAUUAAAUAAUAUUAUAUGUAUGAUAUUAUGCAAGUAUUUUUUUUGACCGGCUACUGUAGGGAANNNNNNNNNNNNNNNNNNNNNNNNNNNNNNNNNNNNNNNNNNNNNNNNNNNNNNNNNNNNNNNNNNNNNNNNNNNNNNNNNNNNNNNNNNNNNNNNNNNNGCAAGUAACAUACCGAAGGACAAAGGGAAUGACAUACGGGAUUAUACGAAUCCUUGGUACUGAGGUUCAAACAAUAAGAUCUUCGUAGAAUAUGUAGGAUCCAAUAUGGGCAUCCAGGUCCCGCUAUUGGAUAUUGACCGAGGAGUCUCUCGGGUCAUGUCUACAUAGUUCUCGAACCCGCAGGGUCUGCACACUUAAGGUUCGACGUUGUUUUAUGCGUAUAUGAGUUAUAUGGUUGGUUACCGAAUGUUGUUCGGAGUCCCGGAUGAGAUCACGGACAUCACGAGGGUUUCCGGAAUGGUCCGGAAACGAAGAUUGAUAUAUAGGAUGACCUCAUUUGAUUACCGGAAGGUUUUCGGAGUUACCGGGAAUGUACCGGGAAUGACGAAUGGGUUCCGGGGGUUCACCGGGGGGGGGGGCAACCCACCCCGGGGAAGCCCAUAGGACAUAAGGGUGGCGCACCAGCCCUUAGUGGGCUGGUGGGACAGCCCAAAAGGGCUCUAUGCGCCAAGGAUAAGAAAUCAAAGGNNNNNNNNNNNNNNNNNNNNNNNNNNNNNNNNNNNNNNNNNNNNNNNNNNNNNNNNNNNNNNNNNNNNNNNNNNNNNNNNNNNNNNNNNNNNNNNNNNNNGACGUUGUUGGGCCUCCAAGUGCAGAGGGUUGUAGGACAGUAGCAAUUUUCCCUCAAGUGGGUGACCUAAGGUUUAUCAAUCCGUGGGAGGCGUAGGAUGAAGAUGGUCUCUCUCAAGCAACCCUGCAACCAAAUAACAAAGAGUCUCUUGUGUCCCCAACACACCCAAUACAAUGGUAAGUUGUAUAGGUGCACUAGUUCGGUGAAGAGAUGGUGAUACAAGUGCAAUAUGGAUGGUAGAUAUAGCUUUUUGUAAUCUGAAAUUACAAAAACAGCAACGUAACAAAUGGUAAAAGUGAGCACGAACGGUAUUGCAAUGCGUGGAAACAAGGCCUAGGGUUCAUACUUUCACUAGUGAAGUUCUCUCAACAAUGAUAACAUAAUUGGAUCAUAUAACUAGCCCUCAACAUGCAACAAAGAGUCACUCCAAAGUCACUAAUAGCGGGGAACAAACGAAGAGAUUAUUGUCGGUUACGAAACCACCACAAAGUUAUUCUUUCUGAUCUAUCUAUUCAAGAGUCCGUAGUAAAAUAACACGAAGCUAUUCUUUCUGUUCGAUCCAUCAUAGAGUUCGUACUAGAAUAACACCUUAAGAUCCAUAUCAACUAAGACCCUAAUGUCACCUAGAUACUCCAUUGUCACCUCAAGUAUCCAUGGGCAUGAUUAUACGAUAUGCAUCACAUAAUCUCAGAAUCAUCUAUUCAACCAACACAUAGUACUUCAAAGAGUGCCCCAAAGUUUCUACCAGAGAGUCAAAACGUGUGCCAACCCCUGUGCAUAGGUUCCCAAUGUCACGAACCCGCAAGUUGGUCACCAAAAAAUACAUCAAGUACUCACAUGAAUCCACGUGUGCCAACCCAUAUGCAUAGGUUCCCAAUUGUCACAAACCCGCAAGUUGAUCACAGCAGAUAGACACGUGCAAGACAUACAUCAAGUGUUCUCAAAGACUCAAUCCGAUAAGAUAACUCCAAAGGAUAAACUCAAUUCAUUACAAGAAGGAGAGGGGGAAGAACAUCAUAAGAUCCAACUAUAGUAGCAAAGCCCAUGGUACAUUGAGACCAAGACAUCUCAAGAACACGAGAGAGAGAGAUCAAACACAUAGCUACUGGUACAUACCCUCAGCCCCGAGGGAGAACUACUCCCUCCUCGUCAUGGAGAUCGCCGAGAUGAUGAAGAUGGCCACCGAAGAUGGAUUGCCCCUCCGACAGGGUGCCAGAACAGGCUCCAGAUUGGUUUUUGGUGGCUACAGAGGCUUGCGGCGGCGCAACUCCUGAUCUAGGUUUCUUUUGGGGGGUUUCUGAAUUUAUAGGAAUUUAUGGCGGUGGAAUUACGUCGGUUGGGCCCACGAGGAGGUUACAAGCCUGGUCGGCACCACCUAGGGGGGUGGUGGCGGCGUCAGGGCUUGUGACUCCCUCGUGGCUCUUCUGGCCUUCUUCCAAAGCUUCGGGGGUCUCUUUCGGUCCAAAAAAAAGCAUCGUAAAGUUUCAUUCCAUUUGGAGUUCGUCUGAAAAUGGGCCAAAAACACGGAAACAACAGAAACUGGCACUCUGCAUUGAGUUAAUAGGUUAGUCCCAAAAAAGAUAUAAAAUAGCAUAUUCAUGCAUAUAAAACAUCCAAAGUUGACAAGAUAAUAGCAUGGAACCAUCAAAAAUUGUAGAUACGUUGGAGACGUAUCAGCCAUCACCUGUUCCCAGACGCUGCCGACGCCCUGAUAAUCCCCAAGUGCAAGGAAUCAUCGUAGCAAUUUCAAAAGGUGGAAAUGAUAAGUAUGGAGCGUCGAACCCACAAGGAGCUAAAGGUAAGAGCAAUAUUCUCUCAAGUUCUAUCUGCCACUGAUAUAACUCUACGUACGCCGAACGUUUGCUUCCAACUUGGAACGAGAAAUAAAACUACAUUGUGGGUAUGAAGAGAAUAGCUUUGCAUGACAUCGGAGAAAUAAAAUAUAAAAAUAGGUGUUGUUAUCAUAAAGUUAGAAUAUAUUACAAAUAGCGAGUGUGGAAUAGUGAUGGGUCGGUGUGCGGAAUUGUCCUAGGCAAUUGUUAACAAGAUCAGUAAUCAUUAUUGCAAUUUUAUAUGAGGGAGAGUUAUAAGCUAACAUACCUUCUCUACUUCGAUCAUAUGCACUUAUGAUUGGAACUCUAGCAAGCAUCCGCAACUACUAAAGAUCAUUAAGGUAAAACCGAACCAUAGCAUUAAAGCAUCAAGUCCCCUUUAUCGCAUUCGCAACAACCCACCUACUCGGGUUUAUGCUUCUGUCACUCAAACAACCCACUAUAAGCGAAUCAUGAACGUAUUACAACACCCUACAAAGGGAAUCCCUCAUGCUUGCUAGACACGGAGAGAACCAUAGGACAACACCAAUAAUAAAGCAUGCAAGUCAAACCAAUCUAGAUCAUCAAUCAACCCAUAAGACAAAGGGAAUCUACUCAAAACAUCAUAGGAUGGCAACACAUCAUUGGAUCAUAAUAUGUGGCAUAGAGAACCGUGUUCAAGUAGGUGAUUACAGCGGGGCGCGGGGGAGUGGAACGCUAAAAGAAGAUGGGGUUGGUGAUGAAGAAGGUGAUGUUGAUGAAUACGAUCACCGCGGCGAUGGUUCCCCCGGUGGCACUCCGGCACCACCGGGAGAGAGGGGGAGAGGGUCUCCGCCUUGUUCCUCCUCCUCCAUGGCCUCCCCCAAGGUGGGGAGAGGUUCUUCCUCUAGUCCUUGGCCUCCAUGGUGAUGAUGGCCCCUCCAUCUUCCUCCUCAAUGGUCUCCGGUGAUGGUGACCCUCUCCGACAGGGUGCCGAAGAGGGCCAAGACUGGGUUUUCAUGGCUCUGGAGGCUUGCGGCAGAGGAACUCCCGAUCUAAGUUUCUUUUCGGGGGUUUCUGUUUUUAUAAGAAUAUUUGGCGUUCGAACCACGUCAGGGGAGUGCUUGAGGGGCCCACAAGCCAAGGAGCGCACCCUAGGGGGGUGCCCUGGUGGCUUGUGGUUGCCUCGGGACUCCUCUCUGGUAUCCUUUUGCUCCAGUAUUUUUCAUAUUUACCAACAAUAUUCUCCGUAAUUUUUCAGCCCAUUCCGAGAACUUUUAUUUGGGCACAAAAACAACAACACGGUAGUUGUGCUGAAAAAAGCAUCAGUCCGGGUUAGUUAUAAUAAAAUCAUACAAAAACCAUAUAGAAUUAUUGUAAACAUGGCAUGAAUACUUCAUAAAUUAUAGAUACGUUGGAUACGUAUCAGCAUCCCCGACCUUUAUUCCUGCUCGUCCUCGAGUAGGUAAAUAAUAAAAGAAAUCAUUUAUGAAGUGUGAAUGCUAGCAUAGUGCAUAAAUUUGAUCAAUGAUAUAUCCAAACACUUUUUCUAGCAUCAUUACAUAUCAUACACAGUAGCUCAUCUCAUAAAACUUCUCAUGAUGAAGUAACAAGCUAUUCACGUGUUAAAAUGUAGACCAUAAAGUUUCUUGAAAACUAACAAAUUAUGCUUUCAGUCACCAAACAAUUGCAAUUCAUCUUAUUUUUGGGAAGGGUCUAUGUAAGAGAUUUUAUUUAGAAAAUUCCACAUACUCAACUAUCAUAUAGUCUUCCAUGAUUGUUGACGACACUCAAAGCAUAUUUUUAGAACAAAUAGCAUCCAUCGAACACAAAGAAAGACAGGGGCUUAAAGUUUUGCCUCCUAAUUUAUUUACCAUAUAGAUAAUUGUCAACAAUAAUAAUUCAUGAUCAAAUAUAUUUGUAUGGAUAUAUAUGUUUGCAUCUUUCCCCACCACAUGAUGCUUGCCAACUAAUACUUUGAGGUUGGAAUAAGAAGUUAACUCAACAAGAAUAGUAAAUAACAUGAAAGUAAAUAGAUUGGCCCUUGAUAACCCACAAGUGUAGGGGAUCGCAACAGUUUUCGAGGGUAGAGUAUUCAAUCCAAAUUUAUUGAUUCGACACAAGGGGAAGCAAAAGAAUAUUCUCAAGUAUUAGCAGCUGAGUUUGCCAAUUUCAACCACACCUGAAAGAUUAGUGUUUGCAAGCAAAGUAUAAGUAGCAAAGUGGUAUGAUAGCAACGGUGUCAGAAAAAGAUGUGUUGACGGCAGACUAUUCCUAACUUGUUGUAUCAAUGGCGCCAGUAAAUACCACGUGGAAGGGGGACUAUUCUUCCCCGGCAACGGCUCCAGAAAAGUCUUGCAACAAGUAGCAGCAAAGUAACAGCAGUAGUGACAGCAGUAGCAAGCAACAUCAACAACAUCAGUAGCAAGUAACAACAGAGUAACAGCAGUAGCGACAACAGUAGCAGCAAAGUAACGUAGCAAGGACAAGUAGUAAAAGAAUCGUAGGCAAUGGAUCGGUGAUGGAUGAUUAUACCGGAUGUGAUUCAUCAUGUAAUAGCUAUAACACGGAGAGAUAAGUAACUAGCUCCCGUUCGUCAAUCUAAUGUAGGAAUGUAUUCCGUAUGAAGUCAUACGUGCUUAGGGAAAAGAACUUGCAUGACAUCUAUUGUCCAUCCCUACCGUGGCAGUGGGGUCCUAAUGGAAACUACGGGAUAUUAAGGUUCUCCUUUUAGUAAAGAACCGGACCAACGCAUUAAAACUCGGUGAAUACAUGAACUCCUCAUACUAUGGUCAUCUCCGGGAGUGGUUCCGGCUAUUGUCACUCCAGGGUUGCCGGGUCAUAACACAUAGUAGGUGACUACAACAUGCUAGAUAGGAUCUAAAACACACAUAUAUUGGCGACAACAUAAUAGGUUCAGAUCUGAAAUCAUGGCACUCGGGCCCUAGUGACAAGCAUUAAGCAUGGCAAAGUAGUAGCAACAUCAAUCUCAGAACAUAGUGGAUACNAUCUCAGAACAUAGUGGAUACUAGGGAUCAAUCCCCGUCAAAACUAACUCGAUUACAUGAUAUAUCUCAUCCAACUCAUCACCGUCCAGCAAGCCUACGAUGAGAUUACUCACGAAUGGUGAAGAACAUCAUGGAAUUGUCGAUGGAGGAAGGUUGAUGAUGACGAUGGCGAUGAUUUCCCCUCUUUGGAGCCCCGAACGUACUCCAGAUCUGUCAUCUGGAUGAAGAACAGGAGGUGGCGGCGCCUCCGUAUCGUAGAACGCGAUGAAUCCUUCUCUCUGAUUUUUUCCGAGCGAGACGGAAUAAAUAGAGCUGAGUUUGGGGGCGGUGGUGCCACGUGGGUUCCACAAGGCCUCACGGCGCGGCCUAGGGGGGGGGGGGGGUCGCAGCCCACGGGCUUGUGGCCCACUGGCACACCCCCUCCGUUGGAUCUUUGCGCAGGUAUUUUUCAUUUAUUUUAGAAAAAUUCUCCGUAAAUUUUCAGGACAUUCCGAGAACUUUUAUUUCUGCACAAAAACAACACCAUGGCAAUUUUGUUGAAAACAACGUUAGUCCGGGUUAGUUCCAUUCAAAUCAUGCAAAUUAGAGUCCAAAACAAGGGCAAAAGAGUUCAGAAAAGUAUAUACAACGGAGACGUAUCAACUCCCCCAAGCUUAAAGCCUUGCUUGUCCUCAAGCAAUUCAGUUGACAAACUGAAAGAGACAAAAGAAAAACUUUGACGAACUCUGUUUGAUCUUGUUGUUGCAACUAUGUCUAACUCAUAACCAGAAUUUCAGCAAGAUCACAAGCAAACCACAUAAGCAAAUGACAUCUAGGUCUCACGAUAAACUCAUAUCAAUGGCAUAAUCAGCUAGGGAGCAAAUAAUAAUAAGCCUCAAAUGUCAACACUUCAAUCAAAACAACAUGAAGCAGUACGAAUAGAUGGUAUCUCGCUAGCUCUUUCGGAGACCGCAAAACAUAAAUGCAGAGCACCUUCAAAGACCAAGGGCUGACUAAACAUUGUAAUUCUAGCCAAUGAAGAUCGAGUCACAGUCAUACUCAACACAGUUAAAAGCAAAGCAUAAAAAUGACAAAGGUGCUCUCUAAUUGGGUCUUGUUGUAAGAGGAGGAUGACUCAACAGGAACAUAAAUAGACAUGCCCUUCGCAGAGGGAAGCAUUAAUUUGCACAGGUGCCAGAGCUCAAGCUUUUAAAACAGAGAUAAUAAUUUUGGGUGGCAUGCUUUCAUUGUCAACGCAAUGACUAAGAGUUCUCAACAUCUUCCACGCUACACAUGCUAUAGGCGGUCCCCAAACAGAAAAGUAAAGUUUUGACUCCCCCACCACCAAUCAAUCACACUCCACGGCUAGCCGAAUCCUCGAGUACUGUCCAUACCAACAUCAAUCCUGGGGGAGGUUUGUUUGCAAUUAUCUUUUCGAUUUGAGCAUGGACCUGGGAGUUCCAAUUACCGCCCCCUUUCUCGUGAAUGAUAGUGAAUAAACACAUAUCGAGGAUAACACGCCUAGCAUGGAAGAUACCAAUAGCCCCCUAUCACCACAUGAGCGGUUCGGGCAUGCAAAACAGAUUAUUUCUUGAAGGUUUAGAGAGUGGCACAUGCAAAUUUACUUGGAACAGCAGGUAGAUACCGCACAUAGGUAGGUAUGGUGGACUCAUAUGGAACAACGUUGGGUUUAUGGGGGUGGAUGCACAAGCAGUAUUCCCGCUCAGUACAAGUGAAGGCUAGCAAAAGACUGGGAAGCGACCAACUAGAGAGCGACAACAGUCAUCAAAAUGCAUUGAGAUUAACUAACAUUGAAUGCAAGCAUGAGUAGGACAUAAAUCACCAUGAACAUGAACAUCAUAGAGGCUAUGUUGAUUUUGUUUCAACUACAUGCGUGAACAUGCGCCAAGUCAAGCCACUUGAAACAUUCAAAGGAGGAUACCAUCCUAUCAUACUACAGCACAGUCAUCUCAACAUUCAUGUGGGCAUCCAAGACAAACCAUUAUAAGCUCCUAGCUAAGUAAGCAUGGCAUAAGCAACUAUGAUCUCUAAGUUGUCAUUGCAAACAUGUUUCUCUCACAACAAAGCUGAAUCAGGCAUGAUGGGCUAGUCAUAUUUACAAAAACAAAAUAGAUCGAGUUCAUACCAUCUUUUCCAGGCUCAGUCACUUCAUAUAUCGUCAUUUUUGACUUUCACUUGCACGACCGAAUGUUGUGAACAAUAAUAAGCGUGCUCGUGUAGUGGACUAAAGAUGGAAUCUGCAGGAAAACACAAAUGAGAAACACCUACUCCCCCAAGCUUAGGCUUUUGGCCUAAGUUGGUCUACUCCCAAGGAGGGAAAUAACCAGCUCCGGGGUACUCCGGAGUGGACUGAGGAUGCCACUGCUGUGUGAGCUCCUCUGGCUCCCACUGAUAAACUGGCGUCUGGUACUCGACUGCUAGCUCGGGCACGGGCACCUGUGGUUGGGCUAUGCCCCAAUAUGUGUAGAUGUCCAAGGGCAUAAUAAUGUACCUACCUGCAUGAAGAUUGAACAAAGAAGGAGCAAGCAAAGUAAUAGUCUCACGAGUACCCUGACUAAAUACCAGGUUAUAAAUCAUCCUUCUAUUUAUAUCUCUAUCAAAAAAGUCAUGGCGAACCAUGCUAUUGUAAUAUAGAUAUCUCUCAGGAAGAAGAAUCUCUUCUUCCUCGUCCAGUCUAAUAGGUAUCUCAAAAUGUAUAGCAAGACGAGUAGCAUAGAUACCUCCAUAGAUAACGCCUUUAGAACGGUUCGUGUUCAACCGUUGAGCUACUAUAGCGCCCAAGCUAUAAGUUUUAUCGUUAUAAAGGGCUUCGCGCAAGACCGCAAGAUCUGGGGAACUAAGUGACCCAGCUUUCCCACGGCCAAUCAAACAUUUUCCCACAAAUAAUGAGAAGUACCGAAGCACGGGAAAAUUAAUGCUAGUAGCUCUAGCGCAAGACACUCCUCUCUCCUCUCCUACAACAAUAGUAUCGAUGAAAGCUUCCAAGUCCCGUGGACGAGGUUCAUGAAUAUCCCCAACAUAAGGUAAUUUGCAAACAUUGCAAAAAUCUUGGUGUGACAUGCGCUGGGGGAUAUCAUAAAUUUUGAACUCAACCAUAGGAGGAUUCUUCCUCGGAUAGAAGUUAAAACUUUGUAUGAAGAUAUUAGUGAGGAGGAGGUAUUGCGGACACUUAUCUUCAACGAAGGCGGUAAGGCCUGCGUUAUCCACCAAGUGAUAAAAGUCCUCAUAAAUUCCAGCGGUGCGUAAGAACACAUCGCUUGGCCACUUGCACGCUCGAACUUCUGCGACUCGAGGGACCAGAUACUUGGGCUUCUUCUCACUCCCAUCAUCCUUGGGGUCACGGCUUGAAGAGCCUCUUAAGAACCUCCUCAUCUUUUCCCUUUUCUAUCUUUGAAAUUUUCUGAAAAUUUUAGUGAUUCUAAGGAAAAGUGAACAAGGCUCAAUGAAACUCAUAGCAACUACUCCAACAAAUGCCUAGAGGCCAUAUUACGCAUCAAAACUACUUGGGACCAGCUAGAAUUAGCAUGCAAAGCUCAAGAACAUGGUCACCAAGGCAGAAAAAAUACGCGGAGUAUAAGGCACUAGAGCAAAAAAUAAUUGGACCAAUGGAGGAGUCACUUACCAAGGAGUAAUUUCCCCAAAACAGUUCGGAGAACGGUGAUUUGAGCAAAGAGAUCGAAAAUCCCAACAAGAGGAGCGAGAACACGGGUUUGAGCUGCGGAACAAUUUUUUCUGGAGGUAGGAGAACCAGAUAAGAGCAAGAAUGAGUGGAGGGGGUGCCUGUGGGCCCCACAAGCCUGGGUGGUGCGCUCAGGGGGGGUGCCCGCGCCCCAAGCGCUUGUGGCCCACUCGUGCAGCCCCCCGACAAGCUCUUUGUCUCAGAAUUUUUCAAAAAUUCCAAAAAAAAUCAUACUUGAUUUUCAGGACGUUCGGAGUACUUUUAUUUUCAGGGUACUUUUCCACCGAGCGCUAAAACAGAAAACAGGGAAAACUAAACUAAAUCUAUCAUUUUUCUUCUAAGCAAUAGAAGGUGAAAGCUUGGAACAGAGGUUUGUGACUCCUCGAUUCAUCCAUCUCAUUGUCAUCAAAAGAAAUCUGUCAGUGAGGUUGAUCAAGCCUCUUUGACAAACUUUUUCGAAUCACAAAAGAUAAUGGAGAAUUUCCGAAUAAUCACUAGGUCACCUCAAUGGGGAUGUGUAUCUCCCCAACAAGCAAAUCAUACUUCAUCUUGACACGAGGUAUAGGGCAUUCAAAGAUCCCAAUAAAAAUUGAUGAAGUUUUUUCGAUAGCAUUGAUGCAAUGUACUCGAUAUUGUUUCUUCGGAAAGUGCACUGUAUGGUCAUUACCGUUGACAUGGGAAGUGACAUUGCCUUUGUUGCAAUCUAUAACAGCCCCUGCAUUGUUUAAAAACGGUCUUCCGAGGAUGACCGCCAUGGCAUCGUCCUCAGGAAUAUCCAAGAUAACAAAGUCUGUUAAGAUAGUGACGUUAGCAACCACAACAGGCAGAUCCUCGCAAAUGCCGAUAGGGAAAGCAGUUGAUUUGUCGGCCAUUUUGCAGAGAUUUCAGUGGGUGUCAACUUGUCCAGUUCAAGUCUACGAUAAAGAGAGAGAGGCAUAACACUAAUACCGGCUCCAAGGUCGCAUAACACUGGUCUAACGUACCUGCCUUUAAUGGAGCAAGGUAUAGUGGGCACACCGGGAUCACCUAGUUUCUUAGGAGUUCCACCCUUGAAGGUAUAAUUAACAAGCAUGGUGGAAAUCUCAACCUCAGGUAUCCUCCUCUUAUUAGUUACAAUAUCUUUCAUGUACUUAGAAUACGGAGACAUUUUGAGCAUAUCUGUCAAACGCAUUUGCAGAAAGUCAGGUCUGAUCAUUUCAACGAAUCACUCAAAAUCCUCAUCAUCCUUUUUCUUGGAUGGUUUUGGAGGAAAGGGCAUGGGUUUCUGAACCCAUGGCUCCCUUUCUUUACCAUGCUUCCUAGCAGCAAAGUCAUUCUUAUCAUAUCUUCUAUUCUUAGGCCGAGGGUUAUCAAGAUCAAUAGGUUCAAUCUCCACAUCCUUAUCAUUGCUAGGUUGAGCAUCUUCAUGAACAUCACUAUUGAUAUUAUCAUUAGGCUCAUGUUCAUCACCAGAUUGUGUUUCAGUGUCACAGACAGAGGCAUCGUUUGGACUCUCAGGUGUAGCAGCAACAGGGUUGCUAGCGUGCAGGUUCCUAUCAUCUUUCUUCUUCUUUCUAGGAUGACUAGGUGCAUCAGUGCUAACUCCUUGAGAAUCUUGUUCAAUUCUCUUCGGAUGACCCUCGGGAUACAAAGGUUACUGGGUCAUUCUACCGCCUCUAGUAACAACUCUAACGGAAUUUUCAUUCAACUCAUCGAGCAAGUCAUUUUGAGCUUUAAGUACUUGUUCUACUUGAGUAGUAACCAUACAGGCAUGUUUACUCAAAAGCUUAAGAUCAUUGACAUUUCUGUCCACACAAGCACUUAAAUGACUAAGCAUAUGAGCAUUCUGUUCCAAUUGUCUGCUAACAUAAUCAUUNNNNNNNNNNNNNNNNNNNNNNNNNNNNNNNNNNNNNNNNNNNNNNNNNNNNNNNNNNNNNNNNNNNNNNNNNNNNNNNNNNNNNNNNNNNNNNNNNNNNUAGGGCGAAUUCAAUAUCUUUCUUCAUAAAGGAACCAGCACAAGAAGUGUCGAGCAUGGAUUCAUCAUUACGAGAGAGCUGAGCAUAAAAAUUUUGAAUAAUAAUUUCUGUCGAGAGCUCGUAAUUGGGGAAUGAAUAUAAAAUUGGCUUAAGCCUCCCCCAAGNNNNNNNNNNNNNNNNNNNNNNNNNNNNNNNNNNNNNNNNNNNNNNNNNNNNNNNNNNNNNNNNNNNNNNNNNNNNNNNNNNNNNNNNNNNNNNNNNNNNNNNNNNNNNNNNNNNNNNNNNNNNNNNNNNNNNNNNNNNNNNNNNNNNNNNNNNNNNNNNNNNNNNNNNNNNNNNNNNNNNNNNNNNNNNNNNNNNNNCUCCCCCAAGCUUGAGAGAUUCUGUCUCCUUCACGAGGCCAAAAAUUAUAAAUAUAAUUUCGAUCAUCAUGAACCAGAUGCAUAGGAUAAAACUUCUGAUGAAAUUCCAAUUUCAAUCGGUGGUAAUUCCAUGAUCCAAUAUCAUCACAUAGCCUAUACCAUGUCAACACCCUUUCCUUAAAAAAUAAAGGAAAGACCUUCUUCUUGACGUCAUCCUCGGGCGGACCUGCAAGCUUUAAUAAUCCACAAACUUCAUCCACGUAGGUUAGAUGCAAAUCAGGAUGUAGUGUUCCAUCUCAUGCAUAAGGAUUAGCUAGUAUUUUUUCUAUCAUACCCGAAGGAAUUUCAUAAUAAAUAUGUUCAAUAUGUGCAGCAGGUUGAGGAGCAUCUCUUUUUGCUUCCGGUCGGGGUGAAGAUACCCCAAACAAGCCCCUCAAAGGAUUAUUUUCCAUAGCGACAAGUGAUAGUAAAUUUCAGCAGAAUAUAUAAUUUUUUCCUUACCAAGUUCCACUUACCAAAGGCGCUUCACUCCCCGGCAACGGCGCUAGAAAAGAGUCUUGAUGACCUACAAGUGUAGGGGAUCUAUCGUAAUCCUUUCUAUAAGUAAGAGUGUCGAACCCAACGAGGAGCAGAAGGAAAUGAAAAACAGUUUUCAGUAAGGUAUUCCCUGCAAGCAUUGAAAUUAUCGGUAAAAGAUAGUUUUGUGAUAAGGUAAUUCGUAAUGGGUAGCAAGUAAAAAAUGUAACAAUGGUGCAGCAAGGUGGUCCACUCCUUUUUGUAGCAAAGGACAAGCCUGAACAAACUCUUAUAUAAAGAAAACCGCUCCCGAGGACACAUGGGCAUUUAUGUCAAGCUAGUUUUCAUCAUGCUCAUAUGAUUCGCGUUCAUUACUUUUAUAAUUUGAUAUGUGGGUGGACCGGUGCUUGGAUGCUACAGCCCACUUUUGAUUAACCUCUCUCACAAGCAUACGCAACUACGAAAGAAGAAUUAAGAUAAAUCUAACCAUAAAAUGAAACAUAUGGAUCCAAAUCAGCCUCUUACGAAGCAGCACAUAAACUAGGGUUUAAGCUUCUGUCACUCUAGCAACCCAUCAUCUACUUUUUACUUCCCAAUGCCUUUACCUAGGCCCAAAUAAUGGUGAAGUGUCAUGUAGUCGAAGUUCACAUGACACCACUAGAGGAGAUACAAUAUACAUCUUAUCAAAAUAUCAAACGAAUACCAAAUUCACAUGAUUACUUAUAACAAGACUUAUCCCAUGUCCUCAGGAACAAAUGUAACUACUCACAAAGAAUAUUCAUGUUCAUAAUCAGAGGAGUAUUAAUAAUAAUUAAGGAUAUGAACAUAUAAUCUUCCACCAAAUAAGGCAACUGGCAUCAACUACAAAGAGUAAUCAACACUAUUAGCAACCCACAGGUACCAACCUGAGGUUUUGAGACAAAGAUCGAAUACAAGAGAUGAACUAGGGUUUGGAGAGGAGAUGGUGCUCAUGAAGAUGUUGAUGUACAUUGACCCUCUCUCGAUGAGAGGAUCGUUGGUGAUGACGCUGGCUUCGAUUUCCCCCUCCGUGAGGGAAGUUUUCUCGGUGGAAUAGCUCGGCUGGAGCUCUAGAUUGGUUCUAUUGCAAUUCUGCCUCGAGAUGGUGGCGCCUCGUCCCAAAAGCUCUGAUAUGAUUUUUUUUUCAUGUCAAAACCCUUCAUAUAGCAUAAGAUGGGCACAGGAGGUCUGCCAGGGGGGCCACAAGCCUGCAGGGCGCGACGAGGGGGUGCUAGGCUACGCCCCCUGGUUUGUGACCUCCUACUGGGUCCCCUCUGGUAUUUCUUUCGCCCAACAUUUUUAUAUCUUCCAAAACAAUUGUCCGUGACUUUUCAUGACUUUUGGAGGUGUGCAGAAUAGGUCUCUUAGAUUUGCUCCUUUUCCAGUCUGGAAUUCCAUCUGCCGGCAUUCUCCCUCUUCAUGUAAACCUUGUAAAAUAAGAGAGAAAAGGCAUAAGUAUUGUACCAUAAUGUGUAUUAACAGCCCAUAAUGCAAUAAAUAUUGAUAUAAACAUGAUGCAAAAUGGACGUUGAUACGUCUCAAACAUAUUGACAUUUCCAAACACUUUUGCUAUUGUUUUGGCCUCAUUCUUGCAUGAUUUGAAUGAAACUAACCCGGACUGACGUUGUUUUCAACAGAGCUGCUUGUACGGUUUUCUUGUGCGCAGGAAAAUGGAUAUUUAGACGUCAUGGAAAAUUCCUAUAAAAAUAGAGAAAAUCCACACACCGGGAAGAACCAUGGGCCGGAAGAUGGGCCAGAGGGGAGAUACACGCCCCCCAGGCGACUUGUGGGCGCGACCUGCCCCCUCGCCGCACCGGAAGGCCGGCUGGGUGGGGCCCACCCCCUCUGGUGCCCUACUUUGGCUCCUAUUUUUACCCAUGAUGCAGAUAUCCCAGAACAGAAGUCAUCUCGUAAGUUCUCGACGCGGAGCCGCCGCCACCCUCGGUCUUCUUCGGGAGAGCUAAUCUGGAGGUUGUUUUGGCCUUCGGAGAGGGGAAAUCGUCGCCAUCGUCAUCACCAUCACCACUCCCUCAUCCUCCCAUGGCUUCCCCCAUCAUGUGCGAGUAAUUCUCUGCUGUAGGUGAAGGGGAUGGUACGGAUUGGAUGAGUUAUAUCAUGUAAUAGUUCGCCGGAUUGUUGGGGGCAUGUUGCCUAUCAUCUACUAUGGUGUUUAUCAUCUUUUCUACUACUUGUUACUCUUAAUGCUUGUCACUUUGGGACCGAGUGCCAUGAUUUCAUAUCUUAAUUCAUUAUGUUUUCAUGAAUAUAUUUGUGUUCUAGAUCCUAUCUAUGAGUAGUAUGCACCUAUUAUAGUCCGGAAUCGGCGAUCCCAAUGGUGACAGCUUGGGACACCAAAGGGGAUAGACUAUAGUAUGAGGAUUCAAUGUAUUCACUGAUUGUUAAUGCUUUGUUCCGGUGCUCUUUGACAGGAGCACCUUAAUCUCCAUAAGUUCCUUUUGGCCCCGUUGAUAGCGGGAUGGUAGGACAAAAUAUGUUCUGCAAGUUCUUAUUGCAAGCACACACGACUACCUAAGGAUACAUGCCUAAUGUUUGAUAUAUGCCUAGAUGAUCAUUACUUUUCUAUGUGCCUUGCCCCCAAGUUAAAUACAUGAUAUCUCUCAUCCAUGACCAACCAUCCAUCUCCCUAUCCUACAGUGUUUUAAUCCCGCUGGUCACAAGUCACUUUACUUUCCCUGUUUUACUUUCGUUGCUUUAUCACUAUUAUUUCCGUUGCCACCAUCACUUCCAUAUCACCGUUGCUAUUAAUAUUUCAUUGUCAAGCGAGUAUCUUUCAGGUGCGGUUGAAUUGACAACUCAACUAUUAAAGCUUAUAAAUAUUUUUGGCUCCCCUUGUGUCAAAUCAAUAAAUUUGCUUAUCUUACCCGUGAAGACUGUUGUGAUCCCCUACACUUGUGGGUUAUCAAGACCAUUUUCUGGCGUCGUUGCCAGGGAGCAUAGCUUUAUUUACAAGUCUACUUCGAGUUAUUUUGCUUGCUGCGAUUUAUUCACUAUGGGUAAGAAACGAGACCCCAAGGUUCCAAUUUUACCAUCCACUACGAGAAAAGGUAUUGUUCUUAGCACUAGCGCUACGAUUGAUUCACCUUCCGUUAUGAGUAAGUUUGCUUCACCACCACCACAUGUUGCUUCUACCGAGUCUGUCACUAUGCCUGGUACAUUUGACGAUGCUGCUACUACUAUUGAUGAGCCUAGUUUACUUGGUUAUUUUAUUGAGUCUCAGAUUGCUAAGGCUGCAAAGCAGUCUGGAAUUGAACUUCCUGUUACACGCUACCCCAUUGGUAGAUCUUUAGGUUACCCACACUUGAGUGGUCUCAAGGAAAAAAUUCUUGAUCAUGAUUAUAUUGAACUUGAUGAUGAUUUAUGCAGGGAACUUACCGAGUGUGCUCACUCUGACCCUACUUCUGUUAAGAAGUUGCUUGAAAAGCAUUCUAUGAAGAACAAAUUUACUCCUGAUCCUAAAUUUUCGUCAUCUCCUAUUUGCAUUGAGGAUGCUGAUUUUGAUUUCUCUAUUGAUCUUUCACUUAUCUCCAGAGUUGAAGCUAACCCCUUCUAUGGCAGAGAAAAUGACGAUGCUAUUGCACACCUUACCAAACUCACUGAGUUGGGUGGCUUAUUCACUAUAGAGGACAAGAAGAGAAACUAUUAUGUUACUAAGCUACUUCCUUUCUCUUUGAAGGAAGAUGCUAAAGCAUGGUAUGAUUCACUACCAUGUGGGUCCAUUACGAGUCCUCAAGAUUUAGCUCAAUCUUUUGUUGCUAAAUAUUUUCCUGCCCAUAAGGAACAUGCUGCUUUACAAAGAAUAUAUAACUUUAAACAGUUGCAGGAUGAGCACCUCCCUAAAGCUUGGGGGAGGUACUGCACUUUACUCAAGGCUAGACCGGGACAUGGAGUCCCGAAGAAUGAAUUGCUUGAUAUAUUUUAUCCUGGUCUAACCGAUGAAUCUAGAACCUAUCUGGAUAGUUGUGCUGGUUGUGUUUUCAGGGAAAGAACACCUGAGAUGCUGAAGAAUUAAUGGGUAAGAUAGCUAAGAAUCAUGAUGAUUGGUACAUUAUUGAACCACCUCCAUCACCAAAGAAGAGGGGUAUGCUUUUCUCGAGCCCCGAAGUUAUGCAAGAAGCCAAGAAGUCUAUGAAUGAGAGAGGUAUUCAAACUGAAGAUGUGAAGAAUCUACCUCCUAUUAAGAAAUUAUGUGAGCCUACCACUCACCGACCUAUGGUAGAGGUACACUCUAUUUUAGAAUUCAAUGCAAGUGACAUCCCUCAUGGUAAGCCCCUUGAUCAAUGUUUAGAUGAGCUUGAUAAUUGUAUUGUCAAGCAAAAUCACUUUAAUGAGAGGAUUCAAAGCCAAUUUCAUGAUAAUUCCCUUGCUAUCAAAAGUUUGCUUGAUGUUUUAAGUAGAACUGUUAAUGAUGUUAAACGUCAUGUUAAGCAUUUUUCAUAUGGUUCAAACUCAGCUUGAACAAAUUUCUAAUGUGCAAAAAGAUUUGCUUGCUAACAAUAUCAAACAAGUUGAUGCGCAAGCAUAUGGUAUAAAGACCCGAGGUGGUACACACACCCAUGACCCCCUCUAUCCGGAGGGGCAUCCAAAGAGGAUCGAGCAAGAUUCUCAAUUGCAAGAAGAAGACAUUGUCAGCUCCCCGAAGAAGAAGAAGAAACACAAGGAAGCUGACAACUCCAAUGAUCCCAUAAUUGAUGAAGAACCUAUUAUUGACCCUAAUAGUAUAUCUAUUUCCGAUGCUAAAACUAAAGAUGGUGCUAAACCUGAUAAAGAUAAUGAGAAGAUUGAUCCUCCUGAGAUACGAGAAUAAGAAGCACCCGACAAGCGCAAGAGAUAUACUCGAGAAGAUUUUGGUGCAAGAAAACAUGGGAAGGAAAGAGAACCGUGGGUACAGAAAUCAAUGCCCUUCCCAGGUAAGUCUUUCAAAACCAAAAAGAAGAGCAUUACAAUAAAUUUUGUGAAUGGAUGAAACCUCUUUUUCUUCAAAUUCCUUUGACCGAUGCUAUUAAGUUGCCUCCGUACUCGAGGUAUAUGAAAGAUAUUGUUACUAACAAAACAAAAGUUCCUAAUGAGGCAAUAUCCACUAUGGUUGCUAAUUUCUUUCAGUGGCAAGAUUUCCGAGAAGCUUGGUGAUCCAGGUAUACCCACCAUUCCUUGCUCCAUAAAAAUAAUUAUGUCAGAAUUGCUUUAUGUGAUCUUGGUGCAGGAGUGAGUGUUAUGCCUUUCUCUCUUUACAAAAGGCUUUGUCUAGAUAAACUAAUCCCUAGAGAUAUCUCUCUUCAAAUGGCUGAUAAGUCAACAAACGUUCCCGUAGGUAUUUGUGAGGAUGUUCCCGUUGAAGUUGCUAAUUGCUUGAUCCUUACUAACUUUGUUGUGCUUGACAUGCCUGAGGAUGGGAGCAUGUCUAUUAUUCUUGGUAGACCUUUUCUUAACACCGCAGGUGCUAUUAUUGAUUGCAAUAAAGGAUAGGUGACCUUCAGUGUUAAUGAGAAGGAGCAUACGGUAUAUUUUCCGAAGAAGAUUGAUAAAAGGCAUGGCCUUAAUUCUAUUGAGAAUAUUGAGACCGUGAAGGUUGGAGAGUGGGAUUGUCCUCUACAUAUGCACCAAAAAUACAAAACCAUUAUGGUGGGGACAAUAUCCAUUGAAAUAAAGGUACCAUGAUUGCUUUAUAAGAAGUGAAACUUUUUGCUCAAAUAUAACACCUGUUUGGUAGUAAGACUUGAUCAACCUUACUAACAAAUAUGAUUUAUAUGAGUAAAAAGAGAAGCUUGUUAUGUUUUCAUUUCCUUUAUCUUUCAUCCUCUUUGUUGUACCAAAGCAUUAUGUUUUUGAAGCCUCAUAUGUUUAACCUUUGUUUUGAGCUUUCUGCAAAUUUUGCAGCUUUCGGUACUUCGAUUUUUUUUCAAAAGUGAAGUUUUCAGAAAAAUUCCAGAAAAAUUAAAUGAAAAAUUUCCAUGAAAAAAGAGACGCAGGGGCACCUGGAGACAGCCAGGGGGGCCACCCUUGGUCCAGGCGGCCAGCAGGCGCGACCUGCCCCCUGGUCGCGCCCACAAGUUGUCUGGGCCCACGUGGUCCCCUUUCCAGGUACUUCUUCUUCCCUUCUCUCUUUCUCACUCCUAAAAUCCCGAUUUUUCUCCUGGAGCUCGAGUUCUUGCUGCUCUUGGUGGCAAAUUUUGAUCUGUCUCUACAGCCCAUCAUUUGCAUUGAGAAUUUGGGCAUUUGAUCCUUGGUAUGUGACUCCUCCACUCCUCCAAUUAAAAUUUUGAUUGGUGGUCUUAUUUGUGAGUAUUUAGUAGUUCUUGGUGCUAUUCAUAUGAGCUUGCAUGCAUGUUUAGAAAUUUAUUUGUGAUGUUUUGAUACAAGUUUAUGCAUCAGGGAAGUGAGUAGAAUAGUUUGAUCCAACUCAUUUUUGCUUAAAUCUCCAUUUUUGUGAUGAACCAAAAAAAUUAGAAAUGAGUUUGUUUGGAAAAGCAAAAGGAUGGCUUGGGAAGAAGAGACCUGAGCCUACUGAUAGACUAACUAGAGCUGCAGCUUCAUCCUCUACUGUGAGGACAAGUUACAAUGACGAUAUCGUGCCACCAGAGUUGUUCCACGAGACGGACACGGCACGUGCCAUGGCAUACCCGUGUUCAGAUUUCCUGAUGGCGGCAGGUAUUAAAGAUGAGUUUGAUAACCUCUGUGCAGCUGUAGGUUUGACACAUCUCGUAACACGACGUGUGCAACAAUAUCCAAAACUCACAUAUUAUUUUGUCAACUGGUUUAGAUAUAAUGAUAAAAUUUCCAUGAUUGAAUUCAUAUUAUAUGAGGAUGUCUUUACCAUGUCUUUGGCAGAAUUUUUUGAUGUUAUAGGUGUGCGGAAUGUCGGGAUGAUGACCAAAAUGAAUGUUCAUCCCUACGAGCUGAAAUCCCUAUUCACUUCCCUUUUGCAGUAAGGACCCGCGAGUAAUUCACUUGGGGGAGAUCUCCAGCAUCUUGUUUCCCCACAUCAAGUAUUUCGCAUACUAUAUUGCUCGAGGGGUGCUAGUUCGUGACAACACGAGUAACAUUUCGGAUCCGUACCUUGCUAUCUUGGCAUCCUCCCUCUUAGGAGAUUACACGUAUAAUAUUGGUGCGUUCAUUGUUCAUUGCCUCAUUGCUAACAGCGACAAAGGGCCUCACUUUGGUGGCAUUUAUGCCAGGCUUAUCCUCGAGCACCUCAGGCGCAAUGUGCGGACGAAUGAUACGCCUUUUUCAUUCAUAAGCUUUGAUAUUACCGCUAUGAAGAGGCAUGAGUUUGUUACUAGGACUUCCGAGUUUGGUAACCUUAUUUAUAUUAUGAGGUUUGGCGAGCUUACUACUCGCGAGAUCCGUCUACAUGCACCACUUUUGUUUGAUUACACUAGAAGGAAUGGAUAGUCCUUCACCUCGAUUGAGCUAGACGAGUUCGUGAUCCAGCAGCAGUUCCACAACCCCAUGGAGGGGAUUGUUCCCGAGGUAGAAGAGCCUUCUAAUUGGGAGGCCAGACGGGCAUCAGUGUAUGCGCCCGAGGCCUCGUAUCAUUCUUGGAGCCACCCAUACCACUCCGGAGCCAGAGGAAGCUCCUGGAGCCCUCAAUAGCCGAGCUCAACUUAGGCGAAAAGCCUAAGCUUGGUGGAGUACGUAUCCUUCUCACCUUUCAUUGUAUCAUCCGUAGUUUCCUUUUUAAUCUUUUCGGAGUUUUUGCCCGUUCUUCUUUGUUCUUUCUUUGCAAAAACAACAAAAAGAUUUCUCUUUUCUUUUGCUUUCGCUUAACCUUUGGAAAACCCAAAAAGAUUUCUUUUCUCUCUUUAGUUUGCUUUGUUUGCAGAGUUCAGCUCACGUCCAUGGUUGCAAUUGCACUUGAUUAUAUCUUUCUACGUUCGAUCGUGCAAGUGACGAUGCAAUAAUGAAGAAGAUCGACAGAAGGAAUGCAACAAGGAAAGUCGGUAUGAACUCUAUUUGUUUCUACUUUUGUACAUAUGCAUGUACUUAUGAUCUAGAGACUAGCUUAUAGCGACAUAGUACUAUGAUUACAAUGAUUCCCAGUAGUUCAUGCUUUCUUUGUGACUAGUCUCAAAUAGUUGGAGUGCAUAAUGUGUUAUUGAAAUGAUUAGCAUGCAUUGCAUUGUUCAUGGUUUGGCAUAUUGGAGUGGUAUUUCCCUUCGGAGAAUUUCUGGAUUGACUUGGCACAUGCUUACACAUGUUUAUGACUAGAAGUCUAUCAAGCCUUGAUGAUCUUUUUAUUUCAGAAUAGUUAAAUCGCUUUCAUGCCCGAUUCAAAGUUGAUUUGUCGCUCUACAUGAUUAUGACCAUUAUUGCUCUCUAGUUGGGCGCUUCCCCAUCUUUCGCUAGCCUUCACCUGUACUAAGCAGAUUGACUGCUUGUGCAUCCAAAAUGCUUGAAACCAGUUGCGCCAUAUGACUCCGCCAUACCUACCUAUAUGCGGUACUUAUGUGUCGUCCUAAAUAAAUUUGCAUGUGUCAUAUUCUUAACUUUCAAAUAAAUAUUUUGUUUUGUAUGCCCGAAUCACUCAUGUAGUGACUAGGGGCUAUCAGUAUCUUCCAUGCUACGUAGGUUAUUCUCAAGAUAUGUGUUGAUUCACUAUCAUUCACGAGAAAGUGGCUGGUAACCAGGAUGCCCAUUUCCAUGCUCAAAAGUCAAAUCAAAUUUAAUGAAACAAAACUCCCCCAAGAUUGUUGUUUGUAUGGACGGUACCCGUCGAUUCGUCCCGCCGUGGAGUGUGAUUGAUUGGUGGAGGGGGUAAAAACUUUACCAUUCUGUUUGGGAACCGCCUAUAAUCUAUUUAGCAUGGAAGAUAUUGAGAUCUCUUAGUUGUUAUGUUGACAAUGAAAACAUACCACCCAAAAUUUUGAUUUAUGUUUGUUUUAAAGCUCAAGCUUUGACACCUCUGCAAAUCAAUGCUUCCCUCUGUGAAGGGCCUGUCUAUUUUACUUUAUUGUUGAGUCAUCCUCUUCUCAUAAAAGCACCAACUAAGAGAGCAUAAUUGUCAUUCUCAGUGUAAUGUGCAUUGUCCCAAAGUACCACAUUGUCUUCUGUAUGAUUGUGAUAUUACUUAUUCUGAAAUAUUUAUUUCUAGUCUCCUUUAAGACUCCGGAGGAGCGUUUGCAUUUAUGUUCUGCUUCACUCAUGGGAGCUAGCGAGAUACCACUCUAGUAUAUCCAAGUCAUGUGCAUUGUGAUCUCGUUAUGAUUUUCAGUUACAUAUUAUUCAUUCUUAGUUGUUUGAAACUCUUCACAUGAUCGAAGGAUUGCUUCGUGCAUUGUCUUUGUAGCAUUGCUUCAAUACUUGUUGGGCUUGUUCGUAGUGCAUGCUUAUAUACAUCUGAUGAAGCAAAAGAGUUUGUCAAAGUUUUCUUUGUCGCGUUCAGUUUGUUGAACUGAAUUGCUUGAGGACAAGAAAUAUGCUAAGCUUGGGGGAGUUGAUACGCCUCAAACGUAUCGACUUUUCCAAACACUUUUGCUAUUGUUUUGGUCUCAUUCUUGCUUGAUUUGAAUGAAACUAACCCGGACUGACGUUGUUUUCAGCAGAGCUGCUUGUAUGGUUUACUUGUGCGCGGGAAAAUGGAUAUUUAGACGUCCCGGGAAAUUCCUAUAAAAAAUAGAGAAAAUCCACGCACCAGGAGGAACCAUGGGCCAGAAUAUGGGCUAGAGGGGAGCCACAGGGCCCCCAUGCGACUAUGGGUGCGGCCUGCCCCCUGGCCGCGCGGGAGGCCGCCUGGGUGGGGCUCACCCCCUCUGGUGCCCUACUUUGGCACCUAUUUUUACCCGUGUUGCAGAAAUACGAGAACAGAAGUCAUUUUGCAAAUUCUCGACGCGGAGCCGCCGCCACCCUCAGUUCUUCUUCGGGGGAGCUAAUUUGGAGGCUGUUUCGGCCUCCGGAGAGGGGAAAUCGUCGCCAUCGUCAUCACCAUCACCACUUCAUCAUCCUCCCAUGGCUUCCCCCAUCAUGUGUGAGUAAUUCCCUGCUGUAGGUGAAGGGGGUGGUAGGAAUUGGAUGAGUUAGAUCAUGUAAUAAUUCGUCGGAUUGUUGGGGGCAUGUUGCCUAUCAUCUAUUAUGGUGUUUAUCAUCUUUUCUACUACUUGUUACUCUUAAUGCUUGUCACUUUGGACCCGAGUGCCAUGAUUUCUCAUCUGAAUUUAUUAUGUUUUCAUGAAUAUAUUUUUGUUCUAGAUCCUAUCUCUGAGUAGUAUACACCUAUUAUAGUCCCAAACCGGCGAUCCCAAUGGUGACAGCUUGGGACACCAAAGGGGAUAUACUAUAGUUUGAGGAUUCCAUGUAUCCAUUGAUUGUUAAUGCUUUGUUCCGGUGCUCUUUGACAGGAGCACCUUAAUCUCCAUAAGUUCCUUUUGGCCCCGUUGAUAGUGGGAUGGUAGGACAAAAGAUGUUGUGCAAGUUCGUAUUGCAAGCACGCACGACUACCUCGAGAAACAUGCCUAAUGUUUGAUAUAUCCCUAGAUGAUCAUUACUUUUCUAUGUGCCUUCCCCCAAGUUAAAUACAUGAUAUCUCUCAUCCAUGACCAACCAUCAAUCUCCCUAGCCUAUAGUGUUUUAAUCACGCUGGUCACAAGUCACUUUACUUUCGCUGUUUUACUUUCGUUGAUUUGCCACUAUUAUUUAUGUUGCCACCAUCACUUUAAUAUCACCAUUGCUACUAAUAUUUCGUUGCCAAGCAAGUAUCUUUCAGGUGCGGUUGAAUUGACAACUCAACUGUUAAAGCUUAUAAAUAUUCUUUGGCUCCCCUUGUGUCGAAUCAAUAAAUUGGGUUAUCUUACCUUCGAAGACUGUUGCGAUCCCCUACACUUGUGGGUUAUCAGACGUAUCAAGGGGGGAGUUGUAGGCGUCGGGGAGGCGACGGUGGCAGCCAACACCGCACCCAUGUUGGCUCGGGUGAGUAGGAGGAGGACGGUGGGGCUAGGUGGGCUAGGCCGACAGUGUAACGAGUAGGCUUUAGUGUAGAGUACCGCUUGGACCCUUCCAUUUCUUUUUUUUCUCUUUGUUUUUUAUUUAAUUCCAAUAGUAAAUUACUUUUGUAAAAUAUAGUGUUUGACCCAAUCAUUAACUUGCAUUUUUAGGUUCAGCCACAAAAAUUUUGGGGCGCAUUUGUAAGUUUGGGAAUUUUCAUAAUUCAAAAAGGUAUUUAAGUAAUUGUUCCGGCCUCUCCUAUAAUUAUUUUGAGGCACCAAAUCACUUGAUAAAAUGUUGGUUCAUAUUUUAUAAUUACUAGGUGAAUAUUUGCCAAGCAACCAUGAUUUUAGUUUCAGGUUUGUCAAAAUAUUUAAUCCAUUUAUUAUUUUAAUUUUGAAUUUCAAAAGGGAAUUUCAAAUAAGAUAUGAUUCUAAGAUUGAUCAAGCAGUGUUUAGCAAACGCAUUAGCUUAAUCUUGGCCAUAACUGUAGCCUAAUUAUAGUGAUCACUAUAGCUUAAUCCAGGGGUGUCACGUAUACUUUUUGGGUAUUUAUUUACCAAUUUAUAUUAUUUUAGAGCACUAACCUAUUAACCCAGUGCCCACUGUGAGUUGUUGUUUUUUGUGUGUUUUUGGCUUUUCAGGUUUACGGUAGCAAACGAAGUCCAAUUGCCAUGAAACUUUUUAGUGAUUUUUUCUGGACCCAUUGGGGCGGACGCGCCCACAACUUAAAUUGAUGUAUCUUAUAUUUUGCCAAACAACAAAAUAUACUCUUGUCGCUGGUAUUAACAUGGCAUGAAAUUUCAAUUUUUCUCGAUAUAUCUAUUUAUUUGUACUGCUUUUCUCUACUUCAAUACCUGCUCGAUUUAGAUUGGGAAAAUCGUACAGAUUUUAUGAAACCUUAUCAUUUUUUUACUGAAUAUUUUGCAAACUAUCUCAGUUCCUUAAAGUCUACAGGUGGUCACGUACUGUGACUGAAAGUUUACAAGUAGUCAAGUAAUUUGACCAGCCAAGCCAAAAGAGAUGUGUACCAACCUCAUGAGAAUAAAUAAGUAUGUCAAACGGUGAGCACAUCAUACACCCUCAUUAGAAUAAAAAAGUACUAUGUCAAAGGGCACUCACUAGCUGGCACCGCCCAGCUCGAGGAGGCACGUCAAGGUCGCGUCCCAACACCUAGUUACCAAUACUAGUCGUCGACCCCGUGUAAUUGCACGGUCUAAUUAUUUAGACAAUAGCUUAGUGGACUUUUGUAAAUAUUGGUUAUACUUACAAAAAUAUAAAUGGAGAGGCUUUAUGUUGAGCUCUUCAAAAUGUACUUUUUUUAUGAUGAGGGGCGUUUUGGUAACGAUACAUUCAUAUAUAACAUUUACAAGAAGUUCUUCAUUUGUUAACUCUUCGAAGUAUAUGGAAAUUACAAAUAAAAUCAUGGAACAAACAAUAUUCCAAUAAAACUAAUAAAGAAAACUGCUCUUUACUUUCUUAAAUUUGGUGCAUAAUGAUAGUGCUAGAUAGAGUACGUAGUUUGGUGUAUAUAAUCAUGCCAUCAUUCCAAACAACUAAAAAAACAUGAGCACAUGAUACAUUGAAAAACAUAUGAUUUCUUCAUGUGUACUGAUCAAAAUAAAUUUACUUUUAUACAUCGUAGUACCCUUGAAAGUGGUAACUAUGAUAAGAAAUCAGGAUCGCAAAACUGAUACAGUAUUGUACGAAACCUAAUUCAAUUAUGAAAAGCUUUAGUACAGAAUAAGAAAUGUAAACAAAUCUUCUUGACAUAUGUCCACAUAUAUUACCUCUUCUCUGAAUCCACCAGCCAAUUAAAUUAUUUCUCUUCACUUAGAGAUCAAGUGGACUGUCAGAAUAAUAUAAUUAUUUCUGUAUAAAGGGCAUCUAUAAUGAAGUGAAAUUAGACUAGUAAUUUGAGAAAGAAUUUUGUUUUUUUUUAACAUGCACACGAACACAUCUAAUAUUUUAUUAGGGAAAUAAAAGAAUAUUUGGAUGUACCCAAUAUGUCUGGUAAGGAUAAAUGUCACCUUGCUUUAUAAUUUCAAGAAAGAACCGUCUGAAGUAGAGAUAGAGAAAAAUGUACCCAGAAGCAACUCCUCGAGAGAUAAAACUUGUUAUAUCCAGUUCUAUCAAGUGACUCCUAGUCUAGAUUUGCACUUUCUGGUGUGAUAUUGAUGAUUCCUGCCAAGAAACGUAAUUAGUAUAGUUGUGGAGUAAUUAUGAAGAGUGGAAAAGGUAAUUAGUAUUUAUUGGCUAGGCAUAUAAUUUUAUAUAGUGACGGAGGUGUAGUAAGAUAUUUUUUCGGCGAAAAGAGGUAACAACACAAUCAUAUUAGAACAGAGGUGAGAAAUAGGUAAUGCUGAGAAUGUUGCGAAGAACUGAAAUGUUUUAAUUCUGACAAAAACAUAUACCUCUCUUUGCAUCAAGAAUUAUAUUGCUGAGAUAAUAUAGAACAAUCGAACAUAUGAGAUAAGACGAUUAUCUGGCACAUGCCAGUGUGUCCGUGAUUUGUUUUCCUUUGGUCGAACAUAGAUGGCAUACUUGAGUAGUGCUGAUGAUGGAGACCAAAAGGCCAUAACUUGCGAAUAUAGUUAUACCAAAGGUUAUAAUUAUUAUCAUAUAAACAUUAGAUAAUUUUUCUAGUCUAAAUGACAAUUCUAAUUUUCGAUCUUGAGGAAAUGUAAUACAUGUUGAAGACUACUAUUCCUCAAUUAAUCUACAUCGACACUGAUAAAAUAUUAUAUUUGACAGCCUUUAUAGAGUGGACUCUGGAGACCCCAAAAAGACACACUAGUAGAAAUAAGGGCUUUCGUCCCAGCUCGAAAACACAUUAGUCCCGGUUCCUUUACGAACCGGGACUAAUGUUAGUAUUAGUCCCGGUUCGAGCGGCAAAGGCGCCGGUCGGGCAUUAGUCCCGGUUCAAAUGGGACCUUUAGUUCCGAUUCGUGUCUCGAACCGGGACUAAAGGGUUUGGAGGAUUUAGUCCCGGUUCGUGUCUUGGACCUUUAGUCCCGGUUCGUAUCUCGAACCGGGAGUAAAGGGUUUGGAUGAUUUAGUCCCGGUUGGUGUCUUGAACCGGGACUAAAGGUGUUCAGAUUUUUUUUGUGUUUUUAAAUUCUUGUUUGUAGUUUCUGUUUUAAAUUGCUUAUAUCUUUUAGGAUAUUUGAUGUUUUUUAUUGAUUCUUUUUGCAUUAGAUUCAAAAUUUUGUCUAGUUUCUGUUUGUGCCAUUAGUUUUCAAAUUUGAAUGGUUUAAAUUUGAAUUUGUUUAAAUUUGCUUCAAACCCAGUUUUUGAUUAACUUGAGUUUACAAAUAGUUUUUAAUUUAAUUCUUUUUGCUCCCACUCAUGUGUUAGAUUGUUAUCACAAUAAGAUUUAUUUGGUUAUUUUUAGAAUAAUUUAAAUUAGGAUUUUAAUUAAACAAAUAUUGUUUUGCUUAUAUAGUUGUUUUAGUCAUCUAGUUGUUGUUUUUUAUUAUGUUUAGUUAGUUCUUUCUGUAGAUUUUAACAUGUUGUAGUAUGGUGCAUAUUUAAUGCACAAAAAAAUCUAUAGUUCAAUUAAUUUUAAAAAAAUGCCUUUGUAGCAGAUGGGUUUUCGUCUGAAACCUUGAUACUUUGAGUUUUGUACAAAAUAAACAAAAAUGAUAAAAUCUUCAAAAAAUAAACAAAAAUGAUAAAAUCUUCAAACAAUAAAAUCCUUUGAGAUGUUGUUAGGUUUUAGUGUCUAGUCGGUAUAGAAAUUUUGAGAUAUGAAUUUUGACCAUUUUGGCAAAAAAAGGAAAAAAAUAAACGGCCAUAACUUUUGCAUACGAUGUCAAAACAAAUAAUAUAUCAAAAAAAACUAGAAAAUAUUGGUACUCGAUUUCACCCGGGCUUGCCCGAUGAAGUUUUCUCACAUGCUCAAAAUUCCAAAUGGAAAAAAAGUUAUUUCAAAAAGAAGUUUUUCCAAAAAAAAAAGAAAAAUAGUUUUAUUUAAAAAUAUUAGGUUGUUUUCAUUGAAAUUCACUAUUAUUGUUACUUAUUAAGUGUAUUUUAGUAAUUGUUUUUAAUUCAAAAAAUUAAAUCAUGUGACAUGACAUCAAGACCCAAGUUGUUUAGGAUUGAUAGCUUACUAUUGUCAGGAAAACAACAAGUGCACACUUGGCAACUAGGGGCGAUAGAACCAGAAAGUUAAGGUGCUCGGGCUGAAGCAGUGAAAGUAUGGGUGAUCGGCCGGGAAGUUAGACGAUUUGAAAUGAGUGAUCCACGCUAGAGCAGUGAGGAUGGGUGAUUAGAGAUUAAAUUGUCAAAUAAUUCAAAGAUUAGAAAAUUGGAAUAAAACAUAAAAAAUAUUCAAAAAUAAAAUUUGAAAAAAAUUAAAAAAAACUACAUUUUCGGGUCAAAAAAAACAGACGGAUCCUUUAGUCCCGGUUCGUAAGUAGAACCGGGACUAAGGGUGUGUUUGAUCCUCCCGCGGCGGCCGCCGGCCGCGUCGGCCGCCCAGAGUGGUUGCCACGCCCGCCCAUUGUUGGCGAUUGGCCACAUCCCUUUGUUUGGAGAAUAUUCCCAGCAUCUUGUUGACUCUAUCCCUCCUCGCCCCAGAUCCAAACUCAUGGCAACCACAGAAAAAACUGGUUAUCCCUGUCCGUGGGAGGAUAUCCCUCCAACCAAAUACACCCUAAAGAUACUCCCUCCGAGGCGGCCACGUGGAGCACCUUUGGUCCCGGCUUGGAACAGGGCCGGAACUAAAGGUUAGGCCUUUAGUUCCGCCCCUUUAGUCCCGGUUGAUGAACCGGGACUAAAGCCCCUUACGGGCCGGGACUAAAGGCCCUGUCACCACUAAUGACACUUACUAAACUAUCAAUCUAGCCGUACUUGAUCAAAUAGAAAGGAGCUAUAACUUGCACAUGGAGACAUGGCUAAACAGCAAGAUAGCAAUACACAGUACCCCUCACAGUUUGUACAUCCAGAAGACCUGAUCAAUUUUAACACGUACAUAUGAACAGGAAAUUCUACUAGUCUUGUAUCACACGUGAUAAAAAUCCUUUACUGAUAAUCAAUUUCCCCAUGCGCCUCACACCCUAAUUUUCUGCAAGACCAAGAAACUCAAUUGAUGCGAUACUGAAUAUCCCAAGAUCUACUUUUUAAAUCUUAUUCACAUUGUGCUAGACUCAUCUUGAAGACAUCAAUAGUUUUUUUUUUGCAGUGAUGAAGGCUUGAACAGUUUACUUAUUUACAACAGAUAAAAUAGACGGGCAAGGCUAGCAUUAGCAACGAUCCUGCGUAGCAGUAGCUAUAUACAAUCAAACCUAAACUAACAGCAUGAGUCGACUAAAAAAGUGCCAGUGUCCUCACCUGAGAUUAUGUAUAUUUUGCGUCAUCUCUGAUAAAGAAUUAUGAAUUAUGAUAGACCCGGAGUGUAUGGGGAUGUAUCUGCCUUGCCGAGUAGAAGCCUUCCAUAGACUAUGUAGCUCCACACCUGUAUUUGUAGUACGUCUCAUGUCAUGGCUCAUGGGGCAUGGGCCAUGGGCCAUGGAAUUCGCUUUCUACUGAAAGAUGUCUCUGUCGCUUCUGUCCAAGGCAUCACGACAGCUAUGGGCUCUUGCAUCGUAGCACGGGCCACUGCAUCACCCGCACCUUGAGCAAUGCUACAUCUACGUAAAUGUUUACGUAAGUUUACGGGAUAGUCUUGAUAGAUCCCGUGGAUCUUAGGCCAGAUGUGUUCGGUAUGAUGUGGAGAUUUAUUACCUUUUAGUUUGCUCGAUGAGCUCCCUCCGGUCGUCCAUCGUGAGGUGGUGACGACGGUGGGGAAGGAGAGAGAUGUAGCAGCGGCGGCGGUGGACUUCCCAUCGCUUCAGUGCAUCCCUCUAGAUCGGAUUAGGGUUAGAGAGUGGGGAACCAGUGGCGGCGGCGAACCUCGUGUCUUGUGCCAUGGUCCUCACCUCCUCUUUAUAGCACUGCGCGACAGGGGCCCACCAGCCUUACUUGGGCUGGACGCCCCCGAUCAGGGUGUGAGUCAAGGUCCAAUGGGCCGUUGGGCCCAUUGGGGAAAGAGAUCAACCUAACAUUCUCCCCAUUGAUCUCAUCAUAUACUUUUAACUUUACCCGUUUCGUAACAGAUCAAUACAUAGGGCAUGUUUCAUGUCACGGCUCAAUUGCUGAUGGACUCAGACAGCCACAAUGUACCUCUCUAUUUUGAGACAGAUUCUUUAACCUUGGGCCCUUUAUUGUCCGGAAAUUUUAGACUAUACCAAAAAAAACCAUGUCGAUUGUGUGUUCUCCGAACGCACUGGGCGGUAAGCCUUUGAUAAGAAGAUCUGCAAACACUUGUUUGUCGCUUUUAUGCUUUCAAGCAUUUUUCCAUAAUUCCGGACUUUCUCCUUCACAACACAUAACUCUUUGUCAGUGUGUUUGGCAUCAACACUUGACUCGUUGUGACAGGAGCGAAAGAAUUUAAAAUGGUUAUCGUUGUUGUCAACCAUUAUCAACUCCGGGUACAGGUAGCCUUAACCAUGUUGCCCGUCCCUCAGCCUCAUAUCAAGCUAUGACAUAUCAUUGCAUCAAAUUGAUGACAAUCGUUUUUACUCAUUUGGAGAUUUUCCACACAAAACACCGAGUAUGAAAGUUAGCGACAAUUGUGGAUUUCGCUAUACAUUUCACAAGUCCUCUUUUGUACUCACAAUGUUUUGAGAGCACUUAUUUCUUUCAUCAUGAGGCCGAUAUCUUUGACUCCAUUCCAUUGAUUUAUCUAUGGACUGGACAUUUCCAAAACAACCUGGAUAUAUACGUGAACUGUGUCAGGGUAAUAUCUUGAGCUUCCAACAACUGAAGCAUAUGGUACCAUAUCCGUUUACAAUCUUUCUUAUUAACUUUUGGAACACCAUAGUUUCCACUUCCAUUACCCAUGACUAUAAGAACAGGCAUAGGUUUUCUCGUAUGCAUACUUUAGAGAUCUUUCUUAGCAUGUUCAUGCGACAUUCCUAAUACCCCCUUUUAUUCUUUUGAACUUUGAGGACAAGAACUUCUUUUCUCCUCCUGCAGUAGAUUGACAUCACCACUAGCAAGUAGGACAUCAUCCACAUGCAUAGGAAUUGGGAAACGAAUUUCCCAUUCUAUGACUUUGCAUGAAUGCAAUUGUCCUCUCAUUUUCUUUGCACAAAAUCUUUCGAUUUAAGUCAUGUUUCACACAUUUACAUAUUUCCUUUCGAGUCACAUUUGCCUUGUAGACCCUUCAUAAAGUCUAUGUUAGNNNNNNNNNNNNNNNNNNNNNNNNNNNNNNNNNNNNNNNNNNNNNNNNNNNNNNNNNNNNNNNNNNNNNNNNNNNNNNNNNNNNNNNNNNNNNNNNNNNNNNNNNNNNNNNNNNNNNNNNNNNNNNNNNNNNNNNNNNNNNNNNNNNNNNNNNNNNNNNNNNNNNNNNNNNNNNNNNNNNNNNNNNNNNNNNNNNNNNNNNCUAACAUAGACUUUAUAGUAGUCACAAGUAUCUGAUUUUCACAUACCUAGAGAACAUUAAAAUCUCAGGUACUGGCACUUCUUUCAUAUGGGGUUGUCGUUGCUCUGUCAUUGCCAAGAGGGAAUUAAUUCUAUAGUCACCCAUUUCCAAAAGGCAAUAGGUUUUACAGGAACCUGUAUCACAAGAUCCCUUGUAGAGCUAACAACAGGUGUUGUAUAGGUCAUACAACAUGCUCCCCCAGAAUACUCCAUCUUCACACAAGAAAUGGCGUAUCUUUAAACUUUCUUCUUUAUGGCACUUUAAGCACCACCGUUGUAUUCCUUAGUCUGCUUUCGGAACUAUAAAAGAUCCGAAAAUACAAUUGUUUCUUUUCUUUAGGGGUAUCAUAAUGACGGUACUCCGAUGACUGUCGUACUCCCCUUGACAAUCACAUUCUUCAUUAAUGGAUCACUUUAGAUGCAUAAUGUGCAUCACAUCAUCUGAAGUACAGAGGAGUCAUGAAAUACACUACAAUGUAUUUCAUGUCUCUAUCUCCCCCUCGAAAUGUGGAAAGAACUUUUCUGCCACAAUUUUGAAACCCAUUCAUAGCUCUUUUGAAAUGAGGAAACUUCGAUUAUCUAGCUCAUUCAUCUUAUCACUUCAUGUAAAAUGAAGUUAUAAGUUAACUAGUAUGGGAGUACUUUUUCCUCAUUUCAUUUCGGAAACUCAAUAGAGUUCUUUAUAGUUGUCACUUUUGCAAGUUACACUUGCAUAUCAUUCUUGUCUUUAGGUUCGUCUGUUACUUUUAUCCUUUCUGGAUUUAGUGAUUGCAUAAUGACCGUUACACAUAAAGUGUACGGUCGAUAAUAGGAAAGCUUAAUAGCUACUCCAUACUUUUCUCCCAUAGUGGGACACAUUAACCGCACAUGAGUCAUCAUAACUUUCUCCUGUCAUAUAGGAUAAGACCUUUGCCAAAAUUUCUCCCGCCAUACACGGAUUGUUAACCUAAUACAAUGUCAACUUUACCCGGUGACGCAGGCAUUCUUCCCAGACUUUUCCCACCAUGCAGGUAAUUCCCUUUAAGGGACAUCAUAAAUGCCAUAAUUGGCUCUUUUGACUGCAUCAAAUUCAGAAAUAAAUCUGAAUUAUCUUUGACACACAUGUUUGAUCCGACGUUGGUCAAAUUAAACAUGCAUGUUGCUUGUUUCAUUUCAAUCAUGUUGACUGAAAAAAGGAGACUCCAUCAUAGAGAGUACAUGAAAGACAUUCGUCAACCAAGACUCUCAAUGAUCUAUCUCUUUUCUUUUCUUGAAUUAAUAUCCAAGAGUUCUUUUCUUUUGAAGCCAUUCUUUAGAGAGAAUUUAUUCCCUCAAGUUAUGACCUUUCUUUUCCAUCUUUCAGGUCACUAGUGCCCAAACAUUCGCUUUCAUGAGUGAAAGCUUGAAUAACUUUUAGUCUGAGAAAACAUAGCCAAUAAACAACGGUAAUGAGCAUUAAAAAUAACCCUACGUUGGUCUGAUUAAAAUCAUGCACAUUAAACCUUUUAAAACUUUCUGGAAUAUUCUAAAACACCGUUGUGGCAGAAUUAGAAUAAAACAUCAUUCUUCUGCAUUAAUUCCAUAUCAUCGUUGGGCAGAAAUGGAAAUAAUGCAUAUAACUCAUAAACAAUGUGAUGAUAGUAUUUCUAUUGAACAACUUUGCUAAUAAAUAAUCAUCAUCAUCAUUAACCAUAUUGCAGCAGAAAUAGAAAUAUGCAUUUCUUUAUCUCUACUCCGAAAAAUUGAUCACUUUGAUACAAAAUUUAUCAGAGAUUUAAGCUUUAAACAUAAGAUGACUCAUACAAUUAUGGUAUUGUUAUCAUCAACGUUGGUCACAAAAUAACAAUACCAUAUUUAACUUUAAAACAAACAUCACUCUAUUGUCAUAGCGGAAACUGUUUGAAUCCUAUUUCACCCACAAGGGAAAAACUUUGCUAAUAACAGUUCUUCUAAUUAAAUUUUCCCAUUGGUUUCAAUUUAAUUGGAGGAUUAAACAUUUACCUUGCAGCGGAAAAACGUGAAUAUAAAAUUCAUGCACCUUUACAGAAAAAUAUUCUGUUAAAAUCAAAAUUCAUGAACUUUAUUUUCCUUAUAUAAAAUCCAUGAACUUUUCAUUUUCUGAAAAAACUCUAUUUAUUUCCAGAAACAUCUACUUUUCUUUGGAGAAAUUUUUUGUCUUUUAUUCUGCACACACCUUUUAUUUAAUUUGCAUAAGGAUGCCUUUCCCUUUUCUAUUUUCUAAACAUAAUUUUCCAAGAAAAUUAUGCAUAGAAAAGACUAUUUUUCUACUUUACAGAAACUUUUCUUUUUCUGAAAAUUAUCUUUAAUUUUUCAGAAACUUUUCUGUUUUUCUUAUCAAGAAAAACUGUCAAUACUUUCUGGGCCGAAACGGGCCCAGUUACCCAGCAGCCGAGCGUGCUCCCGUGCAGCUCCUGACCUGGUGGGCCGCCGGCCUCAGCCGCCUCCCUUUUGGCCCCUUUGGCCCGAAAACUGGCCUGGGAGCGUGUCAUGUACCGCUGGCGGCGCUGGCCCGCUCUUUGCGGCCUAGUUGGCCCGGCUGGGCUAGGGUUAGGCACAGGAGCCAUCCUGGCCGCCCAUCUUGAUCCGACGGUCCCCCGUGGAGAUCGGGGAGACCAAAAACGAGACCGAGCCGGCAGGGGGAACCCUAGCGGUUCAUUCCCUCCCCCCAGCGCCGCUCAUCUGUGUCUCCCGAGCGCACAACCCCUUCCUGCCGCCGCGCCGUUUCGUUCGCCGCCGGUGGCCAGGCCACCGCUUCGCGCGCUCGCCUUUUCGUUUCCCUCCUUAUCUUGUGGCACAUCAAGAGUGAGGGACGCACCAUGCCUCAUGUCUUCCCUCGCGCGUUCUGUUACCGAACGGUGACAGCUCGGCCGCUCCGGCCACCAGCAGCGGUUUCCACCGCGCCGAGCGAGCCCUUUUCCCCUUCCUCUAUUCUUUCCUCCGGCGAGCGAGAGUGAGGGCAGCGAGGCGCGGCUGCGCGCCCCCUCUGCCCCCCGUUCCUAUUUUAGAUCCAGUGAUCUUUCUUUCAGCCACCACCGCCCCAGCGAGAAAGAGACGCGAGCAGAGCCUUCGUCUGCUUCUCUUCGCGCCCGACGACGGUUUCCAGAUGUGGCAGUGGCUGCGCCCCUGCCGACCCCUUCGCCGGUCGUGCGUUCCCCUUGCGGUGAGCGCGCCGCCGUCGAAUGGAUCGGUGGUGGUGCUUGUACUUUGCCCCGAAGGGUGGAUUUCUUUGCAUGUUUUUUUUGUUUGCUUUUUUCGGAUCCAAUCUGAUUCCUUUGUUGGUUUUCCUUUUGGAUCUAAUCAGAUCCAUACUUUUCCUCCAAGGAGGUUGGUUCUUCUUCCCCACACCUCGGCUUGCCGAUGCGUGCGGGGAUCGAGAGGAACAGGCGCGGCCGAGGCGGCACUCUUUGCCGGAGAGGACUCCGGUGAAACCUUUCUUUUCUUUGAUCUUUGCCCUUCUCGGGUUCAUAUCGGGGAGGGGGAAACUUUUCUUGUACAUGUUUCAACCGAAACUCAUCUAAAGCCUCGUGGCUCAUGAUACCAUUGAUAGAUCCCGUGGAUCUUAGGCUAGAUGUGUUCGGUAUGAUGUGGAGAUUUAUUACCUUUUAGUGUGCUCGAUGAGCUCCCUCCAGUCGUCCAUCGUGAGGUGGUGACAACGGUGGGGAAGGAGAGAGAUGUAGCAGCGGCGGCGGUGGACUUCCCAUCGCUUCAGUGCAUCCCUCUAGAUCGGAUUAGGGUUAGAGAGUGGGGAACCAGUGGCGGCGGCGAACCUCGUGUCUUGUGCCAUGGUCCCCACCUCCUCUUUAUAGCACUGCGCGACAGGGGACCACCAGGCUUACUUGGGCUGGACGCCCCCGAUCAGGGCGUGAGUCAAGGUCCAAUGGACCGUUGGGCCCAUUGGGGAAAGAGAUCAACCUAACAAGUCUCACUUGACAAUCAUUGAUUGGAUUAUGAGGAGGAUGAGGCCCACCCACCCCUGAAAAUCAGGGGGGCAUAUUUAGAUUAGUUGAAAGGUUUAGUAAACGUAAGUAAGAUUUAGUAGGUCUAGCAUUUUCGCCCGCACCAUACGUGAAGCCAUGCAUAAUCCUGCUUUUGAUCUCAUCUACCGCCAGGGAGAGUGAGGACGUUUCAGGAGGAGAAGAACACACCAUCAGCCACAGUCGGGCUAGUGCAUCUCCUACUCGAGCGAUGCGGACUUCACAUGGGAGAUGUGCUCCGAGAGAAAUGCCCAAUCGUGGGUGUGUGUCCAUGCCGCAUGGCACCUGGAAGCUAGGGCGCUGCUCCUGUAUGACUGGAAGAUGAGGAGGCCGAUGGAUGGAGACAUGCUGAAUAGUAAUCUCGUCCGCACCAGAUCAAGAAGGAAUCAACAAAGAAGUGGUUUGCAUAUGUACCUUGCAUCUGCACAGCACAAACCAAUCAGAGGCAUGGCUAGCUGCUUGGCCGAAUAAUAGGAGAUCGUUUGUUUUCUAGAAGAAAAAGAAGAGAGAUGGGUUUUCUGUAGGGAGAGAAAGGAGAGAGAUGGACGAUAGGAAUCGUGCCGCACAUGGCUACCCAAAUGUACGCGUUCAUGUAUUCAAGAAAAAAUAAAAAAAGGUAUGCGUUUAUCAUACAACUUUAGAUAGAUCAAUGGUUCUGCUAAAAGAAGAUACAUUAUGGGUUAAAAGAAACUAAUCCUAUUGAAAUAUUUGCACCAUAAAAACUUGGUCCCACCCGAGGAAGGGAUCUCCGAUGAAAAACUUUUUUAACCCUGUCGAAAGAUCUCCACCGUAAUAACUUGGUCCCACAAAAUAAACGGCUCCUAAUUUCUGAUUAACAUGAGAAUUUCUAGAGAGUCCAUAAUUAGUAUAAGUAUAAAUAUAGAUUAUGCAUGCCAUAAACUGAUGCUCAAUAAUAAAACCAACUGAUCCUCUUGUAAAAUUUGAAAGAUUUGUAGGCCAAAUCAUAUUAAAUCAAAGCAUAUUUCCACUCACCAAUUUUGCUAUGAAUUGAUCUAUGCGACGUAUUUUGAAUGGCGACAGGCAUAAUGUCUCAACUCCAUGCAAGCAUAAUACAGCUAUACGUAUAAAUUUCCACUAACACAUACCUUGUCUCACUCUCCAGUUGAACUAAGGACAAUGCUAGAAUACUGCACCAUAUUUUUUGAUACAUUCUUAGGGCGAUUGAUAAACAUUGGUGAUUACCAUAAUGUCCAUGUAAACUUCAUCCACCAAAGCCCGUAUAGCCGAAAUAAACAAAUGAAGUGAUAAAUCAAGUAUUUCGGCCCUUUGGAUCAACAACGAACUUAUAGAUAAUCAAAUGUAUAGUGAUUUGGUAAUACCCCUUCAUGAUAUAAGAAAUUAUAUUGCAUCCAUCAAUCUAAAUAAGCCCAUACAGGGUAACCGAUCAUACAUCUGACGUAAUUGUUUUUGCUUCCAUCCUACUAUUUCUUUCCUUUUGUAACACUUGUUGGAAUAGAAGGUUGCACAUCAUUUUUAUUUUUCAAAACCCAAGUCAUGUUGUUGUGUCUCAGCUCUUGUGCACUAAGCUUUUAUAGUUCCUUCAUUUUCCAAUACGUUAAGCCGAGUGGACGCCUCGACUGUGGUUUUUUUUUUCAAGCAAUGGUAACUCUUUUUUGGCCUUGUAUACUCUCAACUUCUUCCCUUCAGAUUUUGCACUUUAAUUUUAACAAUUGAUUGCUUCACUUCUUUACCUUUUGUAGCCAAUACUAACUCUUUAAGUGGUUCCUUAUAUUUUUCGACCAAACCUGAAUUGGCACUCUUGAGACCAUCUUUUUUACUCGAUAUACUUGUUUGAUCACCUUUUCUUUUUUCUUGAGCUCCGAAUUAUUGAAAUGAUUUUGAACAUAUGACUACUCAUUGAAUGUUAGUAUUCUUGGAGCUGUAUAAUAUUGGUGAUAUGGUUAUAAGAAGAUGGAGAAUGUGCCCUUGAAUCAUACCUAUCCCAUGAUGGAUACAGAUUUACGCGAGCAUAGGGAGGCAUCCACGACACUGGCAUUGGCGGCCCAAAUUAAGGAUAUGAAUAUGUUGCAUUGAAAUUCUCGCUUUCUCAAACCGAUCCUUGGUUCUGCGCCUAGGGGGUGAUCUUGAUGCUUUUACAUUAUUUAGUCGAUAAGCCCUUUUUAGCACAUUCAAUUCUUAUAUUUAAAGUUUUGAUUUUUUUUAUCCUUUUGCUUAUUUUGACCUUUUUUCUCCUUUCUUGCAUCAACCUUUGGAUUUUCUUGCUUCCCCCAGAGCUUGACGUCUUCAUUCCAGCUUCGGUGGAAUUCUUGUCGUCAAUAAUAUCUUCAAUGUGAAGUUGAACAAUCUCUUUAGAAAGCUUGAUUCCAUCCCCUGAAGUUUUUGCCUUCUCUUUAAAUGGAUGGUUUGAAGAAACCCAAGAAAAAACUUUUUGCCAUCAUGACCCAUCGGAAUAGACUGGUCAUCCCAUGUUCUUUCAACAAAUUUCAAUUUUCCUUUUUCAAUGGCCGAUUUAGCUAUUUGACGAAACAUGUUGCAAUCCUCAAAACUAUGUUUGAAUGAAUCGUGCAACUUACAAUACAUUUGUCCUUAGAUAGAUGGCUUUACAUGGUGACCAAGAAUUCUAAUAUAAUCAUUUUUAGCAACAAAUCAAAGAUUUGAUCACACAUCCUUGAGUUAAAUGUAAAUCUCUUAUUUUGCCGAUCUUUCUAUGAGAAUGGCUUUGGAAGUAAGAAAAUGAAUGGUUUCGAUUUGGCAUCUCCCCAUUCGCCUAUGAAUUUCUUUCGCAUUCUUUUUCCGAUGUCAUUGUGUAAGAAAUUAUACUAGCAUCGGUUUUCUCAAAAGUAUUUAACCUUGGCUUCAAGUUACUGGAAAGAAAAUAGCUAGAACAUACAUGCCUCAAUUGAGGCCAAGUGUAAGCCAAGUAUGAAACAAGCAAAGCUACCCAUGUAGAUAUAAACUCUAAAUAAAACAAAAGGGAAAGCUUCAAUUGUAAUAAUUUUUCACUAUCCGUCUUUUUGAAUGGUGCGAUAUGUUGACCAAUAUGCUUUGUCAUAAUAUGAUUGCUAACAAUAAAUUACCCUUAUUCAUUGGUCUCUCAGUAUUACUUAUGAAGAUUUUUCUAAUAGAUGCAUCAACAACAAAGUUAUGAACAAAUUGUAAUAGAGGUAAAUUACUUGCUAAACGUACCUCUUCGGUUAGGUUGGGAGAGAAUGAUGGUUGCAUGACAUGAAUAAUAUCAUGCUUUGUUUAUGGAUGGCUUCCCAACACCUCAAAUCCCUGAUUUUCUUGGUUUGUGCAUCAUUACAUUGAAGAUGUUUGUCAACUGAACUUUGUUCAGCUACUUGUUCUUGUCCUUGAAGCUCGUCAAUUUGUAUGGCACUAGACUCAUAGGGCAGGAAGUAGGUUCCAUUAACUUCAAAAUAAUCAAACAUGGUUACUAUUCUAUCGUUGCCAUGACCUUUCUCAAUAAUCCUUUCCUCUUUGGAUUUGAUGGAUUCAUAAUAUAUACUACUUGAUUUGGCUUUUUCAACCGAGCACUUUCAUGUUCAGAAUCAUCCUUAUUUUCAUUGAUUCUACAAACUCGCAAUAAUUAUUGAAAGGAUCGAUAUGGUUGACUAUAGGGGUGGCUAAUAGAUAACUAACAAUUUUUAAGCUUUACUUAAUCAAUUAAACUUUAGCAACAAAUAGGUUUUCUAAAUAUGCAACUAAGAGAAUGACCUAUAUGAUGCUAGCAACAUGAAUAACAAGUAAGUAAAUAAUGCAAGUAAGGGAAAGAAGUAACCACAAGUGGAACUGAUGAAGACGAGGAUGUGUUCCCAAAGUUCCUUCCCACAUGGGUAAGUACGUCUCCGUUGGAGCGGUGUAGUGGCACUAUGCUCCCCAAGAUGCCACUAAGACCACGAUAUUCUCCUCACUCCCUCACACAAUGCGAGGUGCCGUGAUUCCACUAGUGGUGCCCUUGAAGGUGGCGACCGAACCUUUACAAAAAUGGUUGGGACAAUCUCCACAGCUGAAUUGGAGGCUCCCAACGAUACCACGAAGCUUCACCACAAUGGAAUAUGGCUUCGAGGUGACCUCAACCGUCUAGGGUGCUAAAACACCCAUGAGUAACAAGAUCAGCGAGGGAUUAGUGGGGGGAUCAAAAAUUUCUUGGUGGAAGUGUAGAUCAAGGCCCUCUCAACCAGACCCUCGAGUAUCAAGAAGUUUUGUUGACUAGGGAGAGAGAUCGGGUGAAAAUGGAGGAACAAUGGAGCUUAGGGUUAGGAAAGGUGAGGUUGUUUGGGAAGAAGAACCCCUUUAUAUAGUGAGCGAAAGAACCUGCCCGUAACCCACCUGUUCUGCCCGUACAAGAGCGGUGCUACCGAUGAUAAGAGGUAGUAUCGCUCCAAAGUGAGCGGUACUACCGCUCACGCACAGGACAGCCGAUCCGAGUGAGCGGCAGGGGCUAGUAGUACUGCCGGAGUGGUACUACCGUUGCCAGAAGCGGUACUACCGCUCAUAAGAGUUAGUACUGCAUCCUACAUCCGCUCGGGGAUCAGUUGCGGUCCUAGCCCAGAAAAAAAAGGACUCCCGACAUGGUAGUAACAAGCGGUAAUACCGCCCAACGGGCGGUACUACCGCACAGUCCGACACAAAAAGUGUCGAGAUCCGCGGGCAGCAGUACUGGCCAACGGACCAAGCUCGGCAACAUCCGCCCUGGAGCGGUACUACCGCCAGCCUGUGUGGUACUACCGAUGACAAGAGGUAGUAGCGCUACCAGGAACGGUACUGCCGCUUGGGUAUUUAUGGACAUUGUUGGGCAAGGGAAGAAGCUCCAUUGAGGUGGGAAAGAUGUUGCGAGGGAAAGUGUACGUGAUGAUUCCACCCAGACCUUUCCGAGGCGGACCCUCUGUUAAUAGUAUGGCUUUUCGUGCGACUCAAGUCCACCGACAACGAAACGUAAGAGAGAAAGCCGUCUUCAUAUCAAUACACCGAGGGGCAUGCAUCGUCUUUGUGCCAAAUGAGGAAAUACCUGAAAGGCUUAGGGCACAUGAUUAGUCCGCAAAAGUAUUGUCAUCAAUCACCAAAACCACUAGGGUAGAAAUAUGCCCUUACACUUAUUUUAUUUCAUCCAAUUAUUUUCCUUCUUAUUUCUAACGGCGAGCGGCAAUUUUGGUUUUAAGUUUUUUCUCAAUUUCAGCCCGCUCAAGAUAUGAUUGCCUCCAAAUCUUUUAGAUUCUUUCGCAAUGACACACUCGUGUUGUCGAAAGUUGGCAAUUGUGUAGCGCGUGUAUAAUAUGACAUAGGACUAGGUGAAGGUGUAUGUAUUGUUGCAAAACCAUAUUUUUGCUCGCCAAUUUUAUCAUUUGGAAAAGAUUCAUCCUCUUAUAAAACUCUACUUUUAUUGCAUUAUAAUGAGGAACUAGCCCCUUAUCAUGCUCUUCAAGGCAAAGAGCACUUCCCUUGUUGUUUCAGGACGUGUCUCUUUUUAAUAUAGGUACUUCCAUCCCGGCCGUAAGGGAUUGCUCCACAAUACUUUUAGAUCUCGACAAUGCGAUGUUGCCAAAAUUGUGCAAUUGCGUAGAGGAUGCAUUAUAUGCUACAAUAUUAGAUGAUGUCAUGUGCACUCCUGCACAAUUUUCACUUAUUCAACUAUGACCAUGAAGCUUUGAAGUUGAAUUGUGAGCAUCUACAGUUGUGUACGGUGCCAAAAAAUUACUAACACAUGAGGUGUAGCAUAUGACGGUUGACAGUAACUGGUCGAAUAGUUAGUGGUAGCAUGGCCAAUUCUCCCAUCCAUCAGCAAUGGGGUAUUUAUUCCAGGCCGGCGGUAUCAUUGUUGAGCGAUCGCUCGGUUGAACUAGUACAUUGUAAAUUAGCUGUCCAAGAAUAAAAAGGUCAAACACUUUGUUGCAUGCUAUUGGAACUUCCUACACAAUGUGUUUCAAUUUGAUUGACCAAACUCAUCAUGUUGUUCAUCCGCAUAACGAUUUGUGGAGUUGCUGAUGGAUGAGAGUUUAAAUACAUAUGGUGCAUGUUACUAGUAUCAUAAGUUGAAGCACGUAUAUAACCUUGAAUUGGCCUUUGCAUGUGAUUAGAUGCAUGAUUGAAACAACUAGGGAUGGUCGAUAGAGUAUACUCAUUGAACGAUCUAGUAAUACCAUAUGAAUUAUUUGUAUGUACACUAGGGAAUUGGGUAUUCGUAUCACCUUUGUAGAUUUCAAACCCUAGAUGACGGUCUCUUCAUACCAAGAACGGGUUAGGGAUUGUUCGAAGUUUCGUCCCUAGCAGAGUCACCAAAAAGUGUGUUCGCACACGAACACAUUACUGUGCACCCUUACUGUCGAGGGUGACACAUUAAAGGAGACCAGUUUGAAAAAGCGGUUCACAAGUAGUCCGACGAGCACUUUUGUAGAUCCGAAACUCCCACAUGGCCGAAAGGGACCCCGUCAAAGCGCAUGGUGGCUAUGGGCUACAUUAGGUCGACCUGACCGCCCCUAGGGCCUUGUGGUUCGCCCAAUAGGAAGAACGAACAAAAGAACGAGGAAGAAGAAGAACUAGGGUUAAGGAGAAAAGUUAAAGGUAAAAAUUGGUAGAUUGAUUUUGCAGUUGUGUGUUGUUCAAUCGUCUGUCAUCUCUUAUCUAUUUAUGAGGCGAUUGGACUUUCCAUACAAGAAAAGGACAAAAAAAAUCCGUUUCAAAUAUCUAAAAUCCUAACCUAACUCGGACAGGAAUCUUUUGUAAUUUUCCGUCUUAAUUCGGGCCCUCCAAGUGGUUUCGUUCAGUCUCACCGAGUGGACGUUGCCAACUUUCUGUAAUCUUUUGUAUCUCACUCGAAAGUUCCAAAUGGGUUUCACUCGGUCUCACCGAGUGCACUGGAUGCUUCGUGAAUUUUUUUUCCAACACCAACUCGGUCUCACCGAGUCAAAUACACUCGGUCUGUCCAAAGUGACUCUGCGGUUUUUGUUCUUGACCUUAUUUUGACUCCACAGGUCGCAUACGAUCUAAGAUUAAGAUAAUUUUUCUAUCAAAUUCAACCAUUUCGAUGAGCCAGACAACUUUGAUGUUGAACACAUUUUCAUCAGAGUCCAUCUUAAUUAUGUUUCAUGACAUAUUAUAAUCUAAUAUCAACACGAGCAUGUGUAAAAUUUCAUAACUUUUGCAUCUGAACUCCAUUUUGGCCCAUCCUCGUAUCCAUCUUUGAUCUCCUUGAAUAGAACAGAACCAUCCGAAGGUGACUUUCAAUCGUAAGUUUGAAUUAAUUUUGACAUAGCUUAAGUUACUUUUAUGACUGUCACUUUUGAGCGCCGACAAUGGCCUAGUAUUUUCCUGGAGUUGUUGCCACUCUCUUAUACUUCUCCCGGAAGAGUUUUUCUGAUAGCCAUUCUGUCCAAAUCGUUCUCCAGGCUUUCUUCACUGUCUUAUUCUUUAAGAAGGCAAUGAGUUGUAUCUGUGAAAUUCUGUGUCAGCAAUUAGUUAUAUCUGUGAAAUUCUGUGUCAGCAGUGCUAUAUCGGGCUCUAGUGCGCCGCCCAUACUUGACAGCGAACCCAGCCUGUGCCAUGGUAUACCAUGAAGCGGAGACGUGCUCAUGGGCCCUGCGCUGAUCGCCGUCCAUAUCCGAUUCCAGCGAUUUGACACCGAAUCAGCCUACCUAUCUCACUGGGCAUGUUGGACCUCCGGUAGGCACACGUCGACAUUGCUUUCCAUAUAUUGUAUGUUGUCAUCCUCACACCACGAAAUUGUACUCUGCACAUUAGUUGAUGGGUAAUAAAGCAACGAAAAGGACAUGCACAACGCUGCACCCUCGCAGAUUCACCCAAAGGCUAGGUUGUUCACGCAUCAGGUGGACACGCUCUAGCUCUCGAACUUUCAGAAGACCAGAUGGUAUGUCAGUUGGCAAUCCUUUUCCCUUUCUGUCGUUUCUACGGACACUGUAACUUGCAUGGUUAAUUAUCUGCCGCGGUAUACCUUUAUUCUUGAGGUUGGUCCGUAGUAUGGGUUGGAUCAAUGGUGUUCCCAUUGCGUUGGUCAUAUUUCCGUUGUUCCUUUUCCUUCGUAGUACCUGCUCACGAAUAUACACGUCGAACAGAAUGCAUAAAACAGAAGCGCUUACAUCCAAGUUGGCAUAGAUGCACGUACUCCAGACUUAACUAAUCACACCAUCAUCACCAUGCAUAAAAGGGUUAUGCACUACCAGCUUUGAGCGGUGCCCAUGAUCCAUUGUCAUCGGCUUCCGCUUUUCAAAGUAUAAUAGACCAAACGGGAGAUCAGCUCAUAUGCCGUAAUUAUUGUUGCCCACGGAGCUGACAGCACAUCUUAGCUUCAUGUUAUCUGUAAAACUCUAACUCGUCUCGAACGUAGCUGUGAUGUCCUCUGUUUUCACGGCAUGCACGCAUGAAUAAGAAUAGAAUGUACUCCAUACGUGCUAGCUCGUUGUACAUCUAAUUAGUUUAUUACUAGACCACUCUUCGAUUAAAAAGUAACAUUAUCAGGCCCUUCCCGAUUGAUGAUCCUAGGCAGUAGCACUGGCGUAUUCCGCGUUCAUCUCACGCUAUGCACUAUGAUUAUCUCACGGCUCUCAAUCGGUAACAGUUUCCAGUAGUACCAAAUCAAGUCCAAUGUUCUGAACCUAACGCUAUUGUAGCUGCAAUGUUCGUAGCUAGCUAGUGUCCACGCACAUCAUUGCGCUCUUGCACACGAUUUGGUCAUGUGGGAAUCAUCAUCCUUAACCUGUGCACCUCAGUCCACUCAACGUAGCUGCAUUCAUUCAGGCUAAACACAGUAGGAGUAACUUAGAGCAUCUCUAACAAACCUCGUAAAAGGACACCACCCGUAUAAUUCUGACGAGUAUCUGGUUCUGGUGUGUUUUUCUUAUCAGGACAGACUCCAUAUCCCGUGCGCGGCCCCUAAAAAGUUUAGGGUGGCCUGAAAAAAGGCCCUCUCCAUCAUUAUUUAUGUGGUUUCAUUGUUCGGAUACGGGUCAAACCCUAUCCGCCUUCGCCGCCGCUCCACCACGAUUCCCCUCCCCCUUCGCCCCAAUUUCUCGUCAUCGACGAGCCUAAAAAAAGUCCUAGCGACCCUUCCCGACCCAUGAACGACUACGGAAGUGGUGGGGAUGACGCGAAGCGCCGCCGACGCCGCACGCAAACGGAAGGGGGGGAGUGGAUCAACUAUGGGAGCCGGCUACCACCGACGUUCGAACAUCGCGAGGUCGACGAGUACGAGCGAGAUCUCGCGGUCCACGUCCAAGGAGAUCUUCCUCGAGCAGGGUGUCGCGGCGUCGCACGCGCAAGCGUCCAAGGAGACGGACCUGAUCAUCGACCUCAACUCCGACGAGGACUGAGCACAUCUGGCUCCUCCGUCAUAUCAUGGCCGACGCAGGCUCGUGUACACUGCACGGCCCGCAGAUCUCCCCCUAUGUAGCACUAUGAUGUAGUAUGAUAAGCAACUUCUAUGAUGCAGUAUGAUAAUCAACUAUGUAUGAUGAAUGCCAUUGUAAGUUUCUCCCAUUAAUGUUUUUUCCCAAAUUUUAUAGUUUCAUAUACGGGGUCUUUAUCUGCAGCGCAUAAAUUAGCCCCGCAAAUCUGAUCUGUGGCGAACUAUAAACGUGCUUUUCGGGUCCAACUUUUACGGGGUCUGUUAUACAAGUACAUAACACACUUCAAGGCAGGUUUAUUUAUGUGGCAAGCAGUUUAUAAUGCAAGAGGUGAUUCUGCUAUAAUAAUACACUACCAAAAGAGUUGGGCGAGCUUUACUGCACCAUUAGUGUUGUUGGGUUUUCAUGUUUUAUUGUCUCAAUCUGUUUCAAAAUAUAAGGUCUAUUAGUUUUUUAAAAGUCGAACCUCUUUAAGUUUCAUCAAAUCUGCAGAGAAGUAUAUCAAAAUCCAUAAUAUGAAUUUGGUAUCACUAGAUUCAUCAUGAAAUAAAUUUCUAUAUUUUAUUUUAUUUUAUUUUGUAUUGUGGAUGUCGAUAAUUUUGGCUGUGAACUUGAUCAAAGUCAAAGAAAAUUGACUUUUCAAAAAACUAUUACACCUUAUAUUUUGGAAGUGAGGAAAUAUUUGUUUUCGCGAGUGGGAAAGAUGGUGGCGUGUGUUUUAUUUUAAUUUAUAUAAUGUGGUGUUUUGGUGUGUCUUUCGCACUGUGAUUCUUUGUUAUCUGCGAAUCAACUCAUAUUUAUGUGAGGAAUUUUUUUGCGUCACUGAGUGCAUGUACUAAAUUGGUUCUAGUGUAUCACAUGGUGGUGCUUCUUUUGUCUAGGUGAUGAGAGGAAGCGCGGAAUUGAUGUGUUUUAUAGGCUGGUUGUUGCUAAUUGAAUUGAAAAAUCGUUGGCCGGUAAAAUCAUGAAUCAAAUUCAAAACUGAAUACCUCAUUCGAAUGGAAGAGUUUCAAAUUUAGGAAGCAUGGUGAAUUAAUUGGAAUGAGAGAACUCCUUGAGAAAUUGAAUGAAAUCGGAUGACCCAAUUCUAAAUUGGGGACCUCAAUUGAUUAUGAGCGCUUCAAAAUCAGUGAGCCUCGUGUAUUAAAAGAAUUGAAUGAGUGAACUCCUUAAGAAAUUUUUGACCCUAUCAAAAUCGUAUGACCCAAUUUUAUUGAUUGCGAGGCCUUAAAAGUUAGGGAACAUAGUCUAUAGUACUAGAAAGACUGGACGUGAUUUGCUGCAUCGUUGGUGUUGUUGGGUUGUUAAAUAAUUACCCAUUCUGUUUCAAAAUAUAAGAUGUAUAUUAUUACGUUUUUGAAAAAUCAAACCUUUUAAGUUUGAUCAAUUUUGUAGAGAAAUAUGUCAAAUCACAUAAUAUUUAAUCAGUGUGAUUAGAUUCAUCAUGAAAUGAUUUUCUAUUAAAAAAUAAUAUUGUGGAUGUUGAUAUUUUUUGCUCUCGUUGUUGGUGAAAUUUGACUUUUCGAAAAACUAAUACCCCUUAUAAUUUGAAAUUGAUGGAAUUUACUUUGGCCGAUGAAGGAGAUGAUGGACUGAGUUUUAUUUUUAUUUAUAAUGCGUUGAUGUGAUGACCUUUCAUGGUGUGAUUAUGUGUUAUCUCGUAACUGAUACGUCUUCAACGUAUCGGUUAUUUAUGAAGUAUUCAUGUCAUGUUUGUCUAUGUUUACAACACUUUUAUAUGGUUUAGAUGCACUUUAUAUGAUUUAUUUAGAACUAACCCGGACUGACGCUAUUUUCUGCAGAAUUAUCGUGGGUUUUUUUGUGUGUGUUGAAAAUGAAAGUUCUCGGAAUCACCCAAAACAUUUAUAUAUUUUUUCUGGAGGAAAUAAGCAACAUUGGAGCGAAGAACUACCGGAGGGGAGCCACCUGUGGGCUACAAGCCAACAGGCCCCCACCCCCUAGGUCGUGUUGUGAUGGCUUGUGGGACCACAUGGCUCCGUUUGGCGUGAUUCCAACACUGAAAAAUCCUAUAUAUACUAAAACCUCCAGAAAUAAAGAAAGACCUUCUGCUCGGCUGGCACAACUCUCACUACUAGGAAAAACCUUAUAGGCAUUAUGUUGCAUAUUAUCGUUCAAAUUAUGUUGCAUAUUAUCGUUCAAAUCAUGCCUCUUUGUUUUCUUAAGUACAUUAUGUUGCAUAUUAUCGUUCAAAUCAACAACUCACGAUGCAGGUACCUAGAUCAGAGAUGGCGAAGGACUACUACGCCGUGUACGUUGGGAGGGUUCCAAGAGUCUACGACCACUGGCCAGCCGCUCAGGCCCAGGUGCACAGGUACCCGGGUGCUAGCCACAGAGGGUUCGACACCAGAGCCGAAGCGGAAAGUAGUUACUUGAGGUGGGGUACUACAUAGCCGCGCUCUUCAUCAUGCUGAUUGCUCUUCACUUCUACAUCAUGUUGUAGAUAGAGAUGAUGAAACUUGUGGGUGUGUCAUGACCAUGCAGUUGUACUUAUUCGAGACAUGACAUGAUCGCACUUAUGUAUUGCUAUUUUUGAGAUGAUGUGAUGAUAUUUGUGUUGAAUGAUGAUGAUGAUGAUGGUAUGACGAGACUACUGUAUGUCUAUGAUAUGUGAGAAUAGUGUAUGUUUAAUAUGAUGUGAUGAAACUAUUGUAUAGAGCAUGUAUAAAUACACCACAAAUACGUAGAGGGUGCAAAUCUGUGAAAGCAGAAAUACUUACCAGUAGCGCUUAAAAAUACUUACCAGUAGCGCGGCUUAGCAGCAACGCGCCAUAUGAACAAGCGCUACAACUAUAGUUAUCAGUAGCGCUGGACAAGGAAGCGCUACUACUAACACUACUUACCAGUAGCGCUGCCCAUACCAGCGCUACUACUAGGGUUUAGCUGUAGCCGAUAGCAGUAGCGCUUGGCCCAGCGCUACUACUAUGCAUAUUUCAAGCGCUACUACUAGGGUUUUCCCUAGUAGUGUCUGUGUAUCGACGAGAAACCAAUCUGAAUAGAAAAAACAGUAGCGAAAACAGGAGAGAAAUAGAGAGAGGGGUCCAAUCUUGGAGGGGCUUUCGCCCCUCCGGGAGCCAUGGUGGCCAAGGACCAGAGGGGAGAACCUCUCCCCAUCUAGGGAAAGGCCAUGAAGGAGGAAGCCUAAGGGGGAGACACUCUCCCCUCUGUUCCUGCAGCGCUGGACUGCCUUUGGAGGAACCAUCCCCGUGGUGAUCGUCUUCAUUAACAUCACCGUCUACAUCACCUUUGCUCAUCUAUCUAUGGCGGUUCACUCUCCCACAUCCCAUUGUAAUCCCCUACUUGAACCUGGUAUUUCACGCCACAUAUUAUUAAUCAAUGAUGUGUUUCCAUCCUAUGAUGUUUGAGUAGAUUUAUGUUGUCCUUUGGGUUGAUUGAUUUUUGUGUAUGUUUUAUUUUGUGUUGUCCUAUGGUGCCCCUCGUGUAGCACGCACGUGAGGGAAUUCUUGUUGUAGGGUUUGCAAUAUGUUCAUGAUUCGCUUAUAGUGGGUGGCUAGUGUGACAUGAGAUUACAACCGAGUAAGGAAGUUGUUUGCCUACGGGAGUAAAGGAGACUUGAUGUUUAAUAUUAUGGUUGGGUUUACCUUCAUGAUCUCUAGUAGUUGUCGAUGCUUGCUAUAGAUCAAGUCAUAAGUUCAUAUGAUCCAAGUACGGAAAGUAUGUUAGCUCAUGCCUCUCCCUCAUAUAAAAUUGUAAAAAAGAUUAUCGAUCUUUGUUAUCUAUUGCCUAGGAUUAUUCCGCACUCCAUACCAUCAUUCUUCCACACUAACUAUUUGUAAUAUAUUCUAAGUUUAUUUAAUGGAACAACUAUUUUCAUAUUUUUGUUCCCCAAUAUCAUGCAAAGUUACCCUCUUUAUACCCAAAAACAUACUUUUAAAUAGCGAAGAUAGCAUCCGCUAUUGCGUCCGCAACAGCGCUAGCGCCAUAGCGACCGCUAUCACUAAAAUUAAAUGGCAUUAGCUUUUCUUCAUGUUCUAGUGAUAUAAACAAGAAUUUAGUGUUUUUACAAAUCUGUUGCGCAGACAAAGCACCUGCAGUCUCGCGUGCUAUCCUCAUUCCACCAUGCUUAACCCAAUCCGCUACGAGUCCGCUAUCCGCUAUUUAAAACCAUGCCCACAACGCAAUUUUAUUUCUUGUUACUAGAUAGAAGCAAACGUUCGGUGUAUGUAGGGUUUGGUAAAUAGGACUUGAGAUAAUAUUGAUCUUACCUUUAGCUCCUUGUGGGUUCGAUACUUCAUACUUAGAAAUUCCUUGUGUAGAAAAUGCUAUGAUGAUUUCUUGCACUUGGGGAUUAUCAGUAGCCAACAUAUAUUUAUACAGGAAAUUUUAUGUGUCGGCAACUGCAUUGGUAUGUUGAUGUUACAUUAUCACAUGAUGGUGUUUAUUUUUAUGGGUGGUGGGAGGGUGCAUGGAAUUGACAUGUUUUUUAGGCCAGUGGUGCUCACUGAUUUGAAAAUCGAUGGUCCGACGAUAUCGCAAACCGAAUACAAAAUUGAAUACCUCAAUUAAAUGAAAGAUGAUGAGGAUAUGGCUACCUUGGGUACGAUAAAUAAUAUUUUAUAUUUGCAUAUUUAUGUGGUGAUUUAUUAUAAUAAUUAUGUAAUAAUUUAUUUGUGUUAUCCGGAACAAAAAUACUUCACCUAUUUUUACUCCAUGCCUAAAUGUAGAAUUAUCGAACGUUUGCACGAACCACAUGUGAAGAUAAAGAAAGAGGAAAUAAUUAGGUGUUGUUAAAGAAGUCGUUUCACAUCAAAGGAAAUUAUUAUGUGUUGUUCAAGAAGUUCUCUCACAUUACUUUUGGGCCAAGAGAAGAUAAAGUUCAAGUCUCUGACGUUCUUGACUCAGAUUCGGACUGCACACACAUACGUGUCUCAAAACAUCAACAACUUUUUCAUACGGACUCUGAAUUGGGUGAUUCUUUUUUUUGUAAAUUACAUUUUAUGUGCGUUCCAUCCCAAUUAGAAUCGCCUUAAAAUUCUUUCGGACCGUGGAGAUGUCGACGAAACAAUCUGACGUUGCACGAGAAUUCGAGUCAAACUACAAGUCCAAAGGUGUCGCAUCACCUCCACUUGGGCCCAUAGGCCUUGUACGACCUAUGGUUAGUUUUAGGCUGCCUUGGGUUGUCCUCCCACCUCCAUGACCGCCACCCCUUGAUCCUAUAUAAGUAGAUCUACCUAGUAUCUUUUUUAUGGGGAUUUGUUUAGUUAAAUUUAAUGGUAUUUCCGCGGCAGAUGCCAGGAGUGGCUUAGAAUGUGGUUUGGGGUCGAUGGACGCCAGCGACGUCUAGGAACGGGUGAUGGAGCGAGACAUAUGACAUCGAUCUAUCCAGGUUCAGGGUCCUCCGAUGAGGUAAAAAUCCAUAGUCCUGCCGGUUUGACUAUAUGAGAUCACAAUACAAUGGUCCUCCUUGAGCUAUUCGUGAGGAGGGACACGAAGCUCUUGCUGCCUCGGUGGUAUGUGUCUAAGGGUUCGCUAGUUUUCUUCUCCCAUUCUCUUAGGGGAUUGGGGUUCGGAUUUAUAGUGUAGCCAAAUGUAUGCAAUAAUGGGUAGAAAUGGGGUGCGGGGCCCGACUUUCAGCCUCUCUACCUGGCUGUGAGGCUCGCCGGCUGUCGGAUCUUGUCUGGCGCGGGUCCCGUCGGACGUGUGCUGCGGCGAAUAAUGCACCGGCCGCCAGGGAGUUGGUAGGGGUAGGCCCUAGCGGCCACCUCGCUCGGUCAGCCUCGGGCGUAACCGGUGGUGCUGUAGCCACGCCGAGCCUUGCAUGAUGACGCGUGUAGCUGCGCCGGCACUGUCAACAUGCACUGUAGCCAUGUGCGCCCCUGCGCUGAGGGUAUGGUCUUGUUCAUCGUACCUCAAUAUGACCGGAUGGGAUUGGCGCUGACCCACUUGCUGCUGCCAGCCGACCCGUCGUGCGCUGGCCAAACGAGCCGUCUGUGGCCAUCCGGCCAAGGGCGCCCAGCCAAAAGGGUCAAACGCCAAUAUUCGGCCCGUCACACGGUGGCUAGGCGAGCCGCGUGUAUCCAGCCGCCUAGGGGGGCAGACGGCCCGAAUGUCAAGCAGAGGGAUUCCCUCUGCUUUGGUAUACCCAAGGGCCAUAACCCCGUUAGUAGCCCGCAAAACCGUUGGGGUCUGGAGGCCUCCAGGCGAGGGGCCAGUGGUUUAUCCCUCCCCUCCGCCUGAAGGUGUUAUCGAAGUUGAUACGCCCGCCGGAGCCGGCGAGCGGGGACGCGUGUCCCCAGCCGGCUGUGGUGGCAGCCGGUUGUGUCUUAGUCGAACAUUGCGGCGCCUCGGAGGGUCGGAGGUAGAUAAGAGGCCCACCACCACGCGCGCGAUGGGACAUCGCUACAUGCCCGACCUGGCACACCUCAGCCCACGCGCGGUAUCAUUUGUGGCCGUGGACCGACGGUUGUGGUUACCCACGCUGUUUAAUGCGCGUGGGGAUCAUGUGUUAGUGGGGGACGUGGGCGUAACCGAUCGCACGCCCCCACGUCUCCCCCGAGGCUUUAAAAGGGGGGAGACCCGUUUCGCCAUUGCCUCCCCUCGUCCCACCUUCAUUUUUCCCUUGCGAUGGUGCUCUCCGUCGUCGUCCUUACUACUCACGCCUGGAGCACUCGCCGCUGCCGCCACCCCUCCUCGCGGGCGGAGCGCACACCGCCAUCUUUCCUCCAUCCUUCGCAUGUAGUGCCUCCCUGUGGUCGAUCCUAUCGGGAGUUGCAUCUCUCGCCUCCUUUUCUCCGCUUCAUUGCCGGCGACCGACGAGAUGGUCGGACCACCCGCCGGCUCGUGGGAGGGCUCGAUCAUGACGGAUGAACACAUCGACUACCUCCAGCGGACGCGGAAACUCCCGCCCGCGGAGCUUGAUACGUGUCCAACGUAUCUACAAUUUACGAAGUAUUCAUGACAUGUUUACAAUAAUUCUAUAUGAUUUUGGUAUGAUUUCAUUAGAACUAACCCGGCUCAUGUUGUUUUCAGUAGAGCUACCGUGGUGUUGUUUCUGUGCAAAAAUAAAAGUUCUCAGAAUAGGCUGAAAAUUUACGGAGAAUAUUUUUGGAAAAUAUGAAUAAAAUGGAGCAAAAAGAUAUCAGAGAGGAGUCCCAAGGCAGUGAUAAGCCACCAGGCCCCCCCCCUAGGGCACUCCCCUCGCUUAUAAGCCCCUCGAGCACUCCCCUGACGUGAUUCCAACGCCAAAUAUUCUUAUAAAUACAGAAACCCUCGAAAAGAAACCAAGAUCAGGAAUUCCGCCGUCGCAAGCCUCCACAGCCACGAAAAACCAAUCUUGUCCCUCUCUGGCACCCUGCCGGAGGGUGUCACCAUGACCGGAGACCAUGGACGAGGAAGACGGAGGGGCCAUAAUCACGAUGGAGGCCAAGGACCAGAGGGAGAACCUAUCCCCGCCUUGGGGCGGCCAUGGAGGAGUAGGCACAAGGGGGAGACCCUCUCCCCCUCUAUCAGGGUGGUCCCGGAGUGCCACCAGGACAACAAUCGCCGCAGUGAUCGUCUUCAUCAACAUCACCUUCUUCAUCACCAUCCUCAUGUUCUUUUAGCGGUCCACCCUCCCGCACCCCGUUGUAAUCUCCUACUUGAACAUGGUGCUUUAUGCCACAUAUUAUGAUCCAAUGAUGUGUUUCCGUCCUAUGAUGUUUUAAGUAGAUUCCCUUUGUCUCAUGGGCCGAUUGAUGAUCUAGAUUGGUUUGAGUUGCCUGCUUUAUUAUUGGUGAUGUCCUAUGGUGCUCUCCAUGUCGCGCAAGCGUGAAGGAUUCCCGUUGUACGGUGUUGCAAUACGUUCAUGAUUCACUUAUAGUGGGUUCUUGAGUGACAGAAGCAUAAACCCGAGUAGAUGGGUUAUUGCGUAUGGGAUAAAGGGGACUUGAUGCUUUAAUGAUAUGGUUGGGUUUUACAUUAAUGAUCUUUAGUACGAUUGCUUGCUAGAGUUCCAAUCAUAAGUGCAUAUGAUUCAAGUAGAUAAAACAUGUUAGCUUAUGCUUCUCCCUCAUAUAAAAUCGCAAUAAUAAUUAUCGAUCUUGUUAACAAUUGCCUCAGACAAUUCCGCACACCGACCCAUCCUCAUUCCACACUCACUAUUUGUAAUAUAUUCUAACUAUACGAUAACAGCACCUAUUUUUAUAUUUUAGUUCUUCGAUGUCAUGCAAAGUUAUUCUCUUCAUACCCACAAUGUAUUUUUAUUUCUCGUUCCUAGUUGGAAGCAAAUGUUUGGCAUACGUAGAGUUGUAUCAGUGGCAGAUAGGACUUGAGAGAAUAUUUCUCUUACCUUUAUCUCCUUGUGGGUUCGACACUCCAUACUUAUCACUUCCACCUUUGAAAAUUGCUACGAUGAUUCCUUGCACUUGGGGAUUAUUAAGCUCUUUUCUGGCGCCGUUGCCGGGGAGCAAUAGCGUGGGGUUGAUAUUCUUGUGUGUGCUUGUUUUCUUUCUUCACUAAGUAGGUUUUGUUUUCCAUUUUUUCUUUGUUUAGUUGUGGAUUAAAUAAAAAAUUACUUGCCUCUUAUAACUAAGAAUUUUUCAAAAAGAGAAGUGAUUGGAAGGUUGUGCAUUGGAGAAGUGACGGUCGACCUUGAGCACUUGUGUUCAUGAUCAUGGAAGCAAUGUAGAAUUUUUCAUGGAAGUUUAUCAAAAAUAAUUAUGCCCUUGUAUAUAUCCAUUGUAUUAUAAAAUAAUGUGCCAAGAUUUUCCUUUAGGAUGAUUGGAUUGCUUGUUUGGUGUGUUCAGUGCAAAAACAGAAAUUUUGGCUGUACUGCGUGAAUUUACGUUUUUUACUAGAAGGUCGCAAGUUUCUGAAUUUUUUACACAGUACUCCUAUGCAAAAAAAUUAUUUAUUCCUAAUUAUUCAGAAUUUUUUUAGUUACAUAAGUAUACGAAGUUUCCAGAUUGCUAAAAACUAUCUUGUUUUUGAUAGGUUCUGUAUUCUAUGCAUUGUUCUCUUAUUUUGAUGAAUCUAUGGGUAGUACCAGGGGGUACGAACCAUGGUGAAGUUGGACUACAGUAGAUAUAAUGUUAAUAUGAAUUUGGAAUGAGUUCACAAUAGUACUUAAGUAGUAUUUUUCUUUAUUAUACUAACGGAUCUCGCGAGGGUUUUGUUAAGUUUUGUGUGAAUGAAGUGUUCAAAGAUCGAGGAUGUAUCGAUAAAAGAAGAAUAUAGAGAGACAAUAGUUCAAGCUUGGGGAUGCCCAAGGCACCCCAAGUAAAUAUUUCAAGGAUUUUCAAGAAUAUAAGCUUGCGGAUGCCCCGGAAGGCAUCCCAUCUUUAUUCUUCAACAAUUAUCGGUAUACCUUGGUUUUUGUUUUGUUCACAUAAUAUGCUUCUUUAGUGUUUUUGUUCUCUUUUUAUGGACACUUCUAGUAUGAGAUAGUCCUUCAUUGAUUUAUAAAAUUCUUCAUGCUCUUCACUUAAAUAUUUUGAGUAUUUCUUUGUGGAAUGCUCUUUGUGUUUCACUUAAAUCGUUUGAGUAUGGCUCUGUAGAAUGCUCUUCGUACUUCACUUAAAUCUUUUGAGUAUAGCCUUAUAGAAUGCUUCGUGUGGUUCACUUAUAUAUUUUGAGCUUGGAUAUUGGUUGAUAUAUAUUAAUUGUAUAAUUCCCUAUGAACUUCACUUAUAUCUUUUAGAGUAUGAAUAAAAUCAUCAUCGGAAUUAGGCUUGGAAGGGAAUCAUUGAAAUAACCAUGCCUAACUAAAAGGCAUUAAAGAAAAGCGCUUGUUGGAAGACAACCCAACACUUUUACCUUCUGUUUUAAUGAGUUCACAAGAUUAAGCUACUGUAUUAAUCAUGUUUUGUGUCUUUUGUUGCUAUAAACUGCCAAGUAAAGCCUUUGGGAUGACUCACAAGAUGACUAGAAUUGAUGUUGAACCAAAACAGAAACUUUUGACUCCGGUACAGGAAUUUUUAUUUUUUACCGGAGCAUGAUAAUGAUCUUAAAUUUUUACAAAUUCUUUAUAUAUAAAUUAUUCUGGUUGUCCUAAUUUUUUCAGAAUUUUUAGAGACAGGUACGUAUGGCUAUACUACAGAUCUUCACAGACUGUUCUGUUUUUGACAGAUUCUAUUUUGCAUGCAUAGUAUGGUUAUUUUAGUGUUCCCAUAGCUUAUAUUCAGUAAUAUAAAUUAUGGUAAUGAUAGAAUAAAGUAGGUAUCAUGUGGUAACAAUUAUGAAUCUUGUCUUGACAGUACCUAAGUGAAUGAUCUAUCUUUUUUACACUAACCCUUCUCACGAAGUUCCGUUAAGUUUUGUGUGAUUGAAGUUUUCAAGUUUUGGGUGAGACACCGAUAUGAGGAGAACAAGGAGUGACAAGAACCUAAGAUUAGGGAUUCCCAAGGAACCCCCAAGGUAAUAUCCAUGGAAUACUCAAGUGCCUAAGCUUGAGGAUGCCCCGAAAGCAUCCCCUCUUUCGUCUCCAACGCUAUCGGUAAUCUUACUUAGAGCUAUAUUUUUAUUCAUCACAUAAUAUGAGUUUUUAUUGGAGCAUCAUUUUAUUUUGUUGAUUUAUGUUAGGUGCUAUAUAUAAAAAAAAUCAAUAAAAAAGUUUCAAGAAUUGCAUUAGGAUGCUUGCAUUGCAUGGUUUGAUGUGUGUUAUGUAAAAACAAAAACUCUUUAUGUAGUUUUUGAAUUUGCAUAUUUUACUAGAACAUGGAAAGUUUAUGAAAUUUUUACACAGUGUUAUCAUACAAAGUUUAUAGCAUGUCCUAAAUGUUCAUAAUUUUUUGAGUUACACAAGUACAAUGUUUUCAUAUAUUGCUACACACUGUUCUGUUUGGACAAAUUGUUGUUAUAGUUUUGUUAUCUACUUAUCCUAUAGUUUCCAUAGCCUAUAUUGGUAGAUAUAAAUUGUGGAAAUGAUAGUAAACAGUAGAUGAUGUUUGAAAAUUAUUAUACAACUUGUCUUGGCAGUAAAUGAAGAGUUGAUUUAUUAUUGUGUGGACUAACCUAUCUCACGAGUUCUUUUCGAGUUUUGUGUGGAUGAAGUUUUUGAGAAUAGGUGAAACCAUGAUAUGAGAGGAUUGAACGAGAUACGAAAGCUCAAUCUUGCGGAUGCACAAGGCACCCCAAGUAAAUAUUUCAAGGACUCUCAAGCAUCUAAUCUUGGGUAUGCUACGCAUCCCACCUCUCUUCGUCAACUAUCGGUUAGCCUAUGUUGAGCCUAAAUUUUUAUUCGUUCACAUGACACAUCCUAUUCUUGGAGUGUUAUUUUUCUUUUGCUUGAUGUUUAAAUAAAAUACUCAGAUCUGAAAAUCUUUAUUGAGGGAGAGGGUGAAAGUCCUCACAUAGCUACUUAAUUGUUUGACUACUCAUUCAUCUUCACUUAUAUGUUUUGGAGUAGUUUUGUCAUUUACUCUCGUGCUUCACGUAUAUCCUCUAAGUAAAUAGUUGAGUGAAUUGAAUAUCGUAAAUCUGAAAUUAUAUAUAUUUUAAAUUAUAGGUGGUAAAAUUUAUUGAACGUUAGCAAACAAUGCAUUGGCCACUUGAUCAAUUCAUGAAAUAAUAUUGAAGGAAGAGAGAGUCCACAUAUAAAUAUACUAUCUUGGACAUCUUCUAUGAUUGCGAGCCCCAUUAAUUAUUUUCAAAAUUCAUCAAAUUAGUUGAUGUUCGGCAAGGAAGACAACUUAAUGAGUUAUGUUUGGGUAUAUUUGCAUAGAAAUUAUAUUGUUAUGGAUCCUCCAACAUGUGGUGCUUGUUUAGAACCUUUUGCUAGCCAACACUGCGUACUAAGUAUAGAUACUACUUGUGCAUCCAAAAAUCCUUAAACCUAGUUUCUUGCCAAGAGAGUCCACUAUAUCGACCUAUAUGCCGUAUUUACCUGCCGUUCCAAGUAAAUUUGCAUGUGCCAAACUCUAAACCUUCAAAUAAUAUUAUGUUCUGUAUGCCCGAAUCGCUCAUGUAGUGACUAGGGGUUGUGAGUAUCUUCCAUGCUAGGUGGGUUAUUCUCAAGAUAUGUGUUGAUUCACUAUCAUUCACGAGAAAGUGGCUGGUAUUCGGGAUGCUGAGUUCCAUGCUCAAAAAUCAAAUCAAAAUAUAAGGAAACAAAACUCCCCCAAGAUUGUUGUUUGUAUGGUUGGUACCCGUGGAUUCGGCUCACUAUGGAGUGUGAUUGAUUUGUGAAGGGGGAGUAAAAACUUUACCAUUCUGUUUGGGAACCUCCUAUAAUGUAUCUAGCAUGGCAGAUACCAAUAUCUCUUGGUUGUUAUGUUGACAAUGAAAGCAUACUUCUGAAAAUUAUUAUUCAUCUCUAUUUUAAAAACUCGAGCUCUGGCACAUAUGCAAAUCACUACUUCCCUCUGCGAAGGGUCAAUCUAUUUACUUUCAUGUUAUUUACUAUUCUUGUUGAGUUAACUUAGUUUUCCAACCUCAAAGUAUUAGUUGGCAAGCAUCAUGUGGUGGGGAAAGAUCCACACAUAUAUAUGCGAACAAAUAUAUUUGAUCAUGAAUUAUAAUUGUUGACAAUUAUAAAUAUGAUAAAUAAGUUGUGAGGCGAAACUUUAAGCCCCUAUCUUUCUCCUUGUUAGAUGGAUGUUAUUUGUUCUAAAAAUAUGCUUUGAAUGUCAAUAAUCAUGGAAUCCUUCCUAAAAAUAAGAUGAAUUGCAAUUAUUCGAUGACUGAAAGCAUAGUUUGUUAGUUUUCAAGAAACUUUAUGGUCUACACUUUAACACGUGAAUAGCUUGUUACUUCAUCAUGAUAAGUUUUAUGAUAUGAGCUACUGUUUAUGAUAUAUAAUGAUGCUAGAAAAAGUGUUUGGAACUAUCAUUGAUCAAAUUUAUACACUAUGCUAGCAUUCACACUUCCUAAAUUAUUUCUUUCAUCAUUUACCUACUCGAGGACGAGCAGGAAUUAAGCUGGGGGGUGCUGAUACGUUUCCCAUGUAUCUAUAAUUUAUGAAGUAUUCAUGCCAUGUUUACAAUAAUUCUGUAUGAUUUUCGGUUGAUUUUAUUAGAACUAACCCGGACUAAUGAUGUGUUCAGCACACUAUCACGGUAUUGUUUUUGUGGAGAAAUAAAAGUUCUCGGAAUGUGCUGAAAAUUUACGGAGAAUAUUUUUGGAAAAUAUGAAAAGUAAUGGAGCAAAAAUAUGCUGGAGAGGAGUCCUGAGGCAGCCACCAGGGCGGCCCCGUAGGGUGCGCCCCCUGGCUUGUGGGUCCCUCGAGCACUCCCCUGGCGUGAUUCCAAUGCCAAAUAUUCUUAUAAAUAUAGAGGCCCCCAAAAAGAAACCUAGAUCGGGAGGUCUACCGCUGCAAGCCUAUAGAACCACGAAAAAACAAUCAGGCCCUCUCCGGCACCCUGCUGGAGGGGGUCACCAUCACCGGAGAACAUGGAGGAGGAAGACGGAGGGGCCAUCAUCACCAUGGAGGCGACGAACGAGAGGGAGAACCUCUCCUCACCUUGGGGGCCAUGGAGGAGGAGGCACAAGGCGGAGACCCUCUCCCCCUCUCUCCCGGUAGUGCCGGAGUGCCACAGAGGGAACCAUCGCCGAGGUGAUCGUCUUCAUCAACAUCACCUUCUUCAUCACCAUCCUCAUCUUCUUUUAGCAGUCCACUCUCCUGCACCCCGCUGUAAUACCCUACUUGAACAUGGUGCUUUAUGCCACAUAUUAUGAUCCAAGGAGGUGUUGCCAUCCUAUGAUGUUUUGAGUAGAUUCCCUUUGUCUUAUGGGUUAAUUGAUGAUCUAGAUUGUCUUGAGUUGCAUGCUUUAUUAUUGGUGUUAUCGUAUGGUGCUCUACGUGUCGUGCAAGCGUGAGGGAUUCCUAUUGUAUGGUGUUGCAAUACGUUCAUGAUUCGCUUAUAGUGGGUUGCUUGAGUGACACAAGCAUAAACCAGAGUAGGUGGGUUGUUGCGUAUGGGAUAAAGGGGACUUGAUGCUUUAAUGCUAUGGUAGUUAGCUUAUGCUUCUCCCUUACAUAAAAUUGCAAUAAUGCUUAACAAUCUUGUUAACAAUUGCCUAGGACAAUUCCGUACACCGACCCAUCAUCAUUCCACACUCGCUAUUUGCAAUAUAUUGUAAUAGAUUCUAACUAUAUAAUAACAUCACUUAUUUUCAUAUUUUAGUUCUCUGAUGUCAUGCAAAGCUAUUCUCUUCAUACCCACAACGUAGUUUUAUUUCUCUUUCCUAGUUGGAAGCAAACGUUCGGCGUACGUAGAGUUGUAUCAGUGGCAGAUAGGACUUGGGAGAAUAUUGCUCUUACCUUUAGCUCCUUGUGGGUUCGACACUCCAUACUUAUCAAUUCCACCUUUGGAAAUUGCUAUGAUGAUUCCUUGCACUUGGGAAUUAUAAGAGCUUCUCGAGGCCUGCGCGCUCGGCGGCGAGCAAGUGCCGGAGCCUCGAGUCGGCGAGCGUAUCGUCUUCGGCACACACUUCCUCGUCGGCUUUGGGCUUCCGGGGAGCUGCUUCUUGUGGAAUUUUCUUGAGGUCUAUGGGAUCCAGAUGCAUCAUAUGGGGCCUAACUCCGUUCCGUACCUCGCGUGCUUCGCAUUGCUAUGCAAGGCAUAUAUGGACUUCUGGCCCUUUCCCUCCUUCUUCCGCCACUUCUUCCAUUUAUGUGCCCACGCGCACGAUAGUGUGUCGUACUCCUGUGGUGGCGCGGUGGUGUACAAGAAGCGCGGCAGGCCGUUUCCGCAGAUGAAGUGGAAGGAGUCCUUCAAGAAAUGGCAGCACACCUUCUUCUACGUCCGCAACAUCGGCCUGGGGCGGGACUGGUUAACCUCCCGCCCUUUGCUGACGAGCCAACGACUGGGGAGAACUAAAAUCUCGAGUUGUGCAAUGACUUGCUGGUGUCGAUUGGCGGCCAGCUGCAGGAGCUCAUGGGCUCCCUAGGGCUGGUGGCCCCGGACCUGGUGGCGGCCUUUGUCUCUCGCCGAGUGCUGCCUCUGCAGGCACGGCCGCACCGGAUGUGCGACAUGAGCAUCCGCAAGGAACCGUGCUGGCUGUUAGUGGUGGACCUGCCGUUGAGCAAGGUUGCCGCCAGGGUGAACAGAAUCACCGACUUCCAUCGUGGCAACCAUGGACCGCUGGUAAGAUUUCGUCCAACUGAGGUCAUCCCCUUUUUUCCUUUCCCGUAGUAUGUGACACAUGGUCAUGUAUUUCCUCAGCUUUUUGUUCGGCAGAACACAUCAAACGGACCGAAUCCGGAGCGCUUUUCCCCAUAUUAGGAUGAAUCCGACGCCGAGGACUACGAAUUGAACGGGGACGGUCCUGAAGGCCCUGAAGAUUUGUACGCGACGGAGGCGGCGGAGGAUGAUGAUGGUGUUGAGGAGGACGAGGAGGAGGCGGCCGGUGCCGUGGCUGGCAAGGUGGGGACGUCAAGUACUAAUGACCCACAAGUGUAGGGGAUCUAUCAUAGUCCUUUCAAAAAGUAAGAGUGUCGAACCCAACAAGGAGCGGAAGGAUCUGACGAGUGGUUUUCAGCAAGGUAAUAUCUGCAAGAACUGAAAUUAUCGGUAACAAGUAGUUGUGUGGUGAGAUGAUUCGUAGGAAGUAGCAAGUAAGAAAAGUAACAACGGUGCAGCAAAGUGGCCCAAUCCCUUUUGUAGCAAGGGACAAGCCUGGACAAACUCUUAUAGGAGGUAAAACGCUCCCGAGGACACAUGGGAAUUUCUGUCAAGCUAGUUUUCAUCAUGUUCAUAUGAUUCGCGUUCGCUACUUUGAUAGUUUGAUAUGUGGGUGGACCGGCGCUUGGGUACUUCCCUUACUUGGACAAGCACCCCACUUAUGAUUAACCCCUCUCGCAAGAAUCCGCAACUACGAAAGAAGAAUUAAGACAAAGUCUAACCAUUGCAUUAAACUAGUGGAUCCAAAUCAGCCCCUUACGAAGCAACGCAUAAACUAGGGUUUAAGCUUCUGUCACUCUAGCAACCCAUCAUCUACUUACUACUUCCCAAUGCCUUCCUCUAGGACCAAAUAAUGGUGAAGUGUUAGGUAGUCGACGUUCACAUAACACCACUAGAGGAAAAACAACAUACAACACAUCAAAUUAUCGAACGAAUACCAAAUUCACAUGACUACUUAUAGCAAGACUUAUCACAUGUCCUCAGGAACAAAAGUAACUACUCACGAAGCAUAAUCAUAUUCAUGCCCAGGGAGGUAAUGAGUAGCAUCAAAGAUCUGAACAUAUAAUCUUCCACAAAGUAAUCCAACUAGCAUCAACUACAAAGAGUAAUUAACACUACUAGCAACCUUACAAGUACCAAUCGGAGUCGCGAGACGGAGAUUGGUUACAAGAGAUGAACUAGGGUUUGGAGAUGAGAUGGUGCUGAUGAUGAUGUUGAUGGUGACGAGUCCCCUCCGAUGAGAGGAGUGUUGGUGAUGACGAUGGCGACGAUUUCCCCCUCCGGGAGGGAAGUUUCCUCGGCAGGAUCGGCCUGCCGGAGCUCUAGAUUGGUUCUGCUCACGUUCCUCCUCAUGGCGGCGUUGAACCCUCCGAAAAGCCUCUUGUUGAUUUUUUUUUCUGGAACAAAACCAUUCUUGUAGCAAAAUGGGUGAGCCAGAGGGCUAAGUGGGAGCCCACAAGCCCCCUAGGCGCGGCCAGGGGGAGGUCGCGCCUAGCGGGCUUGUGGCCUCCUGCUGGCGCCCCUCUGGUACUUCUUCGGCCUAGUAUUUUUAAUAAAUCCCAAAAAAAUCCACGUUGAUUUUCAUGACUUUUGGAGUUGUGCAGAAGAGGUAUCUCAAACUUGCUCCUUUUUCAGGCCAGAAUUCCAGCUGCCGGCAUUCUCCCUCUUCAUGUAAACCUUGCAAAAUAAGAGAUAAAAGGCAUAAGUAUUGUACCUUGAAGUGUAAUAACAGACCAAAAAGCGAUAAAUAUAAACAUGAAAGCAUGAUGCAAAAUGGACAUAUCAACUCUCCCAAGCUUAGACCUCGCUUGUCCUCAAGCGAAAGCCGAGAUCAAUAAAUAUGCCCACAUGUUUAGAGAGAGAGGUGUCGACAAAACAAGAUACGGACAUGCAGGCAUCAUGAUCAUAAUCAGAAUAGCAAUACCAACAUAUAAUCUCUCAUGCUAAAGUGAUAAUUCCUUCACAAAGUAAAGCAUGGAUCAAGAACCUUACCGAGAAUUAACAACCGAUAGCCUUUAGUCAUUGAAGCAAUUGCAAUUUAUCACAAUAUCAGAAAGAGUCAAAUAAGAGCUUGUAAAGCAAAUCCAAAUACUCAAUCAUCCUUUCGUUCUCUACAAUUUCUACAACUCACGUGGUACUCAUGAGAUCAAAGUUUCAGCUGGACACAAAGAAAGAUAGGGAUUUAUAGUUUCGCCUCCCAACCAUUUACCUCAAGGGUAAUGUCAACAAUAAUAAUUCAUGAAUACUUACUUCCAAGUUGACAUAUGAAUAUAGAUCUUUCCCAAGCAUAUGACAUUAGCCAAGAUAAAGGCGAAACAAGGAAUUGGUGAAGAUCACCAUGACUCUUUCACGGGAAAAAUUAAAGGUACAAGAUAGGCCCUUUGCAGGGGGAAGCAGAGGUUGUCAUGUGCUUUUGAGGUUUGGAUGUGUGUCCUCUUAGUGUGGAGGAACGUCACUUUAUAUUGCCUCCUGUGAUAAAGAACUUUAUUAUGCAUUCCGUCGCUUUUAUCUAUUCCUCAUCACAGGUUCGUACAAAGCUUAUUUUCCAUGCACUAAUAGAUCAUACAUAUUAGGGGGGCAAUUUUUAUUGCUUGCAUCGAUGACAACUUACUUGAAGGAUCUUAUUCAAUCCAUAGGUAGGUAUGGUGGACUCUCAUGGAAAAACUGGGUCGAAGGUUUAUGGAUGCACAAGUAGUAUCUCUACUUGGUGCGAGUGUUUUGGCUAAUACGAGGUGGAAGCAAUCUUCACAUGCCAAGGGAUCUCUAGUCAUAUAACAUUGUUCGGAACCAAGCAAACACAAUUCAUUAUGUUGUCUUCCUUGUCCAACAUCCACUUCUAAGCAUGUAAUAGUGUAGUGAGUGUUCACAAUCAUAGAUGGUGUCAAAGAUGAUAUAUUUAUAUGUGAACCUCUCCUUCUUUAUCACUUCCUAUUAAUUGCAACAAUGACCAAGGUCUACGUUUGUCUAUCCUCAACAAGUUUCAAUCAACAUUGUUUUCAUAUGUGAAGCCAUCACUUCCCAUAAGAUCAUUACAUGAUCUUUCAUGCUUUUGUUCUUUUCUCAUUCUCUUGAUCAUGGCAUGAGGCAACGCCCUUAACUAAGACACUCUUUAUUAUAUGGCUCACGAGCUCGAAUACAUCGGGGGUGGCACAAAUAAAAACUCAAGCCUAAAACACUAAGACCUUUAAUCUACUAGAGAAAGAGAAAACUGAAAAGGAACAAACUAAAACAAAGGUAAAGGAAAAAGAUGUGAUGGUGAUACGAUAGCGGGGCAACUCCCCCAAGCUUGGCACAAGCCAAGGGGAUUGCCCAUACCCAUGCUUAGUUGUCUUCCUUUGGAGGUGAUGGUGAUGGAGUUGUUGCAGAGGUCUUGAACUUGUUUAAUUUCCACUUGAGCGUAAAAUUCUGCUCCCUCAGAUCAUCAAUUUCCUCUUCAAGCCUCAACAACCUUUUGCAUAAUUCCUGCUUACUCUCCUGCAAGAAAUGAGAAGGGAUAAACAAUGUUUUAGGCUUCUUCCUUGAGUCAGGGAGGCUCGAUUUCUUGAACUCCACAUGCGUGUGUCCAAGUUGAGGUAGAGGAGCCUCCUCCUCAUCGGAACUUGUUCGUUCCUUCCCCUUGGGAUCAUAAUCUUCUUCCUCAUAAGUGGUCCACCGAUAAGGAUACAAGUCCCCAUAGACCUUGGGGUUGGCAAGGUAAUCGGCCACAUAGCUCUCCCCCUCUAAAUCUUGAGAAGACAUCUUGCCCUAAAUCUGCGCCAGAAAAUAGGCUCGAAACGAAAACAGAGGAAAAUUGCAUGAUACGAGGGUCAGACCUUUCGAGAGAAUAUAUAAUGAUUUUUUUCUGACCAGAAGGAGUACUCCGCAAGAAAACGGAGUCCGGGAGGCACACGAGGUGGCCACAAGCCUCCCAGGCCCGGCCAGGGGGGUGGCUCGCGCCUGGCAGGCUUGUCUCCUCCUCGUUCUUUUUCCGGGCUGCUUUAAAUUUUUCUAUUUUUUCAAAAAUUCCAAAACGGAGAAAAAAUCCUACUGGAAAAGUUUUGGAGUCUAUUUACUUACCGAAUCACAUACCUCUUCGUUUUCGGAGUCUGAAAGAGGCUGAUAAAUAUCCGUUAGGUACUCCUCCUUAGUUAUGGUAUUCAUAAUAUUGCUUUCAACAUUUAUGGGAGUACCUGAGAUAUAAUGCUUGAUUCUCUGCCCAUUUACAACUCUCGGACAAUUAUCUUCCGUGUUGUUGAUCUUGAUAGCACCGGAACGAUAUAGUUCCUCAAAAAUGUAAGAAUCUUCCCAUUUAGAGAGAAGCUUCCCUGCAAAAAAUCUUAAACGAGAAUUAUAUUGCAAGACAUAAUCACCUACAUUUAACUCACGCUUUUUUAUCCUUUUAUCAUGCCACCUCUUAACCUUUUCUUUGAACAACUAGGCAUUUUCAUAUGCCUGAGUUCUCCACUCAUCAAGCAAGCUAAUAUCAAAUAACCUCUUCUCACCAGCAAGUUUGAAAUCAAAGUUAAGCUCUUUGAUUUCCCAAUAAGCUUUAUGCUCUAGCUCAAGAGGUAAAUGACAUGCUUUACCGUAUACCAUUUUGUACGGAGACAUGCCCAUGGGAUUCUUAUAGGCAGUUCUAUAAGCCCACAGUGCAUCAUCGAGCUUCUUAGACCAAUUCUUUCUAGACCUGUUGACAGUCUUUUGCAGAAUUAGUUUAAUAUCUCUAUUUCUUAGCUCUACCUGACCAUUGGACUGAGGGUGAUAGGGAGACGCAAUUAUAUGGUUAACAUCGUACUUAGAAAGCAUUUUACGGAAAGCACCAUGAAUGAAAUGUGAACCACCGUCGGUCAAUAGAUAUCUAGGGACUCCAAAUCUAGGGAAAACAACUUCUUUAAGCAUCCUGAUAGAGGUGUUGUGAUCAGCACUACUAGUGGGGAUAGCUUCUACCCACUUAGUGACGUGAUCAACAGCAACUAGGAUAUGAGUAUACCCGUUGGAUUUUGGAAGAGGUCCCAUAUAAUCAAAGCCCCAAACAUCAAAUGGUUCAAUGAAAAGUGAAUAAUUCAUAGGCAUUUCCUGACGUUUACCAAUAUUACCUAUUCUUUGACAUUCGUCACAAGACAAGACAAACUUACGGGCAUCCUUGAAGUGAGUGGGCCAAUAGAAACCUUAUUGCAAUACCUUGUGCGCAGUUCUAUCUCCCGCAUGGUGUCCUCCGUAGGCCUCGGAGUGACACUUCUGUAGCAUCUGUCCCUGUUCAUGUUCAAGUACACAACGUCUAAUAAGACCAUCUACUCCUUCCUUAUAAAGGUGAGGAGCAUCCCAAAAGUAAUGUCUCAAGUCAAAGAAGAAUUUCUUCUUUUGCUGGUAUGUGAAACUAGGUGGUAUAUAUUUGGCAACGAUAUAGUUUGCAUAAUUAGCAUACCAAGGUUCACUAGGUGAAGUAUUGAUGACAUUCAAUUGCUCAUCAGGAAAGCUAUCAGGUUGUGGGUCAUCAAGAACAUUCUCCAACCUAGACAAGUUAUCUGCUACUGGGUUAUCAGCACCCUUCCUAUCGACAACAUGCAAAUCAAAUUCUUGUAGCAAGAGAACCCAUCUGAUAAGUCUAGGUUUAGCGUCUUUCUUCUCCAUUAGGUACUUAAUAGCAAGAUGAUCAGUAUGAAUGGUGACUUUGGAAUCAACUAUGUAAGACCUGAACUUUUCACAUGCAAACACGACUGCUAAAAAUUCAUUUUCUGUAGUAGCAUAGUUUCUUUGGGCAUUGUCUAGAGUUUUACUAGCAUAGUGAAUAACAUUCAACUUCUUAUCAACUCUUUGCCAUAGAAUAGCACCAAUAGCAUAAUCACUAGCAUCACACAUGAUUUCAAAAGGUAAGUUCCAAUCAGGUGGUUGAACAAUAGGCGCAGUUAUCAAGGCCUUCUUAAGUAUUUCGAAGGGUUCCUCACAAUCAUCGUCGAAAACAAAAGGAAUAUCCUUUUGCAAGAGAUUGGUAAGAGGCCUAGAAAUGUUAGAGAAGUCUUUAAUGAACCUUCUAUAGAAACCAGCAUGACCAAGGAACCUUCUAUAGAAACCAGCAUCACCAUCCUAUAGCCAGUAAUAAUCCUCUGUGGGAUCAAUUCAUCCUUAUCAUUAGGGACAACGGUAAUGCCUCCCUUCUUAGCGACGGAAUGCACCAUACUAACCCAAUCACUAUGAGCAACAUGAUAGAUAAUACCUUCUUCCAGGAGCUUUAGUAUUUCUUUUCUUACUACCUCUUUCAUCUUAGGAUUUAAUCUCAUUUGAUGAUUAGCAACUGGUUUGGAAUCAGGAUCGGUUUUAAUCUUGUGCUGGCAUAGAGUGGGACUAAUGCCCUUAAGAUCAUCAAGAGUAUAUCCAAUAGCAGCACGGUGCUUCCUUAGAGUUUUUAGUAACUUCUUUUCUUCAUGCUCUGAGAGGCUAGCACUAAUUAUAACAGGAUAUAUCUCUUUUUCAUCAAGAUAAGCAUACUUAAGAGUAUCAGACAACUGUUUAAGCUCGAACACAGGAUCACCCUUUGGUGGGGGUGGAUCUCCAAGCAGUUCAACAGGCAAGUUAUUCUUAAGGAUAGGAUAUUGUUCUAAGACAACUCUAUCUAUCUCAUCCCUUUCAUCCAUAUGCAUAUCAUUUUCAUGCUCAAGCAAGUAUUGCUCUAAGGGAUCCGUAGGAGGCACGACAAUCGAAGCUAGGGAAAUAAUUUCAUCCUUACUAGGCAACUCUUUUUCAUGAGGUUGUCUACUAAACUUGGAGAAAUUGAACUCAUGUGACACACCUUCAAAGCCAACAGUGACAGUUUGCUUCUCAUAGUCAAUAUGAGCAUUGACGGUAUUGAGGAAGGGUCUGCCAAAUAUGAUGGGACAAAGGCUAUCUUGUGUGGUAGCAAAAACGAGGAAAUGAGGAGGAUACUUCGUUUUACCACACAAGACUUCAACAUCCCUAAUAAUUUCCACAGGGCAGAUAGUAUCUCUAUUGGCAAGCUGAAUAGUGACAUCAAUGGGUUCUAUCUCGACAGGUGCAAUCUCGUCUUUAAUUUCAUCAUAUAGGGAUUGAGGUAUUGCACUAACACUAGCACCCACAUCACAUAAACCAUGAUAACAAUGAUCUCCUAUCUUAACAGAAACAACAGGCGUGCCAACAACAGGCCUAUGUUUGUCUCUAGCAUGGGGUUUAGCAAUUCUUGCAGCAUCUUGAUACGUCUCCAACGUAUCUAUUUUUUUUUAUGGUUUCAUGCUAUUAUCUUGUCAAACUUUGGAUGUUUUGCAUGCCUUUUAUAUAUUUUUUGGGACUAACUUAUUAACUCGGUGCCAAGUGCCAGUUCUUGUUUUUUCCAUGUAUUUGACCGCUUUCAGAGGAGAUUUUGAAACGGAGUCCAAACGGAAGAAAAUCCCCGAAAAGAUUUUUUCUGAAACCGAAGAAGAUCAGGAAGCUUGAGAGCCAAGGCAGGGGGGCCCAGGGGCCCCACAAGCCCUCACCCCGCGACCAGGGGAAAGGUCGUGGCCCACAGGCUUGUGGGCCCCCUGGACGCCCUCUGCCCUAGGGUUUGCACCUAUAUAUCCCCAAAAGUUCCACAAAAAAUCAAGAGAUCAUCGAAAGUACUUUUCCGCCGCCGCAAGCUUCUGUCUCCGCAAGAUCCCAUCUGGGGCACGUUCCGGUGCCCUGUCGGAGGGGGGAUUCAGAUAUGGAGGGCUUCUUCAUCAACACCAUGACCUCUCCGAUGAUGCGUGAGUAGCUCACCAUAGACCUCCGAGUCCAUAGCUAGUAACUAGAUGGCUUCUUCUCUCUCUUGGAUCUUCUAUACAAAGUUCUCCAUGAUCUUCAUGGAGAUCUAUCCGAUGCAAUCUUAUUUUGCGGUGUGUUUGUCGAGAUCCGAUGAAUUGUGGAUUUAUGAUCAGAUUAUCUAUGAAUCUUAUUUGAGUUUCUUCUGAUCUCUCUUAUGCAUGAUUUCAUAUCCUUGUAAUUCUCUUCGAGUUGUGGGUUUUGUUUGGCCAACUAGAUCUAUGAUUCUUGUAAUGGGAGAAUUGCUUGGUUUUGGGUUCAUACCGUGUGGUGACCUCACCCAAUGACAGAAGGGGUAGCGAGGCACGCAUCGUGUUGUUGCCAUCAAGGGUAAAAAGAUGGGGUUUUCAUCAUUGGUUUGAGAUUAUCCCUCUACAUCAUGUCAUCUUUCUUAAGGCGUUACUCUAUUCGUCAUGAACUCAAUACACUAGAUGCAUGCUGGAUAGCGGUCGAUGUGUGGAGUAAUAGUAGUAGAUGCAGAAAGUAUCGGUCUACUUGUCUCGGACGUAAUGCCUAUAUGUAUGGUCAUUGCCUUAGAUAUCGUCAUGAGUUUGUGCGGUUCUAUCAAUUGCUCGACAGUAAUUUGUUCACCCACCGUGAUAUUUGCUAUUUUGAGAGAAGCCUCUAGUGAACACUAUGGCCCCCGGGUCUACUCCACACCAUACUUUCAGCCUUACACUUUUUACUUCGUUGCACUUUCCGCCUUUAGAUCUCACUUUGCAAACAAUCUUGAAGGGAUUGACAACCCCUUUGAAGCGUUGGGUGCAAGAUCGUUUGUGUUUGCGCAGGUACUCUGGACUUGACGAGACCCUCCUUCUGGAUCGAUACCUUGCUUCUCAAAACUGAGGGAAAUACUUACUACUCAUGUGCUGCAUCAUCCUUUCCUCUUCAAGGGAAAAACCGACGCAAACAAGAGAAGUAGCAAGAAGAAGUCCUGUCGUUGCUUGGGAAGGGCUUUUGUUGCUGUAGCAGAAGGAUUUCUGGUGCUGUUGCCGGGGAGGAAGAUCAAGUCAAGAACUCAUCCAAGUAAGUGUCGCAAACUCAUCUCUUGCAUUUACUUUUGUUUGUCAGUUGCCUCUCGUUUUCCUCUCCCCCACUUCACCAAUUUGCCUUUUUCAUUUGCCUUUUUCGUUUGCCUUUUUCGUUCGCCCUUUCUUCCGCUUUCUUUCUGUUUGCUUGUGUUUUAUGUGCCUUCAAUAUGCUUGCAUCUUCGCUUGCUGAAAAUAUAUUGAUAUGGAUCCUCAUCCACUUGCUAAUCUCUUUAAGAGAUCCAAUUAUGUUGAUAAAAUUGCUAUUGAGUUGAGUGCACUUGACUUUCUCUAUGGAGUUUUGCUUGAGAUGCGUGAAUCUGAAAAUUGUGAUGAAGAAAUUCAUGAAGUGAUUCACGAGGGCUCCUUGAAUGAAAAGCAUGAUUGCAAUGAUUUCAUUAUAAAUUCUAUUAAUGACAAUCAUGCUAAAAAUAUGCAAAACCCUAAGCUUGGGGAUGUUAGUUUUGCUAUGUCCACUACUUGUUGCAAUGAUCAUGAGUGGGGCAAUGAUUUUUCUUAUGAUCAUGAAAAUUUGUUUAAGCCUCAUGAUGAAUAUGAUAUUUGCAAUAUUAUUGAAAGUAGGUUUGGAGACGUCAUGACUUUAAUUGAUGAUAAUCCCAGUAUUUUUGAAGAGCAUCAACUUUGCAUGCAUGUGGAUCAUGAAAAGAAUAUCCUAUGUGAUAGUUACAUUGUUGAAUUCAGAUAUGAUCCCACAUGUAAUUAUUAUGAGAGAGGAAAAUAUGGUGGUAGAAACUUUCAUACCACUAAAUCACCUCUCGUUAUGUUGAGAUUGCUCUUGUCUCUUUCUUCUUCCUUGCAUUUGAUAACUAUUGGUUGUCUUGCCAAUUUUUUCCUAUAAAAUGCCUAUGCAUAGGAAGUAUGUUAGACUUAGACGUGAUUUUCACAUGCUUUAUGAUGCUCACGUUGUGCAUCAAUUUCUAUCUUCUAUGUGAGCAUCAUUGAAUUAUCAAUGCCUAGCUAAGGGUGUUAAACAAUAGCGCUUUUUGGGAGGCAACCCAAUGAAUUUAUCUUUUUCUUUCUGUUUUGUUGUGUCCACGCCAUCAUAAUUCUGUUGUGAUUGUGUUUUUUGGGUUUCUUUUUGUGUUUGAGCCAAGCAAAACCUUUAUGACUAGUCUUGGUAAUGGUUAUUUGAUCCUUCUGGAAAAAGACAGAAACUUUUCGCUCACGAGAUGAUUUUUCAUUUUUAUUCAGAAAGAGCUUUUGAGUUGAUUCUUUUUGCUGAUGGUUGAUAUGUAUUUUUCCCAGGCAGUCGUAAUUGUUCAUAUUUUUGUAGGUAACAGAAGUAUACGAAGUAUAUAGAUUGCUACAGACUGGUCUAUUUUUGACAGAUUCUGGUUUUGUUGAGUUGGUUGCUUGUUUUGAUGAAACUAUGGUUAGUAUCGGGGGGUACUAGCCAUGGAAAAGUGAGAAUACAAUAUCCCAACACCAACAUAGAUGGAAUUCAAGUUUCCUACAGUACCAAAAGAGGUGUUAGUUUAUUUUCUUGUGCUAAUGUUAUCACGAGUUUCUGUUUAAAUUUUGUGUUGUGAAGUUUUCAAGUUUUGGGUGAUGUUCUCAAGGACAAAGAGAUAAGGAGUGGAAAGAGCUCAAGCUUGGGUAUGCCCAAGGCAUCCCAAGCCAAAUUCAAGGACACCAAAAAUCCUAAGCUUGGGGAUGCCCUGGGAAGGCAUCCCCUCUUUCGUCUUCAGUUCAUCGGUAACAUUACUUGGAGCUAUAUUUUUAUUCACCACAUGAUAUGUGUUUUGCUUGGAGCGUCUUGUAUCGUAGGAGUCUUUUCUUUUUUUUGUUUCACAAUCAUUCUUGCUGCACACCUUUUUGAGAGAGAGAGAGAUGCACUCAUCGUGAUUUUGCUAGAAUGCUCAUAGUGCUUCACUUAUAUCUUUUGAGCUAGAUACUUUUUCUCUAUGUGCUUCACUUAUAUCUUUUAGAGCACGGUGCUGCGUGACUUGGUAGUUGGCUUAUGCUAUGAAAGUAGUCCCAAAGGUGAUAGGUACCCAAAGAGGAUGCAAAAACCUCCAUCUUGAUGUGCAUUGAGUAGAAAGAGAAGCCUUGAUUCCUCUCAAUUAGUUUUGAGACGUGGAUUUGGUAAUAUUAAGAGCUAUGUUAGUACGGUGUUGUGAAUCUAGAAGUACUUGUGUUGAAGUUAGUGAUUCCCGUAGCAUGCACGUAUGGUGAACCGCUAUGUUAGGAAGUCGGAGCAUAAUUGAUCUAUUGAUUGUCAUCCUUUGUGUUGAGGUCUUGAUCGCGUGAUGGUUAACACCUACCAACCCUUCCCCUAGGAGUAUGUGUUUAGCACUUUGUUUCGGUUACUAAUAAAAACUUUCGCAACAAGUAUGUGAGUUCAUCAUGACUAAUGUGAGUCCAUGGUAUAGAUGCACUUUCACCUUCCACCAUUGCUAGCCUCUUUAGCGCCGCGCAAUUCUCGCCGAUGCAAAAACCCACCAUAUGCCUUCCUCAAAACAGCCACCAUACCUACCUACUAUGGCAUUUUCAUAGCCAUUCCGAGAUAUAUUGCCAUGCAACUCCCACCGUUCCAUCUCAUGACUUGUGCCGUCACUCUCAUAUUGCCAUUGCAUCAUCGUAAGAUAGCUAGCGAGAUGUUUCCAACGUCAUACGCCAUGCUAGAUCGUUGCACAUCCCAGUACACUGCCGGAGGCAUUUCCUAUAGAGUCAUCAUCGUUCUAAGCUUUGAGCUGUGAGUAAAUAAAAGUGUGAUGAUCACCAUUAUUAGAGCAUUGUCCCAUGUGAGGAAAAAAAGAGAAGAAGAGGCCAAAGAGAGGGAAAAAAAGAGAAAAAAAGAGGCCUAAGAGCCCAAAUGAAAAAAAGAGAGAGAAAAAGAGAGAAGGGACAAUGCUACUAUCUUUUUCCACACUUGUGCUUCAUAAUAGCACCAUGUUCUUCAUGAUUGAGAGCUUUUUGCUUUGUGACUACCAUAUACUAGUGGGAAUCUUCAUUACAUAACUUGGUUUGUAUAUUCCAAUGAUGGGCUUCCUCAAAAUUGCCCUAGGUCUUUGUGAGCAAGCAAGUUGGAUGCACACCCACUAGGUUUCCUUUUGAGCUUUCACAUACUUAUAGCUCUAGUGCAUCUCUUGUAUGGCAAUCCCUACUCAUUCACAUUGAUAUCUAUUAAUGGGCAUCUCCAUAGCCCUUUGAUACGCCAAGUCAAUGUGACCAUCUCCUCCUUUUUGUCUCACAACCACCACCACACUCUAUUCCACCUAUAGUGCUAUAUCCAUGUCUCAUGCUCAUGUAUUGCGUGAUAGUUAUAAAAAGUUUGAGAAAGUAAGAGUGUGAAAACAAUUACUUGGCCAAUACCGGGGUUGUGCAUGAUUUACAUUGGUUGUGUGAGGAUGAUGGAGCAUAGCCAGACUAUAUGAUUUUGUAGGGAUAACUUUCUUUGGCCUUGUUAUUUUGAAAGUUCAUGAUUACCUUGCUAGUUUGCUUGAAGUAUUAUUCUUUUCAUGUCAAUAGCAAACUAUUGUUUUGAAUCUUACGGAUCUGAACAUUCAUGUCACGUGAAAUAAGUUGCAAAGGACAACUAUGCUAGGUAGCAUUCCACAUCAAAAAUUCAUUCUUUAUCACUUCCCUACUCGAAGACGAGCAGGAGUUAAGCUUGGGGAUGCUUGAUACGUCUCCACAUAUCUAUAAUUUUUAAUGGUUUCAUGCUAUUAUCUUGUCAAACUUUGGAUGUUUUGCAUGCCUUUUAUAUAUUUUUUGGGACUAACUUAUUAACUCGGUGCCAAGUGCCAGAUCCUGUUUUUUCCAUGUUUUUGACCCCUUUUAGAGGAGAUUUUGAAACGGACUCCAAACGGAAGAAAAUCCCCGAAAAGAUUUUUUCUGUAACGGAAGAAGAUCAGGAAGCUUGAGAGCCAAGGCAGGGGGGCCCAGGCGCCCCACAAGCCCUCACCUUGCGGCCAGGGGGGAGGCCGCAGCCCACAGGAUUUUGGGCCCCCGGGACGCCCUCUGCCCUAGGGUUUGCGCCUAUAUAUCCCCAAAAAUUCCACAAAAAAUCAAGAGAUCAUCGAAAUUACUUUUCCGCCACCGCAAGCUUCUGUCUCCGCAAGAUCCCAUCUGGGGCACGUUCCGGUGCCCUAUCGGAGGGGGGAUUCGGAUACGGAGGGCUUCUUCAUCAACACCAUGACCUCUCCGAUGAUGCGUGAGUAGUUCACCAUAGACCUACGGGUCCAUAGCUAGUAACUAGAUGGCUUCUUCUCUCUCUUGGAUCUUCAAUACAAAGUUCUCCAUGAUCUUCAUGGAGAUCUAUCCAAUGUAAUCUUCUUUUGCGGUGUGUUUGUCGAGAUCCGAUAAAUUGUGGAUUUAUUAUCAGAUUAUCUAUGAAUCUUAUUUGAGUUUCUUCUGAUCAUGUCAUCUUGCUUAAGGCAUUACUAUGUUCGUCAUGAACUCAAUACACUAGAUGCAUGUUAGAUAGCGGUCGAUGUGUGGAGUAAUAAUAGUAGAUGCAUAAAGUGUCGGUCUACUUGUCUCGUAUGUGAUGCCUAUAUGUAUGAUCAUUGCCUUAGAUAUCGUCAUGAAUUUGCGCGGUUCUAUCAAUUGCUCGACGGUAAUUUGUUCACCCACCGUGAUAUUUGCUAUUAUGAGAGAAGCCUCUAGUGAACACUAUGGCCCCCGGGUCUACUCCACACCAUCUUUUCAGCCUUACACUUUUUACUUAGUUGCACUUUCCGCCUUCAUAUCUCACUUUGCAAACAAUCUCGAAGGGAUUGACAACCCCUUUGAAGCGUUGGGUGCAAGCUCGUUUUUGUUUGCGCAGGUACUCUGGACUUGACGAGACCCUCCUUCUGGAUCGAUACCUUGGUUCUCAAAACUGAGGGAAAUACUUACUGCUCUUGUGCUGCAUCACCCUUUCCUCUUCAAGGGAAAAACCGACGCAAACAAGAGAAGUAGCAAGAAGAAUUCCUGGCGUUGCUUGGGAAGGACUUUUGUUGCCGUAGCACAUCUUCACAGAAGUGAAUAUCAUGGCCAUCAACAUUGUCGGACAAGAGAUAUUUGAUAAUAGCAAUGCUAGGUUCAACUCUAAUUUGCUCAGGGGGUGUAGGUGUUCUAAUGUAACCUCUACGUCUCACAUUUGAAGCUUUAGAAUGAUCUUUUAUCCUAACAGGGAAAGGUGGUUGCUCAAUGUAAGCACUAGGAACAAUAGGAUAAUUAUAGGCAAUGACUUUCUCUUCAACUGGAUUGGGUUUAACUACAUUGACUUCUAAGGGAGGAUGAUAUUUAAACCACUUCUCUUUGGGGAGAUCAAUAUGAGCAGAAAAUGAUUCACACAAUGAGGCUACUAUCUCUGAGUCAAGUCCAUAUUUAACGCUAAACUCACAAAAGGUAUUUGUUUCAACAAAGGAUUUAACGCAAUCAACCUUGAAAUUCAUACCUAACUCCUUACCUUCAUCAAGCUCCCAAUCUUCAGAGUUGCGUUUAAUUCUUUCCAAUAAAUUCCAUCUGAAGUCAAUAUCUCUCUUCAUAAAAGAACGGGUACAAGAAGUGUCAAGCAUGUUGCGAUCAUCAUGAGAAAGCCGAGCAUAGAAGUUCUGAAUGAUAAUUUCUCUCGAGAGCUCAUGGUUGGGUCAUGAAUAUAACAUUGAUUUAAGCCUCCCCCAAGCUUGAGUGAUGCUUUCUAUGUCAUGAGGCCAACAAUUAUAAUUAUAAUUCCGAUCACGAUGUACUAGAUGCAUAGGAUAAAUUUUUUGAUGAAAUUCCAAUUUCAACCGAUUGUAGUUCCAUGAUCCAGUAUCAUCACAUAGCCUAUACCAUGUCAACGCCUUAUCCCUCAAAGAUAAGGGAAAUACCUUCUUCUUGACCUCAUCCUCGGGCAAACCUGCAAGCUUAAAUAAACCACAAACUUCAUCUACAUAGAUUAGAUGCAAGUCUGGAUGUGAUGUUCCAUCUCCUACAAAAGCAUUAGCCAGCAGUUUCUCAAGCAUACCCGAAGGAAAUUCAUAGCAAAUAUUUUUAGUAGGUGCGGCAGGUUGAGGAGAAACUCUUUGUGCUUCCGUUCGAGGUGAAGAUACCCCGAACAAGCUCCUCAAAGGAUUAGUUUCCAUAGUAACAAGUGACAGUAAAUUUCAGCACACUAUAUAAAUGUUUCCUUUCCAAAUUCCACUUACGAAAGGCCCUUCACUCCCCGGCAACGGCGCCAGAAAAGAGUCUUUAUGACCCACAAGUAUAGGGGAUCUAUCAUAGUCCUUUCGAUAAGUAAGAGUGUCGAACCCAACGAGGAGCAGAAGGAUCUGACAAGUGGUUUUCAGCAAGGUAAUAUCUGCAAGCACUCAAAUUAUCGAUAACAAGUAGUUGUGUGGUGAGAUGAUUCAUAGCAAGUAGCAAGUAAAAAAGUAACAACAGUGCAACAAAGUGGACCAAUCCCUUUUGUAGCAAGGGACAAGCCUGGACAAACUCUUAUAGGAGGUAAAACGCUCCCGAGGACACAUGGGAAUUUCUAUCAAGCUAGUUUUCAUCAUGUUCAUCUGAUUCGCGUUCACUACUUUGAUAGGUUGAUAUGUGGGUGGACCGGCGCUUGGGUACUGCCCUUACUUGGACAAGCAUCCCACUUAUGAUUAACCCCUCUCGCAAGCAUCCGCAACUACGAAAGAAGAAUUAAGACAAAGUCUAACCAUAGCAUUAAACUAGUGGAUCCAAAUCAGCCCCUUACGAAGCAACGCAUAAACUAGGGUUUAAGCUUGUGUCACUCUAGCAACCCAUCAUCUACUUAAUACUUCCCAAUGCCUUCCUCUAGGCCCAAAUAAUGGUGAAGUGUUAUGUAGUUGAUGUUUACAUAACACCACUAGAGGAAAAACAACAUACAACACAUCAAAUUAUCGAACGAAUACCAAAUUCACAUGACUACUUAUAGCAAGACUUAUCCCAUGUCCUCAGGAACAAAAGUAACUACUCACAAAGCAUAAUCAUAUUCAUGACCAGAUACGUAAUGAGUAGCAUCAAAGAUCUGAACAUAUAAUCUUCCACCAAGUAAUCCAACUAGCGUCAACUACAAAGAGUAAUUAACACUACUAGCAACCUUACAAGUACCAAUCGGAGUCGCGAGACGGAGAUUGGUUACAAGAGAUGAACUAGGGUUUGGAGAUGAGAUGGUGCUGAUGAAGAUGUUGAUGGUGAUGAGUCCCCUCCAGUGAGAGGAGUGUUGGUGAUAACGAUGGCGACGAUUUCCCCCUCCGGAGGGAAGUUUCCCCCGCAGGAUCGUCCUGCCGGAGCUCUAGAUUGGUUCUGCUCAAGUUCCGCCUCAUGGCGGCGGCGAAUCCUCCGAAAAGCCUCUUGUUGAUUUUUUUUCUAGAAUGAAACCCUUCUUGUAGAAAAAGGGGGGAGCCAGAGGGCCAAGUGGGAGCCCACAAGCCCACUAGGCGCGACCAGGGGGGAGGCCGCGCCUAGCAGGCUUGUGGACUCCUACUGGCGCCCCUCUCGUACUUCUUCGACCCAUUAUUUUUUAUAAAUACCAAAAAAAAAUCCACAUUGAUUUUCACGGCUUUUGAAGUUGCGCAGAAUAGGUAUCGCAAACUUGCUCCUUUUUCAGGCCAGAAUUCCAGCUGCCGGCAUUCUCCCUCUUCAUGUAAACCUUGCAAAAUAAGAGAGAAAAGGCAUAAGUAUUGUACCUUGAAGUGUAAUAAUAGCCCAAAAAGCGAUAAUUAUCAACAUGAAAGCAUGAUGCAAAAUGGACGUAUCACGUACCCCUCCCGACGGGUCCGUGACAGACUGGAUAGAUGAUGAUGGUGACGACAACGUGUAGGUGCUUGAGGCGAUGCCACGUGUGACGGGGCCGCCUCGGGGCCAUCGUCGUGGAAAGAGCGAGGAGCUGUCGGCCGGGGGCCAGCUGGCCGUCAGCCAACUAGCCAGUUGCCACACGGAAGAGGAACGCCGUAGGGACACGCGGUCGGCCGAGGACUCGAUCGACACCCCAGCCACCAAGAAGGUUCAGUCGGCGGCGCUGCCGGCGGGCGCCCCUUGGUGCUGGGUAAGGUUUCUUUAAGGCUCAUGCCCCUUCUUUUCUUGCUUUCUUUGUCGUGUGGCAUUUGAGCUCGUGCUCUCUUGUCUUGUUUUGCUUUCUCAGUGAGGCUAUUCAGCUACCGGCGCCGGAUGCAUCGGCCCUUGGGGCCGAACAAGUAACGCCGCUUGCCAUGGAGCAUGCGACGAGGGCGCGGCUUGAACGGGAGUGUGUCGUUCAGCUUCGUGCGGCCAAGCCGAAGGCCUCGUAGGCUAUGACGACCGGAAUAAGCGUCCCCGUGGCUGGGGCAACAAGUGAUGCCACUGCUCCACAACACCGCCGGUCAGUUUUAUCGGUACUUUUGCUUGUCUUAGUCAUUUUUCCUGUGCACCCUGCUCCUUUGUCAUUUCUCCUGCCGGCCAGCCAGCUUGCGGAUUGUGACUGGGCGAAGAGUGGGCUGGUGGAGCCGAGGUGUUUGGUACUUUGGCUUUUGCAAGGCGGGUGUUGAAAAAACCGAGUAGCGUAGCCGGACCUGGCCCGCCCCUUGUCGAUAUUUCCUAUUCGCUCUGACCCUUUGCUUGUGCUCCUGCCAAACGGGCAACUAGGUUGUGGUCUGUAGCCAGCGAGGGUUGGGCUGCCGGUGCGGAGGUAUAGUACUUUGCCGAGCUGGGGUGGGAGUUGGGCGUCUCGUAGUCCCCGGGCCGGCUGGACCGAUCCGGGGAUGACCAAGAAAGUAAAAACAAUUGAAACAUGAGUAGGAUGGAAAAGGCAGUCUCUGAGUCCUGCUCUAGGGUGCCGGCUAUUCAUUGAUUUUCUUGAAAAGGGAACAUACAUAUGUUCACUUGCCUAACUGUAAAACGGGCGGAGGAGUUCCACGUUUCGUGGUCGCUCCGUCUCGGAGCCGGAUGCGUCCUUCUUGUUCUUUCUUGCCUUUUGAGCAUCGAUUAUAAAGUAGGCGUUAUUGCUCACUGACGGAUGUCCGUUGGAUCAGCAAGAGAACAAGGUCACCCUCUCGGAAUGAGAGAGGGCUUGACCCGCUGGCUACGGUAGCGGCGUAGGCCUUGCUGAUAGAUGGUUGUUCUGGACAGUGCCAGCUCGCAUGCCUCUUCGAGGAGGUCGACGUCGUCUUCUCUGGCCUCUUUGGCGUCAGCCUCGGUGUGCAGGGUGACCCGAGGCGAAUCGAACUCGACGUCGUUGAGGAUGAUCGCCUCGGCCCCGUACACCAAGAAGAAUGGGGUGAAGCCGGUCGACCGGUUGAGCGUGGUUUGCAGGCUCCACAACACCGCCGGCAGUUCCUCGACCCAGGCACCGGCCGAGCGCUUGAGUGGCUCGACAAGCCUGGGUUUCAGGACGACCAGGAUGAGGCCGAUUGCCCGCUCUAGCUGGCCGUUUGACUGCGGCUGGGCCACGGACGAGAGGUCCAGCCGGAUUCCGUGCUCGCUGCAGUAGCGGGCGAGCGCAGGCUUGGCGAAGUUGGUCCCAUUGUCGAUGAUGAUGAUGCUGGGGAGGCCAUAGUGAACGGCUAUGUCCUUGAUGAACGUGACGACCGUUGGGCCAUCGAGCUUCUCUAUUGGCUUGGCCUUGAUCCACUUUGUGAACUUGUCGACUGCCACCAGGAGAUGUGUCACACCGCCUCGGGCGGUUUUGAACAGGCCCAUCAUGUCCAACCCCCAGAAGGCAAAGGGCCGCGUGAGGGGGAUGGUUUGCAGGGCCGCGGCCGUCUGGUGGAUGCGCGCUUUGAAAUGCUAGCAGCCAUUGCACUUGUCAAUUAAUGCCUUGGCGUCCUUCAGGGCGGACGACCAAUAGAAACUGUGGCGGAAUGCCUUGGCCGCCAGGGAGCGUGAGGAGGCAUGGUGGCCACACUCGCCCUGGUGGAUGCCGAGGAGGAUAUCGUGGCCUUUGUCUGCCUCGAUGCAGUGCUGGAACACGCCAGUCACGCUGCGCUUGACGAGCUCGUUGUUGAUGAUGGUGUAGGUGGCAGAGCGUCUUUGGAUUAUCCGGGCCACGACUUCAUCGGCAGGCAGGGUGCCAUUCUCGAUGUAGUCGAGGAAGGGUUGCGCUCAGGAUAGGGCUGUGACCACCGUGAGCAUGGCCACCAUGAUUGGGUUUGCUGCGGCGGGGACGGCACGCGGUUGGCCGCCUGCCGCAGUCCCCGAGUCGGGCUGGAGGGAUCCCAGGGGAGGGUCGGCAGCCCUCGGGCCGGCUAGAGUAGUCGAUGCGGUGGCGGUAGUCGGCUGACCAGCUGCCGUAGUCCCCGAGUGGGACGGGGCAGUUCCCGCGUCAGCGCCGGCAGCCCCCAGGGCCGGCGGGGCAGCCCCCGGGUCUGCCGGGAUGAAUAUGUACUCGGAUUCCGGAGAGAGCGUGAUGGAGGGCUUCCGCAGGUUCUCAAGAGAUACGUCGACUGGGAUUGGUUGCCGGGUGGAGACGAUUUGUUGAGUGUGUCGGCGGCCUCGUUGCCGGAUCGGAGGAUGUGGUGGAACUCGCGGCCUUUGAAACCGCCGGUCAGUUGUUGCACCAGAAAGCGGUAGCUGCCCAUGUUUGCGUCUCUCGCGUCCCACUCACGAGUGACUUGCUGCACCACCAGGUCGAAGUCACCUAAGAAAAGGAUUCGUCGGACGCCGAUUUCCCUAGCCAACCGGAGGCCAUGGGUGAGCGCUUCAUACUCCGCCACGUUGUUGGACGCAACAAAGUGGAUCUUCAUGACGUACUGGAGCUGGUUACCCUUAGGGGACGAGAGGAUGAUGCCAGCCCCAAGGCCGGUGCGCAUCUUCGAGCCAUCGAAGUGCAUGCGCCAAUGGGUUGAGUCUGGAGGCGGCCGUAGGUACUCCGUUUCGGCCUAGUCGACGAGGAAAUCCACCAAGGCCUAUGACUUUACGACGGUGCGGGACUCGUAGGCGAUGUGGUGGUCGGCCAGCUGGAGAGCCCACUUGGCGAUUCGGCCGGCUACGUUCCUGUUGCCCACGAUCUCUCCGAGGGUAGCGGUGCUCACCAAAGUGAUCGAGUGCUCCUCGAAGUAAGGCUUGAGCUUCUUGGCAGCCAGGAACACGACGUAGCACAUCUUCUGAUAGUGCAGCUAGUUCUACUUGGAGGCGGAGAGCACCUCGCUCAGGUAGUAGACAGGUCGUUCGACCAGCUGCGCCCGGCCCGGCUCGGAGCGCUCGACGGUCAUGACUAUACUGACCACUCGGAUGGUCGCGGCGAUGUAGAGCAAUAUCGGCUCCUUAUCCACUGGCGAGGCCAGCAUGGGCACGAUGGUGAGUGCACGCUUGAGGUCGCGCACGGCCUCAUCCGCCCGGUCGCUCCAGACAAACUCGUCCGCCUUCUUGAGCAGACGAUAGAGAGGGAGGGCCUCCUCCCCUGGUCGGCUGAUGAAGCAGCUGAGCGAGGCGAGGCAGCCAGUGAUCUUUUGGAUGUCAGCCAAGUUGGCCCGGAUCUUCUCGGGGAUGGCCUCUAUCCCUUGUUCCAAAAUGACGAAACCGAGGAGCUGGCCGGAUGGUAAGCCGAACACGCACUUUGCCGGCUUCAGCCGGAUUUUGAACUCGCGUAGAUUCACAAAUGUCUCCUUGAGAUCAUCCAGGGGGUGCGAUUUUCCUUGGUUUUGACCACAACGUCGUCCAUGUAGACGUGUACAUUGCGGCCGAGAUGCCUAUAGAGGCAUUGCUGCAUGCAACGCUGAAACGUGGCGCCAACAUUUUUCAGCUCGAAUGCCAUCGUAACAUAGCAGAAUGCCCCGAAUGGGGUUAUGAAAGUUGUCUUGAUCCGGUCGGUCGGAUUCAGCUUGAUCUGGUGAUAGCCUGAAUAGGCGUCUAAGUAGGACAGUAGCUCGAAGCCAGCCAUCGAGUCGAUCACUUGAUCCAUACGGGGCAGAGCAAAAGGAUCCUUGGGGCAUGCCUUGUUUAGGCUCGUGUAGUCGAUACUCAUGCGCCAAGUCUUGUUCUUCUUCAGCACCAGGAAUGGGUUCGCCACCCAAUCCGGGUGGAAGACUUCCAUGAUGAAUUCAAAUGCCAGUAGCCGGGUGAUUUAUUCACCGAUGGUUUUUUGCUUCUCCUCUGAGAAGCGGCGCAACGGUUGAUUAACCAGUUUUGCGUCUGACCGGACGUGCAAGAAGUGCUCGGCGUACUUCCUCGGGACUCGUGGCAUGUCCUUUGGGGCCAUGCGAACAUAUCCCGAUUCUCACGGAGGAAGUCGACGAGCUCAAUUUCCUAUUUGCUGCUGAGACCAGCCCCACCACGACGUACUUGCCGGUGGGGUCGGCCGGGUCCUCGGGCCCCUCUUGGUGUCCUUGCCGGAGGCCGGCUGGAACUGGGCCUGUGUGGCGGGCUGCUUAAGCUUCGGCUCUGAGAGGGGCGCCGUCUCACAGGCUAGUGCCACGAAACGAUCGAUCUGUCACUGCUCCUCGAUGAUAACGAAGGAUUCGGCCAACUUGGAGACGGCCAUGGUGCACUCGGUCGAGUUCUUCUAGUCACCGGAGACGGUGACAAUGUCGUGUGGACCCGGCAGCUUCAUCUUGAGAUAAGCAUAGUGGGAGACAACCAUGAACUUGGCCAGGGGGACGGAACGAGAGCGCAUGGUAGCGGCUAGUGAGGUCGACCACCUCGAACCAUAUGGUCUCGCGACGGAAGUUCUUCGGAUAGGCCGAACAACACGUACAGUCGGACCUUGCUGGUCCGGGAGUGAUAAUCCCCAAGUGCAAGGAAUCAUUGUAGCAAUUUCAAAAGGUGGAAGUGAUAAGUAUGGAGUGUUGCACCCACAAGGAGCUAAAGGUAAGAGCAAUAUUCUCUCAAGAGCUAUCUUCCACUCAUACAACACUAUGUACGCUGAACGUUUGCUUCCAACUAGGAACGAGAAAUGAAACUACGUUGUGGGUAUGAAAAGAAUAGCUUUGCAUGACAUCGGACAACUAAAAUAUAAAAAUAGGUGUUGUUAUCAUAAAGUUAGAAUAUAUUACAAUAUAUUAGAAAUAGUGAGUGUGGAAUAAUGAUGGGUCGGUGUGCGGAAUUGUCCUAGGCAAUUGUUAACAAGAUCGGUAAUCAUUCUUGCAAUUUUAUAUGAGGGAGAGGCAUAAGCUAACAUAAUUUCUCUACUUUGAUCAUAUGCACUUAUGGUUGGAACUCUAGCAAACAUCUGCAACUAUUAAAGAUCAUUAAGGUGAAACCCAACCUUAUCAUUAAAGCAUCUCAACAACCCAGCUACUCGGGUUUAUGCUUGUGUCACUCAAGCAACCCACUAUAAGUGAAUCAUGAACGUAUUGGAACACCAUACAACAAGAGUCCCUCAUGCUUGCGCGACACGGAGAGCACCAUAGGACAACACCAAUAAUAAAGCAUACAACUUAAACCAAUCUAGAUCAUCAAUCGACCCAUAAUACCAAGGGAAUCUACUCAAAACAUCAUAGGAUGGCAACACAUCAUUGGAUCAUAAUAUGUGGCAUGGACCACCUGUUGGAGAACGUCGCAUGGGAAACAAAAAAUUUCCUACGCGCACGAAGACCUAUCAUGGUGAUGUCCAUCUACGAGAGGGGAUGAGUGAUCUACGUACCCUUGUAGACCGUACAGCAGAAGCGUUAGAGAACGCGGUUGAUGUAGUGGAACGUCCUCACGUCCCUCGAUCCGCCCCGCGAACAAUCUCGCGAUCAGUCCCACCAUCUAGUACCGAACGGACGGCACCUCCGCGUUCAGCACACGUACAGCUCGACGAUGAUCUCGGCCUUCUUGAUCCAGCAAGAGAGACGGAGAGGUAGAAGAGUUCUCCGGCAGCGUGACGGCGCUCCGGAGGUUGGUGAUGACCUUGUUUCAGCAGGGCUCCGCCCGAGCUCCGCAGAAACGCGAUCUAGAGGAAAAACCGUGGAGGUAUGUGGUCGGGCUGCCGUGGAAAAGUCGUCUCAAAUCAGCCCUAAAACCUCCGUAUAUAUAGGUGGGAGGGAGGGGGCCUUGCCUUGGGGCUCAAGGAGCCCCAAGGGGGUCGGCCGAGUCCAAGGGGGAGGACUCUCCACCCCCAAACCGAGUUGGACUAGGUUUGGUGGGAGGGAGUCCCCCUCCCUUCCCACCUCCUCCUUUUUUUUUUUUUUUNCCGAGAUUCGAUCGUCAGUAUCCGCAUACCUAUUUCAAUCUCGUUUACCGGCAAGUCUCUUUACUCGUUCCGUAAUACAAGAUCCCGAACUUACACUAAGUUACAUUGCUUGCAAGGCUUGUGUGUGAUGUUGUAUUACCGAGUGGGCCCCGAGAUACCUCUCCGUCACACGGAGUGACAAAUCCCAGUCUUGAUCCAUACUAACUCAACUAACACCUUCGGAGAUACCUGUAGAGCAUCUUUAUAGUCACCCAGUUACGUUGCGACGUUUGAUACACACAAAGCAUUCCUCCGGUGUCAGUGAGUUAUAUGAUCUCAUGGUCAUAGGAAUAAAUACUUGACACGCAGAAAACAGUAGCAACAAAAUGACACGAUCAACAUGCUACGUCUAUUAGUUUGGGUCUAGUCCAUCACAUGAUUCUCCCAAUGACUUGAUCCAGUUAUCAAGCAACAACACCUUGUUCAUAAUCAGAAGACACUGACUAUCAUUGACUAACUGGCUAGCCAACUAGAGGCAUGCUAGGGACGGUGUUUUGUCUAUGUAUCCACACAUGUAAAUGAGUCUUCAUUCAAUACAAUUAUAGCAUGGAUAAUAAACUAUUAUCUUGAUACAUGAAUUAUAAUAAUAACCAUAUUUAUUAUUGCCUCUAGGGCAUAAUUCCAACACCACCAUGUUCAAUUAGGGGAUCACAACGGGUGCGGGAGAGUGGACCGCUCAAAAAAGACGAGGAUGGUGAUGAAGAAGGUGAUGUUGAUGAAGACGGUCACCGCAGCGAUGGUUCCCCCGGUGGCACUCUGGCACCACCGGGAGAGCGGGAGAGAGGGUCUCCACCUUUUGCCUCCUCCUCCAUGGCCUCCCCCAAGGUGGGGAGAGGUUCUCCCUCUGGUUCUUUGCCUCCAUGGUGAUGGUGGCCCCUCCGUCUUCCUCCUCCAUGGUGUCCGGUGAUGGUGACCCCCUCCGGCAGGGUGCCAAAGAGGGCCAAGAUUGGUUUUUCGUGGCUCUGGAGGCUUGCGGUGGCGGAACUCCCGAUCUAGGUUUCUUUCUGGGGGUUUUGGGAUUUAUAUGAUUUUUUGGCAUCGGUCUCACAUCAAGGGGACUCUCGAGGGAUCCACAAGCCACGGGUGUGCCCUAGGGGGUGCCCUAGGCUUGUGACUGCCUCGGGACUCCUCUCUGGUAUCUUUUUGCUCCACUAUUUUUUAUAUUUUCCAAAAAUAUUUUCCGUAAAUUUUCAGCCCAUUCGGAGAACUUUUAUUUCUGCACAAAAACAUCAUCACGGUAGUUCUGCUGAAAACAGCGUGAGUUAGGGUUAGUUCUAAUAAAAUCAUAUAAAAUUAUUGUGAACAUGGCAUGUAUACUUCAUAAAUUAUAGAUACGUUGGAGAUGUAUCAGCAUCCCCAAGCUUAAUUCUUGCUCGUCCUCGAAUAGGGAAAUGAUAAAAGAAACAAUUUAUGAAGUGUGAAUGCUAGCAUAGUGCAUAAAUUUGAUCAAUGAUAGUUCCAAAGACUUGUGCUAGCAUCACUAUAUAUCAUAAACAGUAGCUCAUCUCAUAAAACUUCUCAUGAUGAAGUAACAAGCUAUUCACAUGUUAAAGUAUAGACCAUAAAGUUUCUUGAAAACUAACAAACUAUGCUUUCGGUGACCAAACAUUUGCAAUUCAUCUUAUUUUCGGGAAGGGUCUAUGUAAGAGCUUUUGAUUUAGCAAAUUCCACAUACUCAACUAUCAUAUAGUCUUCCAUGAUUCCUAACACUCAAAUCAUAUUUUUAGAGCAAAUGGCAUUCGUCGAACAGAGAGAAAGAUAGGGGCUUAAAGUGUCGCCUUCCAACUUAUUUAUCAUAUAGAUAGUUGUGAACAAUACUAAUUCAUGAACAAAUAUAUUUGAAUGGACAUAUAUGCUUGGAUCUUUCCCCAGCACAUGAUGUUUGCCAAGAGGAAAAGGCGAAAUAUAGGAAGUGCUGAAGAUCACCAUGAAUCUUGUAUAAAGGUAAGUACUGUAAAGUAAAAGAUAGGCCCUUCGCAGAGGGAAGCAUUGAUUUGCAGAGGUGCCAGAGCUCGAGCUUUUAGAACAGAGAUGAGUAAUAAUUUUGAGUGGUAUGAUCUCAUUGUCAACAUAACAACCGAGAGAUCUCGGUAUCUUCCAUGAUAGAUACAUUAUAGGCAGUUCCCAAACAGAAUGUUAAAUUUUUUACUCCCCCUCCACCAAUCAAUCACACUCCACGGCGAUCCAAAUCCACAAGUACCGUCCAUACAAACAACAAUCUUGGGGUGUUUUGUUUCAUUAUAUUUUGAUUUGAUUUUUGAGCAUGGAACUAGGCAUCCAGAAUACCAGCCACUCUCUCGUGAAUGAUAGUGAAUCAACACAUAUCGUGAGAAUAACCCACCUAGCAUGGAAGAUAUCGAUAGCCUCUACUCACUACAUGAGCGAUUCAGGCAUACAAAACAAAAUAUUAUUUGAAGGUUUAGAGUUUGGCACAUGCAAAUUUACUUGGAAUGGCACAUAAAUACCGCAUAUAGGUAGAUAUAGUGGACUAUCAUGGCAAGAAACUGAGUUUAAGGGUUUUUGGAUGCACAAGUAGUAUCCCUACUUAGUACGAAGUGUUGGCUAGCAAAAGGUUCUAAACAAGCACCACAUGUUGGAGGAUCCAUAACAAUAUAACUUCUAUGAAAAUAUACCCAAACAUAACUCAUUAAGUUGUCUUCCUUGUCCAACUUCAACUAAUUUUGUGAAGUUUGAAAAUAAUUAAUGGGGCUCACAAUCAUAGGAGAUGUCCAAGAUAGAAUAUUUAUAUGUGGAAUCUCUCUUCCUUCAAUAUUCUUUCAUGAAUUGUUCAAGGGACCAAUGCGGUGUUUGCUAACUUUUAAUAAAUUUUAGCACCUAUACUUCUUAUAUGUGAAGUCAUUACUACCCAUGGGAUAAGAAUUCAAAACAUAUAUAAUUUUAAAUUUAUGAUAUCAAAUUUAAUCAACUAUUUACUCAUAGGAUAUAAGUGAAGCACGAGAUUAAAUGACAAAGCUACUCCCAAACAUAUAAGUGGAGAUCAAUGAGUAGUCAAACAAUUAAGUAGCUAUGUGAGGAUUUUCUCCGUCUCUCGCAAUAAAGAUUUUCAGAUCUGAGUAUUUUGUUUAAACAGUAAGCAAAAGAAAAAUAGCACUCCAAGAAUAGGACGUGUCAUGUGAACGAAUAAAAAUUUAGGCUCAACAUAAUCUAACUGAUAGUUCACGAAGAGAGGUGGAUUGCGUAGCCUCCCCAACCUGAGUGUUCUUGAAAUAUUUACUUGGGGUGCCUUGGUCAUCCCCAAGCUUGAGCUUUCGUAUCUUGUUCAAUCCUCUCAUAUCAUGGUUUCACCUAUUCUCAAAAGUUUCAUCCACACAGAUCUCGAAAAUAACUCGUGAGAUAGGUUAGUACACACUAUAAUAAAUCAACUCUUCAUGUACUGCCAAGACAAGUUGUAUAAUAAUUUUCAAACAUCAUCUACUGUUUACUAUCAUUUCCACAAUUUAUAUCUACCAAUAUAUGCUGUGGAAACUAUAGGAUAAGUAGAUAACAAAACUAUGACAGCAAUCUGUCCAAACAGAACAGUCUAUAGCAAUUUAUGAAAACAAUGUACUUCUGUAACUCAAAAUAGUUUGAAAAUUUUGGACAUUCUAUAAAAUUUAUAUGAAAACACUAUGUAAAUAUUUCAGAAACUUUCCACGUUCUAGUAAAAUAUGAAAAUUCCAAUACUAUAAAAAGAGUUUCUGUUUUUACACAGCACACAUCAAACCAUGCAAUGCAAGCAUCCUAAUGCAAUUCUUGGAACUUUUUUAUUGAAAACAAAAUUAUAAAUAACACCUAACAUAAAUAAACAAAACAAAAUGACGCUCCAAGAAAAACUCAUAUUAUGUGACGAAUAAAAAUAUAGCUCUAAGUAAGAUUAUCGAUAGCGUUGGAGACAAAAGAGGAGAUGCUUCCGGAGCAUCCUCAAGCUUAGGCACUCCAGUCUUCCAUGGAUAGGACCUGGGGGGUGCCUUGGGCAUCCCCAAGCUUAGGUUCUUUUCACUCCUUCUUCUCCUCAUAUCGGUGUCUCACCCAAAACUUGAAAACUUCAAUCACACUUAACUUAAUGGAACUUCGUGAGAAGGGUUAGUGUAAUAAAGAUAGAUCAUUCACUUUGGUACUGUGAAGACAAGAUUCAUAAUUGUUACCACAUGAUACCUACUGUAUUCUAUCAUUUCCAUAAUUUAUAUUACUGAAUAUAAGCUGUGGGAACACCAAAAUAAGCAAACUAUGCAUGCAAAACAGAAUCUGUCAAAAAUAGAACAGUCUGUAAAGAUCUGUAGUAUAGCCAUACUUUCCUGCAUCUAAAAAUUCUGACAAAUUAGGACAACCAGAAGUUUUUGGAUAUAAAGACUGUGUCAAAAUUUCAAAUCAUUAUUAUGCUCCAGUAAAAAAUUAAAAUUCAUGUACUAGAGUCAAAAGUUACUGUUUUGGUUCAACAUCAAUUCUACUCAUCUUGUGAGUCAUCCCAAAGGCUUUACUUGGUACUUUAUUGAAAUAAAAGACACAAAACAUGAUUACUACAGUAUCUUAAUCAUGUGAACUCAAAAAAACAGAAGGUAAACGUGUUGGGUUGUCUCCCAACAAGGGCUUUUCUUUAAUGUCUUUUAGCUGGGCAUGGUUAUUUCAAUGAUGCUCUUCCAAGCCUAAAUACGAUGAUGAUUUUAUUCACACUCUAAAAGAUAUAAGUGAAGUUCAUAUAGAAUUCUACAAUUAAUAUAGAUCAACCAAUAUCCAUGCUGAAAAUAUAUAAGUGAAGCACACGAAGCAUUCUAUAAGGCCAUACUCAAAAGAUUUAAGUGAAGCACGAAGAGCAUUCUAUAGAGCCAUACUCAAAAGAUUUAAGUGAAGCACAAAGAGCAUUCUACAAUGCCAUACUCAAAAGAUUUAACUGAAGCACAUGAAGCAUUAUAUAAAUCAAUAAAGGACUAUCUCAUGCUAGACGGGUGCAUAAAAGGAGAAGAAAAACACUAAGGACACAUAUCAUGUGAACAAAACAAAAACCGAGGUAUACCGAUAAUUGUGGAAGAAUAAAGAUGGGAUGCCUUCCAGGGCAUCCCCAAGAUUAGAUGCUUGAGCCUCCUUGGAAUAUUUACUUGGGGUGCCUUGGGCAUCCCCAAGAUUGAACUCUUGUCUCCGUGUAUUCAUCUUUUAUUGAUACCUCCUCGAUCUUCGAAAACUUCAUUCAUACAGAACUUAACAAAACCCUCGUGAGAUCCGUUAGUAAAAUAAAGCAAAAUACUACUUUAAGUACUGUUGUGAACUCAUUCCAAAUUCAUAUUAGAAUUAUAUCUACUGUAGUCCAACUUCACAAUGGUUCAUACCCCCAGUACUACCCAUAUAUUCAUCAAAACAAGAGAACAAUGCAUAGAAAACAAAAUUUGUCAAAAAGAGGAGAGUCUAUAGUAAUCUGGAAACUUUGUAUACUACUGUAAAUCAAACAAUUCCGAAUAAGUUGGAAGAAAUAAAAAAUAUUCAUAGAAGUAGUGUGUAAAAAGUUCAGAAACUUUUUACAUUCCAGUAAAAAACGUAAAUUCACGCACUACAACGAAAGUUUCUGUUUUUGCACUUCACACACCAAACAAGCAAUCUAAUCAUCCUAAUGGCAAAUCUUGGCAUGUUACUUUUAUAAUACAAUGGAUAUAUACAAGGGGAUAAUUAUUUUUGAGAAACUUCCAUCAAAAAUUCUACAUUGCUUACAUGAUCAUGAACACAAGUGUUCAAGGUCGACCCUCACUUCCCCAAUGCACAACCUUCCAAUCACUUCUCUUUUUGAAAACUUCUUAGGCAUAAGAGGCAAGUAAAUAUUUUUGUAUUUUUAAUUAUUUUUUUAGUUUCACCCACAAAUAAAUAAAUCAAAAUGGGAAAAAAUCUACUUAGUGAAGAAAUCAAACAAGCACAUUCGAGAAUAUCAACCCCACGCUAUUGCUCCCCGAAAACGGCGCCAGAAAAGAGCUUGAUAAUCCCCAAGUGCAAGGAAUCAUCGUGGCAAUUUCCAAAGGUGGAAGUGAUAAGUAUGGACUGUCGAACCCACAAGGAGCUAAAGGUAAGAGAAAUAUUAUCCCAAGUCCUAUAUGCCACUGACACUACUCUACGUACGCCGAACAUUUGCUUCCAACUAGGAAGGAGAAAUAAAACUACGUUGUGGGUAUGAAGAGAAUAGCUUUGCAUGACAUCGAAGAACUAAAAUAUAAAAAUAGGUGCUUUUAUCAUAAAGCUAGAAUAUGUUACAAUAUAUUAUAAAUAGCGAGUGUGGAAUAAUGAUGGGUCGGUGUGCGGAAUUGUCCUAGGCAAUUGUUAAGUAGAUUGGUAAUCAUUAUUGCAAUUUUACAUGAGGGAGAGGCAUAAGCUAACAUACUUUCUCUACUUGGAUAAUAUGCAGUUAUGAAUGGAACUCUAGCAAGCAUCCGCAACUACUAAAGAUCAUUGAGGUAAAACCCAACAAUAGCAUCAAGUCCCCUUUCUCCCAUACGCAACAACCCACCUACUCGGGUUUAUGCUUCUGUCACUCUAGCAACCCACUAUAAGAGAUCAUGAACGUAUUGCAACUCCCUACAGCGAGAAUCCCUCACGCUUGCACGACACGGAGAGCGUCAUAAGACAGAACCAAUAAUAAAUCACGCGACUCAAACCAAUCUAGAUCAUCAACCAACCCAUAAGACAAAGGGAAACUACUCAAAACAUCAUACCAUGGCAACACAUCAUUGGAUCAUAAUAUGUGGCAUGAAGCACCAUUUUCAUGUAGGGGAUUAUAGCGGGAUGCGGGAGAGUGGACCGCUAAAAAGAAGAUGAGGAUGGUGAUGAAGAAGGUGAUGUUGAUGAAGACGAUCACCGCGGUGAUGGUUCCCUCGAUGGCACUCGGCACCACCGGGAGAGAGGGGGAGAGGAUCUCCCCCUUGUGGCUCCUCCCCCAUGGUUUUCCCCCCAAGGUGGGGAGAGGUUCCCCCUCUAAUCCUUGGCAUCCAUGGUGACGAUGGCCCCUCCGUCUUCCUCCUCCAUGGUCUCCGGCGAUGGUGACCCCUCCGGCAGCGUGCCGGAGUGGGUCAAGAUUGAUUUUUCGUGGCUCUAGCUUGCGGUGGCGGAACUCCCGAUCUAGGUUUCUUUCUGGGGGUUUUGGGUUUUAUAGGAAUUUUUGGCGUCAGUCUCACGUCAAGGGGACUCCUGAGGGACUCCUCGGGAGUCCUCUCUGGUAUCUUUUUCCUCCAGUAUUUUUUAUAUUCUCCAAAAAUAUUCUUUGUAAAUUUUCAGCCCAUUCCGAGGAUUUUUAUUUAUGCACAAAAACACCACAUUAGUUCUGCCGAAAACAGCGUCACUCCGGGUUAGUUCUAAUAAAAUCAUACCAAAAUCAUAUAAAAUUAAUGUAAACAUGGCAUGAAUACUUUAUAAAUUAUAGAUACGUUGGAGACGUAUCAAGGAGCAAGAGUGGCUGGGGACGAUGUCGUGGAAAACUGUCCGGGUCGGCUGGAGCUCGGACUCCAGGAUGCCGAGCUUGUCCAUGGUGUCGCGGUAGAGGAUGUUGAUGCUGCUACCUCCCUUGAUGAGCAUCGGUGCGAAACCGGGAGGUGCUCCGUGUGGAGACGAAGGUGGGGUCGAGAACCAGCGCGUAUCCGCCUCGCGUGGGCAUCACAGGAGAAUGGUCUUGGCACCGAAGGUGACGGGCUUGUUCAACCAUUGCAUGUACUCUGGGACAGGAGGAACGAUGAUGUUGACCUACAGCGCGUGACGGCGCUCGCUGUGCUUGUCGUCGUCUUCAGUGGUGAAGACACGUACGUCGCGUCUUGCUGGGGGUAGUCGUCCCGAGCGCCGCCGGCUCCCAGAGCGGGUGGUGGUGGUGGCGGCUGCGACACGGGAGGCAAAGCCUCGUCCCGCACGAUCUUGGUGAACCAGCUGCACUGGCGUCCCGUGUGCGCUGCGGGCUUGGCCCCGUUGUCGAACUUGCAGGGUCCGUCGAGCAUGGACUCGAAUUUGUACUUGCUGUGCCAUGGAUGCUUGCCCUCAUUGGUGCACUGACGCCGGCUGGCGCCUUGGCCGUCAUCCAUACAGCCGUCGGCUGGUGCCUUGGCGGGCGUACGGCUGGUCUGCCUUACGCUUGCCCUGGUCUGGCUGGUAUCGGACGGCAGCCGGGGUGGCAGCCGGCUUGGCGGCGGUCGGCUUGGCGGUCAUGUCGACAUGCACUCGGAGCUUCAUGGAAGACUCGGUCAUGGCGUAUUGGUCGACGAUGGACAUUAGUUGCACCAGGGUCGCCGGCUCCCGGCGCACGAGUUUGCUUGAGGAGGGUGUCGUCCCGGCAGCCGUAGAUGAAGUACUGCAUCGCUUGCAACUCGUGGAUGCCAUCGCAGGAAUUUCGGAGCUCGUCCCAUCGCGUUACGUAGUCGUGGAGAAGCUCGUCCGGCCCGUGCACGCACAACGUGAGCUGGUGAGGCCGGCCCGGACGCUUGUAGGUGCCGAUGAAGUUGCACACAAACGUCUCCUAGAAGUCCAGCCAGCCGUUGACGCUGUCGGCCGGAAGGCUGUUAAGCCAGGUCCGAACCGAGCUCAGUAGCAUGUGGGGCGCGUAGCACACUGCCACACGCUUGUUGCCGCUGGCGAUGCCGACAGCGGUGGUGUAGUCGAUCAACCAUUCUUCCUGCUUGGUCAAACCGUUGUACUUGGGAGUGUCGCGCGCCAAGGUUAAGCCCUUAGAAAACGACUCCUUUAGGAAGCGCGGCCCGAAGCAGGACCGGCCAGCUGUGCCUUCCUCCUCGGCGGCUUGGGACCCGGCGAUGCACGCCAUAUGGAAGCGGGCAUCCUGGUCGUCCAGCUGACGCACGUCGACACGCUUGGAUACGGGGUGACGGGAAGGCGGAUGCUCGGCCUCCCGGUCGCGGUCCUCGCAUUGAUUCCUCCGUGUGGGCUGGUGGUCGCCCUGGCCAGUCGGCUCCCUCACACGGCUGUCGACAACUGAUGGGUUGUGGUCUCGCCGACCGUGUCUGCCCGCGCCAACUGUCAUGGUGCUGGUCGGUGUUGGCAGGUAAAGAUGCGUGAUUCGGGUCCCGCCGACUGGCCGCAAGCUAGUAGGGGCCAAUGAGGUCGUUGUUGGUCCUCGAGCGGGAGCCAGUCGUGCCGCGGAGCGACUGGCUUGCCUGCUCGUGGUGCGCGUUGGCAGCCUCCAUGAGAGCGCGGAUGUGCUCCUGCUAUGCCUCAAGGGUCGGGCCGUCGAGCCCCCUAGCUAGCCGAGGGCGGCCUCUGCGGCCCUCAUGUUCUUGACGGGGGUAUCGUAGACGGGGCAGCCGCCUACCAGCUACUGGCCAACGGCACCGCCGCAGCGCCGCACUUCCGCCACCCGGCUGGGUGCGAUGUCAGCCAGCGUGAGGCCAUGGGCCACAUUGAAAUCGUGCUGAGCAGCCUCGAACUUGCUUUGGGUCGCCUCCAACGCUUCCGCCUCCGCGAGAAGGCGCUCGCGGUGGUUGUCCAGUUCCGCGGUUGCGGCCGCAGGGUCAGCCACAACCAGGAUGGGCACGCGUAGUGUGUCUAGUGAAGCGCAAAGAGGGGUGCGGUACGCGGACGUACCACCCAGGGAGAUGGCAAUCAUUACCUCCACACGGAUGCAUAGGACGUCGAUGUCGCUAGAGAGGUCGUCGUCGGACGACGACAUGACAUCACCACAUGACGGCAGACGACGGGUUACUCGUCGGAGAUGACGGCGACAUAGAAGCGGUGGGACCCGAAGGCGACGAAGGAGCCGUUGUCGGGGAAGUCUGCAUCCUCGAGGCGAUGGGCGUUGUCCUUGACACAGUUGAGUGCGUCGUAGCACAGGAGCAAGCCAUGCGCCACGCGCUCGCCAGAAAGGGUUACGGGUCCCGCCCAGAACGUCACUCCGGCCUGCAUCGCUGCCGGCCCUACGGUGGGCACCAACUAUCAUAGUAUUUCCGCGGCAGAUGCCAGGGGGUGGCUUAGAACAUGGUUUGGGGCCGAUGGGUGUGAUACAUCUCCACCGUAUCUAUAAUUUAUGAACUAUUCAUGCCAUGUUUACAAUAAUUCUAUAUGAUAUUGGUAUGAUAUUAUUAGAACUAACCCGGAGUGACGCUGUUUUCAACAAAGCUACCGUGUUGUUAUUUUUGUGCAGAAAUAAAAGUUCUCAGAAUGGGCUGAAAAUUUACGGAGAAUAUUUUUGGAAAAUAUGAAAAAUAAUGGAGCAAAAAGAUACCGGAGAGGAGUCCCGAGGCAGUCACCAGGGCGCGACCCCCCCUAGGUCGUGCCCCUGGCUUGUGGGCCCGUCGAGCACUCCCGUGACAUGGUUCCAACGCCAAAUAUUCUUAUAAAUAUAGAAACCCUCGAAAAGAAACUUUGAUCAGGAGUUCCCCCGCAGCAAGCCUCCAGAGCCAUGAAAAACCAAUCUUGGCCCGCUCUCGCACCCUGCCGGAGAGGGCCACCAUCACCGGAGACCAUGGAGGAGGAAUACGGAGGGGCCAUCAUCACCAUGGAGGCGAAGGACCAUAGGGAGAACCUCUCCCCACCUUUGGGGGAGGCCACGAAGGAGGAGGCACAAGGGGGAGAACCUCUCCACCUCUCUCCUGGUGGUGCCAGACGGCCACAUGGGGAACCAUCGCCGCGGUGAUCGUCUUCAUCAACAUCACCUUCUUCAUCACCAUCCUCAUCUUCUUUUAGCAGUCCACUCUCCCGCACCCCAAUGCCAUCCCCUACUUGAACAUGGUGCUCUAUGCCACAUAUUACGAUCCAAUGAUGUGUUGCCAACCUAUGAUGUUUUGAGUAGAUUCCCUUUGUCUUAUGGGUUGAUUGAUGAUCUAGAUUGGUUUGAGUUGCAUGCUUUAUUAUUGGUGUUGUCCUAUGGUGCUCUCCGUGUCGCGCAAGCAUGAGGGAUUCCCUUUGUAGGGUGUUGUAAUACGUUCAUGAUUCNNNNNNNNNNNNNNNNNNNNNNNNNNNNNNNNNNNNNNNNNNNNNNNNNNNNNNNNNNNNNNNNNNNNNNNNNNNNNNNNNNNNNNNNNNNNNNNNNNNNNNNNNNNNNNNNNNNNNNNNNNNNNNNNNNNNNNNNNNNNNNNNNNNNNNNNNNNNNNNNNNNNNNNNNNNNNNNGGUUGCUUGAGUGACAGAAGCAUAAACCCGAGUAGGUGGGUUGUUGCGUAUGGGAUAAAGCGGACUUGAUGCUUUAAUGCUAUGGUUGGGUUUUACCUUAAUGAUCUUUAGUAGUUGUGAUGCCUACUAGAGUUCCAACCAUAAGUGCAUAUGAUCAAAGUAGAUAAAGUAUGUUAGCUUAUGCCUCUCCCUCAUAUAAAAUUGCAAUAAUGAUUACCCAUCUUGUUAACAAUUGCCUAGGACAAUUGCGCACGCCGACCCAUCAUUAUUCCACACUCUCUAUUUGUAACACAUUAUAAUAUAUUCUAACUUUAUGAUAAUAGCACCAAUUUUCAUAUUUUAGUUCUCCAAUUUCAUGCAAAACUAUUCUCUUCAUACCCACAACGUAAUUUUAUUACUCGUUCCUAGUUGGAAGCAAACGUUCGGCGUAUGUAGAGUUGUAUCAGUGGCAGAUAGGAGAGAAUAUUGCUCUUACCUUUAGCUCCUUGUGGGUUCGACACUCCAUACUUAUCAUUUCCACCUUUGGAAAUUGCUACGAUUAUUCCUUGCACUUGGGGAUUAUCAAGCUCUUUUCUCGCGCCGUUGCCGGGGAGCAAUAGUGUGGGGUUGAUAUUCUCAUGUGUGCUUGUUUGCUUUCUUCACUAAGUAUAUUUUGUUUUCCCUUUUUGAUCUAUUUAGUUGUGGUUGAAACAAACAAAAAAAUUGAAUAAUGAAAAAUACAAAAAGAAUUACUUGCCUCUUAUGCCUAAGAAGUUUUCAAAAAGGGAAGUGAUUGGAAGGUUGUGCAAUGGAGAAGUGAGGAUCGACCUUGAACACUUGUGUUCAUGAUCAUGGAAGCAAUGUAGAUUUUUUUUCAUGGAAGUUUCUCAAAAAUAAUUAUCCCCUUAUAUAUAUAUCCAUUGUAUUAUAAAAAUAAUGUGCCAAGAUUUGCCUCUAGGAUGAUUAGAUUGCUUGUUUGGUGUGUGGUGUGCAAAAUAGAAACUUUGGCUCCACUCCGCGAGUUUACGUUUUUUACUGGAAUGUCAAAAGUGUCUGAAAUUUUUACAAAAAAAUUAUUUCGUGCUAAUUAGUCAGAAUAUUUUGAGUUACAGAAGUAUACGAAGUUUUCAGAUUGCUACAAAUUGUACUGUUUUGACAGAUUCUGUUUUCUUACGAUUGUUCUCUUGUUUUCAUGAAUCUAUGGGUAGUACCGGGGGGUAUGAACCAUGGUGAACUUGGACUACAUUAGAUAUAAUUCUAAUAUGAAUUUGGAAUGAGUUCACAACAGUACUUAAAGUAGUAUUUUUCUUUAUUAUACUAACGGAUCUCACGAGAGUUUUAUUAAGUUUUGUAUGAAUGAAGUGUCCGAAGAUCGAGGAGGUAUCGUUAAAAGAUGAAUACAGGGAGACAAGAGUUCACGAUUGGGGAUACCCAAGGCACGCCAAGUAAAUAUUUCAACGAGGCUCAAGCAUCUAAUCUUGGGGAUGCCCUCGAAGGCAUCCCAUCUUUAUUCUUCAACAAUUAUCGGUAUACCUUGGUUUUUGUUUUGUUCACAUGAUAUGCGUCCUUAGUGUUUUUCUUAUCCUUUUAUGCACCUUUCUAGUAUGAUAUAGUCCUUCAUUGAUUUAUAGAAUGCUUCAUGCGCUUCACUUAAAUCUUUUGAGUAUGGCUUUGUAGAAAGCUCUUGGUGCUUCACUUAAAUCUUUUGAGUACGGCUCUAUAGAGUGCUCUUCGUGCUUCACUUAAAUCUUUUGAGUAUGGCCUUAUAGAACGCUUCGUGUGCUUCACUUAUAUAUUUUCAGCUUAGAUAUUGGUUGAUCUAUAUUAAUUGUAGAAUGCUCUAUGAACUUCACUUAUAUCUUUUAGAGUAUGAAUAAAAUUAUCAUCGCAAUUAGGCUUGGACGAGCAUCAUUGAAAUGAUCAUGCCUAGCUAAAAGGCAUUAAAGAAAAUCGUUUAUUGGGAGAUGAUGUCCCACAAGCGUAUGGGAUCACAGCAGUUUUCGAGGGUAGAGUAUUAGACCCAAAUUUAUUGAUUCGCUCACAAGGUGAAGCUAAAGGAUAUUCUCAAGUAUUGGCAGCUGAGUUGUCAAUUCAACCACACCUGAAAAAUUAGUGUCUGCGAGCAAAGUAUCAGUAGCAAGGUAGUAUGAUAGCAACGGCACCAGAAAAAGCUUUGGCAAUGAUACGUCUCCAUCGUAUCUACUUUUCCAAACUCUUUUGCCCUUGGUUUGGACUCUAAUUUGCAUGAUUUGAAUGGAACUAACCUGGACUGACGUUGUUUUCAGCAGAAUUGCCUUGGUGUUAUUUUUGGGCAGAAAUCAAAGUUCUGAGAACGUCCUGAAAAUUUACGGGGAACAUUUUUGGAAAAUAUGAAAAAUACCUGCGCAAAGAUCCACCUCAGGGGGUGGGCGAGUGGGCCACAAGCCCUGCCUCCACCACCCCCCUGGUGGCGGUGGAUAAGCUUGUGGGGCCCACACGACUCUGCCGCCCCCAAUCUCAGGUCUAUAAGUUCACUUUCGUCCCAGAAAAAAAUAAAAAGAGAAGAUUUCGUCGCAUUUGCGAUAUGGAGGCGCCGCCACAACCUGUUCUUCAUCUGGAGGGCAGAUGUGGAGUCCGUCUUGGGCUCCGGAGAGGGGAAAUCGUCACCAUCAUCAUCAUCAACCUUCUUCCCUCUCCAAUUCCAUGAAGCUCUUCGUCGUUCGUGAGUAAUCUAUUCGUAGGCUCGCUGGGCGGUGAUGGGUAGGAUGAGAUCUAUCAUGUAAUCGAGUUAGUUUUGAUGGGGAUUGAUCCCUAGUAUCCACUAUGUUCUGAGAUUGAUGUUGCUACUACUUUGCCAUGCUUAAUGCUUGUCACUAGGGCCCGAGUGCCAUGAUUUCAGAUCUGAAAUUAUUAUGUUGCCACCAAUAGAUGUGUGUUUUAGAUCCGAUCUUGCAAGUUGUAGUUACCUACUAUGUGUUAUGAUCCGGCAACCCCGGAGUGACAAUAACCGGAACCACUCCCGGUGAUGACCAUAGUAUGAGGAGUUCAUGUGUUCACCAAGUGCUAAUGCGUUGGUCCGGUUCUUUAUUAAAAGGAGAACCUUAAUAUCCCAUAGUUUCCUUUUGGACCCCGCUGCCACGGGAGGGAUGGACAAUAGAUGUCAUGCAAGUUCUUUUCCCUAAGCAUGUAUGACGACACACGGAAUGCAUGCCUACAUCACAUUGACGAACGGGAGCUAGCCACAUAUCUCUCCGUGUUAUAAUUGUUGCAUGAUGAAUAUCACCCAAACAAAUCACCGACCCAUUGCCUACGAGUUUGUCCUACUGUUGAUGUUACUUGUCUUGCUCUGCUGCUGUUACUUGUCUUGCUCUGCUGCUACUGUUGCUACUACUGUCGCUUACCACUGGGUUACUUGCUACUUUGCUGUUACUACUUUGCUUGCAGAUACUAAUCUUUCAGGUGUGGUUGAAUCUGACGCAUUCAGCUGCUAAUACACGAGAGUAUUCUCUCACCUCCUGUCUGGCGAAUCAACAAAUUUGGGUCGAAUACUCUACCCUAGAAAACUGCUGCGAACCCACGCGCUGGUGGGCCGUCAACAACAUUCUUCUAGUUUCAUUGCCAGGGAGUGCUGGUAGCAUUCUUCUGGUUCCGUUGCAGGAGAAGGUUUGUUGUCACAGAAUCCGCAUUCGUCUAGCUAUUGCCAGAGAGUGCCAGUCAGCAUUUUUCUGGCGCCGUUGCCGGGGAGGUAUUGCUAUAUUCUCUGAGUCACUUGGGAUUUAUAUCUAAAGAUCACUAUGAAGAAUCUGAAGGAUCCAAAAACCAAAGUCUUGCCCUCAACUACGAGGGGAGGUAAGGAACUGCCAUCUAGCUCUGCACUUGAUUCACCUUCUGUUAUGAGUAAGUUUGCGACAUCACCUCCUUCUAGAAAUCUUGAUAUGUCGCCUGUGCUUGAUGAUGCUACUACUAGAGAUGCUAUGCUUGAUACUAUGCCUGAUACUGCUUUGUCUGAUGAUGUUAGAGAUACUAUGCAUGAUACUGCUUUGCCUGAUAUUGCUAGAGAUACUAUGCUUGAUAUUGCUAGAGAUGCUAUGCUUGAUACUGCUUUGCCUGAUGAUGCUAUGCUUGAUACUGCUAGAGAUACUACUUUGCCUGAUGUUCCACUAGGGGUAUUCCUUGAUGCUCAUAUUGCUAGAGUUACUUCCAAUGAUCGUGAUGCUUCUGAAACUGCCGAUACUAUUGAGAUAGAACCUGCUUUUGCUCCUGCUAGAUCUAGCUUUCCUAGAUAUGAAUUGCCUGAUAUACCUGAGGGUUACGUUAUGGAGGGAGAGAUAGCUGAGGAUUUUCUUGCAUGUAAGGAUGCCUAUGACACUGAGAAAUUACUUCUCAAGUGGAAGGAAAAAUCUCUGAAAGCUAGGAUGAAAUACGACCCGAAGUUUGCCACUUCACCUAUCUUUAUCACCCAUAAGGAUUAUGAAUUCUCUGUCGACCCCGAGAUAAUCUCUCCAGUCGAAUCUGAUCCUUUCCACGGUUAUGAGUCUGAGACGGUCGUAGCCCAUCUUGCCAAACUACACGAUAUAGCCACCCUUUUCACUAAUGAGGAGAAGAUCCGCCACUACUAUAUCCUUAAGUUGUUUCCUUUUUCCCUGAAGGAUGAUGCUAAAGCCUGGUUCACCUCUCUUGCUCCUGGAUGUGUGAGUAGUCCCCAGGAUAUGGUCUAUUACUUCUGUGAGAAAUAUUUUCCUGCCCAUAAGAGGCAAGCUGCCUUGCAGGAAAUAUACAACUUUGCUCAACUCCAAGAAGAGAGUCUUCCACAAGCUUGGGGGAGGCUCGUCCAGCUACAGAAUGCUUUGCCUGAUCACCCUCUUAAGAAGAACGAGAUACUUGAUAUCCUCUAUAACGGACUUAUCGAUGCCUCUAGAGACCAUCUAGAUAGUUGUGCCGGUUGUGUUUUUAGGGAACAAACUGCAGAACAAGCUGAGACCCUACUGAAUAACAUCUUGAUCAACGAUAAUGUUUCGACUAUUCCCGAACCACGUCCUAAGCCAACUCCUAAGAAAUAAGGUAUUCUAUUCCUCAGUCCCGAAGAUAUGCAAGAAGCCAAGAAAUCUAUGCAAGAGAAAGGCAUUAGAUCUGAAGAUGUCAAAAAUCUACCACCUAUCGAAGAGAUCCAUGGUCUCAAUAACCCGAUACAGGUAGUAGAAGUAAAUUCUCUGCGUAGGUUUGAUGAGAGUGAUAUUCGUUUUGACGAACCUGCUAGCCUAUGCUUUGAUGAAUUUGACAACUUUGUUGCCAAACAACAGAGUUUCAGUGAUUAUGUUAGCAGACAUUUGGAACAAAGUACUCGUAUGCUUAGCCAUUUAAGUGCUUGUGUAGACAGAAAUGUCAAUGAUCUGAAGCUUCUGACUAAAAAUGCCUCUAUGAUUACUACUCAGGUAGAAAAAGUACUUAAAGCUUAGAAUGACUUGCUCAAUGAAUUAAAUGACAACUCUGUCAGAGUCAUUACUAGAGGAGGCAAAAUGACUCAGGAACCUUUGUAUCCUGAAGGUCAUCCUAAGAGAAUUGAUCAAGAUUCUCAAGGAAUCAAUGCUGAUACACCCAGUCAUCCUAAGGAGAAGAAGAAGGAUGAUAGACACCUACAUGCCAGUUCACCAAAUACUGGCACACCUGAAGAACCUAAUGAUAUUUCUGCGUCUGAUGCAGAAACACAAUGUGGUGAUGAACAUGAACCUGGUGACAAUAUGGAUAGCGAUGUUCAUAAUAAUGCUCAACCUAGCAAUGAUGAGGAUGUGGAGAUUGAACCUACGGUUAAUCAUGAUAAACCACAACCUAAGAGAUACGAUAAGAAUGACUUCACUGCUAGGAAGCAUGGUAAAGAAUGGGAGCCAUGGGUUCAGAGAUCUAUGCCCUUUCCUCCUAAGCCAUCCAAGAAAAAGGAUGAUGAGGAUUUUGAGCGCUUCGUUGAGAUGAUAAGACCCAUCUUUCUGCAGAUGCGGUUAACUAAUAUGCUCAAGAUGUCUCCGCAUGCCAAGUACAUGAAAGAUAUCGUGACUAAUAAACGGAAGAUACCAGAUCUUGAGAUCUCCACCAUGCUUGCCAAUUACACUUUCAAAGGUGGAACUCCUAAGAAACUUGGUGAUCCCGGAGUGCCCACUAUACCUUGUUCCAUUAAAGGAAACUACGUAAGAACUGCCUUAUGUGACCUUGGAGCCGGUGUUAGUGUUAUGCCGCUCUCUCUUUAUCGUAGACUUGAGUUGGAUAAGUUGACACCCACUAAAAUUUCUCUGCAAAUGGCCGACAAAUCAACUGCUUUUCCUAUCGGCAUUUGCGAGGAUGUGCCUGUUGUGGUUGCUAAUACCACUAUCUUAACAGACUUUGUUAUCUUGGAUAUUCCCGAGGAUGAUGCCAUGGCUGUCAUCCUCGGAAGACCCUUUUUAAACACUGCAGGGGCUGUUAUAGAUUGCAACAAAGGCAAUGUCACUUUCCAUGUCAACGGUAAUGAGCACACAGUGCACUUUCCGAAGAAACGAUAUCAACUACAUUGCAUCAAUGCUAUUGAAAAGACUUCAUCGAUUCUUAUUGGGAGCUUUGAAUGCCCUAUUCCUCGUGUCAAGAUGAAGUAUGAUUUGCUUGUUGGGGAGAUACAUAUCCCCAUUGAGGUGACUUAGUGGCUAUUCGAAAAUUCUCCGUUCUCUCUUGCGAUUCGAGAAGGUUUUUUCAUGAGGACUUGAUCAACCCAUUGACGGAUUUCUUUCGAUGACCAUGAAAUGGAUGAAUCAAAGAGUCACAUACCUCUGUUUUGAGCUUUCAUUUUCUGUUGCUUAGAAGAAAAAUGAUGGAAUUAGUUUAGCUUUUCCUGUUUUCUCUUUUAGCGUCCCGGAGAAAAAUACCUCGAAAAUAAAAGUUCUCCGAUGGUCUUGAAAAUUUAGUUUGAUUUUUUCUGGAAUUUUUGAAAAUUACUGGGCCUGAGAGAUGGCCUGGGGGCGAGACCAGUGGGCCACAAGCCCUGCCACCGCCACCCCCCUGGUGGCGGAGAGAAAGCUUGUGGGGCCCACACGGACCCCCUCCACUCAUUCCAGCUCCCAGCCUCUUCUUCCACCUCCAGAAAAAAAUUGUUUCGCAGCUCAAACCCGUGUUCUUGCUCAUUUGGCUGUGAUUUUGGAUCUCCUUGCUCAAAGCACCAUUCUCCGAACCGUUCUGGGGAAAUUACUCCUUGGUAAGUGACUCCUCCAUUGGUCCAAUUAGUUUUUGCUCUAGUGCUUUAUCCUUCGCGUAUUCUUGCUACCUUGGUGACCCUGUUCUUGAGCUAGAAAAGUUUAUUUUAGCUAGACCCAAGUAGUUUUAGCGCGUGAUACGGUCUCUAGGCACUAGUAGGAGUAGUUGCUACAAGUUGGGUUAAUCUUUUUUCACUUUUCUUUCGAAGUCUCUAAACAUUUCAGAAUUUUUCAGAGCUAGAAAAAGGAAAAGAUGAAGAGGUUCUUGAGAGGCUCUUCAAGCCGUAACCCCAAGGAGGAUGAGAAGAACCACCCCAAGUAUGUAGUCCCUCGAGUCACAGAAGUUCGAGCGUGCGAGUGGCCAAGUGAUGAAUUUUUGCGCGCCACCGGACUUUAUGAAGACUUUUACUACUUGGUGGAGAACGCGGGUCUUACCGCGUUCGUUGAAGAUAAGUGCUCACAAUACCUCUUCCUCACCAAUAUUUUUGUUCAAAGCUUCAACUUUUAUCCGAGGAAGAAUCCUCGCAUGGUUGAGUUCAUGAUAUACGACAUCCCCCAGUGCAUGACACUACAGGAUUUUUGGAAUGUAUGCAAAUUACCUUGUGUUGGCGAUAUCCGUGACCCUCGUCCACAGGACUUGGAGGAUUUCAUUGGUUCUACUGCUGUUGGAGAGGAGAGAGGAGUGUCUCGCGCUAGAAUUGUUAGCAUACAUUUUCCUAUGCUCCGGUAGUUCUCACUAUUUGUGGGAAAAUGUUUGAUUGGCCGUGGGGAGGCUGGAUCACUUAGUUCUCCAGACCUUGCAGUUUUACGCGAAGACCUUUAUAACGAUAAGGCUUAUAGCCUAGGUGUUAUAGUGGCCCAGCGGUUGAACACCAACCGUUCCAAGGGUGUCGUCUAUGGAGGUAUCUAUGCUACCCGUCUUGCCAGACACUUUGAGAUACCCAUUAGACUGGGAGAGGAAGGAGAGAUGCUUCUCCCCGAGAAAUAUCUGGAUUAUGACAGCAUGGUUCGCCAUGAUUAUCUGGAUAGAGAUGCUAGUAUAUGGAUGAUUUAUAACCUGGUAUUUAGUCAGGGUACUCGAGAGACUAUUACUUUGCCUGCCCCUUCUUUGUUUGAUCUUCAUGCAGACAGGUACACUAUUAUGCCCUCGGACAUCUACGCAUAUUGGGGCCUGGCCCAACCACACGCGCCCGUGCCCGAGCCGUCAGUCGAGUAUCAGACGCCAGUUUAUCAGUGGGAGCCAGAGGAGCUCACACAGCAGUGGCAUCCACAGUCUGCUCCGGAGUAUCCUGGAGCUGGUGAAUUCCCACCAUGGGAGUAGUCCAAGCUAGGCCAAAAGCCUAAGCUUGGGGGAGUACGUGUUCUCACCGACUUUACAUUCAUGCUUAUGCUUUCACUUUGUUAGCCGGUGUUUACACUUUGCCACUGUAUUAUCCAUGCUAGUUUAUUUUUUUUUCUUGUUUUCUUGUUUUGUGUCCUUUUGAGAAAAUCCAAAAAGAUUUUUCUUUCUUCUUUUGCUUGUUGGGAGCUUUCCCGUGUAAAUAGUGUUCUUUUUCUUUGGGUCAAGGUAGAAGAUAUUGGUUACAAUGUUUAGUGGUUCUUGCAUGCAUACCUGUUUAGCUUUCAAAGAGCCAUAUUACCUUGUCUUCUCCUUUGUGUUUGCCUGCAGAUUCACCUUAGUCCAAUGCGCGAGCACUCUUAUUAUUGUUCACAUCGUUCGGUCAUGCAAAUGAAAGGCAAUAAUGAUGAUAUAUGAUGAAGUGACUAAGACUGAAAAGCUGGUAUGAGCUCUAUCUAUUUUGUUUUUGUAAAUAUGACUAGCUUGUCAUCCCAGAUUCAACUUUGUUGUGAGAGAACCAUGUUUGCAAUGACAACUUUGAGAUCAUAGUUUCUGAUUCCAUGCUUAUUUAGCUAGGAGCUUAUAAUGGUUUGUCUUGAAUGCCAACAUAGAUUUUGAGAUGACUAUGAUGUAGUAUGAUAGGAUGGUAUUCUCCUUUGAAUGUUUCAAGUGGCUUGACUUGGCGCAUGUUCAUGCAUGUAGUUGAAACAAAAUCAACAUAGCCUCUAUGAUGUUCGUUUUCAUGGUGAUUUAUAUCCUAUUCAUGCUUGCAUUCAAUGUUAGUCAAACGCAUUGCAUCUUGAUGACUGUUGUCGCUCUCUAGUUGGUCGCUUCCCAGUCUUUUGCUAGCCUUCACUUGUACUAAGCGGAAUACUGCUUGUGCAUCCACUUCCAUAAACCCAAGAGUUUUUCCAUGAGAGUCCACCAUACCUCCCUAUUUGCGGUAUCUACCUGCCGUUCCAAGUGAAUUUGCAUGUGACAUUCUCUAAACCAUCAAGAAAUAAUCUGUUUUGCAUGUCGGAACCGCUCAUGUGGUGACAGGGGGCUAUUGGUAUCUUCCAUGCUAGGAGUGUUAUCCUCGACAUGUGUUUAUUCACUGUCAUUCACGAGAAAGGGGCCGGUAAUAGGAAUGCCCAGUUCCACGCUUAAAUCAAAAACAUAACUGUAAAACAAGACCCCCCCCCCCCGGGUUGAUGUUAGUAUGGAUGGUACCCGAGGAUUCGGCUAGCCGUGGAUUGUGAUUGAUUGGUGGUGGGGGAGUUAAAACUUUACUUUUUUGUUUGGGAACUGCCUAUAGCAUGAGUAGCAUGGAAGAUAUUGAGAACUCUUGGUCAUUGCGUUGACAAUGAAAGCAUGCCACCCAAAAUUAUUAUCUCUGUUUUCAAAGCUUGAGCUCUGGCACCUCUGCAAAUCAAUGCUUCCCUCUGCGAAGGGCCUCUCUAUUUAUUUUCCUAUUGAGUCAUCCUCCUCUUAUAUAAGCACCAAUUAGAGAGCACUUCUGUCAUUUUUAUGCUUUGCUUUUGAUUGGUAUUGAGUAUGACUAUGACUGGAUCUUCGUUUUUAUGAAUUACAAUGUUUAGUCACCCCUUGAUCUUUGAAAGUGCUCUGCAUUUAUGUUUUGUGGUCUCAGAAAGAGCUAGCGAGAUACCACCUAUUCAUAUUGCUCCAUGCUUGUUUUGAUUGAAGUGUUGGUAUUUGAAACUCAUUAUUAUUUGCUCGUUAGCUGAUUAUGACAUUGAUAUUAGUUUACCGUGAGACCUUUGUGUCACUUGCUUAUGUGGUUAACUUGUGAUAUUGCUGAAAUUGUGGUUAUGAGUUAGACAUAGUUGCAACAACAAGAUCAAACAGAGUUUGUCAAAGUUUUUCUUUCUCUCUCAGUUUGUCAACUGAGUUGCUUGAGGACAAGCAAGGUUUUAAGCUUGGGGGAGUUGAUACGUCUCCAUCGUAUCUACUUUCCAAACUCUUUUGCCCUUGUUUUGGACUCUAAUUUGCAUGAUUGAAUGGAACUAACCUGGACUGACGCUAUUUUCAGCAGAAUUGCCUUGGUUUUAUUUUUGUGCAGAAAUCAAAGUUCUCAGAACGUCCUCAAAAUUUACGGGAACAUUUUUGGAAAAUAUGAAAAAUACCUAUGGAAAGAUCCACCUGAGGGGGUGGGCCAGUGGGCCACAAGCCCUGCCUCCGCCACCCCCUGGUCGCGGUGGGCAAGCUUGUGGGGCCCACACGGCUCUACCGCCCCCAAUCUCAGGUCUAUAAGUUCACUUUCGUCCCAGAAAAAAUAAAAAGAGAAGAUUUCGUCGCGUUUGCGAUACGGGGGCGCUGCCACAACCUAUUCUUCAUCUGGAAGGCAGAUCUGGAGUCCGUCUUGGGCUCCGGAGAGGGGAAAUCGUCGCCAUCGUCAUCAUCAACCUUCUUCCCUCUCCAAUUCCAUGAAGCUCUUCGUCGUUCAUGAGUAAUCUAUUCGUAGGCUCGCUGGGCGGUGAUGAGUAGGAUGAAAUCUAUCAUGUAAUCGAGUUAGUUUUGAUGGGGAUUGAUCCCUAGUAUCCACUAUGUUCUGAGAUUGAUGUUGCUACUACUUUGCCAUGCUUAAUGCCUGUCACUAUGGCCCGAGUGCCAUGAUUUCAGAUCUGAAAUUAUUAUGUUGCGACCAAUAUAUGUGUGUUUUAGAUCCGAUCUUGCAAGUUGUAGUUACCUACUAUGUGUUAUGAUCCGGCAACCCCAGAGUGACAAUAACCGGAACCACUCCCAGUGAUGACCAUAGUUUGAGGAGUUCAUGUGUUCACCAAGUGCUAAUGCAUUGGUCCGGUUCUUUAUUAAAAGGAGAACCUUAAUAUCCCAUAGUUUCCUUUUGGACCCCGCUGCCAAAGGAGCGAUGGACAAUAGAUGUCAUGCAAGUUCUUUUCCCUAAGCACGUAUGACGACACACGGAAUGCAUGUCUACAUUACAUUGACGAACGGGAGCUAGCCACAUAUCUCUCCGUGUUAUAACUAUUGCAUGAUGAAUAUCAUCCAAACAAAUCACCGACCCAUUGCCUACGAGUUUGUCCUACUGCUGUUGUUACUUGUCUUGCUCUGUUGCUGUUACUUGUCUUGCUCUGCUGCUACUGUUGCUACUACAGUCGCUUGCCACUGCCGUUACUCGCUACAUUGCUGUUACUACUUUUCUUGCAGAUAUUAAUCUUUCAGGUGUGGUUGAAUCUGACGCAUUCAGCUGCUAAUACUCGAGAGUAUUCUCUCACCUCCUGUCUGGCGAAUCAACAAAUUUGGGUCGAAUACUCUACCCUCGAAAACUGCUGUGAACCCACGCGUUGGUGGGCCGUCAAUAACAUUCUUCUAGUUUCAUAGUCGGGGAGUGCUAGUAGCAUUCUUCGGGUGCCAUUGCAGGGUAAGUUUUGUUCUCAUAGAAUCAGCAUUCGUCUAGCUAUUGCCAGACAGUGCCGGUCAGGCAAUUCCCAGCAAUGGCGCCAUAAAAAGGCACGUUGACGGGAUGUUAGCGCCAACAAAGUCUUGCAACAAGUAACAGCGGAGUAGGAAGGAACAGUAGUAGCAGCAGCAGCAAAGUAACAAGUAACAGCAGUAGCGACAGCAGCAGCAAAGUGGCCCAAUCCCUCUUGUAGCAAGGGACAAGCCUAGGCAAAGUAACAUAGCGAGGACCAGUAGUAAAAGACUCGUAGGCAGUGGAUCGGUGAUGGAUGAGUAUGACGGAUGUGAUUCAUCAUGUAAUAGCUAUAACACGGAGAGAUAUGUGACUAGCUCCCGUUCAUCAAUCUGAUGUAGGCAUGUAUUCCGUAUGUAGUCAUACGUGCUUAUGGAAAAGAACUUGCAUGCCAUCUAUUGUCCAUCCCUCCCAUGGCAGCGGGAUCCUAAUGGAAGCUACGGGAUAUUAAGGUUCUCCUUUUAAUAAAGAACCGGACCAACGCAUUAACACGCGGUGAACACAUGAACUCCUCAUACCAUGGUCAUCUCCGGGAGUGGUUCCGGCUAUUGUCACUCCGGGGUUGCCGGGUCAUAACACAUAGUAGGUGACUACAACUUGCAAGAUAGGAUCUAAAACACACAUAUAUUGGCGACAACAUAAUAGGUUCAGAUCUGAAAUCAUGGUACUCGGGCCCUAGUGACAAGCAUUAAGCAUAGCCAAGUAGUAGCAACAUCAAUCAAGAACAUAGUGGAUACUAGGGAUCAAUCCCCGUCAAGAACUAACUCGAUUACAUGAUAGAUCUCAUCCAACUCAUCACCGUCCAGCAAGCCUACGAUGAGAUUACUCACGAACGAUGAAGAGCAUCAUGGAAUUGUCGAUGGAGAACGGUUGAUGAUGACGAUGGCGACGAUUGCCCCUCUCCGGAGCUCGAAACGGACUCCAGAUCUGCCCUCCAAAUGAAGAACAAGAUGUGGUGGCGCCUUCGUAUCGCAAAACGCGAUGAAACCUUCUCUCUGAUUUUUUCCGUCGAAACGGAAGAUAUAGAGCUGAGUUUGGGGGCGGUGGAGCCACGUGGGCCCCACAAGACAGCAUGGCGCGGCCUAGGGGGGUGGCCGCAUCGUGUGGGCUUGUGGCCCACUGGCACACCCCCCCCCCCUCACGUGGAUCUUUGCGCAGGUAUUUUUCUUUUAUUCCAGAAAAAAUCUCCGUAAAUUUUCAGGAUGUUCCGAGAACUUUUAUUUCUGCACAAAAACAACACCAUGGCAAUUCUGCUGAAAACACCGUCAGUCCGGGUUAGUUCCAUUCAAAUCAUGCAAGUUAGAGUCCAAAACAANNNNNNNNNNNNNNNNNNNNNNNNNNNNNNNNNNNNNNNNNNNNNNNNNNNNNNNNNNNNNNNNNNNNNNNNNNNNNNNNNNNNNNNNNNNNNNNNNNNNNNNNNNNNNNNNNNNNNNNNNNNNNNNNNNNNNNNNNNNNNNNNNNNNNNNNNNNNNNNNNNNNNNNNNNNNNNAGUCCGGGUUAGUUCCAUUCAAAUCAUGCAAAUUAGAGUCCAAAACAAGGGCAAAAGAGUUCGGAAAAGUAGAUACGAGGGAGACAUAUCAGGAGACAACCCAACACUUUUACCUUCUAUUUUUGUGAGUUCACAUGAUUAAGCUACUGUAGUAAUCAUGUUUUGUGUCUUUUAUUUCAAUAAAGUGUCAAGUAAAGCCUUUGGAAUGACUCACAAGAUGAGUAGAAUUGAUGCCGAACCAAAACAGAAACUUUUCACUCAAGUACAUGAAUUUUCAUUUUUUUACCAAAGCGUGAUAAUGAUUUAAAAUUUUACACAGUAUUUAUAUAUAAAUUCUCCUGGUUUUGCUAAUUUUUUAGAAUUUUGAUAGACAGGGAAGUAUGGCUAUACUACAGAGUUCUAUAAAUUAUGGGAAACAUGGCUACUGUUCUGUUUUCGACAGAUUAUGUUUUGUAUGCAUAGUCUGCUUAUUUUAGUGUUCCCAUAGCUUAUAUUCAGUAAUAUAAAUUAUGGGAAUGAUAGAAUACAGUAGGUAUAAUGUGGUAACUAUUAUGAAUCUUGUCUUGACAGUACCUAAGUGAAUGAUCUAUCUUUAUUACACUAAGCUUUCUCACAAAGUUCCGUUAAGUUUUGUGUGAUUGAAGUUUUCAAGUUUUGGGUGAGACAUCGAUAUGAGGAGAACAAGGACUGACAAGUACCUAAGCUUGGGUAUGCCCAAGUUACCCCAAGGUAAUAUCCGUUGAAGACUCAAGUGUCUAAGCUUGAGGAUGCCCCGGAAGCAUCCCCUCUUUCAUCUCCAACGCUAUACGUAAUCUUACUUAGAGCUAUAUUUUUAUUCGUCUCGUAAUAUGUGUUUUUCUUGGAGCAUCAUUUUAUUCUAUUGAUUUCUGUUAGAUGUUAUUUAUAAUUUUGUUUUCUAUAAAAAUCCAAGAAUUGUAUUAGGAUGCUUGCAUUGCAUGGUUUGAUGUGUGCUGUAUAAAAACAGAAACUCUUGUUGUAGUGUUUGAAUUUUCAUAUUUUACUAGAAUGUGGAAAGUUUGUGAAAUAUUUACACAAAUUUUUCUUAUAAAUUUUAUAGAAUGAACUAAAUUUGCAUAAUUUUUUGAGUUACACAAGUAGACUGUUUUCAUAAAUUGCUACAAACUGUUCUGUUUGGAUAGAUUGUUGUCAUAGUUUUGUUAUCUACUUAUCAUAUAGUUUCCAUAGCCUAUAUUGGUAGAUAUAAAUUGUGGAAACGAUAGUAAACAGUACAUGAUGUUUGAAAGUUAUUAUACAACUUUUCUUGUCAGUACAUGAAGAGUUGAUUUAUUAUUGUGUGUACUAACCUAUCUCAUGAGUUCUUUUCGAGUUCUGUGUGGAUGAAGUUUUUUAGAAAAGGUGAAACCAUGAUAUGAGAGGAUUGAAUGAGAAACAAAAGCUCAAUCUUGGGGAUGCCCAAGGCAUCGCAAGUAAAUAUUUCAAGAACUCUCAAGUAUCUAAGCUUGGGGAUGCUACGCAUCCCACCUCUCUUUGUCAACUAUCGGUUAGCCUAUCUUGAGCCUAAAUUUUUAUUCGUUCACAUGACGCGUCCUAUUCUUGGACUACUAUUUUUCUUUUGCUUGCUAUUUAAAUAAAAUACUCAGAUCUGAGAAUCUUUAUUGAGAGAGAGGAAGAAAGUCCUCACAUAGAUACUUAAUUGUUUGACUACUCAUUGAUCUUCACUUAUAUGUUUUGGAGUAGUUUUGGCAUUUACUCUCGUGCUUCACUUAUAUCCUAUGAGUAAAUAGUUGAAUGAAUUGGAUAUUAUAAAUAUGAAAUUAUAUAUGUUCUAAGUGCUUAUCCCAUGGGGAGUAAUGACUUCACAUAUAAGAAGUAUAGGUGGUAUAAUUUAUUGAAAGUUAGCAAACACCGCAUUGGUCACUUGAACAAUACAUGAAAGAAUAUUGAAGGAAGAGAGAUUCCACAUAUAAAUAUACUAUCUUGGACAUCUUUCAUGAUUAUGAGCCCCAUUAAUUAUUUUCAAACUUGAGCAAAUUAGUUGAAGUUGGACAAGGAAGAGAACUUAAUGAGUUAUGUGUGGAUAUAUUUGCAUAGAAGUUAUAUUGUUAUGGAUCCUCCAACAUGUGGUGCUUGUUUAGAACCUUUUACUAGCCAAUACUUCGUGCUAAGUAGAGAUACUACUUGUGCAUCCAAAAACCCUUAAACCCAGUUUCUUGCCAUGAGAGUCCACUAUAUCUACCUAUAUGCGGUAUUUACCUCCUAUUCCAAGUAAAUUUGCAUGUGCCAAACUCUAAACCUUCAAAUAAUAUUUUGUUUUGUAUGCCCGAAUCACUCAUGUAGUGACUAGGGACUGUAUUGAUUAACGAUGUGUGUUGAUUCACUAUCAUUCACGAGAAAGUGGCCGGUAUUCGGGAUGCCCAGUUCCAUGCUAAAAAAUCAAAUCAAAAUAUAAUGAUACAAACCUCCCCCAAGAUUGUUGUUUGUAUGAACGGUACCCGUGGAUUCGGCUCGUCGUGGAGUGUGGUUGAUUGGUGGAGGGGGAGUUAAAACUUUACAAUUGUGUUUGGGAACCAUCUAUAAUCUAUCUAGCAUGGAAGAUACCGAGAUCUCUCGGUUGUUAGGUUGACAAUGAAAGCAUACCGCUCAAAAUUAUUAUUCAUUUGUGUUUUAAAACCUCGAGCUUUCGCACAUAUGCAAAUCACAGCUUCCCUGUGCGAAAUUUGCAUGACUUGAAUGGAACUAACCGAGACUAACGCUGUUUUCAGCAGAAUUGCCAUGGUGUUGUUUUUGUGCAGAAAUAAAAGUUAUCGGAAUGUCCUGAAAAUUUAAGGAUAUUUUAUCUGGAAUAAAUGAAAAAUACCUGCGCANNNNNNNNNNNNNNNNNNNNNNNNNNNNNNNNNNNNNNNNNNNNNNNNNNNNNNNNNNNNNNNNNNNNNNNNNNNNNNNNNNNNNNNNNNNNNNNNNNNNNNNNNNNNNNNNNNNNNNNNNNNNNNNNNNNNNNNNNNNNNNNNNNNNNNNNNNNNNNNNNNNNNNNNNNNNNNNNNNNCAAAGAUCCACCGGAGGGGGUAUGCCAGUGGGCCACAAGCCCCUCGGCCGCGGCCACCCCCUUAGGCCGCGCCGUGAGGGCUUGUGGGGCCCACGUGGCACCACCGCCCCCAAACUCAGCUCUAUUUAUUCCAUCUCGCCCGGAAAAAAAUCAGAGAGAAGGAUUCAUCGCGUUUUACGAUACGGAGGCGCCACGAGCUCGUGUUCUUUAUCUGGAGGACAGAUCUGGAGUCUGUUCGGGGCUCCGGAGAGGGGAAAUCGUCGCCAUCGUCAUCAUCAACCUUCCUCCAUCGACAAUUCCAUGAUGCUCUUCAUCGUUCGUGAGUAAUCUCAUCGUAGGCUUGCUGGACGGUGAUGAGUUGGAUGAGAUCUAUCAUGUAAUCGAGUUAGUUCUUGACGGGGAUUGAUCCCUAGUAUCCACUAUGUUCUUGAUUGAUGUUGCUACUACUUGGCUAUGCUUAAUGCUUGUCACUAGGGCCCGAGUACCAUGAUUUCAGAUCUGAACCUAUUAUGUUGUCGCCAAUAUAUGUGUGUUUUAGAUCCUAUCUUGCAAGUUGUAGUCACCUACUAUGUGUUAUGACCCGGCAACCCCGGAGUGACAAUAGCCGGAACCACUCCCGGAGAUGACCAUAGUAUGAGGAGUUCAUGUAUUCACCGAGUGUUAAUGCGUUGGUCCGGUUCUUUAUUAAAAGGAGAACCUUAAUAUCCCGUAGUUUCCAUUAGGACCCCGCUGCCAUGGGAGGGAUGGACAAUAGAUGUCAUGCAAGUUCUUGUCCCUAAGCACGUAUGACUACAUACGGAAUACAUGCCUACAUUAGAUUGACGAACGGGAGCUAGUUACUUAUCUCUCUGUGUUAUAGCUGUUACAUGAUGAAUCACAUCCGGUAUACUCAUCCAUCACCGAUCCACUACCUACGAGUCUUUUACUACUGGUCCUCGCUACGUUACUUUGCUGCUACUGUUGUCGCUACUGCUGUUACUUCGUGCUGCUGCUACUGCUGUUCCUUGCUGCUGCUGUCACUACUGCUGUUACUUUGCUGCUACUUGUUGCAAGACUUUUCUGGAGCCGUUGCCGAGGAAGAAUAGUCCCCCGUCCACGUGCCAUUUAUUGGCGCCAUUGAUACAACAAGCUAGGAAAAGUCUGCCGUCAACACAUCUUUUUCUGACACCGUUGCUAUCAUACCACUUUGCUACUGAUACUUUGCUUGCAGACACUAAUCUUUCAAGUGUGGUUGAAAUUGACAAACUCAGCUGCUAAUACUUGAGAAUAUUCUUUCGCUUCCCCUUGUGUCGAAUCAAUAAAUUUGGGUUGAAUACUCUACCCUCGAAAACUGUUGCGAUCCCCUACACUUGUGGGUUAUCAAGACCAUUUUCUGGUGCCGUUGCCGGGGAGGCACAUCUAUAUUCUCUGAGUCACUUGGGAUCGACGUCUGCUGGUCACUAUGAGGAAUCUGAAAGAUCCAAGAACUAAAAUCUUGCCUUCCACUACGAGGAGAGGUAAGCAACUUCCAUCUAGCUCUGCACUUGAUUCACCUUCAGUUUUGAGUAAGUUUGCGACUUCGCCUCCUGCUAGAAAUCUUGAUAUGUCGCCUGUGCAUGAUGAUGCUACUUCUGCUGCCCAUGAUGCUUAUGAUGAUGCUAUGCUNNNNNNNNNNNNNNNNNNNNNNNNNNNNNNNNNNNNNNNNNNNNNNNNNNNNNNNNNNNNNNNNNNNNNNNNNNNNNNNNNNNNNNNNNNNNNNNNNNNNNNNNNNNNNNNNNNNNNNNNNNNNNNNNNNNNNNNNNNNNNNNNNNNNNNNNNNNNNNNNNNNNNNNNNNNNNNNNNNNNNNNNNNNNNNNNNNNNNNNNNNNNNNNNNNNNNNNNNNNNNNNNNNNNNNNNNNNNNNNNNNNNNNNNNNNNNCCUGAUGAUGCUAUGCCUGAUACUCCUUUGCCACUAGGUGCAUUCCUUGAUGCACAAAUUGCUAGAGUUGCUGCUAGAUGUGAUGAUACUUCUGAAACUGCUGAUACUAUUGAAGUAGAACUUGCUAGUAUGCCUGAAUUGCCUGUUAUGCAUGAACGCUAUGUUAUGGAAGGAGAGAUAGCUGAGGACUUUCUUGCGUGUAAGGAUAGCUAUGAUGUUGAGAAAUUACUGCGCAAGUGGAAAGAAAAAUCUCUGAACGCUGGGAUGAAAUACGACCCGAAGUUUGCUACUUCGCCUAUCUUUGUGACCGAUAAGGAUUAUGAAUUCUCUGUCAACCCUGAGUUAAUCACUCUGGUUGAAUCUGAUCCUUUUCACGGUUAUGAGUCUGAAACGGUUGUAGCCCAUCUUACCAAACUGCACGAUAUAGCCACCCUAUUCACUAGUGAGGAAAAGAUCCGCCACUACUAUAUCCUCAAGUUGUUUCCUUUCUCGCUAAAGGAUGAUGCUAAGACCUGGUUCACUUCUCUUGCUCCUGGUUGUGUGCGUAGCCCCCAGGAUAUGGUCUACUACUUCUCUGAAAAAUAUUUCCCUACCCAUAAGAAGCAAGCUGCCUUGCAGGAAAUAUACAACUUUGCUCAAGCUGAGGAAGAGAGUCUCCCACAAGCUUGGGGGAGGCUCGUCCAGCUACUGAAUGCUUUGCCUCAUCACCCUCUUGAGAAGAAUGAAAUACUUGAUAUCUUCUAUAAUGGACUUACCGAUGCUUCCAAAGACCACCUAGAUAGUUGUGUCGGUUGUGUUUUUAGGGAACAAACUGUAGAACAAGCUGAGAUUCUACUGAAUAACAUCUUGUGCAAUGAGAAUGCUUGGACUAUUCCCGAAUCACCUCCUAAGCCAACUCCAAAGAAAAGAGGUAUUCUAUUCCUCAGUCCUGAAGAUAUGCAAGAAGCCAAGAAAUCUAUGCGAGAGAAAGGCAUUAAAUCUGAAGAUGUCAACAAUCUACCACCUAUCGAAGAGAUCCAUGGUCUCGAUAACCCGAUACAGGUAGUAGAAGUAAAUUCUCUCUGUAGGUUUGAUGAGAGUGAUAUUCCUUUUGAUAAACCUGCUAGCUUAUGCCUGGAUGAAUUUGAUAACUUUGUUGACAAACAACAGAGUUUCNNNNNNNNNNNNNNNNNNNNNNNNNNNNNNNNNNNNNNNNNNNNNNNNNNNNNNNNNNNNNNNNNNNNNNNNNNNNNNNNNNNNNNNNNNNNNNNNNNNNNNNNNNNNNNNNNNNNNNNNNNNNNNNNNNNNNNNNNNNNNNNNNNNNNNNNNNNNNNNNNNNNNCAAACAACAGAGUUUCAAUGAUUAUGUUAGCAGACAAUUGGAACAGAAUGCUCAUAUGCUUAGUCAUUUAAGUGCUUGUGUGGACAGAAAUGUCAAUGAUCUUAAGCUUUUGAGUAAACAUGCCUGUAUGGUUACUACUCAAGUAGAACAAGUACUUAAAGCUCAAAAUGACUUGCUCGAUGAGUUGAAUGAAAAUUCCGUUAGAGUUGUUACUAGAGGCGGUAGAAUGACCCAGUAACCUUUGUAUCCCGAGGGUCAUCCGAAGAGAAUUGAACAAGAUUCUCAAGGAGUUAGCACUGAUGCACCUAGUCAUCCUAGAAAGAAGAAGAAAGAUGAUAGGAACCUGCACGCUAGCAACCCUGUUGCUGCUACACCUGAGAGUCCAAACGAUGCCUCUGUCUGUGACACUGAAACACAAUCUGGUGAUGAACAUGAGCCUAAUGAUAAUAUCAAUAGUGAUGUUCAUGAAGAUGCUCAACCUAGCAAUGAUAAGGAUGUGGAGAUUGAACCUAUUGAUCUUGAUAACCCUCGGCCUAAGAAUAGAAGAUAUGAUAAGAAUGACUUUGCUGCUAGGAAGCAUGGUAAAGAAAGGGAGCCAUGGGUUCAGAAACCCAUGCCCUUUCCUCCAAAACCAUCCAAGAAAAAGGAUGAUGAGGAUUUUGAGUGAUUCGUUGAAAUGAUCAGACCUGACUUUCUGCAAAUGCGUUUGACAGAUAUGCUCAAAAUGUCUCCGUAUUCUAAGUACAUGAAAGAUAUUGUAACUAAUAAGAGGAGGAUACCUGAGGUUGAGAUUUCCACCAUGCUUGUUAAUUAUACCUUCAAGGGUGGAACUCCUAAGAAACUAGGUGAUCCCGGUGUGCCCACUAUACCUUGCUCCAUUAAAGGCAGGUACGUUAGACCAGUGUUAUGCGACCUUGGAGCCGGUAUUAGUGUUAUGCCUCUCUCUCUUUAUCGUAGACUUGAACUGGACAAGUUGACACCCACUGAAAUCUCUGCAAAAUGGCCGACAAAUCAACUGCUUUCCCUAUCGGCAUUUGCGAGGAUCUGCCUGUUGUGGUUGCUAACGUCACUAUCUUAACAGACUUUGUUAUCUUGGAUAUUCCUGAGGACGAUGCCAUGGCGGUCAUCCUCGGAAGACCGUUUUUAAACAAUGCAGGGGCUGUUAUAGAUUGCAACAAAGGCAAUGUCACUUCCCAUGUCAACGGUAAUGACCAUACAGUGCACUUUCCGAAGAAACAAUAUCGAGUACAUUGCAUCAAUGCUAUCGAAAAAACUUCAUCAAUUUUUAUUGGGAUCUUUGAAUGCCCUAUACCUCGUGUCAAGAUGAAGUAUGAUUUGCUUGUUGGGGAGAUACACAUCCCCAUUGAGGUGACCUAGUGAUUAUUCGGAAAUUCUCCAUUAUCUUUUGUGAUUCGAAAAAGUUUGUCAAAGAGGCUUGAUCAACCUCACUGACAGAUUUCUUUUGAUGACAAUGAGAUGGAUGAAUCGAGGAGUCACAAACCUCUGUUCCAAGCUUUCACCUUCUAUUGCUUAGAAGAAAAAUGAUAGAUUUAGUUUAGUUUUCCCUGUUUUCUGUUUUAGCGCUCGGUGGAAAAGUACCCUGAAAAUAAAAGUACUCCGAACGUCCUGAAAAUCAAGUAUGAUUUUUUUUGGAAUUUUUGAAAAAUUCUGAGACAAAGAGCUUGUCGGGGGGCUGCACGAGUGGGCCACAAGCGCUUGGGGCGCGGGCACCCCCCCUGAGCGCACCACCCAGGCUUGUGGGGCCCACAGGCACCCCCUCCACUCAUUCUUGCUCUUAUCUGGUUCUCCUACCUCCAGAAAAAAUUGUUCCGCAGCUCAAACCCGUGUUCUCGCUCCUCUUGUUGGGAUUUUCGAUCUCUUUGCUCAAAUCACCGUUCUCCGAACUGUUUUGGGGAAAUUACUCCUUGGUAAGUGACUCCUCCAUUGGUCCAAUUAUUUUUUGCUCUAGUGCCUUAUACUCCGCGUAUUUUUUCUGCCUUGGUGACCAUGUUCUUGAGCUUUGCAUGCUAAUUCUAGCUGGUCCCAAGUAGUUUUGAUGCGUAAUAUGGCCUCUAGGCAUUUGUUGGAGUAGUUGCUAUGAGUUUCAUUGAGCCUUGUUCACUUUUCCUUAGAAUCACUAAAAUUUUCAGAAAAUUUCAAAGAUAGAAAAGGGAAAAGAUGAGGAGGUUCUUAAGAGGCUCUUCAAGCCGUGACCCCAAGGAUGAUGGGAGUGAGAAGAAGCCCAAGUAUCUGGUCCCUCGAGUCGCAGAAGUUCGAGCGUGCAAGUGGCCAAGCGAUGUGUUCUUACGCACCGCUGGAAUUUAUGAGGACUUUUAUCACUUGGUGGAUAACGCAGGCCUUACCGCCUUCGUUGAAGAUAAGUGUCCGCAAUACCUCCUCCUCACUAAUAUCUUCAUACAAAGUUUUAACUUCUAUCCGAGGAAGAAUCCUCCUAUGGUUGAGUUCAAAAUUUAUGAUAUCCCCCAGCGCAUGUCACACCAAGAUUUUUGCAAUGUUUGCAAAUUACCUUAUGUUGGGGAUAUUCAUGAACCUCGUCCACGGGACUUGGAAGCUUUCAUCGAUACUAUUGUUGUAGGAGAGGAGAGAGGAGUGUCUUGCGCUAGAGCUACUAGCAUUAAUUUUCCCGUGCUUCGGUACUUCUCAUUAUUUGUGGGAAAAUGUUUGAUUGGCCGUGGGAAAGCUGGGUCACUUAGUUCCCCAGAUCUUGCGGUCUUGCGCGAAGCCCUUUAUAACGAUAAAACUUAUAGCUUGGGCGCUAUAGUAGCUCAACGGUUGAACACGAACCGUUCUAAAGGCGUUAUCUAUGGAGGUAUCUAUGCUACUCGUCUUGCUAUACAUUUUGAGAUACCUAUUAGACUGGACGAGGAAGAAGAGAUUCUUCUUCCUGAGAGAUAUCUAUAUUACAAUAGCAUGGUUCGCCAUGACUUUUUUGAUAGAGAUAUAAAUAGAAGGAUGAUUUAUAACCUGGUAUUUAGUCAGGGUACUCGUGAGACUAUUACUUUGCUUGCUCCUUCUUUGUUCAAUCUUCAUGCAGGUAGGUACAUUAUUAUGCCCUUGGACAUCUACACAUAUUGGGGCAUAGCCCAACCACAGGUGCCCGUGCCCGAGCUAGCAGUCGAGUACCAGACGCCAGUUUAUCAGUGGGAGCCAGAGGAGCUCACACAGCAGUGGCAUCCUCAGUCCACUCCGGAGUACCCCGGAGCUGGUUAUUUCCCUCCUUGGGAGUAGACCAACUUAGGCCAAAAGCCUAAGCUUGGGGGAGUAGGUGUUUCUCAUUUGUGUUUUCCUGCAGAUUCCAUCUUUAGUCCACUACACGAGCACGCUUAUUAUUGUUCACAACAUUCGGUCGUGCAAGUGAAAGUCAAAAAUGACGAUAUAUGAAGUGACUGAGCCUGGAAAAGAUGGUAUGAACUCGAUCUAUUUUGUUUUUGUAAAUAUGACUAGCCCAUCAUGCCUGAUUCAGCUUUGUUGUGAGAGAAACAUGUUUGCAAUGACAACUUAGAGAUCAUAGUUGCUUAUGCCAUGCUUACUUAGCUAGGAGCUUAUAAUGGUUUGUCUUGGAUGCCCACAUGAAUGUUGAGAUGACUGUGCUGUAGUAUGAUAGGAUGGUAUCCUCCUUUGAAUGUUUCAAGUGGCUUGACUUGGCGCAUGUUCACGCAUGUAGUUGAAACAAAAUCAACAUAGCCUCUAUGAUGUUCAUGUUCAUGGUGAUUUAUGUCCUACUCAUGCUUGCAUUCAAUGUUAGUUAAUCUCAAUGCAUUUUGAUGACUGUUGUCGCUCUCUAGUUGGUCGCUUCCCAGUCUUUUGCUAGCCUUCACUUGUACUGAGCGGGAAUACUGCUUGUGCAUCCACCCCCAUAAACCCAACGUUGUUCCAUAUGAGUCCACCAUACCUACCUAUGUGCGGUAUCUACCUGCUGUUCCAAGUAAAUUUGCAUGUGCCACUCUCUAAACCUUCAAGAAAUAAUCUGUUUUGCAUGCCCGAACCGCUCAUGUGGUGAUAGGGGGCUAUUGGUAUCUUCCAUGCUAGGCGUGUUAUCCUCGAUAUGUGUUUAUUCACUAUCAUUCACGAGAAAGGGGGCGGUAAUUGGAACUCCCAGGUCCAUGCUCAAAUCGAAAAGAUAAUUGCAAACAAACCUCCCCCAGGAUUGAUGUUGGUAUGGACAGUACUCGAGGAUUCGGCUAGCCGUGGAGUGUGAUUGAUUGGUGGUGGGGGAGUCAAAACUUUACUUUUCUGUUUGGGGACCGCCUAUAGCAUGUGUAGCGUGGAAGAUGUUGAGAACUCUUAGUCAUUGCGUUGACAAUGAAAGCAUGCCACCCAAAAUUAUUAUCUCUGUUUUAAAAGCUUGAGCUCUGGCACCUGUGCAAAUUAAUGCUUCCCUCUGCGAAGGGCAUGUCUAUUUAUGUUCCUGUUGAGUCAUCCUCCUCUUACAACAAGACCCAAUUAGAGAGCACCUUUGUCAUUUUUAUGCUUUGCUUUUAACUGUGUUGAGUAUGACUGUGACUCGAUCUUCAUUGGCUAGAAUUACAAUGUUUAGUCAGCCCUUGGUCUUUGAAGGUGCUCUGCAUUUAUGUUUUGCGGUCUCCGAAAGAGCUAGCGAGAUACCAUCUAUUCGUACUGCUUCAUGUUGUUUUGAUUGAAGUGUUGACAUUUGAGGCUUAUUAUUAUUUGCUCCCUAGCUGAUUAUGCCAUUGAUAUGAGUUUAUCGUGAGACCUAGAUGUCAUUUGCUUAUGUGGUUUGCUUGUGAUCUUGCUGAAAUUCUGGUUAUGAGUUAGACAUAGUUGCAACAACAAGAUCAAACAGAGUUCGUCAAAGUUUUUCUUUUGUCUCUUUCAGUUUGUCAACUGAAUUGCUUGAGGACAAGCAAGGCUUUAAGCUUGGGGGAGUUGAUACGUCUCCGUUGUAUAUACUUUUCUGAACUCUUUUGCCCUUGUUUUGGACUCUAAUUUGCAUGAUUUGAAUGGAACUAACCCGGACUAACGUUGUUUUCAACAAAAUUGCCAUGGUGUUGUUUUUGUGCAGAAAUAAAAGUUCUCGGAAUGUCCUGAAAAUUUACGGAGAAUUUUUCUAAAAUAAAUGAAAAAUACCUGCGCAAAGAUCCAACGGAGGGGGUGUGCCAGUGGGCCACAAGCCCGUGGGCUGCGACCACCCCCCCCCCUAGGCCGCGCCGUGAGGCCUUGUGGAACCCACGUGGCACCACCGCCCCCAAACUCAGCUCUAUUUAUUCCGUCUCGCUCGGAAAAAAUCAGAGAGAAGGAUUCAUCGCGUUCUACGAUACGGAGGCGCCGCCACCUCCUGUUCUUCAUCCAGAUGACAGAUCUGGAGUACGUUCGGGGCUCCAAAGAGGGGAAAUCAUCGCCAUCGUCAUCAUCAACCUUCCUCCAUCGACAAUUCCAUGAUGUUCUUCACCAUUCGUGAGUAAUCUCAUCGUAGGCUUGCUGGACGGUGAUGAGUUGGAUGAGAUAUAUCAUGUAAUCGAGUUAGUUUUGACGGGGAUUGAUCCCUAGUAUCCACUAUGUUCUGAGAUUGAUGUUGCUACUACUUUGCCAUGCUUAAUGCUUGUCACUAGGGCCCGAGUGCCAUGAUUUCAGAUCUGAAAUUAUUAUGUUGCCACCAAUAGAUGUGUGUUUUAGAUCCGAUCUUGCAAGUUGUAGUUACCUACUAUGUGUUAUGAUCCGGCAACCCCGGAGUGACAAUAACCGGAACCACUCCCGGUGAUGACCAUAGUAUGAGGAGUUCAUGUGUUCACCAAGUGCUAAUGCGUUGGUCCGGUUCUUUAUUAAAAGGAGAACCUUAAUAUCCCAUAGUUUCCUUUUGGACCCCGCUGCCACGGGAGGGAUGGACAAUAGAUGUCAUGCAAGUUCUUUUCCCUAAGCACGUAUGACUUCAUACGGAAUACAUUCCUACAUUAGAUUGACGAACGGGAGCUAGUUACUUAUCUCUCCGUGUUAUAGCUAUUACAUGAUGAAUCACAUCCGGUAUAAUCAUCCAUCACCGAUCCAUUGCCUACGAUUCUUUUACUACUUGUCCUUGCUACGUUACUUUGCUGCUACUGUUGUCGCUACUGCUGUUACUCUGUUGUUACUUGCUACUGAUGUUGUUGAUGUUGCUUGCUACUGCUGUCACUACUGCUGUUACUUUGCUGCUACUUGUUGCAAGACUUUUCUGGAGCCGUUGCCGGGGAAGAAUAGUCCCCCUUCCACGUGGUAUUUACUGGCGCCAUUGAUACAACAAGUUAGGAAUAGUCUGCCGUCAACACAUCUUUUUCUGACACCGUUGCUAUCAUACCACUUUGCUACUUAUACUUUGCUUGCAAACACUAAUCUUUCAGGUGUGGUUGAAAUUGGCAAACUCAGCUGCUAAUACUUGAGAAUAUUCUUUUGCUUCCCCUUGUGUCGAAUCAAUAAAUUUGGAUUGAAUACUCUACCCUCGAAAACUGUUGCGAUCCCCUACACUUGUGGGUUAUCAAGGGCCAAUCUAUUUACUUUCAUGUUAUUUACUAUUCUUGUUGAGUUAACUUCUUAUUCCAACCUCAAAGUAUUAGUUGGCAAGCAUCAUGUGGUGGGGAAAGAUGCAAACAUAUAUAUCCAUACAAAUAUAUUUGAUCAUGAAUUAUUAUUGUUGACAAUUAUCUAUAUGGUAAAUAAAUUAGGAGGCAAAACUUUAAGCCCCUGUCUUUCUUUGUGUUCGAUGGAUGCUAUUUGUUCUAAAAAUAUGCUUUGAGUGUCAACAAUCAUGGAAGACUAUAUGAUAGUUGAGUAUGUGGAAUUUUCUAAAUAAAAUCUCUUACAUAGACCCUUCCCAAAAAUAAGAUGAAUUGCAAUUGUUUGGUGACUGAAAGCAUAAUUUGUUAGUUUUCAAGAAACUUUAUGGUCUACAUUUUAACACGUGAAUAGCUUGUUACUUCAUCAUGAGAAGUUUUAUGAGAUGAGCUACUGUGUAUGAUAUGUAAUGAUGCUAGAAAAAGUGUUUGGAUAUAUCAUUGAUCAAAUUUAUGCACUAUGCUAGCAUUCACACUUCAUAAAUGAUUUCUUUUAUUAUUUACCUACUCGAGGACGAGCAGGAAUAAAGGUCGGGGAUGCUGAUACGUAUCCAACGUAUCUAUAAUUUAUGAAGUAUUCAUGCCAUGUUUACAAUAAUUCUAUAUGGUUUUUGUAUGAUUUUAUUAUAACUAACCCGGACUGAUGCUUUUUUCAGCACAACUACCGUGUUGUUGUUUUUGUGCCCAAAUAAAAGUUCUCGGAAUGGGCUGAAAAAUUACGGAGAAUAUUGUUGGUAAAUAUGAAAAAUACUGGAGCAAAAGGAUACCAGAGAGGAGUCCCGAGGCAACCACAAGCCACCAGGGCACCCCCCUAGGGUGCGCUCCUUGGCUUGUGGGCCCCUCAAGCACUCCCCUGACGUGGUUCGAACGCCAAAUAUUCUUAUAAAAACAGAAACCCCCGAAAAGAAACUUAGAUCGGGAGUUCCUCUGCCGCAAGCCUCCAGAGCCAUGAAAACCCAGUCUUGGCCCUCUUCGGCACCCUGUCGGAGAGGGUCACCAUCACCGGAGACCAUUGAGGAGGAAGAUGGAGGGGCCAUCAUCACCAUGGAGGCCAAGGACUAGAGGAAGAACCUCUCCCCACCUUGGGGGAGGCCAUGGAGGAGGAGGAACAAGGCGGAGACCCUCUCCCCCUCUCUCCCGGUGGUGCCGGAGUGCCACCGGGGGAACCAUCGCCGCGGUGAUCGUCUUCAUCAACAUCACCUUCUUCAUCACCAACCCCAUCUUCUUUUAGCGUUCCACUCCCCCGCGCCCCGCUGUAAUCACCUACUUGAACACGGUUCUCUAUGCCACAUAUUAUGAUCCAAUGAUGUGUUGCCAUCCUAUGAUGUUUUGAGUAGAUUCCCUUUGUCUUAUGGGUUGAUUGAUGAUCUAGAUUGGUUUGACUUGCAUGCUUUAUUAUUGGUGUUGUCCUAUGGUUCUCUCCGUGUCUAGCAAGCAUGAGGGAUUCCCUUUGUAGGGUGUUGUAAUACGUUCAUGAUUCGCUUAUAGUGGGUUGUUUGAGUGACAGAAGCAUAAACCCGAGUAGGUGGGUUGUUGCGAAUGCGAUAAAGGGGACUUGAUGCUUUAAUGCUAUGGUUCGGUUUUACCUUAAUGAUCUUUAGUAGUUGCGGAUGCUUGCUAGAGUUCCAAUCAUAAGUGCAUAUGAUCGAAGUAGAGAAGGUAUGUUAGCUUAUAACUCUCCCUCAUAUAAAAUUGCAAUAAUGAUUACUGAUCUUGUUAACAAUUGCCUAGGACAAUUCCGCACACCGACCCAUCACUAUUCCACACUCGCUAUUUGUAAUAUAUUCUAACUUUAUGAUAACAACACCUAUUUUUAUAUUUUAUUUCUCCGAUGUCAUGCAAAGCUAUUCUCUUCAUACCCACAAUGUAGUUUUAUUUCUCGUUCCAAGUUGGAAGCAAACGUUCGGCGUACGUAGAGUUAUAUCAGUGGCAGAUAGAACUUGAGAGAAUAUUGCUCUUACCUUUAGCUCCUUGUGGGUUCGACGCUCCAUACUUAUCAUUUCCACCUUUUGAAAUUGCUACGAUGAUUCCUUGCACUUGGGGAUUAUCAGGGCGUCGGCAGCGUCUGGGAACAGGUGAUGGCUGAUACGUCUCCAACGUAUCUACAAUUUUUGAUGGUUCCAUGCUAUUAUCUUGUCAACUUUGGAUGUUUUAUAUGCAUGAAUAUGCUAUUUUAUAUCUUUUUUGGGACUAACCUAUUAACUCAAUGCAGAGUGCCAGUUUCUGUUGUUUCCGUGUUUUUGGCCCAUUUUCAGACGAACUCCAAAUGGAAUGAAACUUUACGAUGCUUUUUUUUGGACCGAAAGAGACCCCCGAAGCUUUGGAAGAAGGCCAGAAGAGCCACGAGGGAGUCACAAGCCCUGACGCCGCCACCACCCCCCUAGGUGGUGCCGACCAGGCUUGUAACCUCCUCGUGGGCCCAACCGACGUAAUUCCACCGCCAUAAAUUCCUAUAAAUUCAGAAACCCCCCAAAAGAAACCUAGAUCAGGAGUUGCGCCGCCGCAAGCCUCUGUAGCCACCAAAAACCAAUCUGGAGCCUGUUCUGGCACCCUGUCGGAGGGGCAAUCCAUCUUCGGUGGCCAUCUUCAUCAUCUCGGCGAUCUCCAUGACGAGGAGGGAGUAGUUCUCCCUCGGGGCUGAGGGUAUGUACCAGUAGCUAUGUGUUUGAUCUCUCUCUCUCGUGUUCUUGAGAUGUCUUGGUCUCAAUGUACCAUGGGCUUUGCUACUAUAGUUGGAUCUUAUGAUGUUCUUCCCCCUCUCCUUCUUGUAAUGAAUUGAGUUUAUCCUUUGGAGUUAUCUUNUACAAGGAGAAGGUUGCGUAGUAGACAUCAAGCUCUUUUCUGCCGCCGUUGCCGGGGAGGUUAGCGCUUGAAGGUAUAUCUUUAGAUCUUGCAAUCGAAUCUUUUUGUUUCUUGUUCUUUUGCUAGAAAACUACAAAAAAAAUGGAAUUGAGGAUGUCUCAUAUGCUCCAUCUUUUCAAUGUCUUUCGUGAGCAUGAUGGGAAGGAAAAUUGUGCUCAAGUGCUGAAAGAAGAAUUACAUAGAAUGCUUGGCAUAGAUUAUGUGAAUGAUGAGCAUGAUUGCAAUGUUCUUAGCAUGAAUUCUUUGAAUACCCAUGAUGCUAAUGAUAUGCAAAGCCACAAGCUUGGAGAUGCUAUAUUUGAUGAAGAUGAUCUUUUUAGUUCUUCCACUUUGAAUGAUCAUUGUGAGGAUACUUAUGCUCUGAAGAAGAGGGAUGAUAAAACAUCUCAUACUCUCGAGAACCCCUUUGUUAAAUCUUGCUUUUUCAUUGUGGACACAAUUUGUAGUGCUCAAGUCUUUUACGAUACUCCCACUACUAUUCUUGAGAAUAGAUUUCCUUAUGUGGAGAGUAGUAAAAUUUCUAUGCUUGUAGAUCAUGAAAAGAAUGCUUUAGGUGCUGGUUAUAUUGUUGAAUUCAUUCAUGAUGCUACUGAAAAUUACUAUGAGAGAGGAUGAUAUGCUUCUACUUAUUGCAAUAGUAUCAAGCUUCCUCUCCAUAUGUUGAAAUUUUUGAAGCUAUGCUUGUUCUGCCUUCCUAUGCUAGUUGAUUCUUGCUCCAAUAAAUUGUUUAAUCACAAAAUCCCUAUGCAUAGGAAGUGGGUUAGACUUAAAUGUGCUAGCCAUUUUCUCCAUGAUGCUCUCUUGUGUUUCAAUCCUUACCUUUUAUGUGAGCAUCAUUGAAAUCAAUGCCUAGCUAAGGGCGUUAAACGAUAGCGCUUGUUGGGAGGCAACCCAAUGAAUAAAUUUUUCUUUGCUUUUUGCUUCAUGUUUUGUUUUCUCCACACCAUCAUAAUUAUGUUAUGAUUGUGUCUUUUGUGUUUAUUUUUGUGUUUGUGCCAAGCAAAACCGUUACGAUUAGUCUUGGUGAUGAUUGUUUGAUCAUGCUGGAAAAAGACAGAAACUUUCUGCUCACGAAAAGAAUUUCCAUUUUUAUUCUGUAAGAGAUUUUGAGUUGAUUCUUUUUGCUGCAUAUUCAUAUGCAAUUUAUUCGGAAUUUAGUAAUUGUUCAGAUUUGUUGAAGUACCAGAAGUAUACAAAGUAUACAUAUUGCUACAGACUGGUCUGCUGUUAACAGAUUCUGUUUUUGUUGAGUUGGUUGCUUAUUUUGAUGAAACUAUGGAUAGUAUCGGAGGGUACUAGCCAUGUAAAAGUGAAAAUACAGCAACCCAACACCAAAAUAAGUAGAAUUUAAGUUUGCUACAGUACCUAAGGAAGUGGUGAUUUGCUUUCUUAUACUAAUGAUAUCACGAGUUUCUGUUUAAGUUUCGUGUUGUGAAGUUUUCAAGUUUUGGAUGAAGUUCUUAUGGACAAAAAGAUAAAGAGUGGCAAGAUCUCAAGCUUGGGGAUGCCCAAGGCACCCCAAGAUAUUCAAGGAUGCCGUAAAAGCCUAAGAUUGGGGAUGCCCCGGGAAGGCAUCCCCUCUUUCGUCUUCAAUCCAUCGGUAAUGUUACUUGGAGCUAUAUUUUUAUUCACCACAUGAUAUGUGUUUUGCUUGGAGCGUCUUGUAUCUUAGGAGUCUUUUAUUUUUGUUGUGUCACAAUCUUCCUUCCUUCAAACCUAGAGAGAGAGACAUGCACUCACCGUGAUUUUGUCGAGCUUCACUUAUAUCCUUUGGUAGACAAUUCAGCUCACAUGUGCUUCACUUAUAUAUUUUGAGCUAGAUACUUUUGCUCUGUGUGCUUCACUUAUAUCUUUUAGAGCGCAGCGGUGCGUGUCUUGGUAGUUGAUCUAUGCUUUGAAAGUAGUCUCAAAAUGGGUAGUUAUCCAAAGGGAUACGAAAACUUCCACCUUCAUGUGCAUUGAAUAGUUAGAGAAGUUUGAUUCAUCUCAAUUAGUUUUGAGUUGUGGUUUUGGUAAUAUUGAAGUCAUGCUAGUAAGGUGUUGUGGAUCUAGAAAUACUUGUGUUGAAGUUAGUGAUUCUCGUAGCAUGCACGUAUGGUGAACCGCUAUGUGAUGAAGUCUGAGCAUGAUUAGUCUUUUGAUUGUCAUCCUUUGCGUGGCGGUCGGGAUCGCGCGAUGGUUUAUACCUACCAACCCUUCCCCUAGGAGUAUGCGUUGAAUGCUUUGUUUCGAUUACUAAUAAAACUUUUGCAACAAGUAUAUGAGUUCUUCAUGACUAAUGUUGAGUCCAUGGUUUAGAUGCACUUUCACCUUCCACCAUCACUAUCUUCUUAGUGUCGUGCAACUAUCGCCGGUGCACAAAACUCACCAUUAGCCUCCCUCAAAACAGCCACCAUACCUACCUACUAUGGCUUUUUCAAAGUCAUUCCGAGAUAUAUUGCCAUGCAACUACCACCAUGACAUGUGCCACCACGUCUACAUUGCCAUUGCAUGAUGUUUCCAUUAAUGUCUAUGCCAUGCUAGAUCAUUGCCACGGUACACUACCGAAGGCAUUCCAUAUAGAGUCAUCGUUGCUCUAAGUUUUGAGUUGAAAGUGUGAUGAUCAUCAUUGAUGGAGCAUUGUCCCAUGUGAGGAAAUAAAAGAGGCCAAAGAAGCCCACCAAAAAAAACAAGAGGCCAAAGAGCCCACCAAAUAUAUAUAUAUAUAUAUGAGAGAGAAAAAGAGAGAAGGGACAAUGCUACCACUUUUCCACACUUGUGCAUAUUAAGCACCAUGAUCUUCAUGAUUGAGAGUCUCUCGUUUUGUCACCAUCAUAUAGCUAGUGGGAAAUUCUCAUUAUAUAACUUGGCUUGUAUAUUCCAAUAAUAGGUUUCCUCAAAAUUGCCUUAGUUCUUCGUGAGCAAGCAAGUUGGAUGCACACCCACUAGUUUUCUUUAAGAGCUUUCACAUACUCUUAGCUCUAGUGCAUCAUUUGUAUGGCAAUCCCUACUCAUUCACAUUGAUAUCUAUUGAUGAGCAUCUCCACAGCUCAUUGAUAUGCCUAGUUAAUGUGAUUAUCUUCUCCUUUUUUUGUCUUGCAACCUCCACCACACUCCACACCACUUAUAGUGCUAAAACCAUGGCUCACGCUCAUGUAUUGCGUGAGAGUUGAAAGGGUUUGAGAAAGUGAAGGUGUGAAACAAUUACUUGGCCAAUACCGGGGUUGUGCAUGAUUUAAAUUCGUUGUGCAAUGAUGAUAGAGCAUAGCCAGACUAUACGCUUUUGUAGGGAUAACUUUCUUUUGGCCUUGUUAUUUUGAAAGUUCAUGAUUACCUUGCUAGUUUGCUUGAAUUAUUAUUGUUUCCACGUCGAUAGCAAACUAUUGUUUUGAAUCUAAUGGAUCUGAACAUUCAUGUCACGUGAGAGAAGUUACAAAGUACAACUAUGCUAGGUAGCAUGCAACAUCAAAAAUUCAUUCUUUAUCACUUCCCUACUCGAGGAUGAGCAUGAGUUAAGCUUGGGGAUGCUUGAUACGUCUCCAACGUAUCUAUAAUUUUUGUUGGUUCCAUGCUAUUAUCUUGUCAACUUUGGAUGUUUUAUAUGCAUGAAUAUGCUAUUUUAUAUCUUUUUGGGACUAACCUAUUAACUUAGUGCCAAGUGCCAGUUUCUGUUUUUUCCGUGUUUUUGGCCCAUUUCCACACGGAGUCCAAAUGGAAUGAAACUUUACGAUGAUUUUUUUGGACCAAAAGAGACCCCCGAAGCUUUGGAAGAAGGCCAGAAGAGCCACGAGGGAGUCACAAGCCCCAAAGCCGCCACCACCCCCCUAGGUGGUGGCGACCAGGCUUGUGACCUCCUCGUGGGCCCAACCGACGUAAUUCCACCGCCAUAAAUUCCUAUAAAUUCAGAAACCCCCAAAAAGAAACCUAGAUCGGGAGUUCCGCCGCCGCAAGCCUCUGUAGCCACCAAAAACCAAUCUGGAGCCCGUCCUCGCACCCUGUCGGAGGGGGAAUCCAUCUCCGGUGGCCAUCUUCAUCAUCCCGGCGAUCUCCAUGACAAGGAGGGAGUAGUUCUCCCUCGGGGCUGAGGGUAUGUACCUGUAGCUAUGUGUUUGAUCUCUCUCUCUCGUGUUCUUGAGAUGUCUUGAUCUCGAUGUACCAUGGGCUUUGCUACUAUAGUUGGAUCUUAUGAUGUUCUUCCCCGUAUCCUUCUUGUAAUGAAUUGAGUUUCCCCUUUGGAGUUAUCUUNUACAAGGAGAAGGUUGUGUAGUAGACAUCAAUGGCGCGAGACACAUGACGUCGAUCUAUCCAGGUUUAGGGCCCUCCGGUGAGGUAAAACUCCUAGUCCUGCCGGUGUGACUAUAUGAGAUCACAAUUCAAUGGUUCUCCUUGAGCUGUUCGUGAGGAGGGAGACGAAGUUCUCACUGCCUCGGUGGUAUGUGUCUAAGGAUUCACUAGUUUUCUCCUCCCCUUCUCUCAGGGGACUGGGGUUGGGUUUUAUAGUGCAACCAAAUGUAUACAAUAAUGGGUAGAAACGGAGUGUGGGGUCCGGCCUUCAGCCUCUCCGGCUGGCCGUGGGGCCCGUCGGUUGUCGGGUCUUGUCCUGCGCGGGUCCCGCCGGACGUGUGACGCAGAGGAUAACGCGCCGGCCGUCAGGGAGUUGGUAGGGGUAGGCCCCAGCUACACGGCCGCCUCGCCCGGUCAGCCUAGGGCGUGACCGGUGGCGCUGUAGCCACGUCGAGCCUUGCAUCAUGACGCCUGUAGCCGCGCUAGGUCUAUCAACGCGCACUAUAGCCAUGCACGCCCCUCUGCUGAGGGUAUGCUCUUGUUCGCCGUAUGUUAGUCGGCCGGAUGGGAUGGGCGUUGACCCGUCGACUGCUGCCAGUCGGCCCGCCGUGCGCUGGCCAGGCGGGCCGCCUGUGGCUAGUCAACCAAGGGCGCCUAGCCGGACGGGUCAAACGCCGCUAGCCGAACUGUCACACAGUGGCUAGGCGAACCGCUUGUAGCCAGCCGGCCUAGGGGGGCCAGCCAGCCCGAAUGUCAAGUAGAUGGAUUCCCUCCGCUUUGGUAUACCCAGGGGCCAUAUCCCCGUCAUUAAAACUUAGCCAUUGCAACUUUGUGUACUUCGUUUAUCUCCAAUGACCAGACCAAGACCGCUUUCGGAUCCUCACCCUUAACAAUACUUCAUAUGUAUUCACAAUAUUCAGAUUGCUUUUAUCAUAUUCUUGCUUGUUCUUCGAUUGCUUGGAGGAAGAGACCUUCAUGAUGAGGUUGAUCGUGCUCCCGCGUGAUCAAUAAUCUCUUGAAGUUGGUUUAGUGAUUGCUAAGGCGCAACGUCGUGCACAUUUGUAGUCGGAUCGUCAAAGUCGUCUCCACCAAAUCGGUAGCCACCAUCUCUUUGAAAGAUCGGGACACCCUUGCCUCUAUCAUCUUCAAAUUAGAACACAUAAUGCAUUAAAAGUUGAAUGGGAGAGCUCCUUAAAAAAUUAUUGAUCCAAUCAAAAUCAAUUAACACGACUCUAAAUCAAUGAUCUCAAUUAAUUAUGAGGUCUUACAAAAUAUAAAUCAUAGUGUAUAAUAUACUAAAAAAUUUAAUUAGAGAGUUUUGAAAAAAUUGUUGACCCGUUCAAAAUCAGCUCACACAACUCCAAUUAAAAACCUCAAUAGAAUACGGCCUUCAUAAAACCUCAAUUGAAUAUUUCCGUAACAUAACACAUCACAAGGCAAAAUGAACAUAUAUCUAAAUAACAAAAAUACUUGCAUAAUAUCAUACAUAUAAUAUUAUUUAAUAUGAAGUUAUUAAUAUGGACUAAUAACAUAUGGAUGCUACUAAUGCAAGUUAUUUUCUACUAUGACGAGCCUCAUCUUGAGUGGUUUCUUUGCUUCCAGUCAAUCCCAACAAUGUCUUCACCAGUCCGGAUCCGUCGACUGGGGGGUCGUCCCGUGCAGAGUGGAGGAGGCAAUAGCGGUUCGCGUUGCACUCCGCCGCUCGCGCGAGGACAGCGCCUGACCGACAGAAGGAUUUGUCCGCCGCGACUCUGUAGCAUCUGCACAAAGGGUGCUCGGCUCCUUUGGGGAAUGGCCGGACUACCACCAAAGGUGGAGAAAGAGGUGAGCGGCGAUGAGGACAGUUGUGGCGACGAGAAGAUCCGGCUCGAUCCGUACUGCGUCUUCAACCGGUACUUCCACGACAAGACGGCAAGGGUGUCGGGAAGAACAGAGGCAGCCGUAGAUGAUCUUCACCAUAGCCAAACAUGUAAAAUUUUGAUAGUCCGAUGACAUGUUUAACAAUGAUGGAGUAACUGGACAAUGUGUGUGCGUCGACGUAGUAGUUCGUCUGCGGACGUUUGAAAGAUCGGAUUUGAGGAGUCCGGAGAUGCUCUAAGGCAGAGAAUACACCUAAGUAGCUAGUGGUACUACUUCAGAUGAGGAAGAAAAUGUUAACUAAAUUCCAAAUAUACUGCCGUGCCAUCACACUUUGACAAACACGCACGGCCUUUUUUACACAUAGCUCUAGGUGGCUGCGCCCCUUUCUACUGCAUAUCGAUCAUCUACCAAGAAGAUAUGCACCACUCGAUCUAUAGGGAUCAUGUCACGGCCUUCAAUGGCGGCAUUCGAGCGCACAUUCUUCGGCUCAAGUUGCAUUGUCUCUACGCCACCAUCGAGUGCGCCGUAGAAAACCGAGAUAUAGCGAUCUCCCUGAUAUCUCCGCUUUUGCAAUCCCCAUAAAUAAAUAAUAAUUCAUGUUUGCGAAUGAUGAAGUGCCUGCAAUUUUUACUUCCUGCAUAUCAUAAUAAUUAUAGUGCAAGAAAACUAGUAAACUAGUUCUUUCAACUAUAAUUAUUAUGUUUUUCCUUAACAAUAAUUAUUAUGAUAUACUCCCUUCGUUCUUAAAUAUAAGUUUUUUUAAAGAUUUCACUAAUAGAGUAUAUACGGAUGUAUAUAGACAUACUUUAGAGUGUACAUUGAAUCAUUUUGCUCUGUAUGUAGACCUUUAGUGAAAUCGCUUAAAAGACUUAUAUUUAGAAACGGUGAAAGUAAAUGGAGUAUAAUCAAUUCUACUUCCUCUAAGUCUGAAGGUGAGGACAACACAACCACACAACGCCGCAGUGACAAGCGUUGACUCCGGAUGAGGACCUCGUUGGAGACGGGGACGAUGUUGUGACUAUCAGUGUCUCAAUUGGAAAAAGGGCACACAUGAGAUGAAUUAACAAUACUACCUCCGUUACGGUUUAGAAGACACAUUGAUCACGGUUUAGAUUUCCAGUAUUUUACGGGCAAGAAGAGGAAAAUGAAAAAAAAAUUAAGCAUACAAAUAAAAACAAGAACAAAUGAGAAAAGAAAAAGAAAUGGUGUGUAUUAUCAUUAGAAGGCCUCGCCAUCAGUGAAAAGAAAGAAAGAAAACAGCACUAUCAGUGGGACUAGGGUUAGCUAUAAUUCACAGACUGGAGAGCUCAGACCAUGACGGCAAGUAAAAUGAAUUAAAGGGAGUAGUUUAAUUUGCGUAGAAGAAUAAGAGAUGUGAUCAGCUGAGAAAUGAUGAGAUUAAUCAAGAGGCAAAUCGAAUGAUGAUUUUUCCAACAGGUUUUAUUAGAUAAAAUGUUUGGUCAUGUCUCUAGCCAUUCCAAGAACCAAACUAAAAUAUCCUAAAAUAAAAAUAAAAUAAAAUAACAGUACUAAUAGAUUCUAGCCCAGCAUUUAUUUUUGCACCGAUCUGGACCAAGGGCAGACAGCAGGAUAGUGGUACUAGGAUACAAGGCUGGCACUAUAGAACGUGCAUGGACGUGACGCGAUGUACACAUGUACUGAUCAGGUCGGUGCAUGCAUGCGUGUGACUCAGCGCGAUGGCCCCCUCUUUACAACGCCAAAGGUACGCUUGCCCUCGUGGCCUUGCCAGCCCUCUCCCUUGGCCCUUUUCCCCAAACAUAUCAAAGAAAACCAAACCCGUAAACAUAGCAGUUUGGACCUUAGCCUCCGUGCAUGCGUGGCCACCACCCUAAUUUCGAUACAGCGAUCACCGUACGCAACUUGCUUGCAUCUACAGUACGUACCAGUACUAUAGUUUUGCAAUAGUAUAUUCCCAACCAAGAUCAGAAUGAUGCAGAUCAGUGUUUUGAUUCCUCGAUUUCAUUUUAUUUUCCUGCGUGACGCAAAAGGGCUGCUCGCUUUUGCGUCCUAGCUGUGAAUCUUGUGACCGUUUUGCCCUCCAGAGCCACUAUAUAAGCCCCUCUACCGCAGCACAUUUGCUUCACACAACACAGCCGAUCGCAUACUCUGAUCUGAUCAGUCGCACCAAACCGAGCUAUAGCAUCAGCUCGUCGGAGUUCGGACCGGUCGACUCGGAACUCGUCAUCAAUGGCCGCCGUCCAGGUAGACUGCUCAAUACUGCUUCGUUGCGUUUCGAUCAUGUAGCUUUUGACCUGCUGCCACGGUGCCAUGCCACCUCGAUCUCUUCUGGCACGAGCAACCUGAUCACACGUACGCUGCGUACUGGUACUUCUCUGACAUGAAGGCGUGCAUCAAUGUAAACGCAGGUCCACGCCGCAACCCACGCCAUGCCCGUCGAGGAGGCUCCGGCGCCGGCGGUGGUGGAGGCUGUCGAGCCGGCCGUCGUCGUUGUCGAGGAUACUACCGUGGCGGUGGAGGUCGUCGAGCCGGCCGUCGUCGCGGUCGAGGAGGCUACGGUGGCAGCAGUGGAGAUUGUCGAGCCGGCCGUCGACACAGUCGAGGUGGCAACGGCUGAGGCUGUCGAGCCGGCCGUUGUCGCUGCCGAGGAGGCCGUGAAGGAGGAAGUUGCUGCGCCGGCCGUGACCGAGCUGGCGAAAGAGCCCGAGGCAGCUCCAGCGGAGACCAAGGAGGCCGAGACAGAGGUUGUCCAGCCGGCCGCCGCCGCUGAGGAGGCCCCUGUCACGCCGACAGUGACCGAGACCAAAGAGCCGGAAGCUGCCCCUGCCGAGGGAACAGAGACCGAAGUGGUGGAGCGUGAGGCAGCACCGGCUGAGGCCGAGACCAAGGAACCAGAGAAAGAAGCUGCUCCGGCCGAGACCGAGACCAAGGAACCAGAGCAAGAAGCUGCUCCGGCCGAGACCGAGACCAAAGAGGCAGAGCCAGCCGCUGCCGAGGCCGAGGCCAAAGAGCCGGUGGCAGAGGAGACACCGGCCAAGGAGGAGGCCGCUGUGGCAGUGCAGGAGGAAGCAGCAACUACGGAGGCACCUGUGGAGGCUGCCGUGGCAGCCGAAGCAGCCGUGGAAGAGACAGAAGCACCAGCUGCUGCUGCCGACGUCGAGGCCAAAGCGCCGGUGGCGGAGGCACCGGUCCAGGAGGAGGCAGCGCCCGCAGCCACCGCCGCCGAAGCGUCUUCCGUGCAGGAGGAGGCGGCACCGGCCGAGGCACCCGUGGAUGCACCCGCUGCCGCCGAGGCGGUGCCGGCAGAGGCACCAGCUGCUCAGGCUGCCGCCGCCGCCGACAAGGCCGCCGAGUGAGUUGAUGCGCGCGGGUGCGAUCGUGCUCCUGAGCUAGCCUUUGCCUGGCUUCGCCGUGCGCGUGCCGUGGCAUUGCCAUGGCACGGUACCUUAGUUCGUUUAUUAUUGGAUCCGUAUGUGUGGGCGUAUUUCGUGAGUGGUUGAUCGUCGUCGCGUGGGUGCGCAAUGUACGUCACGUAGCUGCGUACAUGGUCUAGCUAGCAGUCGUAUGUGUGUCGUUCUCAGUUGGCUUCAAUAAUGUGUCAGUGGCGUUCCGGGUCCCACUGUCAGUGAUGUCAUGGGGUCACUGGCUUUGGAGGCUGUUUUCGUCUCUUUGUUUUUUGUUUUUUGUGUUGGUUAAUACAUGCACUAGCUAUUUAUUUGUAUACUGUAUAUGUUGGUACUCCAUCCGUAAAAGAUUUUUGAGUUUUUUUUCCUUUGAGAACCCCUCCGUAAAGAAAUACAGUAUAUGAGUGUUUAGAUCACUAAAGUAGUAAUCUAAAUGAUUUUAUAUUUUUUAGAAAGGAAUACUAAAAAGGCUUGUGAUUUGUGUAAUGCCUCAUCUAUGGGGUCCAUGAUCUGAGCUGCAAUUUAAAAUAAUUAAUUCGGACAUACAUAU